rnacentral:lncRNA from 1 species
UUAUGGAUAAUAUUUGAGAAUAGUACAAGUUAUGAUUUAUUAAUAUAUUAUAAGUUCUAAUAUAUUAAUAUAAGAUCAUAUUAUUUAAUUAGUAUUGAUCUAGAAUUAAUCUAGGAUUAAUUUAGAGAUCAAAGAUAUUACUAAUUAAAUAUGGGCUUCUAUAUUUAUAUAGUGUGGGCUAGUGCUCAUUUGGAAUGGGCUAGGCUUGCAUGGGAAAGUCCAUGGAUACUCCAUGGAGCUUUAACCUAUGGAUCUCAUGGAAAUGAAGAGACAUGGGUAUUAGGGUUUACUUGGAUGUAACUCUAAUCCAUCACACUAUAUAAAGGAGGCUUUGGUUCUUGAAAUCAUACUAGUUGACACUUGUUGAGGUGAGGGCCGAUUUCAAGAUAGUAGUGACUAUUCUCUCAAAGUUCCAAGUUUGUGGUGAUUUGUGACUUUCAUUUGAGGCAUCCACACUAUUGGUGCUAGGCUCUAAAACUCCAAUGAAUCAACUACAACUACAAGGUAAGUGUUUCUACUAGCUUUAUUUGAUUCAAGUUCCCCAUGCCAUGCUAGUUAGGAUAUGAACCUUGGAAAAUUAAUUAUUUGCAUGUAUCUUAGACAAACAUAGAUCCAAGGUUUAUUAGGGUUGCAUGUACACUUAGGAAGUGUUAGAAUGCUCAAAACCCAACAUCAAGAUCUACCAUUAUCCAUUGGUUACUUACUUAAAGCAACCACUCCUUCAUUAUCACCGAAAAUCUCCAUGGGCUCCUUUAUGGUUUGUAUAACUCCAAGGUCUCCAAUGAAGUUCUCCAACCAUAUCGCCUCCAUCGACGCUUCACUCGCUGCUAUGUACUCUGAUUCACGUAUUGAAUCAGCCACGGUCUCCUAAUUGGAACUUUUCCAAGUAAUCGUUCCCCCAUUUAGGGUAAACACCCAGCCCGAAUGGGAGCAGGAAAUUUCUUUGGUGGUCUGAAAGUUUGCGUCACUAUACUUUGUCUCUCUUAAGUCUUCACUCCUACCAAGUAUAAGGACCUAGUCCUUAGUCCUUCAUAGGUACUUAAGAAUGUUCUUCACUGCUGUCCAGUGAGAUCUACCCGGUUUCCCUUGAUAUCAACUAACCAUGCUCAAUACGAAAGCCACAUCAGGUCGAGUACAUUUCAUAGCGUACAUGAUCGAGCCAACGGCGAAAGCAUAUGGCCCUUGACUCAUUUCCGCUAUCUCAGAAUCGACACUCAGACUCUGAGUCUUACUAAGCUUGGUACUACUCCAGAUUAGCAGUUCCCGUUUCUUGAAAUUCUCCAUGCUAAAACGUUUCAGCACCUUGUCCAAGUAAGUACUCUGACUAAAUCCAAUUAGUUUUCUACCCCUAUUUCUCAAGAUCCUUAUCCAUAUAAUAUAAGCAGUUUAGCGAAACACUUCCCAAGCCAGGACGUAACCUCCUGCAAAGUCGGGAUAUCAUUUCCUAUGAGCAGUAUGUCAUCAACAUACAAAACUAGAAAGCUAACUAAAAUCCCACUAGCUUUGACAUACACAGAAGACUCAUCCUCACUUCUAGAGAAACCAAACUCUUUGACUUUCUCGUCGAAGCAAAGAUUCCAUUUGCGAGACACUUGUUUUAAUCUAUAAAUGGACUUCUCAAGCUUUCAUACUCUAUUGGGGUAUUUAGGAUCCUCAAAACCUUUUGGCUGACACAUGUAAACACCUUUAGCUAGCAUCCCAUUAAUGAAAGCAAUCUUGACAUCCAUCUACCAAAUUUCAUAAUCAUUCGACGCAGUGAUCACUAACAGAACCCAAAUAGACUUGAUCAUGGCCACUGGUGAGAAGGUUUCAUCAUAGUCAACCCCUAGGGUUUGAGUAAAGCCAUUCGCAACCAGCCUUGCCUUGAAUUUAUGCAUCUUACCAUCAAUGAUGGUCUUCUUCUUGAAUAUACAGUUCCACCCAACUAUCUUUCGACCUGGUACAUUGUCAACCAAGUUCCAAACUUGAUUGUCAUACAUGGAGUGGAUCUCGCUGCCCAUUGCCUCUUUCCAUUUUGCAGACUCGGGGCCCGCCAUGGAUUCCUUGUACUUAGUAGGCUUAUCCAAAUUUACUAGUUUACUAUCACUGGUAAACAUAUCACCUUCCUGGUAAUAUGAAAACCAUAAAACUCUGGUGCCAUUUUAACUCGAGAGGAACAUCUUAGAGGUAAUGAAUCUUCAAUUGGUUCAACAGGAAUCUCUUCCUCAGGUUAAGCGCUAGUGUUAGAGGAUCCUUCAUUACUUGACUCUUGAAGCUCUUCAAGAUCAAUUUUCCUCCCACUGUCCUCUUGGCAUAUGAGUUUUCUUUCGCGGAAAACCCCUCUCCUUGCUACGAAGACCACGUUGUCACUAGGUCUGUAGAACAGAUAUCCAAAGAUUUUUUGUGGGUAGCCGAUGGAAAUAUAUUACUCACUAUGAGGCUAAAUGUUGUCAUGAGUCUCUCGUCUUACGAAAGCUUCACAACCCCAAACAUUGAUAAGUGCUAACGAGGGAACCUACCAUGUCUACAUCUCAUGAGGUGUUUGGGAUAUGGGCGAUAGUCUCUAAGGCAUACCCCUAUAAUGAGAUAGGUCACAAAGCUUUACUCAUCAUGGAACGAACGAUGUCUAACGAGGUUUGAUUGCGCCUCUCAGCCAUACCAUUGAGCCAUGAUGUUCUAUGGGUGUCAACUGUGAAACGAUUCCACAGUCCUUCAGAUAGUCGUAGAACUCGAUACUAAGAUACUCACUACCCCUAUCGGAUCUGAGCACCUUUAUCUUCUUUCCCAAUUGAUUCUCUACUUCUUGCUUAAACUCUUUGAACUUUUCAAAGGUUUCCGACUUGUGAUUGAUUAAGUAGAUAUAUCCAUAUCUGUUAUAAUCAUGGGUAAAAGUCAUAUAGAAGCGGUUAGCAUUCCUUGUGGUAGAUCGAAAGGGCCCACACACAUCUAUGUGUAUAAGAUCUAACAAUCCCCUACAUUUUUCACAAGUACCAGUGAAAGGUGAUUUAGUCAUCUUUCCAAGUAAACAAGAUUCUCACGUGUCAUCUUACUUUAGGUCCAAUGACUCCAAGACUCCAUCCUUUUGGAGUUGGGCCAUGCGCUUCUUGUUGACAUGUCCAAGACAAAAAUGCCACAAGCAUGCCUUAUCUAAAUCAUUAGACAGAUCGAUAUGCAACAUAUUAUUUCCUAAGUUAUCUACAACCAUCACAGUUUCAUAUACACCAUUACAUGGCAAUGCUUCAAAAUAAAAAGUACCAUUAUAGAAAGAAUUAAUAGAACCUACUUCAUUAUUAAAUGCAAAUCUAAAACAUUGUCUUUACAAACCAUGAAAAUAAAUAAUACUCCGCGUCAUCUCAGAUGAGUAGCAACAAUCAUUUAACUCUAAUCCUAACCCACUAGUAAGCACUAAAGAAUAAAUCCCAAUCUUGGAGACAGGUGACGAUUUCCUAUUCCCCAUUAUCAGGUUCAUCUUCCCAUGCUCCACAUCCCUACUUCCUCUUAGCCCCUGCAAAUCCGAACAAAUAUGAAAACCACAUCUUGUAACAAGGCCUAAGAAAUAGCAUGUGAUGAGUUAUUAGAUUGAAUAGUAUAAAUACCUACAAAGAUGGGCUUUAUCUUCCCGUCCUUGAUGUCCUACAAGUAUUUCAGGCAGCUUCGCUUCCAAUACCCCUUGUCGUGAUAGUAGAAGCAUGUUGCUUCUUUAGGAUCAAAUGAGGGAGUGGCAGAACUGACUUUACCUUAUACAUUUGAAGUAGAUCCAUCAUGUGACUUUCCCUUGUGGUUCUUGGAGGGAGCUUUCCUCUUUUUCUCUUUUUCAUGUCCUAUAACAAGGACCGGGGCAGUAGUAGUAGGGGUGGACUCGACAACUUUGCCUUUAAGUCCACUUUCAGCAGUUCUUAACAAACCUUGAAGUUUGCUCAAAGUUACAUCCUCCUUGUUCAUAUGAUAAGUCAUCUUGAACUGAUCAUAACAAGGAGGUAAAGUGUGGAGGAUUAUGCCAAUCGUCAAUUCUUCAUCAAAGUUGACAUUCAACUUCAGUAAACAAUCCACACAUCUUUGUAUUCUUUGCAUGUAACUCGUGAUGGAGUCUCUAUCCUUCAUCUUUGUUGUUAUUAGUGAGGAAACAAUCCCAUACCUUUCUUGACGCGCACUUUGAUGGAACUUUUCCAUCAAAUAUUGGCACAUCUCGUAAGGCCAGUAGUCCUAGUAGAACCACUGCAGCUCAAGAGUCAUAGUGGCAACCAUGGUACACGACACCUUUGUCACGUCCUUUUCAUCAUCCCUAUACUCACCUAUUGGUACCGGUGUAGAUUUAGCUUCAUUGAUCUCGUUGAGUUGCUUGUCGAGAAGGUAUUCAUUUUCUUCAUAACGCAAGGCCAUUCGAAUGUUGCGCAUCGAAUCAUUGAAGUUGGAUCCAUCAAACGAGAUCCUCGCACAAAUUUUCAUGAGAUAAAAGGAGUUUGAGGAGUUGGAGUUCGAGCCAGAAGCAUUGUUUGAGCCAAACAUCUAAAAAAUUAAAAGAACAAAGUUUAGAUUAGAUAAAGAAUCCUUAAUAUAACACCCAAAUGAGAUAUUAAGGCUAGGACCUAACACAAUAAUUCACAAUUCGGAAGAGGGAUGUCGUAAUCCAAUUGAAAAUUAUUUCAAGGUAGGCAAAUCACGAUUUUCCAAUUCCACCAUGAAAAACAAAAUGAAGAACUAGGUUUUAAAUGAAAUGAAAUUCCUAGAUUCUUUUGAGAUUCAUUGAACUUUUCAAUGGCAUCUUUAAUCUCGAUUAUGCCCUUCAAGUCUGUGAAUUGGAUACCAAGGAUCACAAAUAAGGUGUGAAUAACCAUGCAAAUUAGUUUGGCACUCUUGAUGUCAUCUACCACCUUAUCAAUGUGUCGAUUAGCCAUAGACGCUCCAUUGAUAUUUGAUAAUUCUCGAGCUACCCUUUUCCAUAUUUGUUAGUCCAAGUUAGAGUGUCGGUUAACCACACACGCUCCACUAACGACUUGGCAAGGUGAAAAGUGAACUUUCAUGGAAUCGCAUCAUUUUCACAUUUUCCUAAACUAAGAUUGGGAAUUUAUAAAAACAUUUAGUUACUUCAUAAUUUUACUUAUACUUAUUAAAGAGGAAAUUAAUGUCUUAUCCUACCCGUUCGGCUAACGACCCUCCACCAAACAAGGAAGCGGUGGAUGAGAGUGGACACCCAUUCAACCGCCAUUUUAUAGGCAGUUUCCUUAUACCCUCCUUACAGAUAGGCUUCGUGAAUGAGGCAUACUAAUGGUAAGACUGAUCAUUUUAUACACACACACACACACACACACACACACACAUAUAUAUAUAUAUAUAUAUAUAUAUAUAUAUUAAUCUUUUAAUAAUAUAAUAGUAUAAGGGUUGUAUUUUAAACUUUUAAAAUACUAGGGUUUUAGAAUUUUAUAAUUCAAAAUUAAACUUAUAAUAAAAUUUUAAAUUCCAAAACAUUAGGGAAAAUUUUGAAACUUUUCAAAACUUUCUAGAUCAAAUUUUGAAUAAUUAAACUAAUCAUAUAAUUCUGAACAUUGUCUUAAAAUUUAACCAUUAUCUUCAAAUUUGAUCAGGAUAUUCAUUACCAUAUCAAAAAAUCUGAUUUUAAACAGUUAACAUAGUUUAUGGUAAUUAUCCUUAUCUAAUAUAGGCUUGAAAUCCGAAAAUUUUGUCAACAGACGAACCAUCUCAUCGAGCCAGUGCAUGGACUCGUCGAGUUGGUCCAACUCAUCGAGGUCAUCAUAGAACUCGUCGAGUUCAACAGUCAGUGAGCAAAAUGUAACAUCCCAAAAAUACGGGCCAAAAAUUUCAUUUUUAAUUAAGUGAUUUGUAAAAGCGUUUGUAACAAAAUAUCAUACGAUCAUAACAUUUGGUAAAACAAGUCUCGUGGCCAUAAACCAAAACGGAAAACAUGAUGAUGUCAGAGUACAAUUCCCAGAAUGACUCAUAGUCCAGAAAACAAAGAGCGUGUGUGUGAUGAGCCGCUACCGUGCUUGCUCCUUCCCCUUUACUAAAGAGGUACCUGAAACAACAACUGAAAACCGUAAGCACGAAGCUUAGUGAGUUCCCCCACUGUACCACAUACCAUAUAACCACAUAACAUAAAUAUGUUGUCAGGCAUAUUUGGCUGCCCGACCUACCCCUUCGGUCCUCUCGACCGGAUACUGACUAGCAUAUCUGGGUGUUGGCCUCCGCUUGGGUCCUCUCGACCGGAUACUGACUAGCAUAUCUGGGUUCUGGUCUCCCCUUCAGUCCUCUUGACCGGAUGAUGGGGACUAUUUCACCCCUACUACUACCACAUAACACAUAUCACGUAAUCUAUCUAGCAUGGCUAGGCAUGACCGCCCCUUCGGCCAUAUCGACCUAUAAUCUGGUGACUAUCUCCCCCUACUGUCACUAGCACAUAACAUCAUAUCAGACUAGCAAAUAAACAUAUCACAGGUAGUAGCAACCCUAGAUGAAUAUCACAGAGACAAUCAUCUAACAUACAACUCCUACUGGUGGGCCGGCAUUGUGGCCGUAGACCGACCGCUACUGGAAGGUAACUCACCUCAAAGUAGCUGCUGAUCUGUGUGGGAGCUAACUGUCUUCUGCUGCUGUUGCUGCCCCGGAAGUCCUCCGGCUAUAAUUCCCACAAAACACUUAGUCAAAUAUUGUUAGACGUACUUAGGGUAAAAUGACCCUUUUACCCUUAACCAGGUCAAGGUCCAAAUCCAAGUCAACCUCCAGUUGACCCGACUUGCUGAGUUGGCUCUCCAACUCAUCGAGUCCCUAAUCAUUCGAUUGACCAUAAUCCCGUAUUUACUCGUCGAGUUAGGCAUUGACUCGACGAGUUUUCCUUCUAAACCAAUGUCCAACAGUCCUUCAUCCUGCUCGCCGAGUUGUAUGAACAACUCGCCGAGUUCGUCUUCAUCCGAAGAACAUUCUAUGCUGAGACUCGCCGAGUUGUAUGAACAACUCGCCGAGUCUGUUCCUGAGGCAAGAAGAUUGCCUUGAACUCGCUGGUUCAUGGCGUUGACUCACCGAGCUCCUUCAUGGGUGAGUCUGGCUUCCGACUCACUGAGUCACCCCCCCCCAUGAGUCACUACUCCAUUCAGCAACCACGAAAAGGGGGAAAACUCUGGGACUCGUGACUCGACUCGCCGAGUCCGAAGAACGACUCGCCGAGUCUCAUGCAUGCAAAAACUGUAUACUCGAUUUUGCUCGAAUCCAGUGCAUACCAUUCGUAGAUAUAGGUUCCUAGGAUUGAUUUUACAUGUAAAGUUUCCAACUUUACGUGCAUGCAUGCUCAUUCAAGUGAUUUAAGGACUUUAAUGGGGUUAGAAGUGUAGAUCUAGGCUUGUUCAUGAAGAUGGCCAAUAAAGGUUGUAGAUCUGAGCCUCUACAGCUCAGAUGUGGUCAGAUCUGAAGGCUAAACAAACCAACGAGUUCUCUAAACCACAACCAAGCCAAUAAAUGGUUCCAAAAAGUCUUAAAGUUGCUAUAAUGAAGGUUCAACCAUAGAAACAGAAGAAGAGGUCGAGUUUUUACCAUACUAUUCUAUGAAAUGGGCUCACAACGUCUUUUCUCCUCCUUCUCCUUGAUCUUUCCUCCUUCUCUUCUUCAAAACUUCAAAGAAGCACAGACAAACACUCAAAUCACAAAGGGAAUGGUUAGGGUGUUGCUAAGGUUGCUCUGAGAGUGAAGGGGGUGAGCUUGGGGGCGCAUAUGGUGGUUUAAAUAGGGUGCAAACCCUUGAAAUUAGGGUUUCAUCCAGACAGCGGGGACUCGCCGUGUCCGGAAUGUGUACUCGCCGAGUGGCCAACUUAAACGUGCUCAAUAUCCUGACUCUACUCGGCGAUUCGGACCUACAACUCGCCGAGUCCAAGACUAAAAAAAGAAAAUUACUUAGAUGGGUUAUAUGUACCAGGAACCAGUUGCUACAAAUCUCCCCCACUUAUUUUAGAUUUCGUCCUUGAAGUCUGCUGCUCUAUCCUGGAACAACUCGGGGUAAUGCUCUAUCAUUUCUUCCACCGGCUCCCAAGUCCACUCUAAACCCUUCCGGUGCUGCCAUUGCACCUUCACUAAUUCCACCCUCUUGUUCCUCAGAUCCUUCGACUUCCGGUUGAGGAUUGCAACUGGGCGCUCAAUAUAAUUCAAGCUAUCAUGAACCUGUAUAUCCUCUAACGACACCACUGCUGAAUCAUCCACUAGGCACUUCCGCAGCUAGGAGAAAUGGAAGGUGCUGUGAAUCUGACUGAGCUCGGCUGGCAGAUCCAGCCUAUAUGCCACCUUGCCCACCUGGGCUACAACCCUGAACGACCAAUGUAUCUCGGGCCCAACAUGCCCCGCUUCCUGAAUCGAAUGACGCCUUUCCAAGGCGACACUUUCAGGAGGACCAUAUCCCCGACCUGGAAGUCCAGGUUUGCUCGACACUUGUCGGCGUAACUUUUCUGCCGACUUUGUGCAGUCUGAAACCUGCUCCGAACCUGAUGGAUCCUCUUAGUAGUCUUGAGCACCACUUCGGUGCUCCCCAUGACCCUCUGGCCAAAUUCACCCCAAAAUAUUUGGGUCCUGCACCUCCGUCCGUACAACAUCUCAAAUGGAGGACUGUCAAUACUCGCGUGGUAGCUGUUGUUGUACGAGAACUCAGCCAAGGGAAGAUAGGUAUUCCAGCUACUACCAAAGUCUAGCACGCAUGCCCGCAACAUAUCCUCGAAGGUCUGGAUGGUCCGCUCGCUCUGACCAUCUGUCUGCGGGUGAAAGGCAGUGGUAAAAUAAAGACAAGUGCCCAACUCAUCACGAAACUUCUUCCAAAAACUGGAAGUGAACCGCACAUCUCAGUCUGAUAUCACUGACACUGGCACCCCGUGUCACGCCACUAUCUCCCUGAUAUAGAUAUCGGUCAAAUUUUCGGCUGAGAUUCUCUCUUGGAACGGAAUAAAAUGGGAACUCUUGGUCAAUCGAUCCACGAUGACCCAAAUCGAAUCUACUCCUCGCGCAGUCCGGGGAAGCUUUUUGUGAAAAUCCAUCGUAAUAUCUUCCCAUUUCCACAACGAGAUGUCCAACGGCUGCAUCUUGUCGUGCGGUCUCUGAUGCUCGGCCUUGACCUUUCAUGCAGGUCAAACAACGCUCGACGUACAAAGCCACAUCCCGCUUCAUGCAGGGCCACCAAUAGUCUAGACGAAGAUCCCUAUACAUCUUCGCCGACCUUGGAUGAAUAGAGAAUCGGGAUUUGUGCGCCUCCUCCAUCAAGAUCUGGCGUACGCCUCCAUGAUACGGCACCCACACCCUACGGUGUAGUGUCAAUAAUCCUCGGCUAUCAUAAUCGAAGGAGGUGACUUGACCCAUUAUUCGCUCGAACUUUUGAUGUUCCUCCUUCAUAGCCUCCUGUUGAGCCUCCUGAAUCUGCUCUAACAAUGGAGUCACCACCGUCAUCCUCAUACACACAUCCCUGAUCGGUGCCGCCUUACGGCUAAGUGCAUCGGCCACCACAAUGGCCUUCCCCGGGUGAUAAAGGAUCUCACAAUCAUAAUCCUUCACCACGUCUUACCACCGACUCUGCCUCAUGUUCAGAUUCGGUUGAUCCAUGAGGUACCUCAAAUUCUUGUGGUCUGUGUAGAUGGUGCAUCGGACCCCGUAGAGGUAAUGCCGCCAAAUCUUGAGGGCGAAGACCACCGCCCCCAACUCUAAAUCUUGCGUCGGGUAGUUCGCCUCGUGAGGCUUCAGCUGCCUCGAAGCAUAGGCAAUGACAUGCCCCCCUCUGCAUCAGUACCACGCCUAACCCCGAAAUGGAUGCGUCACAGUAUACCACGAAAUCCUCUAUGCCCUCGGGCAGGGCGAAGAUUGGCGCCUUGCACAAUAUCUAUCUGAGAGUCUUGAACGUUGUAUGCUGCUCAGGCCCCUAUCGAAAGACCACGACUUUCUUAGUCAACCGUGUCAAGGGUACGGCUAUCUUGGAGAAAUCCUGGAUGAAUCUCCGAUAGUAUCCCGCUAAUCCUAAGGAACUCCGAAUCUUGGAUGGAGACUUCGGAACCUCCCAUCUCAUCACGACCUUGAUCUUGGCUGGGUCAACCAGUAUACCCUUCUAGUUGACAAGGUAUCCAAGGAAUUGCACCUCGCGCAACCAGAACUCGCACUUGGAGAACUUGGCGUACAAGCUCUUCCUCCUCAGGGUCUCCAAAACCUCUCUUAGAUGCUCCUCGUGCUCCUCCUACGUCUUGGAAUAAACCAAGAUGUCAUCAAUGAAAACUAUCACAGACCGAUCUAGCAUCGGUCUACACACGCGGUUCAUGAGGUCCAUGAAUGCGUCAGGAGCAUUGGUGAGCUCAAACGGCAUCACCACGAACUCAUAAUGGCCAUAGCACGUCCGAAAUGCGGUCUUCUGCACAUCCUCCUCUCUUACUCUCACCUGAUGAUAACCCGAAUGCAAGUCGAUCUUGUAGAACCAAGAUGCUCCCUGUAACUGGUCAAAGAGGUCAUCAAUCCUCAGGAGUGGGUAACAGUUCUUCACCAUUACCUUAUUCAGCUCCCGGUAAUCUAUACACAUCCGAUGCGACCCGUCCUUCUUCUUCACAAACAGAAUCGGGGCUCCCAAGGGUGAACUGCUCGGUCGAAUAAAUCCCUUGUCUAGCAGCUCCUACAGCUGCGUAGACAACUCCUACAUCUCAGGAGGAGCCNNNNNNNNNNNNNCGUUACCGGAGCCGCACCAGGAACUAAGUCGAUCCUGAACUCUACCUGACGCUCCGAAGGUAUUCCAGGAAGCUCUUCUGGGAACACAUCAGUGUAGUCUCGCACCACUAGAACCUCGCUCACCGUCAUCUUACCCGUUUCCCAGGUAUCCAUAACGUACGGGACAUAUCCCACACAACCCUGCUGAAGGUAGCGCCUAGCCCUUGCUGCUGAACAUACUGUGGGCCCACGAUGUGGCUUCUCACCGUGGAUUACCAACUCUCCCCCACUGGGGGUCCUGAUCCGCACUAACUACUGUGCGCAAUCUAUCACCGCCCCAUUAGGGCUCAACAAAUCCAUCCCUAUAAUCACUUUGUUCCCACGCAACGGAAUGGGAACUAAAUCCACCAAAUAGCGCUCCUCGAAUAACCUCAGAACACAAUCUCUGAACACUGAUGAUGCUCGCACCGAUCAAUCGUCGGCAAUCUCUACCUCCAAAGGGCAAUCAAACAUGCCCGAAGACUCAGUGAACUUCUUGCUAAGCGCAAAGGAAACAAACAAUCGGGUGGCACCCGAGUCGAACAACACCUGAACUGGGAUACCGUUCAUAUGGAACGAUUCUAACGCAUAUAUAUAUAUAUAUAUAUAUANUAAAGCAUAAAUAAGAAAUCAUACCCGUCACCACAUCGGGUGCGGCGCGUGCCUCCUCGGUAGUCAGCUAAAAUGCCCGGAUCCUCACCACUAGAGCCUCUGCCUUGCCCUGCUGGCCAUCAGUGAUCCGUAGGGUCGCUGGAGCUGGCGCCUUCAUUGGCACUGCUACUGUCAACUGAGGGCAAUUGGCCUUCUUGUGUCCCCUCUGGUUGCAAUGGAAACAUAGCAACUUAGACGUCUGUAUCACUGGUGUAGGGGGGUACAACCCUGCUGAAGUGCCCUGACUUGCCGCAUUUCUAGCAGCCUGACGAUCCCAACUUGCACGCUCCCUCGUGCGUCUUGCCGUAUUUCAUGCAGCGGCCCCACCCCUGUUAGCCCUUCGGCCCCACAUCUGGUCCCUUGGGCUUCUUCGCCGAAGCCCCCAUAACAUGCCCCUCUUCCGCCUUCCUCUUCUGGGUGUGCUCCAGAUCUAUCUCCCUCUCCCUUGCCCUAGCAAUCAUAGAGUCCAGAGUAGGGCAAGCUGAAAAACUGACAUGCUCCCGAAUAUCAGCUCGCAGUAUGUCAUGAUAGUGGGUCCUCCUCAUAUCUUCAUCACCCGUGUAUUGGGGCACCAACAAUGCCCUCUCCCAGAACUUGGUGGUGCUCUCCGCCACAGUCUCCAUCGUCUGCCUCAUGUCCAAAAACUCCUUGGCAAGCUGCUGAAGCUCGACAGCCGGUGCAAAUUCUACCCUGAACCUGGUCACAAAGUCUGACCAGGUCAUAGCCUCAACAGCCGAGUCUCCCAAUGAGUCACCAACGGACUUCCACUUGUCCCUAGCUCGAUCUCUCAAACAUCCUGCUGCAAAUCUCACCUUCGACCCCUCAGGGCAGAAGCUAGUCAACUGUGCAGACUCAAUAUCUGCAAUCCAUCGUCUGGUAGCUAUGGGGUCCUUCACCCUGUAAAAAUCCGGUGCACCACUGCCCCUGAAGUCCUUGAAGGACAAUGUGCGAGAUCCCGACUGGCCAGAUGCCAUGUCGCUCCUGAAUGCCCAGAGGCGAUCCUCCAUCAACUCGAUUAUCCCUUCCUUGAUCAACCCGAAGAUAAUGGGGGUCGACUCAAGGAUAGCCCUGGUAAUAUCUGACGCAAUGAACUCGCGUAGUCCCUCAUCUACUGGCUCGGAACCUGAUCCCGAACAUGACCCCCCUCCUGAAGCGCCAUCUAUCGGCCUCGAUCGUAGUACCACCAUUCUGCAAUACAUAAACAACAUUUGUUAAUGAUACUGAUACUUCACGAGGGAUCACAUCUACCACAAGUUCCCUGGUCUUAUCUUGGCCUUCCUUGGUUCGGGUACGGAUCCUCUACUUUCAGUAGUACGGGCCCAUACUACCUUCCACAUAUAUCCGUACCUUCUUCAAGGACUGCCUCGACUCCACCAGGUUCCCUUUCGCUACUGCUGAUCAUUGCUAUACUCAUCCUAGGCUUGCCGUAGGGAAAUCUCUAACUCCACCCUUCCCGGUCCUCAGCUGCUGAAGGCCUCCUUGUAAUGCCAAUUAUCCAUUACCUGAAUACCAUCACAUGUGAUGAGGCUCAAAUAAUCCUUCGAGUAACAGAAUCGUCCCUACAAUGGUUAGACUCAAAUAAGAGCUGCGCAAUAGGGCCAAAUCCAACACUCUAGGAUUAUUCAACCUUGAUCACAUGUGACAUGACAUAUUCACCUAAUGGCUAACUCCCAUCACUCGGAGUCCCACAAAGCACAAAGCAAGCAGCAUUCAAACAAAGGAAGCAAUCUCAAGCAACUUUGCUCUCAUAGAGAGAAACUGAACUCGCAUACAGUGCUAAACUCAUACCAUCAGGCAUAACCCAAACAGGCUAUCCUAUCGUUGUCUACUCAAUUCUAGCAUGCAAUUUUUCGUACACUGAAGCACAUAAAGCUGGCACAUAAGGCAUCAUUCCUAGAUCCUUAGUCCUAUUCUAGCAUGUUGUUCUACUGAAAUUGAUGAACAUAACUUAGGCUUGUAUGGGUACUUUGGGGAAUACUUACUUGAGCUCGGUCGGUCGCGCGCAUCACACACUUUAUUCCUUCUUAAAACACUUUACUUAACCUUUUAGGAAACAUUUUAUUUUUCAAAAUCUUUUAAUCCCUCGGUUUGAGUUCAGACACCCCCGUAGUUGUGUCCGAAACCCUCAAACCAGGGCUCUGAUAACAACUUGUAACAUCCCAAAAAUACGGGCCAAAAAUCUCAUUUUUAAUUAAGUGAUUUGUAAAAGCGUUUGUAACAAAAUAUCAUACGAUCAUAACAUUUGGUAAAACAUGUAUCGUGGCCAUAAACCAAAACGUAUAACAUGAUAAUGUCAGAGUACAAUUCCCAGAAUGACUCAUAGUGCGGAAAACAAAGAGUGUGUGUGUGAUGAGCCGCUACCGUGCCUGCUCCUUCCCCUUGACUGAAGAGGUACCUGAAACAACAACUGAAAACCGUAAGCACGAACCUUAGUGAGUUCCCCCACUGCACCACAUACCAUAUAAACACAUAACAUACAUAUGUUGUCAGGCAUAUCUGGGUGCCCGACCUACCCCUUCAGUCCUCUCAACCGGAUACUGACUAGCAUAUCUAGGUGCUGGCCUCCUCUUCGGUCCUGUCGACCAGAUACUGACUAGCAUAUCUGGGUACUGAUCUCCCCUUCGGUCCUCUCGACCGGAUGCUGGGGACUAUUUUACCCCUACUACUACCACAAAACACAUAUCAUGUAAUCUAUCUAGCAUCGCUGUGCAUGACCGCCCCUUCGGCCCUAUCGACCAGUAAUCUGGGGACUAUCUCCCCCUACUGUCACUAGCACAUAGCAUCAUAUCAUACUAUCACAUAAACAUAUCACAGGUAGUAGCAACCCUAGAUGGAUAUCACAGAGACAAUCAUCUAACAUAUAAUUCCUUCUGGUGGGCCGACAUUGUGGCCGUAGACCCACCGCUACUGGAAGGUAACUCACCUCAAAGUAGCUGCUCAUCUGUGUGGGAGCUGACUGUCUUCUGCUGCUGCUGCCCCGGAAGUCCUUCUGCUAUAAUUCCCACAAAACACUUAGUCAAACACUGUUAGACGUACUUAGGGUAAAAUGACCCUUUUACCCUUAACCAAGUCAAAGUCUAAAUCCAAGUCAACUUCCAGUUGACCCGACUUGCUGAGUUGGCUCUCUAACUCAUCGAGUCCCUAAUCAUUCGAUUGACCAUAAUCCCGUCUUUACUCGUCGAGUUAGGCAUUGACUCGAAGAUAUUUCCUUCUAAACCAAUGUCCAACAGUCCUUCAUCCUGCUCGCCGAGUUGUAUGAACAACUCGCCGAGUCUGUUCUUGAGGCAAGAAGAUUGCCUUGAACUCGCUGAUUCAUGGAAUUGACUUGCCGAGCUCCUUCAUGGGUGAGUCUGGCUUCCGACUCACUUAGUCACCCCCCAUGACUCACUACUCCACUCAGCAACCACGAAAAGGGGAAAACUAUGGGACUCGCGACCCGACUCGCCGAGUCCGAAGAACGACUCGCCGAGUCUCAUGCAUGCAAAAACUGUAUACUCGAUUCUGCUUGAAUCCAGUGCAUACCAUUCGUAGAUAUAGGUUCCUAGGAUUGAUUUUACAUGUAACGUUUCCAACUUUACGUGCAUGUAUGCUCAUUCAAGUGAUUUAAGGACUUUAAUGGGGUUAGAAGUGUAGAUCUAGGCUUGUUCAUGAAAAUGGCCAAUAAAGGUUAUAGAUCUGAGCCUCUAAAGCUCAAAUGUGGUCAGAUCUGAAGGCUAAACGAACCAAGGAGUCCUCUAAACCACAACUAAGCCAAUAAAUGGUUCCAAAAAGUCUUAAAGUUGCUCUAAUGAAGGUUCAACCAUAGAAACAGAAGAAAAGGUCGAGUUUUUAACUUACUAUUUUCUAAAAUGGGCUCACAACUUCUGUUCUCCUCCUUCUCCUUGAUCUUUCCUCCUUCUCUUCUUCAAAACUUCAAAGAAGCACACACAAACACUCAAAUCACAAAGGGAAAGGCUAGGGUGUUGCUAAGGUUGCUCUGAGAGUGAAGGGGGCGAUCUUGGGGGCACAUAUGGUGGUUUAAAUAGGGUGCAAACCCUUGAAAUUAGGGUUUCAUCCAGACAACGGGGACUCGCCGAGUCCGGAAUGUGGACUCGCCGAGUCGCCAACUUAAACGUGCUCAAUAUCCCAACUCUACUCGGCGAGUCGGGCCUACAACUCGCUGAGUCCAAGGCUAAGAAAAAUAAAAUUACUUAGAUGGGUUAUACGUACCAGGAACCAGGUGCUACACAAAAAAUAUUUUUGUUCAAGCUUUGAAUGAUUAAAAUUACAUCAAAUAUAACAGAAAAACAUCCUAAGCUCUUCUACCACUAAUAGGAACUGAGCAUUACAACAUUCCUAUGUGUACAUGCAACCCAAAUUCCUUUGGAUCUAGGUUUUUCUCAAGUUAUACAUGCAAAUUAAUUUUCCAAAACAAAACCCUAAUCUAGCAUACAUAAAAUUGAAAUCUAAUCAUAUUAGAGUUAGAAGAAUACAUUUCUUGUUGAUAGCUUGAUCUUGACCUUCAAGAGCUUAGUGCCUCAAGUGUUGCACCUCUAAUGGAGUCACAAACACCACUUAGCAAAGGAUGAAGAAGAGUGAGGUGAUGAAGGCUACUAAUUUCGGCUAGGGUUCUCUAUGAAAGCAUAGGGUCAAAAACCGGUAGCCAAGGGGUCCUUAUAUAGUUGAGCUGCUAAGAUUUUAGAUGGCAACCCUAAUCCUCUACUUAGGCCUUAAGGAAUCCAUAAAAUCCUUCUUGAAAUCCCCUUGGACGAAAUCUCUAUGGGCUUCGAUAAAUUUCGUCCACUCCUUCCUUUAGGAGUCUAUUAGCCGAACUUGCAACUAUCAAUGAUUUGUAAUAUCAGUCCCUUUACUUUUAAUUAUUCUCUUUUGACCACUAAAUUAAUUUCUGAUCAAACCUAAUUAAAUAAUAUGAUUUCUCAAUUAAUAUAUUAUUCUUAUAAUAUAUUAAUAAAUCAUUUAUAAACCUCUUUCUCCAUAAUUCAUCUUGUCAAGUUUCUAUGGUGAAGGCAACCCAAAAGGACCAUGCUACUAUCAGAUCAAGUACAUUUCAACUAUAGUUAUGGGUUUAGACACCUAAUCCAACACCUUAGGUUGUUGGUGGAUGAGUUGAACCAGUUAUGGAGCUUUGGCAUAGAUACUAAAUACGCAAUGACAUAUACAUUCCUUAAUAUGAAUGUGAUGCUGCUAUGGAAAAUAAACGACUUUAUAGAUCAUAUUAUUUUAUCUAUUUGGAGUGGACAAGGGUACAAAGCUUGUCUGACUUGCAAUGAAGAUACUCCGUCAUGUCGAGUAUCAAAUAAAGUCAUAUAUGUUAGUCAUUUUCGGUUCUUAGAUGUUGACCAUCCAUGGUGAAAAAUUUUAGAAUAUAAUGGUGAACACAAGAAAAGAGGCCCUCCGAGACAGUUUAAUGAUGAAGAAAUACAAGAGCAACACGCUCGUCUAUUAUUACGUCCAUCGGGUAAAGUAGCUGCUCAACGAGCUGGUAUUAAGAAAGACAACUCGAUCUUAUUCAUACUGAAAAAAAAAUGUGGGUGAGAGUCUUUUGGGUACUUCUCUGAUGAAUGAUAAGACUAAAGACACAUUAAAUGUUUGGGCGGACUUGACAAAACUGAACAUUCGGAAAAUUCAAUGGUUGAAAAAGAGUGGUAACAAAUUUCAUAAACCCCAUCGACCUUAUUCGUUAAUGAAACCUGACCGCAUUCUUUUUUGUAAGUUUAUAAGAGAUGUGAAACUUUCUGAUUGGUUUGGAUCUAACAUUAGUAAGAAAGUGAAUGAAAACAAUACUAACAUUAUUGGGCUGAAAUCUCAUGAUUAUCACAUUAUUAUGCAACGUUUGAUACCCAUUGGAGUUAAAGAGCUUUUGGGCAAAGGUGUUUAUACACCAAUAGUAGAGGUCAGUACAAUUUUUAAGCGACUUUUCUCAAGAACACUAUCAGUGAAGGAUAUGAAAGAAGCGAAAUUAGCCAUUAUUAAAAUAUCGUGCAAAUUAGAAGUGAUCUAUCCUCCUGCAUUUCUUCACAUUAUGGUUUAUUUAGUUUUGCAUUUAUCUAAUGAAGCUAUUUCUGGAGACCCAGUAUAUAUAAGAUGGAUGUAUCCCUUUGAAAGGUAUACGGAAAAACUAAAAAACUAUGUCAGAAACAAGGCGAGGCCGGAAGGUUCUAUAGCUAAGGGUUAUGUCAUUGAAGAGUUAUUAUCAUUUUGUUUGAUGUACCUCGAAGAUGUCGAGACUCGAUUUAAUCGUCUCGAAAGAAAUGAGGAUGUUGUCAUAGAAGAAACAAUGUUAUUGGUGUUUCAGUCUAAGUGUCGACUGGGUAAUGCAAAGAAAAUGAAAAUUCUCAUUCUAGAGGAGAGAAAAUGUCUCCAAUGGUUUGUGCUUGAUAGUUGUGACGAAGUCAGAAAGUAUAUUGCGUAAGUGUUCUUAUCUUUUAAUUCAUUGUCUGUUUUUAAUUAUCCUUUCUUACUAAAUCUAUAUAUUUUUUCAUCAAUUUAGUGAAUUCAAAUCAUUACAUCCUGAAAUUAAUGAAAAAACUGAACUCCCUAAACGGUUCCUUCACAAGGUCUAUGAUAGAAAAAACAAAAAUCUAUAGAGUUUAAAAAGGAGUUAUCGGCUCUUUCAAAUUGAAAAUACCUUUACUUAUACCGCUUGCAAAGUGAAUGGUGUUAAGUUUAUGGUAAUUAUGUGUGACGCCCAAUGAUUAACACAAAACUCAGGGGUUCUAACCAGAGAGAAUAAGCAUAAAUAUUAUUGUCAGCUAGAAGAGAUUAUAGAGAUGCAUUUUCCUCAUAAAUAAUCUGUUGUACUUUUUCGUUGCAAGUGGUUUGAUACCACAGGAGUUAAAUCUAAUAAUAAUUUCACCAGUAUCGACCCACAAAGCGAAUUAAGCAACGAAGAUCAACUCAUAUUUGUUACGUAGGCCAAACAAGUAUUUUACAUCCAAGAAGUUGCUCGAAGUGACGAAAAUGACAACCAUCGGUGGGUUGUUGAAAAUGUUAAUCAUACAAGAAUUUGGGAUCUAACGAUGGACGAUGUCGACCAUGAUCCCAUUGAAAAUGUUGAGAAUGAUUCGACCUAUGUUGUUCUUAGUAAUUAUUCUUCUAAUUUCACUCUUUCAACCGACUUUAUCCAGUACUUUCAAAAUUCUCAAUCGGUUGAAGAUGAUAUUGACGUUGGUCCGACAACAGGUACCAUCAAUAAUGUGUCUGACUGUGAGACUGAUUAUGAUGAGGAUGAUUCUGAUUAUGAUAGUGAUGUUUCAGUAGACACUGAAGUGUUUAAGGGCAAGAAUGAUUAAAAAUCUUUACAUUUGACUAGUAAAAUAAGUAUUGUAUUUGUUGUAAUCAUAUAUAUAUAUAUAUAUAUAUAUAUAUAUANNNNNNNNNNNNNNNNNNNNNNNNNNNNNNNNNNNNNNNNNNNNNNNNNNNNNNNNNNNNNNNNNNNNNNNNNNNNNNNNNNNNNNNNNNNNNNNNNNNNNNNNNNNNNNNNNNNNNNNNNNNNNNNNNNNNNNNNNNNNNNNNNNNNNNNNNNNNNNNNNNNNNNNNNNNNNNNNNNNNNNNNNNNNNNNNNNNNNNNNNNNNNNNNNNNNNNNNNNNNNNNNNNNNNNNNNNNNNNNNNNNNNNNNNNNNNNNNNNNNNNNNNNNNNNNNNNNNNNNNNNNNNNNNNNNNNNNNNNNNNNNNNNNNNNNNNNNNNNNNNNNNNNNNNNNNNNNNNNNNNNNNNNNNNNNNNNNNNNNNNNNNNNNNNNNNNNNNNNNNNNNNNNNNNNNNNNNNNNNNNNNNNNNNNNNNNNNNNNNNNNNNNNNNNNNNNNNNNNNNNNNNNNNNNNNNNNNNNNNNNNNNNNNNNNNNNNNNNNNNNNNNNNNNNNNNNNNNNNNNNNNNNNNNNNNNNNNNNNNNNNNNNNNNNNNNNNNNNNNNNNNNNNNNNNNNNNNNNNNNNNNNNNNNNNNNNNNNNNNNNNNNNNNNNNNNNNNNNNNNNNNNNNNNNNNNNNNNNNNNNNNNNNNNNNNNNNNNNNNNNNNNNNNNNNNNNNNNNNNNNNNNNNNNNNNNNNNNNNNNNNNNNNNNNNNNNNNNNNNNNNNNNNNNNNNNNNNNNNNNNNNNNNNNNNNNNNNNNNNNNNNNNNNNNNNNNNNNNNNNNNNNNNNNNNNNNNNNNNNNNNNNNNNNNNNNNNNNNNNNNNNNNNNNNNNNNNNNNNNNNNNNNNNNNNNNNNNNNNNNNNNNNNNNNNNNNNNNNNNNNNNNNNNNNNNNNNNNNNNNNNNNNNNNNNNNNNNNNNNNNNNNNNNNNNNNNNNNNNNNNNNNNNNNNNNNNNNNNNNNNNNNNNNNNNNNNNNNNNNNNNNNNNNNNNNNNNNNNNNNNNNNNNNNNNNNNNNNNNNNNNNNNNNNNNNNNNNNNNNNNNNNNNNNNNNNNNNNNNNNNNNNNNNNNNNNNNNNNNNNNNNNNNNNNNNNNNNNNNNNNNNNNNNNNNNNNNNNNNNNNNNNNNNNNNNNNNNNNNNNNNNNNNNNNNNNNNNNNNNNNNNNNNNNNNNNNNNNNNNNNNNNNNNNNNNNNNNNNNNNNNNNNNNNNNNNNNNNNNNNNNNNNNNNNNNNNNNNNNNNNNNNNNNNNNNNNNNNNNNNNNNNNNNNNNNNNNNNNNNNNNNNNNNNNNNACUGGCUCGGAACCUGAUCCCGAACAUGACCCCCCUCCUGAAGCGCCAUCUAUCGGCCUCGAUCGUAGUACCACCAUUCUGCAAUACAUAAACAACAUUUGUUAAUGAUACUGAUACUUCACGAGGGAUCACAUCUACCACAAGUUCCCUGGUCUUAUCUUGGCCUUCCUUGGUUCGGGUACGGAUCCUCUACUUUCAGUAGUACGGGCCCAUACUACCUUCCACAUAUAUCCGUACCUUCUUCAAGGACUGCCUCGACUCCACCAGGUUCCCUUUCGCUACUGCUGAUCAUUGCUAUACUCAUCCUAGGCUUGCCGUAGGGAAAUCUCUAACUCCACCCUUCCCGGUCCUCAGCUGCUGAAGGCCUCCUUGUAAUGCCAAUUAUCCAUUACCUGAAUACCAUCACAUGUGAUGAGGCUCAAAUAAUCCUUCGAGUAACAGAAUCGUCCCUACAAUGGUUAGACUCAAAUAAGAGCUGCGCAAUAGGGCCAAAUCCAACACUCUAGGAUUAUUCAACCUUGAUCACAUGUGACAUGACAUAUUCACCUAAUGGCUAACUCCCAUCACUCGGAGUCCCACAAAGCACAAAGCAAGCAGCAUUCAAACAAAGGAAGCAAUCUCAAGCAACUUUGCUCUCAUAGAGAGAAACUGAACUCGCAUACAGUGCUAAACUCAUACCAUCAGGCAUAACCCAAACAGGCUAUCCUAUCGUUGUCUACUCAAUUCUAGCAUGCAAUUUUUCGUACACUGAAGCACAUAAAGCUGGCACAUAAGGCAUCAUUCCUAGAUCCUUAGUCCUAUUCUAGCAUGUUGUUCUACUGAAAUUGAUGAACAUAACUUAGGCUUGUAUGGGUACUUUGGGGAAUACUUACUUGAGCUCGGUCGGUCGCGCGCAUCACACACUUUAUUCCUUCUUAAAACACUUUACUUAACCUUUUAGGAAACAUUUUAUUUUUCAAAAUCUUUUAAUCCCUCGGUUUGAGUUCAGACACCCCCGUAGUUGUGUCCGAAACCCUCAAACCAGGGCUCUGAUAACAACUUGUAACAUCCCAAAAAUACGGGCCAAAAAUCUCAUUUUUAAUUAAGUGAUUUGUAAAAGCGUUUGUAACAAAAUAUCAUACGAUCAUAACAUUUGGUAAAACAUGUAUCGUGGCCAUAAACCAAAACGUAUAACAUGAUAAUGUCAGAGUACAAUUCCCAGAAUGACUCAUAGUGCGGAAAACAAAGAGUGUGUGUGUGAUGAGCCGCUACCGUGCCUGCUCCUUCCCCUUGACUGAAGAGGUACCUGAAACAACAACUGAAAACCGUAAGCACGAACCUUAGUGAGUUCCCCCACUGCACCACAUACCAUAUAAACACAUAACAUACAUAUGUUGUCAGGCAUAUCUGGGUGCCCGACCUACCCCUUCAGUCCUCUCAACCGGAUACUGACUAGCAUAUCUAGGUGCUGGCCUCCUCUUCGGUCCUGUCGACCAGAUACUGACUAGCAUAUCUGGGUACUGAUCUCCCCUUCGGUCCUCUCGACCGGAUGCUGGGGACUAUUUUACCCCUACUACUACCACAAAACACAUAUCAUGUAAUCUAUCUAGCAUCGCUGUGCAUGACCGCCCCUUCGGCCCUAUCGACCAGUAAUCUGGGGACUAUCUCCCCCUACUGUCACUAGCACAUAGCAUCAUAUCAUACUAUCACAUAAACAUAUCACAGGUAGUAGCAACCCUAGAUGGAUAUCACAGAGACAAUCAUCUAACAUAUAAUUCCUUCUGGUGGGCCGACAUUGUGGCCGUAGACCCACCGCUACUGGAAGGUAACUCACCUCAAAGUAGCUGCUCAUCUGUGUGGGAGCUGACUGUCUUCUGCUGCUGCUGCCCCGGAAGUCCUUCUGCUAUAAUUCCCACAAAACACUUAGUCAAACACUGUUAGACGUACUUAGGGUAAAAUGACCCUUUUACCCUUAACCAAGUCAAAGUCUAAAUCCAAGUCAACUUCCAGUUGACCCGACUUGCUGAGUUGGCUCUCUAACUCAUCGAGUCCCUAAUCAUUCGAUUGACCAUAAUCCCGUCUUUACUCGUCGAGUUAGGCAUUGACUCGAAGAUAUUUCCUUCUAAACCAAUGUCCAACAGUCCUUCAUCCUGCUCGCCGAGUUGUAUGAACAACUCGCCGAGUUCGUCUUCAUCCGAAGAACAUUCUAUGCUGAGACUCGCCGAGUUGUAUGAACAACUCGCCGAGUCUGUUCUUGAGGCAAGAAGAUUGCCUUGAACUCGCUGAUUCAUGGAAUUGACUUGCCGAGCUCCUUCAUGGGUGAGUCUGGCUUCCGACUCACUUAGUCACCCCCCAUGACUCACUACUCCACUCAGCAACCACGAAAAGGGGAAAACUAUGGGACUCGCGACCCGACUCGCCGAGUCCGAAGAACGACUCGCCGAGUCUCAUGCAUGCAAAAACUGUAUACUCGAUUCUGCUUGAAUCCAGUGCAUACCAUUCGUAGAUAUAGGUUCCUAGGAUUGAUUUUACAUGUAACGUUUCCAACUUUACGUGCAUGUAUGCUCAUUCAAGUGAUUUAAGGACUUUAAUGGGGUUAGAAGUGUAGAUCUAGGCUUGUUCAUGAAAAUGGCCAAUAAAGGUUAUAGAUCUGAGCCUCUAAAGCUCAAAUGUGGUCAGAUCUGAAGGCUAAACGAACCAAGGAGUCCUCUAAACCACAACUAAGCCAAUAAAUGGUUCCAAAAAGUCUUAAAGUUGCUCUAAUGAAGGUUCAACCAUAGAAACAGAAGAAAAGGUCGAGUUUUUAACUUACUAUUUUCUAAAAUGGGCUCACAACUUCUGUUCUCCUCCUUCUCCUUGAUCUUUCCUCCUUCUCUUCUUCAAAACUUCAAAGAAGCACACACAAACACUCAAAUCACAAAGGGAAAGGCUAGGGUGUUGCUAAGGUUGCUCUGAGAGUGAAGGGGGCGAUCUUGGGGGCACAUAUGGUGGUUUAAAUAGGGUGCAAACCCUUGAAAUUAGGGUUUCAUCCAGACAACGGGGACUCGCCGAGUCCGGAAUGUGGACUCGCCGAGUCGCCAACUUAAACGUGCUCAAUAUCCCAACUCUACUCGGCGAGUCGGGCCUACAACUCGCUGAGUCCAAGGCUAAGAAAAAUAAAAUUACUUAGAUGGGUUAUACGUACCAGGAACCAGGUGCUACACAAAAAAUAUUUUUGUUCAAGCUUUGAAUGAUUAAAAUUACAUCAAAUAUAACAGAAAAACAUCCUAAGCUCUUCUACCACUAAUAGGAACUGAGCAUUACAACAUUCCUAUGUGUACAUGCAACCCAAAUUCCUUUGGAUCUAGGUUUUUCUCAAGUUAUACAUGCAAAUUAAUUUUCCAAAACAAAACCCUAAUCUAGCAUACAUAAAAUUGAAAUCUAAUCAUAUUAGAGUUAGAAGAAUACAUUUCUUGUUGAUAGCUUGAUCUUGACCUUCAAGAGCUUAGUGCCUCAAGUGUUGCACCUCUAAUGGAGUCACAAACACCACUUAGCAAAGGAUGAAGAAGAGUGAGGUGAUGAAGGCUACUAAUUUCGGCUAGGGUUCUCUAUGAAAGCAUAGGGUCAAAAACCGGUAGCCAAGGGGUCCUUAUAUAGUUGAGCUGCUAAGAUUUUAGAUGGCAACCCUAAUCCUCUACUUAGGCCUUAAGGAAUCCAUAAAAUCCUUCUUGAAAUCCCCUUGGACGAAAUCUCUAUGGGCUUCGAUAAAUUUCGUCCACUCCUUCCUUUAGGAGUCUAUUAGCCGAACUUGCAACUAUCAAUGAUUUGUAAUAUCAGUCCCUUUACUUUUAAUUAUUCUCUUUUGACCACUAAAUUAAUUUCUGAUCAAACCUAAUUAAAUAAUAUGAUUUCUCAAUUAAUAUAUUAUUCUUAUAAUAUAUUAAUAAAUCAUUUAUAAACCUCUUUCUCCAUAAUUCAUCUUGUCAAGUUUCUAUGGUGAAGGCAACCCAAAAGGACCAUGCUACUAUCAGAUCAAGUACAUUUCAACUAUAGUUAUGGGUUUAGACACCUAAUCCAACACCUUAGGUUGUUGGUGGAUGAGUUGAACCAGUUAUGGAGCUUUGGCAUAGAUACUAAAUACGCAAUGACAUAUACAUUCCUUAAUAUGAAUGUGAUGCUGCUAUGGAAAAUAAACGACUUUAUAGAUCAUAUUAUUUUAUCUAUUUGGAGUGGACAAGGGUACAAAGCUUGUCUGACUUGCAAUGAAGAUACUCCGUCAUGUCGAGUAUCAAAUAAAGUCAUAUAUGUUAGUCAUUUUCGGUUCUUAGAUGUUGACCAUCCAUGGUGAAAAAUUUUAGAAUAUAAUGGUGAACACAAGAAAAGAGGCCCUCCGAGACAGUUUAAUGAUGAAGAAAUACAAGAGCAACACGCUCGUCUAUUAUUACGUCCAUCGGGUAAAGUAGCUGCUCAACGAGCUGGUAUUAAGAAAGACAACUCGAUCUUAUUCAUACUGAAAAAAAAAUGUGGGUGAGAGUCUUUUGGGUACUUCUCUGAUGAAUGAUAAGACUAAAGACACAUUAAAUGUUUGGGCGGACUUGACAAAACUGAACAUUCGGAAAAUUCAAUGGUUGAAAAAGAGUGGUAACAAAUUUCAUAAACCCCAUCGACCUUAUUCGUUAAUGAAACCUGACCGCAUUCUUUUUUGUAAGUUUAUAAGAGAUGUGAAACUUUCUGAUUGGUUUGGAUCUAACAUUAGUAAGAAAGUGAAUGAAAACAAUACUAACAUUAUUGGGCUGAAAUCUCAUGAUUAUCACAUUAUUAUGCAACGUUUGAUACCCAUUGGAGUUAAAGAGCUUUUGGGCAAAGGUGUUUAUACACCAAUAGUAGAGGUCAGUACAAUUUUUAAGCGACUUUUCUCAAGAACACUAUCAGUGAAGGAUAUGAAAGAAGCGAAAUUAGCCAUUAUUAAAAUAUCGUGCAAAUUAGAAGUGAUCUAUCCUCCUGCAUUUCUUCACAUUAUGGUUUAUUUAGUUUUGCAUUUAUCUAAUGAAGCUAUUUCUGGAGACCCAGUAUAUAUAAGAUGGAUGUAUCCCUUUGAAAGGUAUACGGAAAAACUAAAAAACUAUGUCAGAAACAAGGCGAGGCCGGAAGGUUCUAUAGCUAAGGGUUAUGUCAUUGAAGAGUUAUUAUCAUUUUGUUUGAUGUACCUCGAAGAUGUCGAGACUCGAUUUAAUCGUCUCGAAAGAAAUGAGGAUGUUGUCAUAGAAGAAACAAUGUUAUUGGUGUUUCAGUCUAAGUGUCGACUGGGUAAUGCAAAGAAAAUGAAAAUUCUCAUUCUAGAGGAGAGAAAAUGUCUCCAAUGGUUUGUGCUUGAUAGUUGUGACGAAGUCAGAAAGUAUAUUGCGUAAGUGUUCUUAUCUUUUAAUUCAUUGUCUGUUUUUAAUUAUCCUUUCUUACUAAAUCUAUAUAUUUUUUCAUCAAUUUAGUGAAUUCAAAUCAUUACAUCCUGAAAUUAAUGAAAAAACUGAACUCCCUAAACGGUUCCUUCACAAGGUCUAUGAUAGAAAAAACAAAAAUCUAUAGAGUUUAAAAAGGAGUUAUCGGCUCUUUCAAAUUGAAAAUACCUUUACUUAUACCGCUUGCAAAGUGAAUGGUGUUAAGUUUAUGGUAAUUAUGUGUGACGCCCAAUGAUUAACACAAAACUCAGGGGUUCUAACCAGAGAGAAUAAGCAUAAAUAUUAUUGUCAGCUAGAAGAGAUUAUAGAGAUGCAUUUUCCUCAUAAAUAAUCUGUUGUACUUUUUCGUUGCAAGUGGUUUGAUACCACAGGAGUUAAAUCUAAUAAUAAUUUCACCAGUAUCGACCCACAAAGCGAAUUAAGCAACGAAGAUCAACUCAUAUUUGUUACGUAGGCCAAACAAGUAUUUUACAUCCAAGAAGUUGCUCGAAGUGACGAAAAUGACAACCAUCGGUGGGUUGUUGAAAAUGUUAAUCAUACAAGAAUUUGGGAUCUAACGAUGGACGAUGUCGACCAUGAUCCCAUUGAAAAUGUUGAGAAUGAUUCGACCUAUGUUGUUCUUAGUAAUUAUUCUUCUAAUUUCACUCUUUCAACCGACUUUAUCCAGUACUUUCAAAAUUCUCAAUCGGUUGAAGAUGAUAUUGACGUUGGUCCGACAACAGGUACCAUCAAUAAUGUGUCUGACUGUGAGACUGAUUAUGAUGAGGAUGAUUCUGAUUAUGAUAGUGAUGUUUCAGUAGACACUGAAGUGUUUAAGGGCAAGAAUGAUUAAAAAUCUUUACAUUUGACUAGUAAAAUAAGUAUUGUAUUUGUUGUAAUCAUAUAUAUAUAUAUAUAUAUAUAUNAUAUAUAUGUAUGCUAUAAUUUUCAGGAUAUCAUUUUUUUUGGAUUGGAUUGCUCCAUCUCAUAGCUGUUGUGAUGGGCCAUGGAGGUGAUGAUGGUGAUGAGCCACCACAUCCGUUCCACAGAGGUUUUGGUGAUCACCAGAUCGAUGGUAAUUAAGAUUUAUUCUAAUUCACUGUAUUUUAUAUUUUAUGUAUAUAAAAAUUUAUUUUGACUAAUAUUUUUUAUGCAACGGUACCUCCAAAACGAAGAGGCAUGGGAGUAAACAACAAAAAUGUACAAGUUAUUUGUAUCUAAUGGAAACCGCCUCUGAAUAUAAUAUUUGACAUAAAUAGUCACAUGCCGGGAAGAAUAUAAAUGUUUCAUCCAGGAGGUUGGGAGCUAUAUGUGGCGCAACAUUGGUUUUGAUAAGGACACAUGGAAAGACGUUUCUGAAGUCGAAGGGGUUGGCAUGUUCGAGUAUCUUUCGGUAAAUUAUUUAUAAAGUUAUAUAUUUAAUAUGUUUAAUUUUGAUUUAUUUUAAUUUCUAAAUUUUUUUUAGACAUGGUUUGAUUUUGGAGCGAUUUCAAAUGACAUCAUGGCACCAGUUUAUUGGGUGUCACUGAACAAUCGGAUAUGUGCAAAGUAAAGAGGCCUAAAAAAUGUUGCAAAAACUCGUUUGACUGGUUUUGAAGGGAUGUGGAGGCAACAAGAGCUCCAACCCCUACGGGUAUGGAUUUGCAGUGUUGUAGUGACAUUAUUAACCACUUCUAAAAAAACAAAACAUCAAAAACGAUCCACUCGAAACAAAGAAUGCCGGAAGAAGCAAGUAGUUAAGAAUUAUGGAGGAACGUGCAGCUACGGUAUGCUUCUUUUAAGAAUGUAAAUUACAACAAUGCUUAUUCAGUUAUAACAUAUUUUUUAAUGCUUAUUCAAGUAUAACAUAUUUUGUAAUGUUAAACAGAAUUUGAAUAACUUGAACAAUUUCAUUGUGGGCAUUAUGAAUAAAAAAGGGGAAUUCAUUGAUCCUUUGGUUGAAGACCAAUAUGUAAGUUAUUAUUACUUAAAAAUGAAGUAGAUUUUUUUAACGUAUAUUGACAAUCUUUGUGAAAUACAUAAUGUAUUAGUUGCUGAGGUUACUUUGCAGACUCAUCACAUAGCCGACUCUGAUGGUGAUCCAGACACCAUUGAUUGGAUCCCAAUAUUUGAGAAGGUGCUAAAUUCUCGAAGGGUGCACGUGAGAGGCAUUGGGCCUAAACAUCUUUCUACAGCGAGUACAAGAGCUACAUCCCAAUGGCACUCACGGUCACAAGCACCGCAACCAACACAAGUACUUGUUAAAUUCUUAAGCAAUUUGAUACCUUUGCUAUAUUGUUAAGAACUAGAUACAUUUAUAGUAAUUUCUGGUAGUUUGUUAAUUUGGUAAAGACUUAAUUGAUUUCAUGGUUUCAUAGUUUGUUAAUUUGUUAACGACUUAAUUCAUUUAUUGCUUUUAUAGUUUGAUAGUUUGUUAAAUUGUUAAUGACUUAAUGUGCUUGUGACUUAAUUGUAGGAUGUUGAUUUCAAUGGUUUUCUUCAACACUCGGCAUUUGUGACGGCAAUUGGAGAUACUACCCGCUUAUUCAAGAACCAAGUCAAACAACGAUGAGGAAAACGAAGACACAUAGUAUUUCUUGUUUUAUAUUAUGGAUGACAAUUACUAGUAAUGUCCCUAUCGACCUCAGUCUUGUUUUUUGCUAACUUUAGUCUAGAACUAGACUAUCUCAUUAAACGUCGAAUAUCCCUAUGAUGCUAGCCAUAGAAUAUUUUUGAUUUAUUAGAUAGUUUAUGUAAUGUUUUAUGUAAUGUGGUAUGGAUUUGUUUUUGUAUUUUAUCAUAUCUGCAUUUUAUUACAUAUUAAAACUAAUUCAUAAAUAAAUUGUUUCUUCAAAAAAAAAAAAACCAUUAGCAGCGACACUUUUAGGGACGACAUUGACCAAUUGCGACGACUACUGAUUCCGGGAAGAGUAGCCGGAAAAAUUUCGACCAGUGGCCGGAAAUCAAUAGAGACGACGUUAAUAGCGACAACAAAGAUAUUUAACAAUGAAAAGUAUUAGAAACGACGCCAUUUACAACGACAGAAGAGUAUUAGCUACGAUGUAAUAGCGACGACCCUUUAAAGACGACUUGUCAUCACUAACGGUAUUAGCGACGACAAGAGGCAUCAAUUGCAAAGUUCUAUUUCGUGGCUAAAAAUUAUGUUUUUUAUUAUGAAAUCUAGAAAGUUCGUAUAUGUCAUUUUCUGAUUUAAAUUAAUUGGAAGUGACAUGUCUUUCGUUUGAACAGCAUUGCAAGCAAUACUUUUUUGAAAUACUAAUCAAAUGACAUCCAUCUUUUUACUAUUUUCAACGGAGCAUGUCUCCUUUUUAGCAUAACUUCCUAGUAAAAAAAAUAUUUUUCUGGUGAAAAAUAAUUUCCUUGUGAAAAGAAUUUUAGAAAAAUAGACCUCGCACAUUUAUAACAAUUAUGUGAAAAAAUAUCUUAAUCAAUAAGUUAAACAAUUCUCAAAUGUACUUUUAAGACAUAGGCCAUGUUAAUGCACAAAGUGUCUUCCACAACGGCAUAUAUAUAUUCGAUGCAUGCAAAGAUGUCCAUUCAAAUUUCAGUGAUUCUUAUUUACUGCUAUUAAUAACUGAAAGACUACAACCUUCAAAUAAGAAAAGAGAAGAUGGGCGUUUUGAGUUAUGAUAGGAAAGCUGAGCUCACAGAGUUCGACGAAACCAAAACUGGCGUGAAAGGACUUGUAGAUGCCGAAGUUACAGAGGUCCCUCGGAUAUUCCUCUUACCUUCACCUGAAAAUCUAAACUCUGACCAAGAUGUUAGUCUUCCGACCAUCGACCUCAAAGGAAUCCAUGAAGAUCCUAUCCGGAGAAAGCAGGCGAUGGAAGAAGUGAAGGAUGCAUUGGGGAGUUGGGGGUUCUUUCAGAUUGUGAAUCAUGGAAUUCCGGUUGAAGUGUUGGAGGAGAUGAAAAAAGGAGUUUUAGCGUUUUUUGAGCAGGAUAGUGAGGUGAGGAAAGAGUGGUACACGAGGGAUUACUCAAGGAAGGUAGUGUAUAACAGCAACUUUGACUUGUACUCUGCACCGGUGGCUAACUGGCGAGACUCUGUCAUGUGCACCGUGUAUCCUAAUCCUCCUCAACCAGACGAGUUGCCUCCGCCUUGCAGGUUUUCAUUAUAAAUCCAUUUCGAAUAUAAAAUAAUUUAACACGUCAUUCAUUGAUUACAUGCAAUAUGAAUAAAUCCGUGUUCAGUACUUUGAUACAUAUUGGAAUUAAAAUAAUUGAAUCCAGAUGUAUGCAGACUGUCACGAUCCUAUAUUUUGUUUAAUUAUGCUNNNNNNNNNNNNNNNNNNNNNNNNNNNNNNNNNNNNNNNNNNNNNNNNNNNNNNNNNNNNNNNNNNNNNNNNAUAUAUAUAUAUACUCGCAGAGAUAUUUUACUGGAGUACUCGAGCAAAGUAAUGAAACUCGGAUGUUCUAUAUUGGAGUUGAUGUCUGAGUCUCUAGGGCUUGCCCCCAAUCACUUGUUAGACAUGGGAUGUGUCGAAGAGAUUCAAGUUACCGGCCAUUACUAUCCUCCUUGCCCACAACCCGAGUUAACAAUCGGCACCACUGAACACACUGAUGCUGGUUUCAUUACCAUUCUUCAACAAGAUGAUAUUGGUGGGCUCAAGGUCUUUUAUCAAAACCAAUGGACUGAUGUUCGCCCUAUACCAGGAGCUCUUGUAGUGAACGCUGGAGAUCUUUUACAGGCAUCUCUCUCUCUCUCUCUCUCUCUCUCUCUCUCUCUCUCUCUCNNNNNNNNNNNNNNNNNNNNNNNNNNNNNNNNNNNNNNNNNNNNNNNNNNNNNNNNNNNNNNNNNNNNNNNNNNNNNNNNNNCUCUCUCUCUCUCUCUCUCUCUCUCUCUCUCUCUCUCUCUCUCUCUCUCUCUCUCUCUCUCUCUCUCUCUCAUUAAUAUUCUUUACUUUAUCUUAAAACUCAGAGUACAGUGGACCAAUACAUAACAUUCAAAAUAAAAUUUGUUUUCAGCUAGUUACAAACGACAAGUUUGUGAGUGCACGACACAAAGUAAUAGCAAACAAGGAUGGUCCACGAAUAUCAGUGGCAUCAUUUUUUUUGGCUAACCUGAAGCCUCAACAAUUGAAGGUGUUGGAACCGAUUAAGGAGCUGCUUUCUGAAGAUGAUCCAGCCAAGUAUAGAGGUACCACAGCAAAAGAAUAUCUUAAUUACUUCUAUACGAAAGGACUUGAUACAACUUCCGCUCUUUUGCAUUUCAAGAAAUAGCUCAAUUGCAUGCUGUUUGAGAUCAUAAUGGUUUAUUGAUAAAGCUCCGCAUUUCAUAUUUAUGUCAUGGUCGUGUUAUAGUUAUUAAAACUUGUUUUCAUGAGCUUAUUGUAAGAAUUUGCCUAUUUUUACAAGAUAUGUAGUUCGUUAAGUUUUGAAUAAAUGAAUGGUUAAAUUUGAACACUUUUUAAAGUUGUAGUUAUCGGACUUCGUUUANNNNNNNNNNNNNNNNNNNNNNNUAUAUAUAUAUAUGUUCAAAUACCUCAGAUGUACCUCAGAUGCAGAAGCCUUGUGUUAUCAGACUCGGACAUCGUUUAUAUACAUCCCCCAUGCAGGAUAGGGAUUAGAUCAAUCAUAUAACGCACCCCAAAAAGGUCCAGUAACAACCCUUGAUAUACCUUAGAUGCAGAAGCCUUGUGUUCGUUGGCGAUGGAAACUCACAACGGACACACUAACUCCCCAGUAGGCAUAUCAAAACCCCUAGUGAAAGAUCAAGAUACAAAGGACCGACUUACGCCCGAGUCAAAUAACACAGGAGCAGGAAAAGAGUUCACUAAGAAUGUACCUACCAGGGUUGUGUACUGGAGAUUUUUGGGGUGCGUUAUCUAAAAAAACAAUAAACAGAUACAUACCAGACGAAAUUUGGAGCUGCUCUGACCUCCUCGGAAGCGAGCUCGAAAGCAUGACCUCGAGCCAUCGAGGGCUUCGCCCUCCCCUGGCACCCAUCGGUGAUCCUCAAGGUAGCUAGCGCCUAGGCUUGCGCCAGCUUGGCGGUGAACAAUGGAAAGUUGUCCUUCAUAUGGCCAACCUGAUUACCGUGAUAGAAAAUCCUGGAACUUGGAACUUGUAUUGACUGGUUGCAAUCCCUCGCAUAGAGCCCCUCCUUGCCACACUUAUGGCAUACACUGACUGAUCGACAGCCCCCUUCAUUCACCUUUCUGUACUUCCCACAAGUAGGCCCCUCUACCCUCCAGAUCUAGUGUCGGUGACCUUGAACCGCUUCUGCGCAGGCUGUGACUACACCGGGGCUGGUCUCUGCUCCCUCAUAUGGAGCUCCAUCUCAAUCUCACACCGCCUGGACUCCUACAACUCCAAUAAAGAACAAUAAUGUUGACUGGAUACAAAUUGUCUGAUAUCUGUCUUCAAAAUGCUCAAGUAACGGGACAUGUAAGCUUGAUCAGAAGCAGGAAAAUCAGGACAAAAUGUGGCCCUCUCUAUAAACAUCUUGGUGAUUUUCGUCACCAACUCAGUUUCCUGUCUUAAAUCCAAGUUCUCCUGGGCCAUCCUCUCACGCUCCACCAGUGGCACAUACCUAGAACGCAACAACUCCGAGAACUGCUCCCAAGUCACAAAAGCUCUCUGCUCAGAAGAAUACAAGCAAGUAACAAAUAUCCAUUAAUCCUUCGCUCUGGAUCGCAAAAGUUUCAGAGCCAACUUGAUCCUCUGGUCUGCUGGGCAAGAGCAAGUGAAGAAACACCCCUAUAUGACAGACAGCUACCCUAUGACGAUGAUCGGAUCUUGAACUCCAUAAAAAUUCAGGGGCUUCGUAUUGUCAAAGUCCUGAUACUAAAAGGCUCUCCCAGCACUAAUCCCUAUAGCCGCAAUGGCUGCGGUGCCUCCAGCAACAACAGCCGUAGAUAAAGCAGCAUAAUGUUCAUCAAAAUACUCCACCAUGGCAAUCUAAAUAGACACAAACAUCUCUAGCAACAAUGCUCGAAAAUGAGCAACAACCUCCUCCUGAAGGAUCUCCCUAAUCCUUGUCCUCGUACACAGUUGAACCAUUUUGGCCACCUGUCCCUGAUCCUGAUCUGGAUCCUACCUUCGAAUGUCGUGUCAUCACCAUACUGAAAAUAAUCUAGGGAGAUAUCAGAUAACAUGCAUAUCAUAUUAGGGGAACCAACUCCCAACAAAUCCUAGGGGUUGUGACUUCCUGAUUAAGUGUAUGGUUCCUGUGCUUUCAGUAGUAUGGGCAUAUACUACCUUCCACAACUACUCGUAUUUGUCUCAAGGGUCAUCACAACAACCCAAACAAUACAUAUUAGAAAACUGAUAGACUAAAUCCUCAUUCCCUGGAGGAAGGCUAAACAUCACGAAUCUGGUCGGCUAACCCCACACAAGUCAUCCAUGAAACUUCCACCAACCCUACAACACUCGUGUAUGCUAAUCACACAUUACAAUGGACCCUAUAGACAGUCAGAUAUCUAAUCCUAUCAUAAUUCCUUCAUCAAACAAGAACAAAAAAUAGAUAGGCUAUAGAAUCAUAGUUAUGUAUAACUAUGAUGCAUACACUAUGCAGCGACAGUAAUGAUGUCAAUUUCAAAUAAGAAAGAACCCUAGGCUAUCAGACAUCAUAUAAUCAGGCAAUUCUAUCAUGCAAUUCCUGAAGAUCCCUAGCCUAUGACUAGCAUGUUGUUCUAACAUAACACAAGAUCAAAUAACAUUGUGGUAAUUUGGGGUCUAUUUACUGGCUCCGGCUGAUCGUACACAUCGAAUCCUCUUUGAUUAGUUUGAAAACAAUUUGAAAUUCAUUUUUAAAAUCCUUUUCCUUAGUUUGAGAAUGGAUUCACACAUGUAUUCCUCUAAUGCACUCAAACCAAGGCUCUAACAACCACUUGUAACAUCCAUAAAAGUCAUGAUAAAUUUAAACUUUUUAAAACCAACCAGUUUCACAAAUUGUUUACAAUGAUAGUUUUCGGAAUAUGUUCAACAUCAUAGUCUCCUAAAAUCAUAAGUCAAAAACAUGAGGAUGUGUACGCUUAUAUUUUCGCCUUCCCGUGAUAAUCCGAAGUACCUGAAACAUAACCCAAAAUUAUAAGCCAACGCUUAGCGAGAUCCCCCAAAGCACCAACACAUAAUAUAAGCAUAAUACAGACAGCAUGCAUACAAAGACUUCAGCCUUACUAGAACGCCCCAUCAGCCUACAGUCUAUCUAGUAUGCUCAUAGAACCUUCAGCAUGACUGGUAGGCCUCAUCGGACCUUCAGCCUAUCCGGAACGUUCUCUGGGCCUUCGGACUAACUGGUAUGCCUCUCAGGCAUGCAGAGUAUCAUGGACGCCCUCGGUCUGUUGGCCUUUAGUCUACAAUAGUCCGUCUCAACCAAACAACACACAAACCAUGUCGACAUAUACAUAACAAAUAAGCAUACAUAUAACCAACCAAUAGACAAUCAGACAAAUCUUACAAAUCACUAACCAUAACAUCAUCCUAUAUACCAGAAAAGAGCUCUAACAAAUCAUUAUAGCAUACCAACAUACGAUAAACUAGGAUAACAAUCCAAUGGUUCGGCCUUGCUGCUUUUGACCCAAAAGUACAGUGAGGAAUAAUCACCUCGCAAACUGAACAGAAGUUGAGUAGGUCUCGACUCCAAAUCUCGGCUCUAUAAGCGACAUCUAUUCCCACCAAAUGACCAAUUUCCAUCCAAAUCCCAAAAUACCCUCAAUGUCAAACUUGGUCAAAGUCAACUGUCAAACCAACUAGGUCAACUGAAUCAACCCAGCCGAGCCAACCCAACCAAUUCAACCCAGGUUGCGUACACAAGGCACACUUUGGAGGUAUGUUGUGUGACAUCCCCAAAAUCUCGGCCAGAAAAGACCGGUUUCAUUUAUGCUUUUUGUGACAACCCAAAAUUUCCAUUAUGAACAAACCACAUCAAUCCAAUAGAAGUUAGAAUAGUUACAGUGAAAUUCCAGACUUUGAGUAUAAGUUUGGCAGUUUUUCAGGAUUUACACUUAAGGAAAUAUCAGGAGAGUGGAUGCACCAAGGUUUCGUGCAACACUAUUAUUCCGAUACUCUAUGAUAUUAGAGUUCAUUCCGAGAAUAAAAAUAUUUUCUGCCAAAAAUCCCAGGACUAUAUAUAGAAAACUUAACCAUAUUGGUUCAUUAGUUACAUUUCCAUUUAGAGAAAAGUCAAAAUUCUCUCUCACGGAUCGUCGGGUUUUUAUCCCAAAUCGUGAGUACUUGGGGAGUAAACUCCAUUUUAAAGGCUAAAAGUGUCCCAAUGUCCCUCAAAGCCUCGGAUCUCAAACUAGAAGCCUAUAUUGCAUGUUUUGGACACAAAACAAUUAGGAAUCAAUGGUGAAAGUGAGUUCACAGCCAAGGAUGUUCCAGGGUCGUGAACUCCAUUUUUGAUUGCCAAAGUGCCCUAAAUGCCUUCAUUGAGCCAAGAGACUAUCAUAGCACAUUACCUUGAUGAGUCUAGGACCCAAAACAAUCAAAAUACCAACACCUAUGGGUGUUCACGGCCGCAAACACAUGGCCAAAUGGUUCAUGGGCCGAAAACUCAAUAUUAGGGGUGUUUGGAUGCCACAAACACUUCCUAAGGCUUAGGCUUGAAUUUAGACGUGUACCUUAAAGUGUUUAAAGCCUAGAAAACAUAAGGAAUCACAAGUAUUAAGGAGUUUAUGGCCAAGACAAGUUCUUGGGCCGUAAACCCCUAUAAAAGGGUGAAAUGACACCCAAACACUUGUUUAAGCCUUGAAACAAUUUACCACUAGAGUUGUAUUAAUUCUAAGCUUCAUUUAGAGACCUUAUUGUGAUUUUACGGCCAUGAGUUUACUCCCGUGGGCUGUAAAAUCCAAAGCAUAUGGUCAUUAGACCAAAAACUCUCGUACGAGGCCUUGCACUCCUUUGUUGCAACCCAGUAGCCUCCUAGUACUUGACCAAAAGUGUUUUCCUCGCAUAAAAAUGCUUAUACUUGUAUAAUUAGUGUUUUAAUCACUAAUUAUUUAUGUACAUAUGUCUUCAUAUAUAAUUAGGGUCAUUGUGUGUGUCUAAAGUCUUCACUUGACACCAAGCACUUGUCCGAUCCUUCCUAACGAUAACAGUCCGUUCAAUUCCAAUCACUUACGACAUGUGAGUUCAUACACCUUAAUUAAUGUUUUAAACUAUUUUUAAAUGUUUUAUGGGGGGAUACAAGUAGAAUUAUGCUAAUUAUUAUAUCAAUCACAUGUGAUUAAUAAGCAACAUUCAAAUGAUUAGCUACUCAUUAGCCGUUUUACCAAACAGUUUCCUUCAGAUGUUUUUCAUAAACACUUUAUAUGUUUAAAACUCCUUAUUAAACUGUACAUUUUACACUAUAUAUUACAUUUCAAACUUAUUUACAAUUGUGUAUCAAACAAAUGUUUCUUUGUACUAAACCGUUUUAUCAAACUGAUGCCUUCAAAACCAUUUUAUAGAUCGACAUCAAGUCGAUCUUUUCUUAGAAAAUAUUUAUGUUAAAAAGUUUUACAAAACUUGUUUUAUACCUUUUUAUUAUAAAUUGCAUGCCUAUAUAUGUAUAAUUAUAUAAGAAAUGUUUAAAGGACUUAGGAAGGCUAUCCACCUUAUUUCCUUUUCCUUGAUUUGGAUGUGGUCUGGUGGGAUAUCAGGUACCGUCCUAAGGUCGUUUAAAUAUUAGUUAUAUAUCAUGUGUACAUAUAUGGUCAUAAAGGUCCUUCCAGUUCNCCCUUGGGUAGCAAGGGUAUACAUCCAUGUCCAUACGUACCAGUUAGAUUACUAGUAAACUACCAUAGGGGUAGUUUAGGAAGAUACUAGAACUAUUACUAGAACACAAUAUCAUACUAUGAGUCAGUUCAUUCAUGAGUCAAUACUUACUACUAUGAGAACAUAUACAACUAUACUAGAGAAGAACAUAUACAACUAUACUAGGAAGAGAACAUAUACAAAGAUACUAGAACAAGUAACAUUACAUACUUUUACAUGAUUACGCUUACAUGAGCAAACACACAUAAAUACGUUUACAAUUGUGAUUCGCUGUAUCGGAGCAUGCCUUAAAUGACAUGGCCCGAGUUGUAGCCAAAAUUCUCUUGGAGGGAGAGCAUGAGUUUGCGUAUAGAUCUAUACUGGAUUGACUAUCCUACACCUUGCUGCUAGCUACAGCCGGACCUACAGGUCUGCGGGUGCCAAACGUCAUUUCGUUUUACGACCAUUCGUAUGUCGUUGUUACCAGUCGAUAGUAUGGUGCAAUUAAUCACAUAAUACCUUAAUAUAAAUCCGGUUUAAGGUUGUUAGUACAACAGUAGUUCCUAUAAUACAACACUACAGUACUUCAUUAAUUUCCCUUUUUCAUAUAUUUAGUGAUCAUUUCACUUAAACAUUUAAUGUAAAAACUAUAUUUUGAUAAUGAUAGUUACACUUGGGAAAAUUACAAACUUUUACAAGAAACGAACAUUGAGAACAGUUAAGUCUUGGUAGAAGACACCUUUAUAUAAAGUAGGAAUCAUAGGGAUUUUGAGGGUUUUUCAAACGUUUACAGUUGUUUUACAAACAUUUUUAUACGUACAUUUCAUCUACAUUUUUCCAUACUUACAGUCCAUUUACAAACAAUUUCUUACAUACAAAUUUAAACACUAAAAUACUUAUGAUCUCACCAGCUUCAAAGCUGAUACUCGCUUUCAAAAUUACUUGUAUCCUCAGGUCAUCUAUAGAUAGGUACAGAUGCAAGGUUUAGAGAAGAUGGAGCUCGCUCAAGACUCAUCUUUCAUUUUGAUUUAUGCUUUAGUGUUUAUCAAAAUUUGACAGAACACACUUGUAUAAUAAUUCUAUUAUUAAUGCAAUGGAUGAUGUUGUUGCUUGUUUGCUACUUUACAUUGUUGUGAUACUGUACAUGACGUCCUUCUCCCCAGAACGUUUCCACCGUUCUUGGUUUUGGGGUGUGACAGAUUGGUAUCAGAGCAUUGUUAUAGUGAAUUAAGUAUAUCAACCCAUAAAAGAUAUACUAACUAUAAACCCAUUGGGAUUAAAAAUACUCUGAGCAAGAGUUUAUACUUUAAAUAAUAAAAUAUUUAAUAUAGUAUACGUGCCUGCAUUCAUACUAAGAUCAGUGUCACUAGGACAGUGCAAAAGAAUUACGAUUGUUGGACAACACAAGUGGGCUUAGAGACAUAUGGUUAAAACUAGGAAGAUAUAGCAUGAUCACCUAUAUUAUCCAAGGGUUGACUAGCAUGUGCCUAAGUUUAAUUGUGUGGUUGCAACAAUGCUAAAAUCUUACCAACCCUACCACAAUGAGAACAGUAGAGCAUAACAUUAAACUUAAAAUACUAUAGGAGUAUUUGGUGUUACUAUAAGUACUUCAUACUUGAGAACUAAAACAAGAUCUUCAUUACUAUGUUGAUAGUUGCUAAGUGGAUACACUAAGGCUAUAUGUAAUUAGGAUGUUAUAGACUUAGAAUCUAUGAAAAAAUUUCUUUACCCCUAUUCUGUGUAAAAUUUGGAGUUAAGGUCACUUAUUCGAAGGUCUAUCCUGUUUAAAUUACAUAUAACUGGUAUGCACUUCACAAAUAGCGACGUAACUAAUGAAGAUUUUUCUAAAUAAUUAUCUAGAUAGUUCGUCUAAUAAUUAUUUUCUUACCCCAAUUCUCGCGUAGAUAACAUGGUCGGACUCCAUCCCCACGAAAACUUGUUCCUUUCGAAUGAGGUCAUUGUUGGAUGGUUUGAAGAAGAACCAGAUAAUGAUCAUCCGAUCCCUCUGAAUGAUCACCAUGUUGAAGACCUUUCGGAUGGUGCUAACUCCGAACCCGAGGUUGAAGAUCUAUCCCAGGCAGCUCUCGUCCAAAUUCCUAACCCUCGUCCGGCUUUACAUGGCCCACCGCCGCCAUGGGUGGAAUGUUUGGAAACAUGGAGCGAAGGUCAAGAUCAACCUAUGUCGUUUAAUGGAGACCGAAGCUUCUACAAUGUAAGCGAAGGGAGCACAGCAGAUAGAGUUCUACCAAUACUGAUCCGUAGAGUUGCCUGAAAAGAGAUUCAGGGCAUGACAACUCUACAAGGUAUUGCAGAAGUUGAUACAAAUGGAGGGAUGCACAUGCUUCGCACCAGUCGGCUUGAACCUGCUCGUGAGAGGUCUGAGAGAGACCAUGAGACCUUGCUGCAAGCACUAGCUGAAACUCGAGCCGAAUUCAUAGAGCUCCGAGUACGCCAGAGGGUGUACGAAAGAUACCUUCUCGAUAUGGAACGACAACUGGAUGAACUGAGAGUUCACCAAAGGAAUGACCGUCGCCAGGAGUAGAUGCUUUACUUUAUCUUCCUGGUUAAAUGAAAUCGGUUUUCUGUCUAUGCCCGAUCUGGCAUUUUCUAUGAAACUACCUUGUACUGUAAGUAAUUUUGUUAGGUCUUUAUGCUGUCAGGAACUAUCUUCUGUGGAUAUGAUGUAAGACCUUUAUAAGGUCAUUCUCUCGAAUCUUUACGUCAUGAAUAUCAAAGAUAUUGACAGCCGACUAACUUCUGUGUCAUUCUUUAUUCAAGUACUCUUAUCAUACAUUCAUUUGGGUCUAUCUGAACAUGCUUUAGUCAAGUCAUUGGACUAUAGUAAUUUAGCUCCGGAGACAUUUCCAAGUCUCUUUCAGUGGUUGGAUCAUGUUAUUCACCAACCAACGAUUCCUCGGCUUGAACGACAAACGUUUUGAGACCAUUCCACGAACUUAAUUCUACCCAUUACUAGGACUGCAUCAGAGGAAUGUAGGUCAAACCUUCGCGAACAUACUUCCAUUCUGUACUAGGACUGCAUCAUAGGGAUGUAGGUCAACCUUUUGGAGAACAUACUCUUACUCUUUUCUUGAAAAAUCGAAGUACAUCUAUGGUCAGCCAGAAUCGCUCACAGAAUCCUUAUCUUUCGUGUUACAUAAUCAUGUCGUCAUCACGAAACAAUCAGCCGAACAACGAAAACCCUAUCCUCCAUAUCGACGCAGCUACGUUACAAGCAGCACUAGCAGCCGCUGUGACAACUUUCCUUUCACACAUCAACUCCGGCAACACAAGCCAGACUGACAAUGUAGUCGAGAGUACCAAUGGUAGUGCCAAACCGGGAAACCAACAAAUGGCAACAGUCAUGGAUUUGCGAAGCCAAAAGACCGAAAGGAGGAGACGAUAUCAUAAAGCCCUAAAGGAGCGCAAGAGAGCCCAAAGACUUGCCAUGCCACAACCACAAGUGGCAACUCCUGUAGAACACUUUAGGAAGCAAUUUCCAAGGUGGAGUAACGAGGAAGGCACUCAUGUCCAUGUAACACUGGCUAAACACCGCACUCCCAUCACCAAUGCAAGUACUAGCCAGUCAUGCCACCAAUGCGGUGAGAUAGGACACUUCAAGAAGGAUUGCCCUAUAACAAAGAACUCUGGCGCAGAUGGGAGGAUUCUCAGCUUCAUAGAUGCAGGAGAACCUACUCUGGAACCCUCGUUAAUGUAAUUUAGGCGUUUCUUUGUAACAGACUUAUAAACUAUCCGAAACUAGUGCAACUAGAGUCUUACCUUUUGCGAGAUCCUAUCUGUAUAAGGAUUCUCGUGCUGCGUAUAUUUGUCUUUUGUAGUAUACCUUAUUUGCAGCAAUAGUCUUGUAAUUAGCCUAUGAUACUGUAACUCUGUUCGUGGUUGCACGUUUGUGUUUUGUCUGUAAACGCCUUAUGUUCAAAUCUAAUGUCUUUAAGUUUCUGUAUGAUUCCGACAUUAUCAUACGACCCGAUUCAAUUUGAUCCUCACCAAAACAGCUUCAUACGUACAUCCCUUUGUCAGUGAAUGUCAUUUUAGCAAAGCCGUCAUAUCAGAACACCGAAGUACUCAUGCAUGGAGUACCUAAUAGUUCUUUUCUUUUCGGAAGGAAUCCCCGAAGUAUCACUCGUGCAGUACGUCAAUUUCAAUCCAAGGAUUCAUGAGGAUGAUCUAUCACUGAGGAAUGUAUACAUAAGAGUGAUAUAUAAUCAAGGUUCUACAGGUUUAGAAUUGAUUAUUUCGCUUUAACUCUUUUCUUCAUUGGGAUGUGAGGGUAAAGAAGAAUCAGUUAUUCGACUACCUUUUCAAUCUUAAUUAUAUACGACUCGUAUACACGAGAUUGUGAUCGUGAAGCCAUGUAUGAAUUCUAAUAUGAACUUCAAGACGGAGAACUGCCUAAGUCUACAAGUAAUCACAUCGUCAUGUGAACAAACAUAGAACCUAGUAUGACUCCCGUAAACAGAUCCCCCUACAGUCUAAAAAUCUACGGAGAUACAAGAACAGUACAUACGACUUAGCGAACUACAAAGAAAUGGAAUUAGAAGACUAGGCUUCUCACCCUAGAGAACCCCGGUCUUAUUCUUCCAGAGCUCGAUAGAUUGCAUCGUAUUUACCUCGGAUAUCGAGGACUCCGUCAAGAUUUUCAUUAGAAAUCGUUAUCUCUGCCUCACAUAGAUGAGAUGGUAGAGCAAACGCAAGGAAAGCAUUACUUUCAGAAAUGGAUCUGUGAUCCGAAUAUCACCAGAUCGAGUGUUGGGGAAGGAUGUCUGGAAGACUAUCUUCCGAACUUGAUGCGGAGACUUCGAAUCCGUAGUGGUACCCUUCGGAUAGGACCAAUACUCCCAUAGUUUUCAUGAGUUUAAUGAAUAGAGUCCGUGUUUCCUACUUGGAUCGGUUCGUCAUUCUCGAUGUAAUGACUUACUUAUCUACCCUCGUAGUAAGAACGAACCCAUAGAAACAUUACCCUCAGAGAAACUUUCCGAAAGUUCUCUAUGCACGAGUUUUGAAAUUGAAGAUUCAAAUUUCUAUGACACACUAUUAGUGAUGUAGGAAAUUUGGAGUACUCUUACAACUUGUCAAUACCGUUGAGAAUUUGUCGACACCAGAAGAGCCGACAGACAUUCGCCAAAAUUCUAGGUCUUACGGACAUACUGUCAUAGUUCAUUAAGAACUCCUUGCAACUUACAGAAACCCGUACGAAUUUGUCCCAGCAAGGGGUGGCCCUUGACUAGGAAGUUAAGCAAGAGAAAGAACCUUUGGAAUUCCAAGUGAGAGACCAAGUUCUUUAGGAAAAACUCACUUUAGGAAUGGCUUAAUACGCUUCGUAAACAAUGGAAGACAAAAUCCAAGAUAGAUAGGAACUCCGGGAUUCUUACCAGAAUCGGUCUCGUACCUCGCACAAACUAGACCUACUCCGCAAACUCAGUAACGUACAUUUUACUCUUCACAUCUCGAUCGUGAAACCAUACCUUUCCGAUAGGAAUCUUGUAAGUCCACUCGUCGAGAUCCUCACCUUCGUAUUAGAACCGUAGUGACCCUCGACCGAGAGGUCAAGCGAACGAAACAACACCGUCGCCCAUUAGUGAAGGUUUGUUGGAAUACCAACCGAGGACCCGAUUUCACUUAGGAGCGCUAGAACAAAUCGUUUAGGAAGUUUCCUCCUCAUGACUCGAUCAUUCGUACCUACUUCCUUGCCUAAAUUCUGAUGUCGGGAUGAAAUUCCCUUUAACAGGGGGAUGAUGUGACAACCCGAAAUUUCCAUUAUGAACAAACCACAUCAAUCCAAUAGAAGUUAGAACAGUUACAGUGAAAUUCCAGACUUCGAGUAUAUGUUUGGCAGUUUUUUAGGAUUUACACUUAAGGAAAUAUCAGGAGAGUGGAUGUACCAGGGUUUCGUGCAACACUAUUAUUCCGAUACUCUAUGAUAUUCCGAGAAUAAAAAUAUUUUAUGCCAGAAAUCCGAGGACUAUAUAUAGAAAACUGAACCAUGUUGGUUCAUUAGUUACAUUUCCAUUUAGAGAAAAAGUCAAAAUUCUCACUCACGGAUCGUCGGCUUUUUAUCCCAAAUCGUGAGUACUUCGAUCUAGUUAUAUUAUUUAGCUUAGAUUGUGUAUUAUAACAUCAAAAUCGGACCAAAACCCCAAGAUUUGGGAGUUUACCGCCCAAGAACACUUGGGUAGUAAACUCCAUUUUAAGGGCUAAAAGUGUCCCGAUGUCCGUCAAAGCCUCGGAUCUCAAACUAGAAGCCUACAUUGCAUGUUUAGGACACGAAAACAAUUAGGAAUCAAUGGUGAAAGUGAGUUCACGGCAAAGGAUGUUCCAGGGCCAUGAACUUCAUUUUUGAUAGCCAAAGUGCCCUAAAUGCCUUCAUUGAGCCAAGAGACUAGCAUAACACAUUACCUUGAUGAGUCUAGGACUCAAAACAAUCAAAAUACCAACACCUAUGGGUGUUCACGGCCGCAAACACAUGGCCAAAUGGUUCAUGGGCCGAAAACUCAAUAUUAGGGGUGCUUUGAUGGGUGUUCACGGCCGCAAACACAUGGCCAAAUGGUACAUGGUCUUAUGAGCUUCUUCCAUCAAAAGAUCUCUGACUCCUCCUGUCUUAGGUAUCCAAAUCCGAUCUUGGAACACCUUCAGUCCAUGACUGUUUAUACCGAACACCAACGUUUUGCCCAAACGUUCCUCCUUCUUGUCAUUCUUCUUUGAAGCUUCCUCUUGAGCUUUCUUUAUACUUUCCACAAUUGUCGUGAUGACUUCUAUUCUCAACGCUCUUGGCCUUUUCCUUUCAGGAUUGACUUUCCGACUGAGAGCAUCAGCAACAACGUUAGCUUUACCGGGAUGGUAAAGUAUCUCACAGUCAUAGUCUUUAAGUAAUUCUAGCCAGCUCCGCUGCCUCAUAUUCAAUUCUUUCUGACUAAAGAGAUAUUGGAGACUCUUACGAUCAGUGAAAAAUUUUCACUUUGUUCCAUAGAGGUAAUGCCUCCAUAUUUUCAAAGCGAAAACUACCGCUGCCAACUCCAAAUCAUGAGUCGGGUAGUUCUUUUCAUGCUCUUUCAGCUGUCGAGACACAUAUGCUAUCACCUUUUCUCUUUGGGUCAAAACACAACCCAAUCCAACCCCAAACGUAUCUCUGUAAAUAGCAAAGUCUUCAACUCCAUCGGGUAGAGAUAGAAUCGGUGCCUCACAUAGCCUCUUCUUUAGCAACUCGAAAGCUUCUUUGUGCUUAUCAUUCCAAGCAUAAACAACUCCUUUGUGGGUCAAUGCUGUUAAUGGACUAGCGAUCGAAGAAAAGCCUUGGAUAAACGUUCGAUAAUUUCCGGCUAAUCCUUAAAAGCUUCGGAUCUCUGUAGGAUUCUUCGGUUGCUCCCACUUUGUCACAACUUCAAUCUUUUCUGGAUCAACCAUUAUCCCUUCUUGGUUGACCACGUGACCCAAGAAUUGGACUUCUCGAAUCCAAAAAUCACUUUUGGAGAACUUUGCAUACAGCUUCUCCUUCUUGAAGACUUCCAACACUUCUCGCAAGUGUCUGCCAUGCUAUUCUUGGCUUUUUGAAAAAAAUCAGAAUGUCAUCUAUGAACACUAUCAUAUAUUUAUCCAGGAAUGGUUUACAAAUCCUAUUCAUCAAAUCCAUGAAUAUUGCUGGAGCAUUGGUUAGUCCAAACGACAUAACCAAGAACUCAUAGUGUCCAUAUCGCGUUCCGAAUGCAGUCUUCUCUAUAUCCUGCUCUUUCACUUUCAGCUGAUGAUAUCCUGACCUUAGGUCGAUCUUUGAAAAAUAACUUGAAACUUGUAAUUGAUCAAACAGGUCAUCAAUCCUCGGCAACGGAUAUCUAUUCUUUAUUGUUGCCUUGUUCAGCUCUCUGUAAUCGAUGCACAUUCUCAUACUUCCAUCUUUCUUCUUCACGAAUAACACCAGGGCUCCCCAGGGUGAUAAACUAGGUCUAAUGAAACCCUUGUCCAAUAACUCCUGAAGUUGCAUCAUCAGCUCCUUCAUCUCUGUCGGUACUAGUCGGUAAGGUGCUUUUCCAAUCGGCAUUGUUCCGGGCAACAAGUCAAUAUGGAAUUCCACUUGUCGAUCAGGCGGUAAUCCAGGAAGAUCUUCGGGAAGUACUUCUGGAUAAUCACACACAACAGGAAUAUUCUGCAUUACCUUCUUUUCCUUCUUAGCAUCAGUCACGAAUGCUAAGUAUGAUGUACACCCCUUGGUCAAACAUUUUCUGGCUUUCAUUAAAGAAAUGAUUCUAGAAUUUACUCUGCAUUUAUCUCAAUACACCAUAAACGAUUCCUUCCCAGGCGGGUUCACUUUCACUAUUUUCUUCUUGCAUAAAAUUUCGGCAUCAUUGGCACUAAGCCAAUCCAUUCCCAAAACGAUGUCGAAACCGUUAAGUUCUAUAGGCAAUAAUUCCUCAUGGAACUUAUUCCCAUUUAAGUCAAUUAAGAUGUUUUUCAAACGAUAGCUAACAGGUACAAACUUGCCACUAGCAACUUCGACUAAUAAAGCAUUAUCUAGUCUAACAACAGGCAAAGCUAGUUUUCUACCAAAUUCAUGCGAUAUAAAGGAGUAGUUGGCUCCAGAAUCAAAUAAAAGUUUGGCAGGCAAUUCAUUUACAAGAAAGGUACCUGAAGCGACAUCAACUUCUUCUUUCGCAGCUUCCAAUGUCAUCUGGAAUGCUCUUGCUUUCGGCUUUGGUGGAAUGUUGAGUCUUGCUGCUUCCUUCUUUUUCGGACAAUCCCUUGAGAUGUGCCCCUCCUCACCGCAACCAUAGCAAACUUUCUUGGUGAGGGUGCAUUCAUUAGCAAAAUGCCCUGGCUUUCCACAUUUGAAGAAUGUGACCACUUCCCCGUCACAUUUCUCAUCAUGAAUCUUUUUACACUUUUCACACCAUUUCGCCUCUACCUUUCCUCCACCUCCUCUCGAACCAGAUUUUGAGAAUUUAUUUUUCUUGCUGAAUCCUGAAGAUACCUCAAACUUCCUAUUUUCACCAACAUCUAUCCUUUCCAGACCCUUUUUCCUUCUGUUGGGUCUCCACGUUCUUAGCUGCUCGAACAGCUGUUCUCAGAGUAGUUGCCAUUUUAACUGUCGGACCAAAGUCAGCAGGCAGUCCAUUAGCGAACCUCUCGAUCUUGGAGAGUUCUGUUGGCACUAGGUACGGAAAUAACUUCAUUUUCUCAGCGAAUUCUGUAGCAUAGUCAUCAACACUCAUCUUCCCUUUCUUAAGGUUUUGGAACUCAUUGUUCAGAUCAAUAAGAUCUAUCUCUGAACAAUAUUGCGCCCUAGGUUGUUCCAAGAACUCCUCCCAUUACAUUUUUAGAGCUUCUCCUCGUGGCAUAGUAUCUGCCAACAACUUCCACCAGCUCAAGACUCCAGUCUUCAGUUGUCUAACUGCAAAGUCAGUCUUCUGUUUGUUGCUACAUUUGCAACUUUCAAAUACCAUCUCCAUUUCGGAGAUCCAAUCCAUAAUUUCCAAAAGCUUUGGGCUCCCAGAAAGACUUGGCGGUUUGGCGCCCAAGAAGUUCUUUUACAUUCGCCCAUCGUUGUUUUUUCUCCUUUCCGGAUCAUUCCUUCGUUCUUCUUGCGUACCAAAUUUGACUCACAGUGCGACUAUUGUUCCCUUCCUCCGAUUGUUCAGGAAUCAGUUCGGGUUCCACGUUAGGUGAGAUAGGUCCGUCCCUAUUCCCAUGCAACAUCUUUCGCAUUUCUCCCCUUUGUUCGGCAAACAUAGCCUGAAUCAUGGCUUGCACUCCAUCCAUGGUGAUCUGUUCUAGUGCAGCAGCUUCAACAGCUACUUGUUGAAUUGUAGCCGGUUGAUUCCUGUUCUCAUUUGCGUUUCCAACACCACUUCUUUUUCUCACCAUUUUUUAUCUAUAUAUCGCAUAAGGUGAAAUUUAGAUCUUCAUUCACGAUAGAUAUUCGAAUCAUCCUUAUUACUUCGAAAUGUUACAUGCUAGAUCUAAUAACGUAGACAUACGCUUAGAAUCCUAAACACAUAAGGUUCCUAGAUCCGGUCGGCAACAGACCAUAGAUCCGAACAAAUAAUAUCAUAUAUGGCAACAUUUAACAUUUAGCACAUAAAAGCAUUUUAGGCAACUUUCCUAAAAUAAACUAGUGCUCGUGUCUGAAAUAUAACAGACAUACAUCUAACAACCUUCACUUAGAAUUCUAAAUUUAAGUCUAGAAAUCCUACAAAUUCCUAGUUCGCUUAAACUAAUGCUUUGAUACCAACCAUGACAUCCCCCAAAUCUUGGCUAGAAAAGACCGGUUUCAUUUAUGCUUUUUAAAAUAAUUUCAGAGUAAAUCCUUUUGAUUUUAAAAGAGAUGCGGAAUUUGUUCCCACAAACAAAACAUGAUAAAAUGGAUCUUUUAUCAAAAAAUUUCAUAAAGAAAUAUAAUUUCAUUUCAUAAUCAAAAUUGGGAAGUAAUGUUCCGAUACAGACCAUAAAGCAUAAACGAUAACAUUACAAGUCAUUCAAGAAAUAUAUACAUAUACAGACUUGUAAAGAAAACAAGUUGAUGAUUCAUCCAUCUUUAUGCUCUUGUGCCACUUCCUGUAAUAAAAAAAACUGAGUGGGUCAGGCUUGGGAGCCUGGUGAGCAUAUAGGGUUUUCAACCCACAAUAAAUAUUUAUAUUUAACUCAACAAUCAACAAUAGCCCGAUUACCCAUUCCUGUUAUCCUCAGUUUACGUCCCUAAAAAAACAUCUAUUAUAAGGGACCUAAUCUAGGAUUUUCAUCGGGGCGGACAUUACCGCAAAGGGGCUUCCUUAGCAAUAAAUAUCCUAAAGGAAACCAUGAGGGGGAUAGAUUACACCGGUGAACACAUCGUUCACAACACCUACAUGUUAUGAGCCUGCUAGUGUUUCACAGGACUGUCUAGAAAGAGUCUGUGAUCGUCAUCGAUACUCUGCUGAAUGACUAGAUCAACGACAACAACAUCGAGGCCUCUCAUCUGUUUAUUACACACCAACUAUCUUCCCAUGUACUACCAAACAUAUUAGUAGAUAAAAAUAUACAUUUUAUACAUAGUUUAAAACAUGUAUAACAUGCUCAAUCAAUACAUUUUUCCACAUAACAGAUGAGGCACACACACAUAACAUGUAUUUCAUAGAGAAUAAAUCAGAUCUAUAAGAUAAAAGAAAGUGAAUAUACAUUCACACAUAUAAUCAACAAAAUAUACACGUAACACGUAUUUCGUAUAAAAUAAUUCAUAAUAAUGUGUUAGAAGAAAAUGACUACACACUCACUUGAUCAGAAGAUGAUCAGACAACACCACGACUUGUAGAAGUAGUGUUUCUCCGUAGAUCUGGAAGAUCUUCACAAAAAUCGGGCUCCUCGCGGGCAGGGCUUUGGCUUGGAAAUCUCACUUCACGGGAUCCUCGGGGCUUUGGAUCUUGCUUCGGGGUUCGGGAAUGAUACAGGGGCUUUGGGAUAUGAUUGGAACGCAAAUCGAGGAAAAAACUAGAGAGAAGAAAGAGUUUGAACAAGAGAAAAUGGAUGAUCUCGGUUUCUAUUUAUAGGUUGUUGGGUCUGGGAUUACAUUGGGCGUAAUUUCCAAGUACAAUGGGCGUACUAAGUAUGCUGGGCGUAAUUAGGUUAUGUUGGGCGUACUUUGACGUCAUUGCGUUCAUCAAUUGGUGGCACUCGAGUAUUGGUUAGGCAACUUGCACCCUUCUGAGUACGCUGGGCGUACUCAAAUUACGCUCGGCGUAAUUUGACUCGUCAAACUUCUAAAUUGCGUAACUUUCGCAUACGAGUUCCGUUUUCGACGUUCUUUAUAUACACGCGUAGGUGAGACCAUAAUCUACAACUUUCAUUUAGACUCCAUCGGCUAAUUUUGAAUUUUCUUUUUAUUAUUUAUUUUUAGUAGGCCGGGAUAGGAAAAUUUCGCUAUAAAUUCAUAACUUCUUCGUCUGACGUCCGUUCUCGCCUAACUUUUCAUCGUUUCGCUACUAACAACGAGAUAUUAGAUUCUCGUUUAGAUUGUUUCGGCUAAAAACCGCUCGAUCUCAAAUCGAGUAUUCGGGCUGCAUACUGCCAAGUCGAAACUUCACAAAAUCAUAACUUCCUCAUACGAAGUCGGAUUUGAGCGUUCUAUAUAUAUUCGGAAACCUUGUUUCGGCCACUACAACUUUAUGCAAAGAUAUCGAGUUCAUUUUACACUUAAAUUUGAUGCGAUUUGUACAAACAAUCCUAUGUGUGCAUGCAACCCUACAAUUGGAUCUAUGUUUUCACUAUUAGAUACAUAACAUUAUGAACACAAAAAGAAACCCUAGUUCUAGCAUAUAAGUAAUCAUAUUAACAUAAGAAUAGGUUUAUAAUAUUAUCUUGAUUGUUAUGUAGCAAUCACAAUCCCAAAUCUCCUUGUAUUGACUUUGGAAGGCUUAGAGUCACAAGUGUCACUCCUCUAAUGGCUUACAAACACCAAGAGCAAAUGGAGAAGGUAUAAAGAGAGAGGAGAGAGGUAGGAAUUCGUCCUUAGGACUUCUUGGGAAGGCAUACACGAAUUCAUGAGCCUUAGGGGGUUUAUAUAGGUGUAAAGAUUAGGGUUUUAGUCCUUAUCCUUAUCUAGUUGCUUGCCCACCAAGCAACCAUAAGAUAAGUCUUAGAAACCCUUAUCCUAGUCGAAUUCUAAGGCAUUAUCUCCUUAAAUUCGUUCACCCUAUAUUUAAGAUAAUCCUUACAUUAUUUUGUAACUAUCACAUAAUUACAAUUCAGCCCCUCUAGUUUAAUUAAUUACACUUGAUCACAAAAUUAAUUCUUAAUUAAUUAUUGACCAAUAUUAAUUAAACAAAUAUGAUUUCUCCUUUAAUAUAUUAUUCUUAUAACAUAUUAAUAAAUCAUAUUAUCCUCUCUCUCUAUAUAUUUCUCCAAUCAAGUUGCUUUGGUGAAGGCAACCCAAAAGGACCAUGCACCAUCGGGUCAAGUACAUACCAAAAUAGUUAUGGACUUAGACACUAAUCCAACAGUCUCCCACUUGGAUAAGUCUAAUAACUAUUAUGCGUAUGACUUCAGAUCCUGAUCUGCAAUCGUAGCUUUCCAAAGCCGCUGUCAACUCUGAUCCUAUCAGAUACGCGUGUCCUUAGAUAAGGGAUCAUAUAUUCCUCCAUUCUAGAUAUCAUAUGAGAUAUGAUUUCAAAUCAUUCUCUUUGUACUAUAUCUCGAUUCCCGAUUUAUGACGACUGACUAAUUGAACAAAUCAAAUUAGCCCUAGCCCGGCCGAGCAUUUACGUUUGUCAUCACUAAACCAUCGAGGGGCCCAAAGAUAUCGCUUUUAUCCUACUUUGAAUAAAAGGAACGGAUAAACUUUGAUACAAUGCUUGCUUGCACUCACUCACCGAAUCACACACAACAAUAUGUUUUAUAACACCAAGUUACUAGUGCGUUUACAUAUUAUCAAUGUGCAACCGAUUUGCAAGAUACAACUCACACAUCUCGGUUUCAAGAAUAUAAGAUGUUAUCGUCUCACCAAUCACUCGUGAUACAAUUCAUGGAGUGAUCCAAGUGAGCGUGGGUUUAAUCCAAUGCUCAAAUCAUAUUCAUAAGCACUCAUGAACGUUGCAGCAAACAUUUGCUUAUGUCUAAUACUCUUUUAGACAAUCCACACACCAAUUCACGACAGUCUUCAUUCAUAUCUACUUCCAACAUAUGAACGACUGUGGCCCGUUUGAAUAAUUCGAUUAUUCUUAAUAAACUCAAUUAUUCUGGAAGUCAAAACAUGCAAAUGUGAAACACAAGAAUAAUACUAAUCCCAUAUGGCCUCAAACCUUUGAGUAUAAAUAAAACACCUUUUAUUUAUCACCAUAUUGAUUACUCAUUAUUUGUCGUUUCGGGUAAUCAACUUCUUACUUGAAUUACAACACUUGUCCCAUGCUCCUAGCAUGCACACAAUGUUUACCUAUGGUUCUUACUUUGUGAAAUAGAUCACAUUGAACACAUUUCCAAUCAUUCUCAUUUCACAACUCCAAAUCCUUUUUCAUAAGUGAAAGAAUAUCAAAUUCUUGCUACUUAUAGAAUAUGCUAGAUUCUAACAUUCUAUGCAACUAUCCUUUCGUAAUGUCACUGCACCAAAGUCACAAAGACUAUUGCCAAUGAUAUUACAAAGUCCUCUAUCGGAGAUUGUUACAAGACAAUUCCAUAGAUGUGAUGUCUCUCACUCAAAGUACAUUCUUUGAACAUCCUUUUGCAUAGAAGUUUCUAAUCUAGUCAUAGAUUUCUCAAUAUUCAAUUCCCAAUAUGGACACACUUCCAUAUGUUCCAUAUGACAACUCAUUCUUAAUAGAAUCUUAUCUAUUCGUAAUGAUGUCGAUAUGGUCCAUCCAAUAUGGAAACAUUUCCAUAUUUUCCAAUACUAUACUUCCAACUACUCACAAGCGACCAAUCCUCGUCGAACUUUGGAUUGUCCUUUGAUAGUUGUUUAAUUAUUUUAGUCAAAACCAAUUCUAGUCCCUUUUCCCUCUAAAUGCGCUCGACAUUUGGAAAAUUUUAGAAUGGUCAAACAUUAAAGCAUUUGCAAUCGAUCCUAUACCCGAAGCGUAUGGGACACGACGCAUAAUGUUUUAUUUGCUAUGUUCUCAAAAUUCGAAUUGUGAAGAGGGAUGCCGUAAUCAUAAUCGAAAUUUUAAGAACACACUUUGUACCUUUGACUAAAUUUUAUUAACAUUUCUCAACCUAAACCUUUAGAUUUGAAAUGAAGCAUAAUAUUCUCUCCCUUAAUUAUAGCAAAACAACUCUUCAACUAUUGCGACUUUGCAAAGUAUGACUCUUGUUUUCUAUAAUUAAUAUUGCUAACCUUGCAAUACUUUCCUUAAUAAUCAUACAAUCAUAACUUUUAUGCUCCCACUAUCUUGAUGAUUAUUAUAAAACAUAACACUUAUGCUCCCACUAGCUUCGACAUGUAUUCAUAAACAUCUUAACUUUCAGAAAAAAAAUGCUUAUUGAAUUUCUUAAGUUCAUGUUUCUAAUACUUAGUGCUUUGAUAAUCUUUUAUCAAGGUUUCUUGAACUUAUACACAUUUGCCUUCGAUAGUUCAUAUGUGUGUCUAAACAAUUAAGACUAAUUGCCAAACCUCACAAUUCAAAUUAUGGAAAGGGAUACCGUAACCAUAAUCGAAUUCGAGAAUGCAAUUUUACAAUCACUAUCUUCUUAAAAUCUUUCUUAGUGAAAGCAUUUCCUCACAAUCAUUUUCAUGAAGGAGGAAAUCUUAUGACACUUAGAUUUAAAGCGGUGUAUGUGUUCCUUUCCAUGUGAAUUCGUUAAAACCAAAGUUUACGACAAAUUCAAACUCAUAUGGACCAAACUCUCUUAAUCUUGAUUUCUUGCCUUAUGGUAGCACAGCUGCCCACCACGUCUGCCAAGUAGUUAAGCAGCUCACCCUUUCCUAUUAAUGUACCUUUCAUUGACUAAGGUGUCUUGCCUUUUAUGCGUUCAAAAUGAGAACUCAUAGAACUCACAUGCAUAAUUAACUCAAUUCGAACGGCAUAGAAACAAAAUAUUGUCAUCACGAUAGGUUGUAAACCUCAACUUGUGUGCUAGUGAUGAUCAAUAAGGUUUAUUUAAUUUGUUCGUGAAACUUUUCAAGACCAUUAGGACUCCCACUGACUCCUUGACAUAUAAUAUUCUUUUGUCAACAACCAUUUCUUGACAAAUAUUCAAGAGUUAGUGUAGCUUUUAUCAAAACACUUCAUAAAUUGGUCCUAGUUGAUCUUUUGUCUUAUCCAAGACAUCACAACUUUCCUCAUUUGAUGAAUAUUAUAAACCUUUAAUACUUUUCACUCAUUGUCACAAUCUUAACUUUAAGACUUGUUAUUGGAACGAAGUAUGAUAGACUUCUUGAUUUAACGAUUUCUUCCAUCCUUGAUUCCUCUUCUUAAACAUACAAUUGUACUAAGACUCAAUUAGAGGAUCAAUUGAGAUAUGGUUCUUAAUCAUUAGGAAUUAUCAUAAAGCAUAAAAGCUACUCUCCCUUCUUCUUAGAAUGGAGAAAAUUUUAUCUUUCUACCUUCUUGAUUCUUCUUAUUCGUUUUGCUAUUGAUUUAAACCUUUUUAAUCCAUCCUAAUUAUACUUAAUCUUGUAAGUAUAAUCAUAUUUACUAAACCUUUAGUAAAUUAUGACGAAUAUCUUUGUUACUCUUAUGGUGAACUUGAUCAAUACACAACUUUAUGUACUUGAUCUCCUGGUCCUUCACUUGACACUUUGUCAACAAAUUAGUCUAAUUUCCAAAUAUGAAAUUUCUCAUUCAUCAUGCAAUCAAGUUGCGGGAUUCCAAAUUUCUGUCCAUUUGAAACUUUGGGCGAUGAGAAACUCUCCCUAUUUGGUAAAUUCUAGACAUUUCCAUAAAUAACAUAACUAAGAAUCAUAUCCAUUCGUUGUAGAAAUAUGCUAACAUCAAUUUUCAUAAUGAUUUCAUUGCAAGGAAAUAAACAAGUAAAUAAAUAAAUAAGUCAAACAAAAAUUUAUUUAUAAAAGCAGCAGAAAAACAUUUGUCCUUAAAAUGCAAAAUCCAUUGAAAACUAUGUAAAAAAUGAAAUUUCUAACAACUCUAUCAUAACUAUCUAAGCUCAAAAUCUAAUCUUCAAGUCCAUGUGAUCGAGAUCCAUCUCUUGGUGAUUAGAUUCAUCUUGCUUUCUCAACAAGCUUCCUUUCUUUUCACUGAUCCUGCAAAACACUCAAAUGCAAUCUUAUUACAUCAUGUAUUAAGAAUCAAUGAAUAGGAACUUAAUGAAGUUAUAUAGUGGAUUUUACCUAAAGUGGAGCCAUACUUUCUGACUCUCCCAUCUCUUAGAUCUCUUAGGUAAUUAGGGCAACUUCGUCUCCAAUGCCCCUUCUCUUGGCAAUAAAAGCAAAUUGACUCUUUUGGAACAACACAUGGAACUACUUCAGACAUCGCCUUUCUCUUAUGAUCAAACUUUCGAUCAUUGCAUGUCUCUCAUUGACAUUGUCUAUAUCCAUAGAGGUCUUGAAGGCAGAUUCACCAAUCAACUUUGCUUUUCUAUUGCGCCAAACCAUUGCUGAUUCAGCAGCAAUAAGCAUGUAGGUGAGAUCUAUAAGGGUCACGUCGUGGUUCAUCAUAUAGUACUCUCUUACGAACUCACUAUAUGAGUUGGGAAGUGACUGAAGAACCCAAUCAACAGCCAUCUCUUCACUAACAACGGAUCCCAUCAUUCUUAGUCUAUCAAUGCGCGACUUCAUCCCUAGGACGUGUGCACACACCGACUUUCCUUCUUUAUGUUUACUUGCCAAAAGGGCUUGAGUGAUAUUGAACCUUUCAAUUUUUCAAUCUUGUGGGUUAGGGAGAACAAUUGGAGGAGGAGGAGGAAGUGAAGCAUGAUUUCUUGUUCCUUGAUCGAAUCGUGGAAUAUCAUUUUCAUGUGGAAUGCUUGUUCCACGGGAUUUGGGAACACCAUAGUUGUCGAACUUUGACAUCUACGAAAUUCAAGUUAGUUGAAUGAUUGAGUCCUUGGUAAAUCACCCAAAUGAAAUUCCAAGGCUAGGACCCAACACAAUAUGCUACUACCUAGAAAAGGGAUGCCGUAAUCUAGUUGCAGAAUAUUUGGAGGUAAGUGAAUGACGAUUCACUAAUUUCCACCAUGAAAACGAAAAAUUAAUUUAGGUUUUAAAUCUAUGAAAACUCCUAGAGCCUUUGAGAUUCAUUGAACAUUUCAACGACAUGUUUAAAUCUCGAUAUGCCCCUCUUGUUUGUGACUGGGAUGCCGAGGAUCACAAAGCGGGUGUGAAUAACCAUGCAAACUUACAUGGUGCCCUCACAUGUUACAGUCACCUAUUCGAUGUGUCGGUAAACCACACACGCUCCACCGAACUAUGAAAAACAUUGAGUCACCCUUUGCUACCUUUGCUUAGAACCAUUUAGUGUGCCAUUAAACCACACACGCUCCACUAACGUCUUCGUAAGGGCACAAAGUGUAAUUUCAUGGAAUUGCAUCAAUUCACUUUUGCCUAAGUAACUAAGAUUGGGAAUUUUAUGAAAACAUUUAGUUACUUUUAUACUUCAUUAUACUUAUAAUGGAAGGUUUCGUCCUAUCCUACCCGUUCGGCUAACGACCCUCCACUAGUCAAGAGUGCGGUGGGUAAGAGUGGAUACCCAUUCAAUCGCCAUUUUAUAGGCAAUUUCCUUAAACACCCCUUAUAGACCAGCUUCGUGAAUGAGGCCUACUAACGGUAAGACUGACUUUUACUCAUACAUAUAUAUAAUGUUAGACUUUUAAUGUUAUAUAUAGUAUAGGGUGUAUUUUAUAACAUUUAAAAUACUAUGUGGUUAACUUUAAUAAUUACACUUUUAAUUCAAUUAAUUGGUUAACCAAAACUUUUAUGGAUUUAUUAAAUCUCUUUUAAUUAUACUCCUUAAUUAAUUAAUAAAACCAUAAGCGUGUGAAAUGAACUUUUCAAAACAUUACUUNAACCUUUUCAAAACAAUACUAGGGUUUUAGAAUUUAACAUCCUAAUUAAACUUUUAAUCAACUUUUAAAUUCCAAAACUUGAGGGCAAGUUUUGAAACUUUUCAAAACAAUUUAGUUUUAAUCUCUCUUAAAAUUUUCGAAUUUAUGCCAUAUAAAUUAAUAUUUUAAAUAUUAAAACUCUUGAUUUAAUAAUUAUCUUGAAUUAGACUAUUAAUUUAAUUAUUAAAUCAUAAGGGAUUAUCUAAAUCAUGAGGAUAAUUACCAUUUAUACAUUUAAGAUAUCUUAAUCCCUUAAAUAAUUAUAUAGAUUUCAAAAAUAUGGAUGGAUAAUGCAUGAUCUAUAAUUACCAUAUAUAACAAUUAGAGGAUAAUUACAAGAUAUGGGAUAAUCCAAAUCCCUAAAAUUUAGGAUCUUAUCUUGGGGAGGAGGCUAAUUUCGAAAAUCAUGGGGUUUUUCAAACCCUAGAUUUCGAAAUCUUGAGGCUUAAGUAAAGGAUUUGAAACCCUUUCAAAUUUUCGCAAAUUAGGGUAUAGAAACCCUAAUCUCGAAAUUUCUAGCCUCCUAGGGUUUAUUGGCUAUAAACCCUAAUAUGUCAAGUUCAUACAAUUGUAUAAUACUAAUUGAAAACAAGUUAACCAAAGGCUCUGAUACCACUGAUGGGUUUUGUACAAACAAUCCUAUGUGUGCAUGCAACCCUAGAAUUGGAUCUAUGUUUUCACUAUUAGAUACACAACAUUAUGAACACAUAAAGAAACCCUAAUUCUAGCAUAUAAGUAAUCAUAUUAACAUAAGAAUAGGUUUAUAAUAUUACCUUGAUUGUUAUGUAGCAAUAACAAUCCCAAAUCUCCUUGUAUUGACUUUGGAAGGCUUAGAGUCACAAGUGUCACUCCUCUAAUGGCUUACAAACACCAAGAGCAAAUGGAGAAGGUAUAAAGAGAGAGGAGAGAGGUAGGAAUUCGUCCUUAGGACUUCUUGGAAAGGCAUACACGAAUUCAUGAGCCUUUGGGGUUUAUAUAGGUGUAAAGAUUAGGGUUUUAGUCCUUAUCCUUAUCUAGUUGCUUGCCCACCAAGCAACCAUAAGAUAAGUCUUAGAAACCCUUAUCCUAGUCGAAUUCUAAGGCAUUAUCUCCUUAAAUUCGUUCACCCUAUACUUAAGAUAAUCCUUACCUUAUUUUGUAACUAUCACAUAAUUACAAUUCAGCCCCUCUAGUUUAAUUAAUUACAUUUGAUCACAAAAUUAAUUCUAAAUUAAUUAUUGACCAAUAUUAAUUAAACAAAUAUGAUUUCUCCUUUAAUAUAUUAUUCUUAUAACAUAUUAAUAAAUCAUAUUAUCCUCUCUCUAUAUAUAUUUCUCCAAUCAAGUUGCUUUGGUGAAGGCAACCCAAAAGGACCAUGCACCGUCGGGUCAAGUACAUACCAAAAUAGCUAUGGACUUAGACACUAAUCCAGCAAAAUUUUGACGCUCUUUUUAUUCUUAAUUCAUUAAAUUAUAAUAAUUAAGAAAAUAAACACAUAAAUCACAUAAUUCACAUAAUUCACAAAUAAUACAUUCUUAUUAUUUCAAAACGGGUUACAAGGGUUAAACUAGACUAUUACAUUGCUAAAAAUGGCAAGCCCAGAAACAUAGGCGUUAAAUGUUGAGCGUACAUGAAGCCUCGCAGGUUGACCAUCAUUGGUGUGGUUGACCAUCUGCGCUGGGCGUACUCUGAGUAUACUGGGCUUACCCUCGUAAGUCUAAAAAUUCCAUUUAGAGCUUAAUCGCUUAAGCUCUUACGUCCAAACUUCAUAUCCAUGGCUAAAAUAUUCUUUGGAGUCAUAAAGUCUCCAACUUUAUGACCUAUCAUGUCCAAUAAGUUCUUAAAACAAGGUUGUAUUCCAUUAAGACAUUCUAUAACAUGCAUGAAGAAAAACUAACCAUUCGGAACCCAUUUUUAUUAAUUAAGACCCAUCCUAGGGUCUGAAAUGAAAACUCAAAGGUCAAGAACAUACCAUAUUCAAGAUCUAACAUUUUGGGACUAAAAAGCUCCAUAAAAAUAACCAAAACUAGGCCUAUGAGAUAGAGGGAUCAAGUUGCAAGCUUUUUACCUUAGAAUGGUUGCAAAUGAUGUAGAAAUCCCAGAUCCAAGUGUUCCACUCCUCCAAGAUGACUUUGGCUUCCUUCCUUCUUGUAAGGCACCAAAAACACACUUCUAAGCUUGAAAAGGCUCCUCAAUGUGGUUCUAGGGUUACAAAAACGAAUGAGAGGGACAGAAGCAGUUAAGGUGCGUGAAAUGAUGCCAUAAGAGUGCUUAAAUAUGAGACAAACCCUAAAAAAUAGAGUUUCUAUAACUGGCAAGUAUGUCCAGCGUACACUAAUAUACGUACAACGUACUAGGGCGCACCCAAAUAUGCUCAGUGUACACCACGUACGCAUGGCAUACUCCAAAGUCCAUAAUUACAACAACGCCAUUAGGGUUUCUUUGCACAUUUUCUUUAACUUAGGGACCAAAAUGCAACAUCAUAAAAUUUUAGGUUUGAAAUUUGAUGUACCUUAUCAUCAACAUGUUACAGAUGUUUUGCGUACACACACACACACACAUAUAUAUAUAUAUAUAUAUAUAUAUAUAUAUAUAUGUGUGUGUGUGUGUGUGUGUGUGUGUGAUAGAUUCUAGCAUAACUUCAAUUGAAGCCCAAUUUCCCAACAUGGUCUUGAUAAAAUUACUAGAAAAAACCUCAUGGAGUACUGGGUUCUUAAUUAUUUAUCACAAAUCUUGAGCUUUUAUUUUCUGUAGAUAUGGAUCAAAAUGAUGAUGGAUCUUUUUGUUUUCAGAACAAACAAGAUGAAAAAGUGAAGUUGAAUUCUAUUUUAAUGCCUUUAUCUGAGUUUGACGAUGGAGAGCAAGGAGAUGCAUUAUAUGGUAAGUUUUGUAUAUCCCUAUUUUUCUAACUUAUAAAUGUACUUUUUGUAAGCUUUCAUAUAUUAUGUUUGAAUGUUAAUAGUCAUGGAGCUUUCUUUGUCAUAAGAGAAGUUGCCAAAUGAGAACUAUUAAACCUCCAUGAGGUAUUUACAUAAAUUCCCUUUGCUUUUAGUUUACCUUUUUAAGCAUAAGAAUGGAUUCAAGUCUUUGAUAUGUAAAUGUAGGGUGGAAUGAAACCAGCUAGCCAAGAAUAACAAUGAUAUGCAAUCAAUUGAGUUAGUUGGAAGUGAAUUAUAGGUGAUAUAAUUAUGAGUAAUAGUCUAAUAUUCUAGUUAUUUAGUAAUGUUGUGAUAUGAUAAUUAAAUCCUCACAUCUAUUCUACAGUUGUUUGAACUUAUACUCGAGCACGUGUAAAUUGGUAAUCGAUAUUCUUUAAGAACGUAUAUUCUUUCAGAAUAUUUUCCAAUAUUUUUACUAGUCAUGAUGAAGCUAUUCAAUAAAAGAAAGAAAUUAAAGUUUGGAUUUUGCUCUUCCUCAUUGUUGUGGCAAUAUUCUUUUAAAACAUAGGUUAUGAUGGUAUUACGAAGCUAUUUCACUUGUUUUAUUUUUAUUUUUAUCUGAGAGAUGAAAAAACAUCUGAAUUGACUUUAUUUACAUUCUCAUGAGAAUAUUAGAUUUGCUAUUAUAAACUAUCUUCAGCCUUAAGAAUGUUUAAUUUUUAUAUUUGAAUUUUAGGUUCUUAUUUUAUUGAUUAUGUUAUUCUUAAAGAAUAUUUUAUUAUUAUUUUAAAAAUGUUGGUUAUACAUAUGAAAAUAAUGACUUAUUCUUCUAGAAUUUUAAAGCAUUCUUUAAGAAUAUCAGUUAUGACAACAAAUUAAUAUCUUAUUCUAUAAGAAUGUCAUAUGAGAAUAUCAUUAUUAAUCAUUCUUCUUAUCACUCAUGACCUUUAAUUAACAAAAUCAAUUCUUAACCAUUUUGAUGAUAUAAAAGACAUUUUAAUUUUUUUUUAAAUUUGGUUAAUAAGGUUGUAUCAACCUUGAGAAUUGUUAAAAGAUUUUAAUUCUUAAACAUAAGAAUUGCAUAAAAUAAAUCACGAUAGUUAAUUCUUAAUUGUUACCGUGAUCAAGAAAAAAAAUCAAAUAUUAUAGGUGGUGAAAUAAUAAAUCAUAAUCUACUCUAAGAAAUGAAGGGUUUUUUUUCUCACUUGUCACUUUCUCAUUCAAUUUGUCAAAUGUCAUUUUGUAGUUAUUUUGAAUUAAUUUUUAUUUCACAUGUCAUUUUAUGGUUUUUCUAUUUUAUUAAAUUCAAAAUAGUAUUUAAAUAAAAUAAUAAAUGCAUAUUAAUUUCCUUAAUGAACAUACCUUUUAGUUUCAAAUUUACUAAAGUAAAGGUUCAUUAAUUUUCUUUAUUUAUUUAUCUAAAUUAUUUGUUUAAACUAGAGUAAAAAAAAAACUUUAAUUUUUAUAAUUUAAUAUUUUUCUCAUAUUUUUUAGAAAUUCAAACUUCUCAAAUGAUUAGAAUUUUAUUUUUAGUUUUUUCUUUUAAAUAAACACAUGUAAUGCAUGAGUUUCAUACCUAGUUCUUAAAGAAUGAAAUAUGUUUCAUAUUUUUUAAGUACCAUCUAAAAAAGGAUUACAGAACGUAAAUUGAAUUUAAUUUGACAUCUCAUGAAAAUCUUACCUUCCAUAAAUACUUUUUUAACCAUUCUUACAAUUAAUUAAUUGAAAUUAUAUAGUAAAUGUUAUCACAUGUUAAUAAUAUGUGUUAACAACAAAAAGAAUGAAUUUUGGCCUUUAAAUGUGGUUUAAACGAUUUAAAGGUUAUUUGAAUGGUGCAGAUGAUGAUCCAUGCAUGUUAAAGAAAAUAGUAAAUCAAAAUAUAAAUAUAAGAUUUAAACUCAUAACAAGAGCCUUUCAUUAUUGAAACCCACAUAUUCUCAUUUUAUUCUCUCUCUCUCUCUCUCUCUCUCUCUGUCUCCCUGUCUCUCUCUUAGAGAAGCACACACUCAAGAACAUCUCAAGUGACACCGCCAUCCGCCAACACCGUCUAUCGCCGAUUCGCAGAUUCUUAUGUCGGAAAUUACCAAAUGUCGCCUGAAAAACUUCAUAUGCCACCGAUACUUCGUAUAUCCAUGGACAGGUGAUGUAAUCGUUCUAUAUCAUAGCUUCGGUGGAAGGAAUGGAAAACCAAGACAUCCGAGGAACACCAAAACAUCGGUGGGCACCUGAAAUCAAAUAUAACCCUUGUAAAUGUCCUCUUCAUUUUUUCUUCUUUUUUCUCUUCUCCUUCUUCCAUUUUCUGACAGUGGUGAACACCAAGAGAUCUUAUGAACACCAAAACUUUGUAAUCAUCAUCCUUCAUCCCUUGCCACUAUUGAAAGCAUGAUACCAUCAUUUCUAUCUAUCUCUCAUCCAUCUAUGUCACUAUCACCGCCUUAUUUGUUUUUGUCCAUUCAAAAUAAACCAACAAUCGGAACCAUUAAUAUUGAUUGGCGCCUUUCAGGUUCAUCCAAGCGCUAUUACACCCACCUCAUAUCCUUAUAUACUUCUCCCUUCCUUGAUUUUUUUCUUUUGGAAUGAUUUCUGGAACCAUUCUUAUUUUUUUUAUCUAAAGGGGGCCUUUUCUUGUUCCAGAUACAUUUAUUAGUACUAUUGAUUGGUGCCAUUCAUGUUCAUCCAGACGCCAUUUCACCUACUUCUCCCUUCCUUUGAUUUUUUAUAGUAGAAUGAUUUAUGGAACCAUUCUUGUUUUUUGGAUCUAGGGGGCGUUUUUGGUCCCAUAUACAUUUAUUAGGGUUAGAUAUUAAUUUUCGAUUUACCACUGUAUUCGCUGUAUUCACCAGAGCUAGCAUAAGCAAACCCUAGCUCCCGCACACCUGAAUAAAACUUCUUCUUCGGUGCUACAAUCCAAUUUGAUAAUGGGUUGUCUCGAUAUGAUGGUAUUUUUGGCUAAAAUAGGUAGUGGCGAUUGGGUUGGCUUGUAACGAUGGAGGUCGAUGGAAUGAAACAUUUUAAAGAGAUUGAGGUUGUAAGGGUGGUUUAUGGAGCGUUUGGUCUGGGGUUGCUGGUUUUUUAUUAUUAUUUAGAUUAAUAGAAAUAAAUAUAAAAAAAAACUAAAAGCAAUUAAAAAGAAUUGCUUAAGGGAAAUUUUUUCAUUUCAAGUAGGGUAUUAUGACAACCCGAAAUUUCUUCCUUGUACAAGCAUUCUAUUCAAUCAAAGUCGGACACCUUUCUGCUAUCUUUUAGUACUGUUUAAGGUCUAUUUGAGGGUUCUAAGCAUAGUACAAUCAAGGUUUAAGCUUAGGAUUGAGUUACCUUAAGUCAUAACAAGUCAAUAGGGCCAAACACUCCUUCAAGAGGUGUGCAUGGCUGUACACAUGGGUGUGCGGCAGUACACCCCCUCAUAUAUAUGAUACUUAGUCAUUUUAAGCCCCUUUUCGCACACCUAAGCCUGGAACUAGUUUUUCUCUCAACUAUCAUCCGAUUUUUCAGCCAAGUCUUCAAGAUUGUAAGUAGUUCUUCCCUUGUUUUGUCGAUUUCCUUCACUAUCUUGUAUGGAUCACUGAAUCCAUCCAAGAAGUCACUUCAUUUUGGUAGACCUUCAAGUGUUCUUCAGUUCACGAAGAACACCAGGAACACCUACUAAGUUUUUGGACUCUAAACACCCCUUCAAGCUUCCAGAUUGUGAGUAUUCCUACAAUACCUUGUUAUGUGCUAGAAACUCUUGAUGUUUAACAUAAAAUAGACCAUUUUUCAAGAUCAUCAAGGGUGUACGGCCGUACACACCCUUUGUGGCCAUACACACCUCUUUUAAGGUCCAAAAUGGUAACCAACUUCCCUUAAGACUAAGCAUGGGUCAAAACACACUCCCUAGAAGCUUCAUAAGACUUUAAAACACACUUUGGCAUGUUUCACGAUGAGUGUGCAGCCGCACACCCACUUGGGCCAUAAACUCUUGCCGUACACACACAUGAAACACACCAUUCUGGCCGUACACACCAAGGUGUGGCCAUUAACCCAUUAUGUUCAACCCUUGGUACUUCUAGCACUUCAAUCUAAGUGUUUCCUAUGUCCUAGGGUGUUUUUCCUUGCAUUAUUAGUUAUUUAAACACUAGUAAUAUACAUAUAUGAGUCAUUAUAUGCUUAAUAGGACCGUUUCGGCCCAAGACUUACCUUGACACUCAGCUUCCUGUAUCGAUCUUCCAGUCGCACCACUCACCACAGGUGAGUUCAUACCCCUUAAUCUACCUUUUAAAUAAUUUUAAAUGCUUUUAUAGGGGGGGGGGGAGUACAAGUUGAAAACAUUAUAGUUAUUAUAUCAAUCACAUGUGAUUAAUGACUAUCAAUCAAGUGGAUUUCAUAUACUUCAAAACUUUUUACUAAACAAAGUCUUUAAAACAUAUUCUUAACUGAUAUCAAGUCAUCUAUUAAUAUUCAAAUAUUUAAAACUCCUUUUUAUUUUAAUCUCCUUUAUGCUAAAACUCGUUAUUAAACUCUUUUAUGCUAAAACUCGUUAUUAACCUCUUUUAUACUAAAACUCGUUGUUAAACUCUUUUAAACUUAUAUAUUGUCAAAAUCAUGUCUACAUAGACAUAGUUAUAUAAGUAAGCUUUAAAGGACUUAGGACUGAUAACUCACUUUAUUUCUUGUUCCUCGCUUGGUUGUGGACUUAGAAAUUUGGUUAUUUGUCCGAGUGUCGUUUGAACCUUAGUUAUAUAUUAUGUAUAUGUAUAUAGAUAUAAAAGCUUUUAUCUCAGUUAAACACCUUUGGGUAGAAAAGGUGAACAAACACACUCGGUCAUUUAAACAACCUUACUAGUAAACUAUAAUACAUAUAGUUUAUAAGAUUACUUGUAACAACCCGAAAUUCGUUCCAUCGCCGAAACCUGUUUCCGCCUGUAAAUUCGUCUUUUUCAAAUCUUUUCCGUUUACAUUUUUUUUGAAAAUUAAGUCAUUUAUUCUGAGACUUCUAUUAUGACUUAAUUAGUAUCCAAACCCAUUAGAAACUCAAGAAAACAUUCCAAAUUAUCAAUUAGAAAAAUUUAAGUUUCGACCAUAUCGGGUAACGACAACUUAAUCAGCUGCGACCAAAAGCCCCGUUUAACGUCGGUAUCGGGUAGAAUUCCACCGUGUCCCGAACUUAGGACCUAUUUAAAGCUCAAAAGACUUCAUUUGAAGCCUUUCCUCUCUCUCACUACUCUCUCUCUCAAACCUCUCUCCUCAAACUCAAGAAUUAGGUCCAAAAUCAUCAAAUUUAAGCUCCAAAACACCAAGGUAACUACCCUAACUCCUAGUAUAGCAUCUUAGACCUUCAAAUUCGAGUUCAAAUAAUGGAAUAGGACCAUAUUCAUGAGUUUACAGCCUUAGAACAGUCCUUGGCCGUGAACUCACAUAAAAUGGUUUUUGGAGCCCAAAAACCCUUCCAAUCGACCUUUGGUGCUUAGAUAUGACUUAGGGGCUUAUCAAAAUGGACUUGGAACACCUUGAACUUAAUUUUUGGAGAGUAAACAUCAGUUUACUUCCCAAGAACAUGAUUCAGCUAUAAACUCCAUAUCAUGGGGAGUAAACUCAUUUUGAAGUGUUAAAAUGAUAUUUAAACACACCAAUAGCCUUGGAAUAAAUUCUAGAAUCAACCACAAACAACUUAGAAGCCUAAAACAUAAGUAAAUCAACCCCCUAAGGAGUUUAACGCCAUAUGAAGGGGUCUUGGGCCGUAAACUCCUAAAGAUAUGUCAAAUGAUGCCCAAAAAUCCAUCCAAGGCUUGUAAAAUGAGUUUAAAUCACAUAUGAUUGUCCUAGCACCACCAAAACAUCAAGGAUUGAGUGUGGGGGAGUUUACGGUCGUAAACUCCAUGUUUACUGCCGUAAACUCCAAUAAAUGGUCCAUAAGAGAGUUUAAUCCAUUCCAAGGCCUUAGAUUUAAUCCUAGCUAAUUUUCCCAAGUCAUGUAAAGCCAUUUAGCAACCAAAAUCACCCCACCAUGAGUUACGGCCGUAAACUCAUGGGGAAUGUGUCAUUAGGGCCGAAAAAACCCCUAAUAGUUUACUCUUGAAGAGUAAACUCCAUAUCCAAGCCUUAUGUGUCCUCAAAUGCCACCCGGGUCCCUCCAAACACUUGUAAUAAAGUAUUUUCGCAUCUAGAAGUGUUUGUCCCUAACUAAUAAAGAAUUUAAGUUCUAAAUAGAUACAGAUGUGUAUCUUCUCUUAAUACAUAGGAAUCUUGUGCAUUUGCGAACCCAGAACUGACGUUUAGGAUCCAAACCGACGCAUUCCUCAACCGGUGAGUUCAUACCCCUGCCUUUUUUCUGUGUUUUUCAAAUGUUUUCAGGGGGGAUACAAACAAAAGUACAAGGAUAUCUUGUACUCAAACUUAUCAUUUUCAGUUCAAAUAUCUAUAUUGUAUAGGUUUUUAAUAUCGAAAAUUGUGUUAAUCAAAUAGUUCAAAAUACGAAGUUAGCCUUCAAACUCAACAUAGAUAUCCUUCUAAAGUGUUAUAAUCUAAAUUAUAUUUCAUAAUCUAUGAGUAAUUCAUACUAAUCAUCAAUUAGAACGAAUACGAAUACGAAAGUACAACUAGGAACAGAACGAAUACAAAAGCAUAACUAGGAAAAGAACGAAUAGGAAUACUAAAGUAAUAAUGUGAAAAUAAUAAUACGAAUAUGAAUGCGAAUACGAAUGCGAAUACGAAUACAAAUACGAUUAGGAUUAGGAAUAGGAAUAGGAAUAUGAAUACAAAUGCGAGUAUGAAUGCGAAUACAAAUACGAAUACGAUUAGGAUUACGAAUAGGAAUAGGAAUACGAAUACGAAUUCGAAUAUGAAUGCGAAUACGAAUGCGAAUACGAAUACGAAUACGAUUAAGAUUAGAAAUAGGAAUAGGAAUGCGAAUACGAAUACGAAUGUGAAUACGAAUACGAAUAGGAUUAGGGAUAGAACUAGGAAAUCGAAUACUAAUGCAAAUACGAAUACGAAUACGAAUAUGACUAUGAAUACAAAUAUAAAAUACGAAAAUGAAUAUGAUUAAGAAUAGAAAUACGAAUAUGAAGGCACUCAUGUAGGUACAUUCAAGUGUAUCACAAUUAGGAUAUCAGAAUACUUGCUAAUAUGACAAGUAUAAUAGAUAAUCGAAUAUUAAAUUGGUGUCCAAUAACUAAACUUACUUUUAGGAAAAUAUAGGGUUUUCCUGGGAUAACAUAACAACUCGUAAACGAAUUAAGAAACGAAUGGAUAACUAAACUAUUAGGAAAAAAUGGGAUUUUCCUAGGGUAACAUACAACACAUAAUCGAAUUGGUAACAAAUGAUAACUAAACUGUUUCACAUAAGAAAAUAUGGGAUUUUAUUGGAUAACAACUUUUUCAGAAAACUAAAAGGGAACUCGUUCAUUUUCAUAAAACAAAACCGUUUAUGAACUCACCAGCUUUAUGCUGAUUUUCAAACUACUUGUAUUCUCAGGUCCAUUUUAGACAGGUACCCAACGAUCUUUUUUGGAGAAAACGGAGCGUACAAAAGACUAGUCUUUGCUUUUGUCUAUAUAUANAUGUAAAUUCUAAUAUGUAAUUUAAUGGUUGUUUACUUGCUUACUAUGUACAUUGGAUUUGAUACUCAACGUGGAGUCCGCCCCGAAAAUGUUUCCGCCUUUGGUUUUCGGGGUGUGACAGAUUGGUAUCAGAUCCCUUGUUUAUAGUGAACUAGUAUACCAAACCUUACAUGGUAUAAAACUAUAAACACUAAAGGGCCUAAGUGCUCUGAACUAAAAGUAUACCUCAAAUAUAAGUAUUUUCAAAAGUAUACAAGUAUUCCCAACCGUCGAAAUCCGUAACUACAAGUAGAACAAAACAUAAGUAAAUGGGUGUUGUACGCUGCGGUUAAACCUGGGCAGUUAUGUAGUCUUGUCUAUGAUCAAUAUAGCCUGGCCAACUAUAUUCAUUCGAGACACAGCCAACAUGUGCUUGGGAGUGAUGUAACGACCCGAAGUUCGUUCCAUCGCCGAAACCCGUUUCCCCCUAUAAAUUCGUCUUUUUCAAAUCUUUUCCGUUUACAUCUUUUUAAAAUUAAGUCAUUUAUUCCGAGACUUCUAUAAUGACUUAAUUAGUAUCCAAACCCAUUAGAAACUCAAAAAAACAUUCCAAAUUAUCAAUUAGAAAAAUUUAAGUUUCAACCCUAUCGGGUAACGACAACUUAAUCGGGUGUGACCAAAAGCCCCUUUUAACGUCGGUAUCGGGUAGAAUUCCACCGUGUCCCGAACUUAGGACCUAUUUAAAGCUCAAAAGACUUCAUUUGAAGUCUUUCCUCUCUCUCACUACUCUCUCUUUAACCCCUCUCGUCAAACUCAAGAAUUAGGUCCAAAAGCAUCAAAUUUAAGCUCCAAAACACCAAGGUAACUACCCUAACUCCUAGUAUAGCAUCUUAGACCUUCAAAUUCGAGUUCAAAUAAUGGAAUAGGACCAUAUUCAUGAGUUUACAGCCCUAGAACAGUCCUUGGCCGUGAACUCACAUAAAAUGGUUUUUGGAGCCCAAAAACCCUUCCAAUCGACCUUUGGUGCUUAGAUAUGACUUAGGGGAUUAUCAAAAUGGACUUAGAACACCUUGAACUUAAUUUUUGGAGAGUAAACAUGAUUUUACUGCCCAAGAACAUGCUUCGGCUGUAAACUCCAUAUCAUGGGGAGUAAACUCAUUUUCAAGUGUUAAAAUGAUAUUUAAACACACCAAUAGCCUUGGAAUAAAUUCUACAUUCAACCACAAACAACUUAGAAGCCUAAAACAUAAGUAAAUCAACCCCCUAAGGAGUUUACCGCCAUAUGAAGGGGUCUUGGGCUGUAAACUCCUAAAGAUAUGUCAAAUGAUGCCCAAAAAUCCAUCAAAGGCUUGUAAAGUGAGUUUAAAUCACAUAUGAUUGCCCUAGCACCACCAUAACAUCAAGGAUUGAGUGUGGGGGAGUUUACGGUCGUAAACUCCAUGUUUACUUCCGUAAACUCCAAUAAAUGGUCCAUAAGAGAGUUUAAUCCAUUCCAAGGCCUUAGAUUUAAUCCUAGCUAAUUUUCCCAAGUCAUGUAAAGCCAUUUAGCAACCAAAAUCACCCCACCAUGAGCUACGGCCGUAAACUCAUGGGGAAUGUGUCAUUAGGGCCGAAAAAACCCCUAAUAGUUUACUCUUGAAGAGUAAGCUCCAUAUCCAAGCCUUAUGUGUCCUCAAAUGCCACCCGGGUCCCUCCAAACACUUGUAAUAAAGUAUUUUCACAUCUAGAAGUGUUUGUCCCUAACUAAUAAAUAAUUUAAGUUCUAAAUAGAUACAGAUGUGUAUCUUCUCUUAAUACUUAGGAAUCUUGUGCAUUUGCAAACCCAGAACUGACGUUUAGGAUCCAAACCGACGCAUUCCUGAACCGGUGAGUUCAUACCCCUGCCUUUUUUUUUUGUGUUUUUCAAAUGUUUUCAGUGGGGGAUACAAACAAAAGUACAAGGAUAUCUUGUACUCAAACUUAUAAUUUUCAGUUCAAAUAUCUAUAUUGUAUAGGUUUUUAAUAUCGAAAAUUGUGUUAAUCAAAUAGUUCGAAAUACGAAGUUAGCCUUCAAACUCAUCAUAGAUAUCCUGCUAAAGUGUUAUAAUCUAAAUUAUAUUUCAUAAUCAACGAAUAAUUCAUACUAAUCAUCAAUUAGGAUGAAUACGAAUACGAAAGUACAACUAGGAACAGAACGAAUACAAAAGCAUAACUAGGAAAAGAACGAAUAGGAAUACUAAAGUAAUAAUGCAAAAAUAAUAAUACGAAUAUGAAUGCGAAUACGAAUGCGAAUACGAAUACAAAUACGAUUAGGAUUAGGAAUAGGAAUAGGAAUAUGAAUACAAAUGUGAGUACGAAUGCGAAUACGAAUACGAAUACGAUUAGGAUUAGGAAUAGGAAUAGGAAUACGAAUACGAAUUCGAAUAUGAAUGUGAAUACGAAUGCGAAUACGAAUACGAAUACGAUUAAGAUUAGGAAUAGGAAUAGGAAUGCGAAUAUGAAUGCGAAUACGAAUACGAAUGUGAAUACGAAUACGAAUAGGAUUAGGGAUAGAACUAGGAAAUCGAAUACUAAUGCAAAUACGAAUACGAAUACGAAUAUGAAUACGAAUACAAAUAUAAAAUACGAAAAUGAAUAUGAUUAAGAAUAGAAAUACGAAUACGAAGGCACUCAUCUAGGUACAUUCAAGUGUAUCACAAUUAGGAUAUCAGAAUACCUUGCUAAUAUGAAAAGUAUAAUAGAUAAUCGAAUAUUAAAUUGGUGUCCAAUAACUAAACUUACUUAUAGGAAAAUAUAGGGUUUUCCUGGGAUAACAUAACAACUCGUAAACGAAUUAAGAAACGAAUGGAUAACUAAACUAUUAGGAAAAAAUGGGAUUUUCCUGGGGUAACAUACAACACGUAAUCGAAUUGGUAACAAAUGAUAACUAAACUGUUUCACAUAAGAAAAUAUGGGAUUUUAUUGGAUAACAACUUUUUCAGAAAACUAAAAGGGAACUCGUUCAUUUUCAUAAAACAAAACCGUUUAUGAACUCACCAGCUUUAUGCUGAUUUUCAAACUGCUUGUAUUCUCAGGUCCAUUUUAGACAGGUACCCAACGAUCUUUUUUGGAGAAAACGGAGCGUACAAAAGACUAGUCUUUGCUUUUGUCUAUAUAUAUAUAUAUAUAUAUAUAUAUAUAUAUAUAUAUAUAUAUAUACACAAACAUAUGUAUCAACACUUGUAACACUUUNNNNNACACAUAUGUAUGAUCACUUGUAACACUUUACUUUUGAACAUAUGUAAAUUCUAAUAUGUAAUGUAAUGGUUGUUUACUUGCUUACUAUGUACAUUGGAUUUGAUACUCAACGUGGAGUCCGCCCCAAAAAUGUUUCCGCCUUUGGUUUUCGGGGUGUGACAGAUUGGUAUCAGAUCCCUUGUUUAUAGUGAACUAGUAUACCAAACCUUACAUGGUAUAAAACUAUAAACACUAAAGGGCCUAAGUGCUCUGAACUAAAAGUAUACCUCAAAUAUAAGUAUUUUCAAAAGUAUACAAGUAUACCCAACCGUCGAAAUCCGUAACUACAAGUAGAACAAAACAUAAGUAAAUGGGUGUUGUACGCUGCGGUUAAACCUGGGCAGUUAUGUAGUCUUGUCUAGGAUCAAUAUAGCCUGGCCAACUAUAUUCAUUCGAGACACGACCAACAUGUGCUUGGGAGUGAUGUAACAACCCGAAGUUCGUUCCAUCGCCGAAACCCGUUUCCCCCUAUAAAUUCGUCUUUUUCAAAUCUUUUCCGUUUACAUUUUUUUAAAAUUAAGUCAUUUAUUCCGAGACUUCUAUAAUGACUUAAUUAGUAUCCAAACCCAUUAGAAACUCAAAAAAACAUUCCAAAUUAUCAAUUAGAAAAAUUUAAGUUUCAACCCUAUCGGGUAACGACAACUUAAUCGGGUGCGACCAAAAGCCCCAUUUAACGUCGGUAUCGGGUAGAAAUUCACCGUGUCCCGAACUUAGGACCUAUUUUAAGCUCAAAAGACUUCAUUUGAAGCCUUUCCUCUCUCUCACUACUCUCUCUCUAACCUCUCUCGUCAAACUCAAGAAUUAGGUCCAAAAUCAUCAAAUUUAUGCUCCAAAACACCAAGGUAACUACCCUAACUCCUAGUAUAGCAUCUUAGACCUUCAAAUUCGAGUUCAAAUCAUGGAAUAGGACCAUAUUCAUGAGUUUACAGCCCUAGAACAGUCCUAGGCCGUGAACUCACAUAAAAUGGGUUUUGGAGCCCAAAAACCCUUCCAAUCGACCUUUGGAGCUUAGAUAUGACUUAGGGGCUUAUCAAAAUGGACUUAGAACUCCUUGAACUUAACUUUUGGAGACUAAACAUGAUUUUACUACCCAAGAACAAGCUUGGGCUAUAAACUCCAUAUCAUGGGGAGUAAACUCAUUUUGAAAUGUUAAAAUGCCAUUUAAACACACCAAUAGCCUUGGAAUAAAUUCUAGAAUCAACCACAAACAACUUAGAAGCCUAAAACAUAAGGAAUUCAACUCCCUAAGGAGUUCACGGCCAUAUGAAGGGGUAUUGGGCCGUAAACUCCUAAAGAUAUGUCAAAUGAUGCCCAAAAAUCCAUCCAGGGCUUUUAAAAUGAGUUUAAGUCACAUAUGAUUGUCCUAGCACCACCAAAACAUCAAGGAUUGAGUGUGGGGGAGUUUACGGUCGUAAAAUCCAUGUUUACUGUCGUAAACUCAAAUAAGUGAUCCAUAAGAGAGUUUAAUCCAUUCCAAGGACUUAGAUUUAAUCCUAGCUAAUUUUCCCAAGUCAUGUAAAGCCAUUUAGCAACCAAAAUCACGCCACCAUGAGUUACGGCGGUAAAAUCAUGGGGAAUGUGUCAUUAGGGCUGAAAACACCCGUAAGAUUUUACUCUUGAAGAGUAAAAUCCAUAUCCAAGCCUUAUGUGUCCUCAAAUGCCACCCGGGUCCCUCCAAACACUUGUAAUAAAGUAUUUUCGCAUCUAGAAGUGUUUGUCCCUAACUAAUAAAUAAUUUAAGUUCUAAUUAGAUACAAAUGUGCAUCUUCUCUUAAUACUUAGGAAUCUUGUUCAUUUGCAAACCCAGAACUGACGUUUAGGAUCCAAACCGACGCAUUCCUCAACCGGUGAGUUCAUACCCCUACCUUUUUUCUGUGUUUUUCAAAUGUUUUCAGGGGGAAUACAAGCAAAAGUACAAGGAUAUCUUGUACUCAAACUUAUCAUUUUCAGUUCAAAUAUCUAUAUUCUGUAUGUUUUUAAUAUCGAAAACUGUGUUAGUCACCUAGUUCGAAAUACGAAGUUAGCCUUCAGACUAAUCAUAGAUAUCCUGCUAAAGUGUUAUAAUCUAAAUUAUAUUUCAUAAUCAACGAAUAAUUCAUGCUAAUCAUCAAUUAGAUUGAAUACGAAUACGAAAGUACAACUAGGAACAGAACGAAUACGAAAGCAUAACUAGGAAAAGAACGACUAGGAAUACUAAAGUAAUAAUGCAAAAAUAAUAAUACGAAUUCGAAUGCGAAUACGAAUACGAAUACGAAUACGAUUAGGAUUGGUAAUAGGAAUAUGAAUAGGAAUAUGAAUAGGAAUACGAAUGCAAAUACGAAUUCGAAUACGAAUACGAGUACGAUUAGGAUUAUGAAUAGAAAUAGGAAUGCGAAUACGAUUAUGAAUGCGAAUACGAAUACGAAUAGGAUUAGGUAUAGAACUAGGAAAUCGAAUACUAAUGCAAAUACGUAUACAAAUACGAAUAUGAAUACGAAUACAAAUAUAAAAUACAAAAAUGAAUAUGAUUAAGAAUAGAAAUACGAAUACGAAGGCACGCAUCUAGGUACAUUCAAGUGUAACACAAUUAGGAUAUCAGUAUACCUAGCUAAUAUGACAAGUAUAAUAGAUAAUCAAAUAUUACAUUGGUGUCCAAUAACUAAACUUACUUUUAGGAAAAUAUAGGAUUUUCCUGGGAUAACAUAACAACUCGUAAAUGAAUUAUGAAACGAAUGGAUAACUAAACCAUUAGGAAAAAAUGGGAUUUUCCUGGGGUAACAUACAACACGUAAUCGAAUUGGUAACAAUUGAUAACUAAACUGUUUCACAUAAGAAAAUAUGGGAUUUUCUUGGAUAACAACUUUUUGAGAAAACUAAAAGGGAACUCGUUCAUUUUCAUAAAACAAAACCGCUUAUGAACUCACCAGCUUUAUGCUGAUUUUCAAACUGCUUGUAUUCUCAGGUCCAUUUUAGACAGGUACCCAACGAUCUUUUUUGGAGAAAACGGAGCGUACAAAAGACUAGUCUUUGCUUUUGUCUAUAUAUAUAUAUAUAUAUAUAUAUAUAUAUAUAUAUAUAUAUAUAUACACAAACAUAUGUAUCAACACNUAUGUAUGAUCACUUGUAACACUUUACUUUUGAACAUAUGUAAAUUCUAAUAUGUAUACUCUACGUGGAGCCUGCCCCGUAAAUGUUUCCGCCUUUGGUUUUCGGGGUGUGACAUUACUACUCACUAUUUCUAAGUACAAUGAAACAUACAAGAGUCGGUUCAUUCAUGAGUCAAUACAAACUUACUAUUAUGAGAAACAGAAAUAACAUACUAUGAUGAGAAAUUAAGAGAACAUACACCUCACUAUCUACUAUACACUAGAAUAGAGAGAACACACAAUACACUAGAACAUACUAUACAAAUACUAGAAUAUUAUAACCUUAAUGUGAGUCUACUUCAUGGCAUAUCAACAAAUUUGUUGUGUCACGUUUGGUAACCAGAGCCUCCUGGAAGGAUAGCGGACAUUGUGUGUAUAGAUCUAUACGGGACUAAAAAGCCCCCAUCCCGACUGUUCGCUACAGUUGGCGGAAAGGCCAAGGGUGACAAAUGUCGUGUUAUCUACCUGUUGAUUUAGCAUGGUUGCUACAACAUCACAUUCAAACCUUAAUUUAACAAACUGGUUUAAGGUAGUUAGUACAUUGGUAGUUACUCACAUACAAUACUACAAUCCUUUAUUAUUUUCCCAUUGCAUUCACAUUGUGAUCUUGUCACAUAAAUGAUAAUGUAAAAACUAUAUUUUCGGUAAUGAUAGUCAUAUUUGGGAAGGAUACACACUUUUACAAAUAAACAGCAUGUAGGACAUUUGGGUCUAGGUAGAAGGCUACUUUUUAGUAGAAAAUAUAGGAUUUCUAGGAGAUGCAAGCAUUUACUACAAACACUUAAAAAGUUUUACAUCAAACAUUUUCAUACAAACAAUGACACUAAAAUACUUAUGAACUCACCGGCUUAAAUGUUGAUCCUAUCUUUCAAAAUAACUUGUAUUCUCAGGUUAUCAGUAGACAGGUACCGAUGCCAGGUUUUGAGAAGACGGAGCUUUCAAGACUCGUCUUUAUUUUGAUUAUUCUUUUUUUUGGUGUCUUAUUAUUAUACAUAACACACUUGUAUUAUAUUAUACUGUUAAUACAAUGGAUGAUGUUGUUGCUUGUUUACUAUUAUGCAUUGUUGUGAUAUUGCACAUGACGUCCUCUGCCCCCGAAUGUUUCCGCCAAUUCGGUUUGGGGGUGUAACAAAUUGGUAUCAGAGCAUUGUUUAUAGUGAAUCGAGUAUAUCAAACCAUAAAAGAUAUACAAACUAUAAACACAACGGGAUUAAAAUAUUCUGACCAAGAGUUUAUACUUUUAAAUAAUAAAAUAUUUAACUAAGUAUAGAUACCUGCAUUCAUACUAAAAUUAGUGUCACUAUGACAUAACAAAAGUAUUACGAUUGUUGAACAACAUAAUUAGGCUUAGAGACAUAUGAUCAGAUUUGGGAUUAAUAUAGCCUGAUCAACUAUAUUUUCCGAGAAGUGAUUAGCAUGUGCCUAAGAAUGGUUGUGGUGUUACAACAAGUCCAAAAACUUACCAACACUACUACAAUGAAAACAUUAGAACAGAACAUAAACCUAAAAUACUAUAGGAGUAUUUUGUGUUACUAUAAUUACUUGUUUGAGAACUAAAGGUCUUUACUAGUAGGUCAACAGUUGCUAAGUGAAUACACUAAGGUUAUAUGUGACUAAGGUGUCAUAGACUUAGAAUCUGUGAUCUUUGCUUUAUUUCCUGUUCCUUGUUUGGUUGUGGAUUUGGAGUUAGGGUCACUUACUUAAAGGUCUAUCCAAUCUUGGUUAUAUAUGACUGGUAUGCACUGUGCAAGUAUUAAAGUAACUGGUAAGGAUCAUCCUAUAAUUAGCUUAAUUAGUACGUCUAUUAACUAUUUCUUUUAUCCCUAUUCUCACGUAGAUAAAUAUGGUUGGAUUCCAUCUCCUCGGCGACCCUUACUUCCCAAAUCAAGGAAAUAUUGCUUGGCUUGAUGCCGAACAAGAAGAAGAGCCUAAAAUCCCCUUGGAUGAUGACUUUGUAGAGAACUUAUCGGAGGAUUCUGACUCCGAGCCCGAAGUCAAUAAUCUACCCCCUGUGGCUCCUGUCCCAAAUCCUAACCCUCGCCCGACUUUUCAAGGCCCGACGCCUCAGUGGGUGGAAAGCUUGGAAACAUGGAGUCAAGAAUAGGAUCAACCCAUGCCAUACAAUGGAGAUAGAAGCUUCUACAAUUUGAGCGAAGGAAGCUCAACAGACAGAGUCCUGCCAAUUCUUGUCCGCAAGGUUGCUCAAAACGAAAUAUAGGGUAGGACAGCCCUCAACUAAAUCAUGGAGGUGGAUGCCAAUGCGAGAAUGCAUACAAUCCGCACCAUUCAUCUUGAAGAUGCUCGUGAGAGAUCUAUGAGAGACAACGAGGCCCUACAGUAAGAGGUUGCUGCAACUCGGGCUGAAGUCAUUGAAAUCCGAGUACGCAAGAGAGUAUAUGAACGACAACUUCUUGACAUGGAGCGUCAACUGGCAAGCUUGAGGGUUCACCUGAGGGGUACCCGUCGUCUAUAGAAGAUACUCUAUUCAUCCUCCCUUUAGGUUUAAGGAAUAGCUUUCGUAUAUAUGUUCUAUGUAACACUUUUCCAUCUAACUACUCCUAUACUGUAGGUACUAUUUCACUAGCUCUUUGUUCUGCAAAACAUUCUACCACUUCUGAUUUGAUGUAAGACUUACUCAAAAGUCAAUUGUCCCGAACUUAUUACAUCUUUAAUGUGACAUCCCCAUUUUCAUGGCCAGAAAAAGACCGAUUUUGUUUAUGCUUUAUUAAAUCAGACUACCUCUUUUAAUAAAAAUAUUGCGGAAUUUGUUCCUAGUAAAACAUGAUAAAUACGUUAUCUGUAACGCCCGCAGAUCCGGGCUAGUCAAAUUAGAGGCAAUAAGUGUCGAAAACGUCUUUUCGACAGAAGCUUAUAAAUAAUUUGAACCAAGUUGUAGUAUAUGUCACUAUGUUUCUGUACAUAUAAAGAAUGCCGAAAUCCGAGUUAUUACAAAGAAGUUAUGAUCCGUCGAAGUUUCGCGACGGAACCGGCUCGAUACCGGGAGGCGUAAAUAGUGAAUUUACGAUAGAGCGAGAUUUAGCCUUGGCGCUGUAAACGAAAGUCAUAGAAUAUGUUAAACUAAGAAGUUCGAUAAAAAGAACGCCCAAAUCUGACUUCGUAUGAAGAAGUUAUGAUUUUUCGAAGUUUCAGAUUAGCAGUGUACAGCCCGAAAUUCAAAUAUUAGAUCGAGCGAUCUUUAGCCGAUACAACCUGAACAAGAAUCGAAGAUCUCGUUAAGAGUAGCAUAACGAGAAAAAGAUGGGCGAAAACGGACGUCGGAUGAAAAAGUUAUGAGGAUUUAAUAGCCCAAUCCUGUCCCGGCAUGUUAAAAAUAUAACUUCAAAAAUAAAGUCAAAAUUAGUCGACAGAGUCUAAACGAAAGUUGUAGAGUACGUCUCCACCUAAGCAUGGAUAUAAAGAACAUCAAAAACGGAGUUUGUAUGAAUGAGUUACAAAUUAUAAUAGCAUAUUUACGUAUUAAAAUAAUGUAUAAAUCAUAUAUACGUACACAUAUAUAUACAUAUGUAUAUAUCAUUAGAAAGGUAUCGACGAUGCGGUCAUUAUAAGACUAAUGUUGAGUUCUUUCGACAUUAGUUUAGUGCAAAUAUCGUUAAAUCUAUUUAAAAUAGUAUUAUAAAGGGGUGUUUAGUUGUUUAUAUAACUAUGAGGUCAUUAAGUAAUUAUGAAGGGUGGUUUUUGUAAAUUCAAUUACUAAAAAUAAGAGGCUUGGGUUCUCAUAUUUCUUGCUCCAUUCUCUUGAUUCAAGAGUCUUGCUCUCCUUAUCCCCCGAGCAUUUCGGUCCCUCGUCAUUCGACUUCUCUUUAUGUAGUUUUAGUAUAGUAAGGUGAGCAUUAAAGCACUGCACGAAUCUUUCUUAAAAAUAUUCAACGACGAAGUUUUGCCCCUACAGAGCCCGACUCCUAGCUAAAAUCCCCUUGUAAGUAAGUUAAGCUUACCCUAUUUUAAAUAUAGUUUAUAUUUAAAAUUAGUACUGUUAUUAUAAACUUAUAAUAAAUAUUUGAGCUAUUAUUAUGACUUAUAUAAGUAUCGUUAUAAUAUCUUUUUAACUACUCGCGGUACGGGGAAUCUGGUUUAAUGUGCCGCAUAGGGUUGCUGGAUUUCAGAAGUGCUAUAUGCGAAAAUGGUCCUGCCCCCCGGUGUUUUAUGCCUGGCCCCUGUCUGUACAUAGUGGUUUGAAAGUAUUGUUUAAACGUUUUUAUAAUAAUAAUAAUAAUAAUAAGACAAAUAAUUAGUCACGGUAAAUAUUAGACUAAAAUCUAGUGGUAAUAAUACUAGGUUUCGUCGAAGGAAAUUAUUUUAAAGUAAACGAAGCGCUGUCCGAGUACCGAGUCACCACCUUCUCAGGUGAGUGCAUAGUCCCUUUCAUCUUACACAUAGAUAUGAAGUAUUUUAAUAUAAAUUACGUCUUUUGUGUGCAUAUUGUCUGAAUACUUGUUGUCUAUGCUGGGUGAAAGAUUUUUAUACAUGUUUUAAACGAUUUAAAGUAUAUAUGUAUUUUAUAUCUACAAAAUGUGUUGGGUAAAACACGGGUAGAUGAAAUAGUUGUUUUUUGAUAACACGAUGGGAGACAUCAAUGUUGUCAGUGAUCCAGUCAUCUAGUUGACUAUAGAUGAUGACCAUGGGCGAUAAUAGACGGUCAGGUGGAACGCUAGGUGUUUUUGAACUAGGUGCUCAUUAGGUAUUUUGAACUGAGUGUGUUCACUACGUAUCUUUGAUCUGAGUGUGUUCACUAGGUAUUUUGAACUAAGUGUGUUCACUAGUUACUUUUGAACUAAGCGUUUACCAGAUGUUUUGGACUACGUCUUCCCCGUUUCCGUUAAUGGAAUAUUCUAUCUUAUAAAAGUCCUGUUAAUUUGAGGUCGUCAAAUAAAUAAAUGUUUUAUAUAUUUAUAUUUUAUGUCGUUAUCGUCGUGAUAAAAUAAAUAAAAGCACGUAAAGUACAUUUCCAUAUAAAUUGGAAAAAGUUAAUUUUAUUACGACCACUAAAUCGGGUGCGACCAAAAGCCCCGUUUAACGACAGUAUCGGGUAGGUUUCCACUGAGCCUUAACUCCAACCCCUAUAUAAGGGGAAUGGACUUCAUUCCACCCUUUUUACUCUCUCUCUCUCUCUACAACUUAAAUUCGAGCCAAAAAUCAUCCGUUUCGAGCCCCACACGAGUAAGCAUCCUAUCCUAACUUGUUGUAUAGCUUAUCUAACAUGCAAAUCCGAGUUUAAGACAUAAAAUAGGGACAAAAUGAUGUGUUUACAGCCCAAGAACACUAGUGGACCGUGAACACCAUUUAAUGGGACUUUUAAGCCCCAAAACCCCUCCAAAUUGCCCCUAAGGCUUAGGUAUGACUUGUAGGCUUAUGGAAUCGGACUUAGAACACCUUGAACUAUAAUUUUGGGGAGUAAACUUGACUUUACUAUCCAAGAACUUUCUUGGUCCGUAAACUCCCCUUCAUGGGGAGUAAACUCAAUUCCAUGUGUUAGAAAUGCCCUUAAACACACCAAUGGCAUUGGAUUAAAUUCUAGAAUCAACCACCAACAAGUUAGGGACCUUAAACUCAAUUAAACCAACUCCAUGAGGAGUUGACGGCCGCAAACCCUUCAUGAAAGGGUACCUGGGCCGUAAACUCCUACAAAGGGGUUAAAUGGUGCCCUAAACUCACCCCUUGACUUGUAAAAAUGAGUAGAACCAAUUGUGAUUUACUUAUGGCCUUCAAAAUAAUUUAUGAAUGUGUGGGUGAGAGUUUACAGCCGUAAAAUCAUAGUUUACUGCCGUAAACUCAUCAAAUGGUCCCAAUGUUUUAAUUAGUCCCUUUCUAAUGCCUUAGAACAAAAGCUAGCAUCAUCCCUAAAUUGAUAAAGGGCCAUUUAACACUCAAGAACCUCAUCCAUGAGUUUACGGCCGUAAACUCAUGGGUAUGAGGUGUUUAGGUCCGAAAUCUCUCCUAACAGUUUACUCUUGAAGAGUAAACUCCUUAUACAAGUCAUACACACCCUUAAAUGUUACCCGGGACACCCCUAACACUUAAUCAAAGUGUCUUUCGCACUUUAGGAUGCAUAUACUUGUUUAAUUAGUAUUAUAUGUACUAAUUGUAUGUGAACAUAUCUUAUCAUAUUUUAAUAGGUCACUAAGUGUGUUCAAGUCUUUACUUGACACCAAGCACCCAAUCGUCACCUUCGUCAGAUCCACUUACAUCAGGUGAGUUCAUACCCCUGAAUGAACCUUUUAAAUGUUUCUACAUGUUUUAAUGGGGGGAAUACAAGUUAAACAUUCCAGUUAUCACAUCAAUCACAUGUGAUUGAUAACCCGCAUGCACAAGGAUUUACUACACUGUAAAUUGUUUUAUCGAGUAUGAUACUAUAAAUGGUUUUCUAAAAUGUUUUCACUUGUUCAAAACUCUUACUUAUAUUGUUUUAUCAAAGUUUCAUUGAAAACUGAUUUAUGAAAGGUUUCAAAAGGAUUUCUAAAGUUUUUCAAACUUAUUUUACAAAAGAAUACCCAAUCGUGAUUUUCUUAAGUAUAAAGGUUUUCUUCCAUGUUUUGAUACUCCUACUUGGUUAAGAUACUACUGCUUCACUCCUACUUAGUCAAUGCUCCUACUUGAUGAUGCUUUUACUUCGUAAAACACUUCUACUUAGUGAUACGUUCCUACUUCACUUAUACUUCAUACGCUCCUACUUCACUUAUACUUGAUACGCUCCUACUUUACUUAUACUUGAUACGCUCCUACUUCACUUAUACUUGAUACACUCCUACUUCACUUUUACUUGAUACGCUCCUACUUCACUUAUACUUGAUACGCUCCUACUUCACUGACACUUGAUAAAGCUUUUACUUCACGAUACGCUUCUACUUCACGAUAAGUUUCCACUUAUUUAAGUGCAUGCCUAUGCUUGUAUAGUUAUAUAAAUAAUGUUUAAAGGACUUAGGAAUGCUAGUCGCCCUAUUUCCUUUUCCUCGUUUGGAUGUGGUCUGGUGGGAUCGGGUAUUCAUCCGAAGGUCGUCUAAUCAUAUAUUAUAUAUCAUAUAUACAUGUAUAGACAUGGAAGUUUACGUCGGUCAGUUUAGUUAUGAGUCUUUACUACUAUUCCAACACUUUCAUCAGAUUUCACUAUUUGGGAUGCAUCCUUCGGACAUGGCCUUCUCCGUUGUCUAGUUGGUAACCAGAGUCUCUUGUAAGGAGCGCGGAUAUUGUGUGUAUAGAUCUAUACGGGAUUGACCCCCCCGCACCCUGACUGCUAGCAACAGUCCACGGCCUACCAAGCCAAGGGGUGACAAAUGUCAUAUUUUACACAGACGCUUGUAGGGCGUCAAGUACUCUAGUGUCGGUUAGUAUGGUUACGAGUAUCUCAGGUUACCUUAUAAUUCAUGGUCUUAAGGUAACGAUAUUUAACAUUGUAUGCGGGGAACACACUCUUAGAGUUACACUGUUUUAGACCUUACUAGCUGUAUCUUUCAUUUGGUACUGUCUGGGGUCUGUAUUCUCCGUUUUAGACCUUACUAGCUGUAUCUUUCAUUUGAUACUGUCUGGGGUCUGUAUUCACUAUUUUUAGACCUUACUAGCUGUAUCUUUCAUUUGAUACCAUCUAGGGUCCGUGUCUCAUGUUGUUAGACUGAGCCAGGCGUGUCGUUCAUUCGAUACUCUCCUGGAGUCUAUGAUUCCUUUUGCCUUAGUCAGCAGUGAGUCUUCACUGCUGAGGCAUAUGUUAUUUUCCCUGUUAUUCUCCUAUUGCCUUUAAUAAUCAAAUUCCGUAUUUUGAUAAUGAUAGUGUUUAAGGGAAAACUACUUUUUACAACAUAACUCCGUCCAGUCUUGGUAGAAGACUGCAUUUAAUAAAGAAAAUAUAGGAUUUUAUGCAAAGGACUCUAAUUCAAUGGGUAUUCUAAAACCACUACUUUUAUAAAGUUAUUUGGAUAAAAUGACACUAAAUACUUAUGAACUCACCAGCAUUUGUAAAAAUUCUGAUACUCGUUUUUCAAAUAACUUGUAUUCUCAGGUCAGCAUUAGACAUGUACAUCCCCGGGAGCUUUUGAUGAAGACAGUUUAGUACCAGGCUGCAUCUAUAUUAUUACUUGUAUUACUUUGAUGUUCCAUGUAAUGUAAACCAUGUAUAUUAUUCUGCCGUUCCGGUUUUGGGGUGUGAUAGAUUGGUAUCAGAGCAUUGUUUAUAGUGAGCUAAGUAUAUCAAUUCAUAAAAGAUAUACAGCCUAUAAAUACAUAGGGAUAAAACAUUCUGACCAAGAAUUAUACUUUUAAAUAUAACCAUAUUUUACCAAAGUAUAAGAACAUCCAGAAUCUAAACACUCGAACACAAGUAUCACAAGAAGAACAAUAAUAAAAGUCUUCGGAUGUUGAGCAUUACCGUCAAACCUGGGCAGUUAUGUAAUCGUAAGCUGGAAUAAAUGUAACCUGAUGAACUACAUUUAUUCGAGAUGCGAUGAAAUUGUGCUUGGGAGUGAUAGUGGUGUUGCAACAAGUCUGAAACUUACCAACUAGGAGUGCUAGAGCCACACAUAAAGUUUAAAAUACUAUAGGUGUAUUUUGGAACACUAAAAGACUCACAUUAAUCCCAGAAUCAUAUUCGGAAGAUAAGAAACAAACAAGAAAUUAAAAUACCAUAGGGGUAUUUUAGGAUCCAUACAUAAACUUGUGUGAAGAACUAAAAAGAUCCUUAUUGAUAUACCUACAACUACAGAGGGUAUACUCCCAAGGUUAUACAUAAUAAGGAUCCCAUGGGCUAAGAAUGUGUAGUUUCGCUCUACUUCCUUUUCCUCGUUGGGAUGUGGAUAUAGAGUAGUAUCACAUAUUCGAAGGCCUAUCGGAUCUAAGUUAUAUAUGAUUUGUAUAACCUGUGUAAUCGUAGCAAGACUCGAUACGGAUCCCCCAGUGAAAUGUUAAUAAUCUCUUUGGAUUCUUUAGAUAUUUCCAUUCUCGCACGAACCCUGUAGACAACCCUACCCACUUUAGUACUCGACAGAAGAGUUGAUUCAGACCCAGAAAAGGUUCAUUGAAAAGAUUUCUUGUUCGGAAAAUAAAUGAACUAGGUCAAGACUAUUGGAAUCACCAAGUGCCUAUAUCAUUUUAGGGACAUCGGUGAGAAAUUAGCCUAAACUUCCGAGAUUUCCAGUCAACCAUCAUGAAGUGAUGACACCCAGAGUCGGAUUCGGAAGUAAGGCGGAGUAGAAAUUUAAUACGUCUUCACAAGAAAAGAACCCUAGGUAACUACCCGAAGGAAACCAACGCCGGUCCCAGUCAAAGCUACGAGGUAGACAGAGGGAGCCAGUACAUGGAACCCGAGAAGUGUAUUUUCAUCGUGUUCGUCACGCUAAUACACCUAUAAAUUAAUACAAUUUAGUGAGUUAGUGGUUACACUACUCAUGUUAUGUGUUAGGUAAAUCGCCAUUUCCCGUUGCCAGUAACACGAUUAGAGCGGAUCCCGACACCUCUAUUGAGAGUGUUUAGCCAUAAGCCUUCAUGGGCCUCUCUUUCUGCGGUUUUCGUUCCGAACUGCUCUUAAAUGUUUCCAGACCGGAGAGUGAAACCUUUCCCAGUAUAAAGGUAACUUAGUAGGAACGACUCUCACCUUAUAACCUUUUUCCGAUACUCAUACUCCUACCUUGAAUACCAGGACUACAUCAUAGGGAUGUACGUCGACACUCAGACGACCAACAUCCGAGGCACGGAAAAAAUUUAUGCCUAAUACGGUCAGGACAGAUAUGUCCAGGGUCAGCCAUCGUCUCUCAUUAUCUUGUGUUCCUUCCCGUGUAGGAAAACCAUGCCUCCAAAGAAGCGUAACCAGUCCGCAAGCAAGAAACCUACUCUCCUAUUCGAUGAAGCUACGUUCCAAGCUGCAGUCUCGGCAGCCGUAGCAGCUGUCAUGGCUCACCUGAAUGCUAACAAUGCCAAUGUUAGCAAGAGCUCUAUCGGGAAUUCUGAUCCUAGUGGUGGACAGCGGCAACCAUCCUCUGUGUACGCAGCCACCCAAGAACCUCAGCUAAUUCCACUAAAGAGAAAACUCAAGAUCGAGGAGGGAUGUACUCGGCUCAAGGACCUUCCGAAGGGCAACGAGCUGAGACAGUCAAUGCCCCUGUUAAUCCUUCCCUCCUGGCUUCAAGAAGACCAUACCUAGGAAGCCUUCCCCACUACAGCACGUGCAGUUACCACCAUCAUGAUAGCUGACGAGAACUCUUUUGUGCUAGGUGCAAUAUGAAGGGCCAUGCUGCUCGCGUCUGCAGAAUUUUGGUUGAGUUAUUACAUCAACCACCAGUGUGACAGACAAACCAAUUUGCUGCCUAUGUGGUGAGAUUAGACACUUCAAAAGGAACUGCCCAACUGAAGGAAACAACAAAGACACAGGAGGAGCCUAACUCUACUGCUUAGGGAGAAGCAUCAAGGAACCCGGUAGAAUUUGGUACGUCUCUCAUUCUCAUAUAACUAACCAAAAACAUUAAAAGGCUAAUUCAAAUGUAAAUAUUUCCCCAGUAAGGCGAAAGUCGUAGCACUGUUAUAACAUUUAAAAAUUUCAUCAGGUAAAACUAUAAUGGCUAAACAUAUAAGUUACGGCCAUGUAUAGGUAAGAUGGAUAGACCUAGAGUGAGUGAAUGUCGCCUCAUUUCAUGUUCCUCGUUUGGUUGUGGAUUUAGGGAGGAGACACUUAGUCAACAAUCCUCCCCACCUUAAUUAUACAUGACUAGUAUAUGUUAGGCUAUUAUAGAGAUGCCUUGUGAGAAUCUGUUCAUGAAAAGAUACUCUAUUCAGAAACACUCAGGACCCUCUACAGCUUCGCGUCGACUCUAUCGGUCCCAGUAUCCGCGUCAGAGAUACACGGGACGAAACCCGAGACGCCUAGAACUUGUAUGCCCGUUCGGAACAUGACUCUAUCGAUCCUCAUUUUAUAUCAUGUCGAAGUAUGCCAACUUCGACGACACUAUCGAUCAUGGUUCGACUUCGUGCAACCAUGUGUAAAUCCUUAGUGCUGAGUAAAAAGAGCUUUCUCCGUAAGCCAUUUCGGCAAAUUAAGGUUCUUCCGAACCUAAACAUAAUACAAAUAAUAAAACCUAAUGUGAUCUGUCAUUCGUCCCUCUUAUCUAAAACCUUCUAAAGUACCCAGGAGAAGGGUAUCGCGCGCUGUUAACCAAUCCCUCUUAAACGGAUAGAAGCCGAAGCGAGAGACACUGCAAGCAUUCCAGAAGACAAUAACCACCCGAAGCAUACUCCGUAGAUCCCCCAAAAAGACCCUCGCACCUCGCAAACCAGGUUCGUAAACCCAGAGGAUAGAACUCAUGGGACUAACCACUAUAACGGAGUAUAUGCAUAAAGGUGGUAUCUAAUUGAUAUCAAAAAGAUUUAAGAUGUGUGCUUCCUCCCUACUCCCUGUUCCUCGUUGUGUUGUGGGUCUGGGGUGGAGUCGCACAACUGAACAUCCAGCCGACCUCAAUUAUAUAAAGCUUGAAUACACCAAGUAUUAGUGGUUAAGCCAAGUAUGAGCUUAACCACGAACCCCAUAGAAAGACCCUUCAUCAUAUCCCAUGUAUUGGGAGCUAUAUUCAAGAGAAGCACGGCGGGUUGAGCUACUAUAAUGACCACCAAUCCGAAAUUCGUAGUCCUCCUGGUUAGACCAACAUUGUAGUUAACAUCCUCAGUUGAUAAAGGGAUCUGAGUCGUAAGAGUCAAGGACAUUGACUACGACCAUCCACUCACGCUUAUCCCACAAAUUAAGCAUCUCAGCGGAUAUCCCGGAAAUCCGAAAGCUGCGAUGAGUUGAACUCUUAGAAGAGUGGAUGAGGAGAUUAAUGUUCCGAGUGAUGGAACCCCGCACUCACUAGAUUUGACCUAGACCGAGAAAAACUCCGAAACUUCGGAAGAUUAGUCGCAGAAGAUGUUCGCACUACUCAGGCACUUCGUCCAUCCCGUUACCGACGAGUAGUGCCUAGAACCCUCCGCCUCUUGCGUGGAGCAAAUCGUCGUCGCCUUGUAGACGAUAGACUACAUUCUUCGAAGUGAACACUAGAAUACCGAGGACCACGGGAUAACCUCCGCAGCCAAGAAUACAAGAAUAAAGUGCAAGGGUAGGUUGUGUUAAGCCUUAUAACCCGGAAUCCCGGAGAGAUUAUAGACUUGAUGCCAGUCUAGGUGUUAGUCGAUGGGUUAUACAGGAGCACACGCUUUCCGCACUAGAAUAAACUAACGCCUUGGAAAUUUGGGCAUGUCUCACAAGAUUCAUUGGACUAUCAGGUGUUCCAUGAAUACUAUCUCACACAGAGAUAGUAGAACCACCCCCAGAGAUAGUCCAGCACUCGUCUGGUGAAACCCUAUCUCCCCGACCCUGAGGGUUCUGUUAGGAAUAUCUCAGGAAUUCACUAGUGUAGGUUCAUCUUGCACAAGAUUGAGAUAGCCACUCUACAACAAAAAGAUACUGCAGACACACAACCCAUCCGAUGAUCUAGAAAGUCUCUAAAAGCCAAUUUACAUGAAACGCGAAACCAAGGACAACCCGAGCCUCCUAAGAACCAACCUGAAGGACUACACUUCCAAUAUGAGAGAGAACGUUUGGAACUUCGAAAUGGUGAUCAUGCCAGUGAUGACCUCGCCAUAGAAGUACACUAUGUUCUAAGUACUGAAAAGCUCUAUCCUUCCGAGAGCUUUGGACCAUCCGAGAUCCUUUACAGAGAUGGGUCCAACCCUCAUCAGACGACUACCACUUUCGGAAAUUCCACGAGCUUCACCCCAGAUUGAUCCACGUCUUAUACUUGACAAGUGCUUGCCCGACGUCACACUUUGUAUCCCACUCAUCUUGACAGAAACCAUUGAGAACCCUAACAUCCUAGACACACCUGUAGGAAAUCAAUAACUACAUGAGACGGAAAUCCGCAUCCCGUAGGUGAAGGUCUACUGGAGUGACAAACAUAGGCCAGGGUUCACUUGAGAGUGCAAGGACAAACUGAAUAGGAAGUACCCUCCUGCCUCUACAUGGUCAUUCAUACCUACUUCCUUGCCUAAACCUGAAUUUCGGGACGAAAUUCCCUCUAAUGGGGGAAUGAUGUGACAACCCAAAGUUUAUUCCUUUACAUUACCCCGUUUCUGUUAACGGAAUAUUCCAUCUUAUAAAAGUCCCGUUAAUUUGAGGUCCUCAAAUAAAUAAAUGUUUUAUUUAUUUUUAUUUUAUGUCGUUAUCGUCGUGAUAAAAUAAAUAAAAGCACGUAAAGUACAUUUCCAUAUAAAUUGGAAAAAGUUAAUUUUAAUACGACCACUAAAUCGGGUGCGACCAAAAGCCCCGUUUAACGACAAUAUCGGGUAGGUUUCCACUGACCCUUAACUCCAAACCCUAUAUAAGGGGAAUGGACUUCAUUCCACCCUUUUUACUCUCUCUCUCUCUCUCUCUCUCUACAACUUAAAUUCGAGCCAAAAAUCGUCCGUUUCGAGCCCCAAACGAGUAAGCAUCCUAUCCUAACUUGUUGUAUAGCUUAUCUAACAUGCAAAUCCGAUUUUAAGACAUAAAAUAGGGACAAAAUGAUGUGUUUACAGCCAAAGAACACUCUUGGACCGUGAACACCAUUUAAUGAGCUUUUUAAGCCCCAAAACCCCUCCAAAUUUCCCCUAAGGCUUAGGUAUGACUUAUAGGCUUAUGGAAUCCGACUUAGAACACCUUGAACUAUAAUUUUGGGGAGUAAACAUGAGUCUACUUCCCAAGAACUUUCUUGGGCCGUAAACUCCCCUUCAUGGGGAGUAAACUCAAUUCCAUGUGUUAGAAAUGCCCUUAAACUUCUAGAAUCAACCACCAACAAGUUAGGGACCUUAAACUCAAUUAAAACAACUCCAUAAUGAGUUCACGGCUGUAAAACCCUCAUGAAAGGGUACCUGAGCCGUAAACUCCUACAAAGGGGUUAAAUGGUGCCCUAAACUCACCCCUUGACUUGUAAAAAUGAGUAGAACCAAUUAUAAUUUACUUGUGGCCUUCAAAGCAAUUUAUGAAUGUGUGAGUGAGAUUUUACAGCCGUAAACUCAUAAUUUACUGCCGUAAACUCAUCAAAUGGUCCCAAUGUUUUAAUUAGUCCCUUUCUAAUGCCUUAGAACAAAAUCUAGCAUCAUCCUUAAAUUGAUAAAAGGCCAUUUAACACUCAAGAACCUCAUCCAUGAGUUUACGGCCAUAAACUCAUGGGUAUGAGGUGUUUAGGGCCGAAAUCUCUCCUAAGAGUUUACUCUUGAAGAGUAAACUCCUUAUACAAGUCAUACACACCCUUAAAUGUUACCCGGGAUAACCCUUAACACUUAAUCAAAGUGUUUUUCGCACUUUAGCAUGCGUAUACUUUUUUAAUUAGUAUUAUAUGUACUAAUUGUAUGUGAACAUAUUUUACCAUAUGUUAAUAGGUCACUAAGUGUGUUCAAGUCUUUACUUGACACCGAGCACCCAACCGGCACCUUCUUCGGAUCCACUUACAUCAGGUGAUACUCCUACUUGGUUAAGAUACUACUGCUUCACUCCUACUUAGUCAAUGCUCCUACAUGAUGACACUUUUACUUCGUGAAACACUUCUACUUAGUAAUACGCUCCUACUUCAGUUAUACUUGAUACGCUCCUACUUCACUUAUACUUGAUAUGCUCCUACUUCACUUAUACUUGAUACGCUCCUACUUCACUUACACUUGAUACGCUCCUACUUCACUUUUACUUGAUACGCUCCUACUUCACUUAUACUUGAUACGCUCCUACUUCACUGAUACUUGAUAAAGCUUUUACUUCACGAUACGCUUCUACUUCACGAUAAGUUUCCACUUAUUUAAAUGCAUGCCUAUGCUUGUAUAGUAAUAUAAAUAAUGUUUAAAGGACUUAGGAAGGCUAUUCACCCUAUUUCCUUUUCCUCGUUUGGAUGUGGUCUGGUGGGAUCGAGUAUCCGUCCGAAGGUCGUUUAAUCAUUUAUUAUAUAUCAUAUAUACAUGAAUAGACAUGGAGGUUUACGUCGGUCAGUUUAGUUAUGAGUCUCUACUACUAGUCCAACACUUUCAUCAGAUUUCAGUAUUUGGGAUGCAUCUUCCGAACACGGCCUUCUCCGUUGUCUAGCUGGUAACCAGAGUCUCUUGUAGGGAGCGCGGACAUUGUGUGUAUACAUCUAUAUGGGAUUGACACCCCCGCACCCUGACUGCUAGCUACAGUCCACGACCUACCAAGCCAAGGGUUGACAAAUGUCAUAUUUUACACAGACGCUUGCAGGGCGUCAAAUACUCUAGUGUCGGUUAGUAUGGUUACGAGCAUCUCAGGUUACCUUAUAAUUCAGAGUCUUAAGGUAAUGGUAUUUAACACUGUAUGCUGGGAAUACACUCUUAGAGUUACACUGUUUUAGACCUUACUAUCUGUAACUUUCUUUUGAUACUGUCUUGGGUCUGUAUUCUCCGUUUUAGACCUUACUAGCUAUAUCUUUCAUUUGAUACUGUCUGGGGUCUGUAUUCAAUGUUUUUAGACCUUACUAGAUAUAUCUUUCAUUUGAUACCGUCUAGGUUCUGUAUCCUGUUGUUAGACUGAUCCAGGCGUGUCGUUCAUUCGAUACUCUCCUGGAGUCUAUGAUUCCUUCUGCCUUAGUCAGCAGUCUUCACUGCUGAGGCAUAUGUUAUUUUCCCUGUUAUUCUCCUACUGUCUUUAAUAAUCAAAUUCUGGAUUUUGAUAAUGAUAGUGUUUAAUGGAAAACUGCUUUUUACAACAUAACUCCGUCCAGUCUUAGUAGAAGACUGCAUUUAAUAAAGAAAAUAUAAGAUUUUCUGGAAAGGACUCUAAUUCAAUGGAUAUUCUAAAACUACUACUUUUAUAAAGUUAUUUGGAUAAAAUGACACAAAAUACUUAUGAACUCACCAGCAUUUGUAAAAAUGCUGAUACUCGCUUUUCAAAUAACUUGUAUUCUCAGGUCAGCAUUAGAUAUGUACAUCCCCGAGAGCUUUUGAUGAAGACAGUUUAGUACCAGGCUGCAUCUAUAUUAUUACUUGUAUUACUUUAAUGUUCCAUGUAAUGUAAACCAUGUAAAAUUAUUACCACUAACGCAAUGGUUGUUGAACUUUGAUUUACUAUACUACAUAUGUUGUGAUACUUGACAUGACGUCAUCCACCCCAGAACGUUUCCGCCAUUCCGGUUUUGGGGUGUGACAUGAUUCCUUAAGAUAAUCCUUAGGAAUGAAUGAACGAGAAAUAGCUGAUUCUUAGGGUAGAUCCUUAAGAGUAAAGAUGAUAAUGGGCAUGGGUAACUGGGUUUAAUUGCUUGAUUGUUUAAACAUAAUAAUUAUAUUAUUGUGGGUUGAAAACCCUAUGUACUCACCAGGUUUCCCAACCUGACCCACUCAGUUUAUUUAUAUCACAGGUGUUGAUAUGAAGUCACAUUACACUGAGAGAUUAAAGAGAUGUAGAUCACUAGUGUAAAUAAAUGUAGGCUCUGUUUAUGCUUAUGUUUCUGUAAUGACAAUGACAUCCCAAAUGUUUUAAAAUGAAUAAAAUACGCCUCUUCGAAAAUGUUUUAAUAACGUAUUUAUCGUGUUUUUCUGGGAACAAACUCCGCAACAUUUUUAUGAAAAGAAGUACUCUGACUUUUAUAAAGCAUAAACAAAAUCGGUCAUUUCUGGCCGUGAAAAUGGGGAUGUCGUAGUUGGUAUCAGAGCAUUAGUUUAAGCGAACUAGGAAUUUGUAGGAAAUUUCUAGACUUAAACUUAGAAUGCUAAGCAAUGAUUGUGAGAUGAGUGUCUGCUCUAUUUUAGAAACAAGAACUAGUUUAUUUUAGGAAAGAUGGCUAAAAUGUUUUAUGUGCUAAAUGAUUUAUGAUGCCUUAUUUGCUAUUAUUUGUUCGGAUCUAUGGUCUGUUGCCGACCGGAUCUGGAAAUUUUAUGUGUUAAGAUUUCUAAACGUUUGAUUACAGUAUUAGAACUGGCAUAUAACUUUUUAGCGUGACAAGGAGAUCUAUACGUCUAUCGUAAAUAAUUUUUUUUCCUUUCUUAAAAUUUUCGCCUCGGUACACCGAACGUCUGCUUCGGUGUACAAAGCGUCAUGGUGAAGACAGACUAGGGAAUAUCCGAGAAAGAUGACAACCUGAGCCUAAGAAUGUGAUGGGUCAUGCAUCGGUCGUUGCGCCUGCACUCGAACCUAUCACAAUGGUAGAAGUUCAGGAAGUGAUGCGAACCAUGAUAGACUGGGAAAAUAGAGGAAAUGAGAUGGCUUACGAUAUUGAAUGAUACGUAUCAGAAGAUAUCAUAAGAGAGGCAUCUUGCCUUUAGAAUACGUCUGAUAAAAUAGCAGUACGUCUAGAGAAGUACGGUACAUCUGAAUGUACACAUUUUAUUGGUGGGAUGAUAGAACAAUUCUAAAAUUUUCAUAUCAUCUGGAAUUUCCAUCACUAACCAAGUUGAAUCAGAAUUGAUGAUUGAAGAUACGCAUGGAAGAAGUCCUAGUAGAGUCUAGGGAAAUUUUUAUGAUUAUUUGGACACACUCGUAUGUGUUAAAUUGUUUUGUGAUUUUAGGACUUGGGGUCUGCGAGACAAUACUUGGGACAAGUAUGAGUAGGUGUGAAAGGUAGUAGAUGCAUAUACUACCGGAAACACAGGACUCACGCUUGGAUCAGGGAAAGUCACAAAGUUACCAAGAAGCUAGUAACUGAUUUUGUUUUAUUCAAGUAUGUCAUUACCAUCGUUUCGGUAAUAACUAAAAAGACUGCUGAUAUUCUGAACCUAGUGGUCAUAUCAAAAGGAGUCCGGCUACGAUGAAUAUGUUACAUGGUUCAGAGAACCAAGCUGGAUGUAGCACCAUCUCAAGCCAGAAGAAUUAAUCAAAACAACCAAUAGAGGUAUCACGAAAAGUUACUUGUAGCUAGAAAUGCUACAUUUUAAAAAAAUGUGAUUAUAUCACAUUAGAACAUGAAGGAAGGUAUAGCCUGUUUUGGAAUUUAACUCUAAGAGACCUAAGUCUAAACUAGCAUCACAUGACGAUAGGUUAUGAUUUGGAGUCUAACCUGAGAUAGAAAGCAGAUGCACAAUCAAGUACUACUUACAAUCAAUAAGUCUAAGAGAUAGACUUGAAGGAAUAUGGAAGGUAUAGUUAUUACCUAGGAUGAAGAGAUGAUGUAUGGAGUCAUUAUACGAGCCCUGUUUUGUUGAUGAUUCCGGGACGUAAUCAUCCUAAGGGGGAGAUAAUUCUAACGCCCGCAAAUCCAGGCUAGUCAAAUUAGAGGCAAUAAGUGUCGAAAACAACUUUUCGACAGAAGCUUAUAAAUAAUUUGAACCAAGUUGUCGUAUACGUCACUAGGUUUCCGUACAUAUAAAAAACGCCGAAAUCCGAGUUAUAGCAAAGAAGUUAUGACACGUCGAAGUUUCGCGACGGAACUGGCUCGAUACCGGGAGGCGUAAAUAGUGAAUUUACGAUAGAGGGAGAUUUAGCCUUGGCGCUCUAAACAAAAGUCGUAGAAUAUGUUAAACUAAGAACCUCGACAAAACGAAUGCCCAAAUCUGACUUCAUAUGAAGAAGUUAUCAUUUUUCGAAGUUUCAGAUUAGGAGUGUACAACCCAAAAUUCGAAUAUUAGAUCGAGCGAUUUUUAGCCGACACGACCUGAACAAGAAUCGAAGAUCUCAUUAAGAGUAGCAUAACGAGAAAAAGAUGGGCGAAAACGGGCGUCGGAUGAAGAAGUUAUGAGGAUUUAACGGACCAAUCCUGUCCCGGCCUAUUAAAAAUAUAACUUUAAAAAUAAAGUCAAAAUUAGCCGACAGAGUCUAAACGAAAGUUGUAAAGUACGUCUCCACCUACGCGUGAAUAUAAUGAACGUCAAAAACGGAGUUCGUAUGAACGAGUUACAAAUUAUAAUAGCGUAUUUACAUAUUAAAAUAAAGUAUAAAUCAUAUAUACGUACACACACACACACACACACACANNNNNNNNNNNNNNNNNNNNNNNNNNNNNNNNNNNNNNNNNNNNNNNNNNNNNNNNNNNNNNNNNNNNNNNNNNNNNNNNNNNNNNNNNNNNNNNNNNNNNNNNNNNNNNNNNNNNNNNNNNNNNNNNNNNNNNNNNNNNNNNNNNNNNNNNNNNNNNNNNNNNNNNNNNNNNNNNNNNNNNNNNNNNNNNNNNNNNNNNNNNNNNNNNNNNNNNNNNNNNNNNNNNNNNNNNNNNNNNNNNNNNNNNNNNNNNNNNNNNNNNNNNNNNNNNNNNNNNNNNNNNNNNNNNNNNNNNNNNNNNNNNNNNNNNNNNNNNNNNNNNNNNNNNNNNNNNNNNNNNNNNNNNNNNNNNNNNNNNNNNNNNNNNNNNNNNNNNNNNNNNNNNNNNNNNNNNNNNNNNNNNNNNNNNNNNNNNNNNNNNNNNNNNNNNNNNNNNNNNNNNNNNNNNNNNNNNNNNNNNNNNNNNNNNNNNNNNNNNNNNNNNNNNNNNNNNNNNNNNNNNNNNNNNNNNNNNNNNNNNNNNNNNNNNNNNNNNNNNNNNNNNNNNNNNNNNNNNNNNNNNNNNNNNNNNNNNNNNNNNNNNNNNNNNNNNNNNNNNNNNNNNNNNNNNNNUAAUAAUAAUAAUAUUAAUAAUAAUAAUAAUAAUAAUAAUAAUAAUAAUAAUAAUAAUAAUAAGACUAAUAAUUAGUCAUGGUAAAUAUUAGUCUAAAAUCGAGUCGUAAUAAUACUAGGUUUCGUCGAAGGAAAUUAUUUUAAAGUAAACGAAGCGUUGUCCGAGUACCGAGUCACUACCUUCUCAGGUGAGUGCAUAGUCCCUUUCAUCUUACACAUAGAUAUGAAGUAUUUUAAUAUAAAUUAUGAGUUGUGUGUGCAUAUUGUCUGAAUACUUGCUGUCUAUGCUGGGUGAAAGAUUUUUAUACAUGUUUUAAAUGAUUUAAACUAUAUAUGUAUUUUGUGUCUACAAAAUGUGUUGGGUAAAACAUGAGUAGAUGAAAUAGGUGUUUUGUGAUAACACGAUGGGAGACAUCAAUGUUGUCAGUGAUCCUGUCAUCUAGGGGAGUAUAGAUGAUGACCAUGGGUGAUACUAGACGGUCCAGUGGAACGCUAGUAAGCUCGUAACCUGUAGGUGUUUUUGAACUAGGUGUUCAUUAGGUAUUUUUAACUGAGUGUGUUCACUACGUAUCUUUGAACUGAGUGUGUUCACUAGGUAUUUUGAACUAAGUGUGCUCACUAGUUACUUUUGAACUAAGUGUUUACCAAAUGUUUUGGACUACGUGUUCACCAAUUGUAAUCUAUAAGCUUUGGUAAUGAUGGACUUCGUGCCGAUUCCUUAGGAUAAUCGUUAGGAAUGAAUGAACGAGAAAUAGCUGAUUCUUAGGAUAGAUCCUUAAGAGUAAAGAAGAUAAUGGGGAUGGUUAGUUGGGUUUAAUUGCUAGAUUUUUUAAUCAUAAUAAUUAUAUUAUUGUGGGUUGAAAACCCUAUGUACUCACAAGGUUUCCCAACCUGAACCACUCAUUUUAUUUAUAUCACAAGUGUUGAUAUGAAGUCACAUUACACUAAGAGAUUAAAGAGAUGUAGAUCACUAGUGUAAAUAAAUAUAAGUUCUAUUUAUGCUUAUGUUUAUGUAUUGACAAUGACAUCCCAAAUGUUUUAAAAUGAAUAAAAUACGUCUCUUCGAAAAAGUUUUAAUAACGUAUUUAUCGUGUUUUUCUAGGAACAAAUUCUGCAACAUUUUUAUGAAAAGAAGUACUCUGAAUUUUAUAAAGCAUAAACAAUAUCGGUCUUUUCUGGCCAUGAAAAUGGGGAUGUCACAUUAUCAAAGCACUUCCAAAGAAAAAUAUUUUUAUUCAUUUAAAACAUUUGGGAUGUCAUCGUGAAUACAGAAAACAUAAGCAUAAACAGAACUUACAUUCAUUGUCAUUAGUGAUUUUUAUUUCCUUAAUCUGUCAGUGUAAUGUGACUUCAUAUCAACACCUGUGAUAUAAACAAACUGAGUGGGUCAGGUUAGGAAACCUGGUGAGUACAUAGGGAUUUCAAUCCCAUAAUGUUAUACAUAUAUAUACUUUAAAACUCACAAAAUAUACAAUUUCACCAUAUAUAUAAACAACUCUUAUCCCGCCCCGUCGAUCAUCACAAUGAGACUAUCCAUACUCUCGUACCUAAGAUUAGCCGGUUUACCUAAUCCAUACUCCCGGAUCAGAAAUGAAAGACUUUGCCUAAUCCAUACUCUCGGACUAGGGACAAAUGACUAAUCCAUACUCUCGAAUUAAUGAUGAAUGAUUAUGCCUAAUCCAUACUCUCAGACUAGGGACAAUAACUAUGUCUAAUCCAUGGUCCCGGAUCAAUGACAUAUACUAAGGUUUUAUUCUCUGAGUAUAAUUCAAUCGUUCUCGUAAGAAAACACUACCUAAUAUUUCUCAUAAUUAAUUUAGGUUUACUCUUUAUUCUAAAUAAGCAUAUAUAAUCAGGUAUGCUCUUUAACAAGUAUCUCAGGCAACAUCAAAUAAUUCACACAUAAAUAUAUAUUUAAUACUUCAAUCGAUACUUGUAUUAAAAUCAUGUUCAUGAAAGGGACUAUGCACUCACACAUAAACUCUUGAAAAAAUAUUUAACUCUUUAACAUAUAUUUAAUAAAUGAAUUAAUACUUGUAUUAAAAUCAUGUUCAUGAAAGGGGCUAUGCACUCGCAACACGUAAUUUAUAUUAAAUACUUCAUACAUAUGUGUAAGAUGAAAGGGACCAUGCACUCACUUGAAAAGGUGGUGAUUCCGAACUCAGACAGCGCUUCGCUUCUUAAAUAUAAUUUCCUUCGACGAAACCUAGUAUUAUUACCACUAGAUUUUUGUCUAUUAUUUGCGAGACUAAUUAAUAGUCUAGCUAUUAUUACUAUAAUAUAAGCAUUAAACAAUACUUAUAUAACCCAUAAUAAUAGCCCAAGUACUUAUGAUAAGUUCCUAAUAAUGUUACUAUAAUUAAAUAAAACCUAUAUUAAAAAUAGCGUAGGCGUAACUCACUUACAACGGGUUUUAUAGAAAACCGGGCUUUGCUUGGAGUAGCGUUCCCAAGCCGAAACACUCUUAUUCUCGGAGCCGUCGAGCACUCCGGGGCUUCCGCCUCGUGCUAGAGAGGUUCCCUAGCCUUUUCGGGGCUAGAGAGAGAGUUUCUAGAGAGAGAGUAAAGAGAAGAAAGAAUGAGAAAGGUGUGAACAAAAUGAGGGUGGGAGAGGUUCUAUUUAUAGGGUGAAAAUGGCUGAACUUGGUGCCACAUUUCACCAUCUAGUGGCAAGACUUGGGGAGAAAGUAAUGGCCAAGAUUGUGCCACAUCACCCAUUUUUGCACAACACACCUCCGACUUCUAAAAUCUGUAACUUUCACAUAUGACCUCCGUUUUUGAUGUUCUUUAUAUCCACGCCUAGGUAAAAAUAAGAUCUACAACUUUCAUUUUGACUGCGUCGGCUAAUUCUCGUCCGAUCCUAAAUUUAACAGUACGAGGAGAUUAUACUGAUAAAUGUCCGCGUAAAAAUCAUAACUUCUACAUACUGACUAUGUUUUCGUCUGUCUUUUUACCGUUGAGUUCCUAUUAAUGAGAUCAUUAAUUCUCAUUUAAGUCGUGUAGGCCAAAAACCGCUCGAACUAAAAUUCAAGUUUCAGGUCGUGCAUUGCUAUGCCAAAUCUUAGAAAAUUCAUAACUUCCUCAUACGAAGUCAGAUUUGGGCGUUCUUUUUUUUUUAUGUUCUCGGUUUAACAUAUACUACAACUUUUAUUUGGAUCAAUGAGGCUAAAAGUUCCUAUAUCAAAAAUUCACUAUUUAUGUCUUCCGGUGUCGUGCCGCUUUUGCCAUAAAACUUCAACGAGCCAUAACUUCUUCGUUAUAACUCGGAUUUCGACGUUCUUUAUAUGUACGGAACCCUUGAGACAUAUUAUAAAAUUUGGUUAAUAUUAUUUAUUCUAAAUAAUAUUUUGUCAAAAAGUCAUUUUCGACCCCUAUUAUCUCUAUAUUAACUAGCCUGGAUCUACGGGCGUUACAAUUAUCUCCCCCUUAGGAUGAUUACGUCCCGGAAUCAUGACGAAAUAGGCUCACAUGAUGAAUCCAUACGUUGUCUCUUCAUCCUAAGUAAUAACCGUAACUUUGAUGUUUCUUCGAACGAAUAUCUAACUCUAAGACUUCCUGAUUGCAGGCCGUGCUCGAUCUUGCACUUCUUCCCUAUCUCACGUUAGACUCCAAAUUAUGUCCUUCAAGUCAUAAUCUUGAUCCUUACUAGAGACUGCUUCUUCUUCUUAACAAACUUAAGAUAUGUUAUUUUAUUACUAAAAUAGACCGAUGUGUCAUAUUCUAAUGACUUAUCAUCGUAUGUUACCACGCUUAGACUCAGGUCUCUUAGAGUCUUCCAGAACAGACUAUACUUUCGUUCAUGUUCCAAUCUCAUAUUAAAAGGUAGCAUUUCUAGCUACAAGCAACUAUCGCGAUACCUCUACUGAUCACUUUGAUUGUUUUUCUCUUCAAGCUUUCAGCUUAAGUCAGUUGCUACAUCGGACAUGAUUCUCUGAACUAUUUAUCAUGCUUAUCAUAGUUGGACUCAAUUUGAUAUGAAUGCUAGGGUUAGUAUAACAAUCACCAUCUUAGUCAUUACCGAAAUGAUGGUAACGAUAUUCUUGAAUAAAACGGUACUAAUUACUAGUUUCUUGGUAACCUUGUGACCUUCCCUGAUCCAAGUGCGAGUCAUGUGCUUCCGGUAGUAUAGGCCUCUACUACCAUUCACACCUACUCAUACUCGUCCGAAGUAUUGUCUCGCUGUUUUCCCAAGUCACCAUAAAAUAAAAUCACAAGACAACUUAACACAUUGGAUAGAAAAACAAAGGUUUUUAUAUUAUUCUUUGAAACGAUUACAUAGGUAUUCAAGUUCACCCUAGAUUAUGCCUAUAACAGGCUACAUUAUACGAUAUGAUGGCUACUGCAUAACUCGAUCUUCGGAUAUGAAGUCCUCAUCCUUGAUUCCUCGCGUUAUCAUCUGCUUCGUCAAGGAUCAUCUGAGAUGCUCUUGCCUUCGGUUUUGGCGGUAUAUUCGGCUUUAUAGCUUCUUCUUUCCUUGGGCAGUCUUGCUUGAAGUGUCCCUCUUCACCACACUGAAAAGCAGACUUUUCUCUUGGUUGUGCAUUCACCGGCGUAAUGACCAGUCUUCCCGCAUUUAAAGCAGGUCAUCUCUUUAGAGCAUUUCCCAAUGUGCUUCUUUAUGCACUUGUCACACCAUUGCGUUCCUUCUUCGAACUUCUUUGAACCAGUCAUCAAGAAUUUUUUCUUCUCGUUAGACCUUAAGGAUCCUUCAAACUUUCUCUUCUCGCCAACCUCCAUCUUGCUGGCGGCUCUUCCCUUGAUCAUAUCUUCUAUAGACUAGGCAGCCCAGAUAGUUGCCUCCAGAGUAGGUGCCUGACAUACUGGCACCACAUACUCCCAUGGAAGUCCCUUUACGUACUUGUCAAUUUUUGUCAGCUCGUCCGGGACAAGGCGCAAAGCAAACUCCAUCUAGUCUGUGAAGUUGUUGGCGUAUUCAUCGAUGGUCAUGCUUCCUUUCUUCAAGGUUAGGAAUUGGUUCUAUAGCUCGAGCAAGUUUUGGGCUAAACAGUACUUAAGUUUGAAUUGCACCACAAACUCUGCCCAAGUCAAUUGAAGGGGCUCAUUGGGGCUUAGAGUCUUCCCUAGGGUAUUCCACCAGCGUACAACGCCUCCUCGGAACUGAUGCACUGCAAAGGUGGUUUGCAGCUUGCCUCUGCAACCGCUCGUCAUAAAAGCUAACUCCAUUUCUGAGAACCAAUCCAUGACUCCGAUCGGUCUUCCUUGCCAGUGAAAGUCGAUGGCUUGGAUGUUAAAAAAUCUUUGUACUUGCAUCCGUUUCUCUCGACUACAUCAUCUUGGCUGUUUCUCCUAUUAACUGGCGGAUCAGCUUGGACCACUGACCUACUGUAGUUUCCUUCCUCCGAUUGUUCAGGAAUCGGCUCCUGUUGCAAAAUGGGUAUGGUGGCUUCGUCCCUAUUCUCUUGCAUCAUACGCAUCAUUUCUUCCCUUUGUUCCGCUAACAUGGCCCGCAUCAUGCCUUGUACUCCCGCCAUGGUGAUUGGCUCAGGUGCGACUUCUACUACGACUGGUAUUUGCAGUAUCACUGGGGGUUGAUCUCGGUUCCCAUUUGCAUUCACGUUUCCGCUAUUGGUCCUAGCCAUCUUCAUCUACACACCAAAUAAGGUGAAUAUAGAUCUUUGUUUAGGACUAACGCUUAUAUCAUCCUUAUCUCUCCGAAACGUUUAUAUGCAAGUUCUAAUAUCGUAGACGUACGUUUAGAAUUCUAAACACAUAAGGUUUCCAGAUCCGGUCGGCAACAGAACAUAGAUCCGAACAAAUAACAGCAUAUCAGACACAAAGCAUUUAGCACAUAAAAGCAUUUUAGGCAUAAUUCCUAAAAUAAGCUACUGCUCAUAUCUCACAAUCAUCGCUUAGCAUUUUAAGUUUAAGUCAAGAAAUCCUACAAAUUCCUAGUUCGCUUUAAUUAAUGCUCAGAUACCAACUAUGACAUCCCCAUUUUCACGGCCACAAAAGACCAAUUUUGUUUAUGCUUUAUAAAAUCAAAGUACCUCUUUUGAUAAAAAUGUUGUGGAAUUUGUUCCAGUAAAACAUGAUAAAUACGUUAUCAAAGCACUUCCAAAGAAAAGUAUUUUUAUUCAUUUUAAAACAUUUGGGAUAUCAUCGUCAAUACAGAAGACAUAAGCAUAAACAGAACUUACAUUCAUUAUCACUAGUGAUUUAUAUCUCCUUAAUCUCUAAUGUGACUUCAUAUCAACACUUGUGAUAUAAAUAAACCGAGUGGGUUAGGUUGGGAAACCUAGUGAGUACAUAGUGAUUUCAAUCCCAUAAUGUUAUACCAUAUAUAUAGUUUAAAACUCACAAAAUAUACAAUUUCACCAUAUAUAUAAACAACUCUUAUCCCAUCCCGUCGAUCCUCACAACGAGACUAUCCAUACUCUCGAACCUAAGAUUAGCCAUUUUACCGAAACCAUAUCCCGUAUCAGAAAUGAACGACUUUACCUAAUCUAUACUCUCGGACUAGGGACGAAUGACUAAUCCAUACUCUCGGAUUAAUGAUGAAUGAUUAUGCCUAAUCCAUACUCUCAGGCUAGGGACAAUGACUAUAUCUAAUCCAUGCUCCCGGAUCAAUGACAUAUACUAAGGUUUUAUUCUUUCAGUAUAAUUCCCUCAUUUUGGUAAGAAAACACUACCUAAUAUUCCUCAUAAUUAAUUUAGGUUUACUCUUUAUCCUAAAUCAGCAUAUAUAAUCAGGUAUGUUCUUUAACAAGUGUCUCAGGCAACAUCAAAUAAUUCGCACAUAAAUAUAUAUUUAAUACUUCAAUCGAUACUUGUAUUAAAAUCAUGAUCAUGAAAGGGACUAUGAACUCACACAUAAACUCUUCAACAAAUAUUUAACUCUUUAACAUAUAUUUAAUACUUUAAUUAAUACUUGUAUUAAAAUGAUGUUCAUGAAAGGGACUACGCACUCAAAACACGUAAUUUAUAUUAAAUACUUGGCAUAUAUGUGUAAGAUGAAAGAGACCAUGCGCUCACUUGAAAAGGUGGUGAUUCCGAACUCAGACAGCGCUUCGUUUCUUCAAAAAAAUAUCUUUCGACAAAACCUAGUAUUAUUACCACUAGAGUUUAGUCUAUUAUUUGUCGAGACUAAUUAAUAGUCUAGCUAUUAUUAUUAUUAUAUAAGCAUUAAACAAUACUUAUAUAACCCAUAAUAAUAGCCCAAGUACAUAUUAUAUGUUCCUAAUAACGAUAUUAUAAUUAAAUAAAAACCAUAUUAAAAAUAGCGUAGGCGUAGCUCACUUACAAUGGGUUUUAUAAAAAACCGGGAUUUGCUUGGAGCAGCACUCCAAAGCCGAAAAGAUAUUCUUCUCUGAGCUGUCGAGCACUCCGGGGCUUCCGCCUCGUGCUAGGGAGGUUCCCUAGCCUUUUCGAGGCUUGAGAGAGAGGUUCUAGAGAGAGAUUAAAGAGAAGAAAGAAUGGGAAAGGUGUGAAGAAAAUAAGGGUGGGAGAUGUCCUAUUUAUAGGGUGAAAAUGCCUGAACUUGGUGCGACAUGUCACCAUCUAGUGGCAAGACUUGGGGAGAAAGCAAUGGCCAAGAUUGUGUCACAUCACCCAUUUUUGUACAACACACUUCCGACUUAUAAAAUCCGUAACUUUCACAUACGACCUCCGUUUUUUAUGUUCUUUAUAUCCACGCGUAGGGAAAAACAACAUCUACAACUUUCAUUUGGAAUGUGACGGCUAAUUCACUACCGAUCCUAAAUUAAACAGUACGAGGAAAUUAUAUUGUUAAAUGUCCGCGUAAAAUUCAUAACUUCUACAUACGGACUCUGUUUUCAUCUUUCGUUUUUCCGUUGAGUUCCUAUUAAUGAGAUAUUCAAUUCUCAUUUAGGUCGUGUAGGCCAAAAACCGCUCGAACUAAAAUUCGAGUUUCGGGCCGUGCAGUAAUAUGCCAAAUCUUAGAAAAUUCAUAACUUCCUCAUACGAAAUCAGAUUUGGGGGUUCUUUUUUUGUAUGUUCUCGGUUUAACAUAUGCUACAACUUUUAUUUGAAUCGAUAAGGCUAAAAAGUCCUUUAUCAAAAAUUCGUUAUUUACGUCUUCCGGUGUCGUGCCGAUUUUGCCAUAAAACUUCAACGGGCCAUAACUUCUUCGUUAUAACUCGGAUUUUGGCUUCGUAAGAAGAAGUUAUGAUUUUUCGAAGUUUCAGAUUAGCAGAGUAUAGCCCGAUAUUCGAAUAUUAGAUCGAGCGAUUUUUAGCCGACACGAACUGAACAAGAAUCGAAGAUCUCGUUAAAAGUAGUAUAACAAGAAAAAAUUGGGCGAAAACGGACGUCGGAUGAAGAAGUUAUGAGGAUUUAACGGACCAAUCCUGUCCCGGCCUAUUAAAAAUAUAACUUUAAAAAUAAAGUCAAAAUUAGCCGACAGAGUCUAAACGAAAGUUGUAGAGUACGUCUCCACCUACGCAUGGAUAUAAUGAACGUCAAAAUCGGAGUUCGUAUGAACGAGUUACAAAUUAUAAUAGCGUAUUUACGUAUUAAAAUAAAGUAUAAAUCAUAUAUACGUACAUAUAUAUAUACAUAUGUAUAUAUCAUUAGAAAGGUAUCGACGAUGCGGUCAUUAUAAGACUAAUGUUGAGUUCUUUCGACAUUAGUUUAGUGCAAAUAUCAUUAAAUCUAUUUAAAAUAGUAUUAUAAAGGGGUGUUUAGUUGUUUAUAUAACUAUAAGGUCAUUAAGUAAUUAUGGAGGGUAGUUUUUGUAAAUUCAAUUACUAUAAAUAAGAGGCUUGGGCUCUCAUAUUUCUUGCACCCUUCUCUUGAUUCAAGUGUCUUUCUCUCCUUAUCCCCCAAACAUUUCGGUCCCUCGUGAUUCGACUUCUCUUUAUGUAGUUUUAGUAUAGUAAGCUGAGCACUAAAGCGUUGCACGAAUCUUUCUUAGAAAGAUUCAGCGACGAACUUCUGCCCCUACAGAGCCCGACUACUAGCUAAAAUCCCCUUUGUAAGUAAGUUAUACUUACCGUAUUUUAAAUAUAGUUUAUAUUUAAAAUUAGUAUUGCUAUUAUAAAUUUAUAAUAAAUGUUUGAGCUAUUAUUAUGACUUAUAUAAGUGUUGUUAUAAUAUCUUUUUAAUUACUCGCGGUACGGGGAAUCUGGUUUAAAGAGCCGCAUAGGGUUGUUGAAUUUCAGACGUGCUAUAUGCCAAAAUGGUCCUGCCUUCCGGUGUUUUAUGUUUGGCCCCUGUCUGUACAUAGUGGUUGGAAAGUAUUGUUUAAACGCUUAUAUAAUAAUAAUAAAAAUAAGACUAAUUAUUAGUCACGGUAAAUAUUAGUCUAAAAUCGAGUGGUAAUAAUACUAGGUUUCGUCGAAGGAAAUUAUUUUAAUGUAAACGAAGCGUUGUCCGAGUACCGAGUCACUACCUUCUCAGCUGAGUGCAUAGUCCCUUUCAUCUUACACAUAGAUAUGAAGUAUUUUAAUAUAAAUUAUGAGUUGUGUGUGCAUAUUGUCUGAAUACUUGCUGUCUAUGCUGGGUGAAAGAUUUUUAUACAUGUUUUAAAUGAUUUAAACUAUAUAUGUAUUUUAUAUCUACAAAAUGUGUUGGGUAAAACAUGAGUAGAUGAAAUAGUUGUUUUGUGAUAACACGAUGGGAGACAUCAAUGUUGUCAGUGAUCCAGUCAUCUAGUGGAUUAUAGAUGAUGACCAUGGGCGAUACUAGAUGGUCCGGUGGAACGCUAGUAAGCUCGUAACUUGUAGGUGUUUUUAAACUCGGUGCUCAUUAGGUAUUUUGAACUAUCACAACUAGAAAUUUUGUGUCUUGUAAUCACUAUACUUAAGUAAAAGGUUGAAUCAAAAACUUAAGAGCAUGUGAGAUACCUAUUAUUAUGACAUCAAAAACUUCAAUCAAAUACAUCAUACAAAUACAACAAAUAGUCAUCAAGCAAUUGGAAACCCUAGAAGUUCUUGUUUAGGUCCAUUUUGGACUAGGACUUCCUUAUUGGACUCAAUGGACCAACAAGCUUCCAAUUUGACUAUCAUGGGCUUAGAACCCUUAAAUGGGCUCUAAUUGGACCCACAUUAAUUUAUUUCAACAUUUUGGGCCAUAUUGGCCCUAGAAUGAAAUAAAUUGAAAGUUUUGAACCAUGAUUAACCUAAACUAGCCCAACAAAGUGUUAAAAUCAUGUUAUAUUUCUUUUAGGUCAAAAAUCAUCCAACUUAACUUCUAUAUGGGCUUGAGGGCAUUAAAGCCCAAAUCUUUCCUUUUCCAUCCAAAUUCUCGGCGCAAGGCCCAAAUCCAAGAAGAAAAGAGGAAGGGUUGACUUAAUGCAUGCCACCUCAUUAUUAUAUGGUGGUUAUCCAAGGUAAUAUUCCUCAAACAUCCAUGCUAAUCUCAUUUCUCCAUGCAACUCUCUCUCUCCUUCUCUCUUCUUGUUUCGGUCAUGAGUAACACACACACACACCUCACAAAACUCUCUCCAUUCAAAAAUCUCGAAACUUUGCUUGUGCAUCAAGAGGAUUUCAAGAAAAUAUCAUCACUUCUUGGUAAGCUACAUAUAUCUAAGGAUUUUAUAACUCUUUUCCCAUGAUUAGAUGCUUUCUCUUAAACAUUUGUGGUAAUCAUGCUCCUAGAAUCAUCUCAAAGUCGAGAUCAUCAUCAAAGGGUUGCUAAGGACGAAAAUCACCAAACUUUCUUCCAUCUUUUCUUCAAAAACCAAAACCACACCCUAAGGUGAGCUUCAUACCCCCCUUAUUUUCGGUUUUUAUAAGUUUUGUGGGGGGAGAAUACAAGCAAAUGUGUAGAUCUAUCAUUAUGUGUAUGCCUUGUAUGAUUUUUAAGCUUAUAUGUGUGUUUAUGUGUGAUUAUGAUGUUGGAUCUAGUUAUAAACCCCUAAAAAUCGAGAUAUACCUUAUGUUAAAUGAUACUGGCAUAAAUUAUAUUUCUACAUACAAAGCAUUCCAAGAAAAAUAGCUAAGUGGUUUAAUAACAACUUCAUUGGGCUAAAAACUCAUUUUUGGACAUAAAAUGUUAAGAAUAUAAAGUUAAAGGGGCCAAAAUGACAUAUUACGAAUUCUGAUGGGUGAGAUGAGUCAAAACAGUUCCAAUAAUGUAUUUUCUGAAAAUAUACUCUUUUGAAGGGUUAAAAACAUAAAUUUCAAGCUUAAUGGGCUAAAAAUGACAUUUUCGGCCCAAUAGGGCCCAUUAUGCGAAUUUUUCCAAUUUGAGGGGCUGAAACUAUGUUUUUCUGUAAAACAGUGGACUAUUAGUGUCCUAAGUCCUUUUCAAAGGUCAAAAAUGCUUUUCGUAAUUAAAAAGGACCAGAGUUGCAAAAAUUUUCCAAUUUGGGCCAAAAGUGUAAAAAUUGCGAAAAAGAAAGGUUGCAGCCAAGAAAAGUGCAUUUUGAGGGACUAAAACUGUUUUCAAUUAAAAAUGUGCUGAAAAAUAUCAAUUUCAAUAAGUUUUGAUGUUAAAAUGCCAAGAAAAAUGGAUUGAGGACUAAACCGGAAAUUAAUUUACUUAAAUGGGUGAAAAAGUAAAUUUACAAAAUAAAGAGGGGUUGUAAACAGAAAAUUUUCAAUGUGAAUUCAAUACAUUCAUUGUGAUUAAAUACUGACACUGCGACUACCGAACAAAUUACAAUACACAAUAAUACCAACAAUCGUUAUCAAACGAAUUGAUUCGGUCUCGAAUCAAUAACAAAUUCGAAACUACUAACAUUACGACACUCAAUACACACAUGGAACUCUCAGAAACUCUAUACACUCGUGGAAAUACGCUAUAUGUCGACGCUCUGUCCUUGGGCCCAAAAGUUUCAAAUCAUGCUUGUUGGGCCUAGCUAGCCCAAUGACAUGAUCUUUAGGCCCAAAGGAAAUUUACUUACAUGUAGUCGGGUCUAAUACGACCUAACUUCGUGUAAAAAGACUUUCAAUGGCAAACGUGCUGCUGGUCCCCAAUGGUCCUUCGAUACUGCUAGCAAAGUCGAGAACUCUCUAGUGCGAGUUGGGCUAAGGGCCCUUCGCAUUCACUAUGGCCUUGAACGACGUAGGGAAAUACCGAGGGCUUCGCACCUUCUUUUUCCCCUCAGUCGUGGGGCUACAUGAGUCCGGGGGGUNGGUUACGUGAAUAAGUGCAAGUGACGCUUAAGGGAUCGUUUGUACGGUUGUCAACUGGGCGUUUUCAUUAAUGUGCGUUACAACAAUUCACCAACUACUAUAAUUCAACGCCUCCGGAGCUUAACUAAUACCUCUAUCGUAACGAAAUAACAAUACAUAAACUAACUAAAACAAAGUGAUAAGAAAACGUCGGGUUUUCCUACGGUUUUCAACUAUUACACCUACGAACUACAUACCGAGUCUUACAAACCGUACGCUUACACCUAUAGAAAACAAUCAAGCAUACUUAUGGAUCUUCACACUUUUUACACUAUACUAUUUUCAGAAAAUAGCGGAUUUUCUGGUGAUUUUCAAAACAUUAUAACCCGUUGGAUUUCAAACAUUACUUAUGAACUCAACAACAUUUCAUAUGUUGACGUUUUUCAAAAUACUUGUAUUCUCAGGUAACAGGUAAAGUGAAGGAAGAAUUGUACUCUAUGAUGUUUUGCGGUUGUUUAAUUAACAACGAACAAUUUAUUUUUGGGCAUGUAAUAUUUUGGAACAAUGUAAUGGAUGUAAACACUAUCAGUUGUAAUAUUCAAAUGCUUGGUAAUGAAUGAUGUUAUGUUUCAUGUAUAUUCAUUGUGAUGGUAUUCAAUUGAGUCACAACAGCCCCCGGACGUUUCCGCCGUCUGGUUCGGAGGUGUGACAGGUUGGUAUCAGAGCUUUGUUUAUAGUGAACUGGCAUAUCUAACCAUCCAUUGAUAUGCAACUAUAAACCAAAAGAGGGACUAACAUAACUCUAAACAAAAUAAGUAAAAUACAAUAAUAAAACACCUUUUCCUGCAUUAGGAACAAGGGACAUAACACCGAACCAAACAAGAUAAUGCUAGUAUCUCAGUUAAAUCAGGACUGUUCUUAGGGAUACCAAGGAGUGGAUGUAGCCUGAUCAACUAGAUUCUCUCCAAGGUAUGGCUAACACACGUUCUGAUGAGAUCGUGAUAGCUAGGGAACCUAAAACUAUACCCCUAUAUCACCAAAAAGAGAGCGUCUAGUUAGCAUAAAUCAUAGUCAGGAGAGUGACGAUAGUUUAUAUUUUUGCCCCCAGUCGUCAUGGAGGAAGAGCAGCAGGGUAUCCAGUUCCAUCAAGUCCUAGUGGCUCAUGGGAUGCUCGAGGAUGACUAGAAGGGAAUCCGGAGGGAGCACAUGACGCUGAACAUGACGAAUACAUAGACACCGACUACGAGUUUGGAGAUACCGACGAUGAUGUCGAGGAAGGGCAAGACCGAGACAAGGAUCACGCCACGUCCUGUGUGGAUGAGGCGCAACCAGACCACCCCGCUCCACCCAUGAACCCCCCAAGGGAGAACCGUUCCCCCGAAGCUGAGAUCGCCGCACUGCGACAACAGCUGUAUGCUAUGGAAGCUCGGGCAGUGCGAGUUGAGCAUGAGAGGGAUGAGGUUAUUGGAGACAUGACGGAGAUGGCUCAGUUACUGGCACAACAUUUCGGCAUAUGACCCCGUCACUACGUAGGACGCAGCUCAUCGCGGUUAGGGAUAGACUUAUCUUAGUAAGUCGUUAGGAACUAUGCCAUGUACCCCGACUCUAUGUUUAAGUGACUACACUACUCAUAGAGCCGUUAUGCUGACGAACUGGUGUCACUCAUGUAUGCUCUUACGAGCAAAAUUUUCUUGUAUCAAAUGCGGAUAAUAUUAAUAAACUUUUACGUGCUGUGCUAUGAUAUUACGAAUUUCUAUGUGUUGAGAAUCUAUGAUUGUAUGCUAAAUGAUAAGAGUGUUUAAGUUCGCAUCAUGCACUUAGUCAGUACGGUCGUAACCUUCCAGAAACCACAUACACUCAACAUCUUUCCGUUUCGUGACAGAAAGAUGCCUCUCCGACCUACUCGCAGGAACCCCGAACCAAUCCCACCCGAAGUUGACUCAGCCGCGUUCCAGGCAGCUGUAUCUGCUGCGGUCACUGCAGCGAUUGCACAAAUUCAUCAAGGGAACAAUGGAGGAGUCAAUGGGCAAGGAGCCGGGAGUUCGAACAACGGAAUGAAUCAAGGACCCACCAAAACAUGUACCUACAAGGACUUCACAAACGCCAAACCACGAACUUUUAACGGCACUGGAGGGGUGAUCACCCUGAAGCGAUGGAUCGAGAAGGUGGAGUCGGUAUUCGAGAUAUGCGAUUGUCCUGAGCAGAUGAAAGUGAAGUUCGCGGCCUGCACUUUUGUCGAUCAAGCGCUCACCUUGUGGAACGGACAUGUAGAAGCCAUGACACUCCCUGUAGCCAACUCUAUGCCGUGGGCGGAGAUGAAAGAAAUGUUAAUGGCUGAAUACUGUCCGUGCGGUGAAAUACAGAAGAUGGAGCAGGAGCUAUGGAACCUCACUGUGCAGAAUGCGAAUAUCGAUGUUUACAUAUCGAGAUUUAGUGAACUAUCUCUGUUGUGCCCGGGUAUGAUCACCUUGGAAGGAAAGAAGAUUGAGCGAUUCAUUUGGGGACUAACAUCACCAAUCCAGGUAAACGUGAUAGCUGCAAACCCGGAAACAUUUGACAGUGCGAAGAGAUUGGUGAAGAAGUUGUAUGACCAUAACAACAAGAAGGGCGAGAAGCUAGAGGAGGCUGAGGGAAAGAAGGAAGGUGAUGGCAAGAAGGGGAAGAACAAUAAGAGGAAGGGGCGCCAGGGCCCCGAGCCCUCUAAAAGGCAGCAGACAGUGGCGGUUAACGCUGUCACCGCACCGAUUCCAGCUGCACUACAUGCUCCAGCCUCAGCUGCUUGAAAUGCUUCCAGACCUUAUUCUGGUAAUCUUCCCAAAUGCAACAAGUGCGGUUUCCAUCACCAUGGAGAAUGCAAGGAGUUUCAGUGCACCAGUUGUAAUCGAAAGGGACACACAUCGAGGAACUGUAGGGCUUACCCUCCCCAGAACCAACAACAAGGAAACAACAACAACAACAACAUCAAUACCGGCGGCAAUAAUGCAGGGCCUAGCCACACCUGCUUCGGGUGUGGGAGGACUGGACACUUCCGCUGAGAAUGCCCUAACAACAACAUUCCCGGGAACGGAAGAAUAGGAAGGAUGCUGGCCAUGGGUCAAGGAGAGGCGGUUCAGGACCCCACAGUUGUGACCGGUACGUUUCUCCUAAACCACACCUAUGCAUGCAUCCUGUUUGACACCGAAGCGGAACGAAGCUUCGUAAGUAAUAAGUUUAAGCAUCUAUUAAGACAACCACCCCAGAAGCUCAAUGAAACCUUUACGGUGGAAAUGGCCAAUGGGAAAACCGAAUCCACUGGGGAAAUCUACAUCGGAUGUACCCUAACCCUAAAUCAACAAGUCUUUCGGAUAGACUUAAUGCCCGUGUCAAUUAGGAGUUUCGAUGUAAUUACUGGCAUAGAUUGGUUAAGCCCCCACCAUGCUGAAAUUAUGUGUCACGAGAAGGUCGUUCGCCUUCGCCUCCCCAAUCAUGAAACCCUAGUAAUUUACAGAGACAAACCUAGCAUGAACCUCUGCCUCAUCUCGUGCAUCAAGGCACAAAAAUAUCUACGAAAGGACAAUUUGGCGUUCCUUGCUCACAUAGUGGAUAAAACCAAGGAGGAGGUUAACCUUCAAGACAUUCCCAUAACAUGUGAAUUUCCAGACGUGUUUCCUGAGGAUCUUCCUGGAGUACCCACGGAGAGACAAGUGGAGUUUCGAAUUGACCUCGUUCUAGGAGCAACUCCUCUCGCUAAAUCACCCUAUAGGCUAGCUCCUGCCGAAAUGCAGGAAUUGUCUAGCUAACUCAGCGAACUCUUGGACAAGGGAUUCAUCUGCCCUAGUUACUCACCGUGGGGAGCUCCAGUCCUCUUUGUCAAAAAGAAGGACGGAUCCUUUAGGAUGUGCAUCGAUUACAGAGAGUUAAAUAAACUCACUGUCAAGAAUCGCUACCCACUCCCACGAAUCGAUAAUCUAUUCGACCAGAUCGAAGGAGCUAGUUAUUUUUCUAAAAUAGAUCUACGGUCCGGAUACCACCAACUCAAAGUCCGGGAAGAGGAUAUUCCAAAAACCGCUUUCUGAACCCACUACGGACAUUAUGAAUUUGUUGUAAUGCCCUUCGGUCUGACAAAUGCCCCUGCAGCAUUUAUGGACCUAAUGAAUCGAAUCUAUCGACCAUUCCUCGACAACUUUGUCAUUGUUUUUAUCGAUGACAUCCUCGUCUAUUCUCGAAGCAAAGAAGAGCGUGGCCAACUUCUCCGACAAGUCCUAGAAACUCUGCGAUCGGAAAAGCUAUACGCCAAACUCUCCAAGUGUGAGUUCUGGCUCCGGAGUGUGAACUUCCUAGGACAUGUAGUCAGCCAAGAUGGAAUCCAUGUGGAUCGAUCUAAAGUCAAAGUUGUUGAAGGAUGGGCAAUCCCGACAACACCUACGGAAAUCCGUCAGUUCUUGGGUCUAGCAGGCUACUAUAGGAGAUUCAUUCAAAACUUCUCUAAGAUCGCCAAGCCACUUACCUCACUUACACAAAAGGGCGUACCAUUCAAAUGGACGGACAAAAAAGAAACCGCAUUCCGAACCCUGAAACAAGCUCUCUGUAGCGCCCUGGUAUUAUCGCUACCGGAAGGAACGGAAGAUUUCGUGGUCUACUGUGACGCGUCAAAUCGGGGCUUAGGUUGCGUUCUCAUGCAACGUGUGAUGGGUUUUGAGCAUUCUAACACUUCCUAAGUGUACAAGCAACCCUAAUAACCUUGGAUCUAUGUUUGUCUAAUUAUCAUGCAAAGUUGAAUUCCAAGGUUAUAUUCCUAUCUAGCAUACAUGGGGAACAAUUUUAACUUGAAUGAAAGAUAGAAUAACUUACCUUGUUGUUGUUUAUGUUCCUAGCACCCCAAGUGUGAUACCUCAAAUGCUUCACACAACACCAAAUGCUCUUGGAAAGACCUUUGAGAGAAUACACACUUCUUGAAAUCGGCCUAGCCCUCUAGUUUCUUAUGUGUAGCCUUGUUUUGGUGGAGAAUGGGAUCCUUAUAUAGUGUUGACACAAUCAACCCAUAUAUUUAAUUCGUUAUCCUUUGAUCACUUAAUUAAUUCUAAAUUAAUUCUUGAUCAAACUAAUCAAAUAAUAUUAUUAAUAUAUUAGAACUUAUAAUAUAUUAAUAAUCUCCAAGUGUUAUUUCUCUCAUUUAGUCUAUCCAAUUGCAUGGUGCCAUGCAACCCAAAUGGACCAUGUCGGGUCGGGUCAAGUACUGACCCGAAAUAGUUAUGGACUUAGACACCUUAUCCAACAGUCUCCCACUCUGAUAAGUCUAAUAACUAUAGCUGUAGUACUUCAGGAACCGACCGGCAAUGGUAGCACUUUCAAGGUCUCUCGGAACUGAGAAGAUGAUGGUACGCCAUUUAAGAUAAGGGAUCAUAUAAUCCUCUGUUCUAGAUAUCAGUCGGACAAAUACAUGGAACAAUGUCUUACUUAUUGUCUAGCAAUUUUNGUUUGACAUAGAACUUAAUUGAACACAUCAACUUAGUUCUGACCGGGCCCGGUACAUGGGUCAAAACAAAAUCAUCGAGGGGCCCAGAUAUCAGCUUCUAAUCCAAGAAGGAACAGAUAAACUUCGACUCAUAUGUUUGUUCUACCACUCAUUGAAUUACACACAAAAGCACGUUUCAUAACAUCAAGUUACCAAUGCGUUUUCGUACAAUCAAUGCAUAACCAACUUGUAAGUAACAAAUCAUAUCUCUAGGUUUGAAGACUUAUAUGAUAUUACCGUCUCACGAUCACUCGAGAUAGAAUUCCAUGAAGUGAUUCCAGUGAGCGUGGGUUGAGUCCAAUGCUCAGAACUUAUGAGCACUCAUGAUUGUUGUAGCCUUGUCCAACACCUUAGACCUCUACAACCCAUCAUGACAGUCUUGAUUCAUACCUACUUCCGACAUAUGACCGACUGUGGAGGUUUGAAUAAUAUGUUACACCAAACAAAAUUAUUCUGGAAGUCAAAACAUGCAAAAGAAAUAUAGUAAACGAUUGACAAGAGAUAGCAACACUUUACUCAUAAAUAAAACACCUUUUAUUCAUCAUCAAAUGUCAAUUACACUUUACAAAUUUCUGGGUUAUCUAACUACUAAAACUUAUAUCAUCCUUCAGCCCUAUGCUCCGAGCAUGCUGGAGAUGCUUAACCCUACUCAGUCCCUUCGUGAGGGGAUCUGCUGGGUUCUCAUCCGAUGAUACCCUCUUUGCCACGAGGAGUCCUUCUUCGAUCCGAUGUCUAAUGAAAUGGUAUUUUCUGUCGAUGUGUCUGGAUCUCCCAUGAUCCCUUGGUUCCUUGGCUAAGGCAACAGCACUUUCACUAUCACAGAAAAUUUCCAUUGGCUCUUUAAUAGCUGGUACAACUCCAAGGUCUCCAAUGAAGUUCUUCAGCCAUAUCGCCUCCUUUGCUGCUUCGCUAGCUGCAAUAUACUCUGAUUCACAAGUAGAAUCUGCCACUGUCUCUUGCUUGGAACUCUUCCAAGAAAUUGCUCCUCCGUUUAGGGUAAAGACCCAGCCCGACUGAGAGCGGAAAUUAUCCCUAUCAGUCUGGAAGCUAGCAUCACUAUACCCUACAACUCUCAAGUCAUCACUCCCACCGAGGGUAAGGACCCAGUCCUUAGUCCUCCGUAGGUACUUGAGGAUAUUCUUUACCGCAGUCCAGUGUGCCUUGCCAGGGUUCGCCUGAUACCUGCUAACCAUGCUCAAGGCAAAAGCUACAUCGGGUCGAGUACACGUCAUAGCAUACAUGAUCGAUCCUACAGCCGAAGCGUAAGGUGUUCGACUCAUUUCUGCUAUCUCAGCCUCAGUGCUAGGGCUUUGUGUCUUACUCAAUCUGGUGUUACUCUGGAUGGGUAACUCUCCUUUCUUGGAAUCCUGCAUGCUGAAUCUCUUCAGCACCUUAUCCAAGUAGGUACUCUGACUAAGUCCAAUUAGUCUUUUACUCCGAUCUCUCAAGAUUCUUAUCCCUAGAAUAUAGGCAGCUUCACCAAGGUCCUUCAUAGCGAAACACUUCCCAAGCCAGGACUUUACUUCCUGCAGGGUUGGAAUGUCGUUUCCUAUGAGUAGUAUGUCAUCCACAUACAAUACCAAAAAGCUAACUAUACUCCCACUAGCCUUGACAUACACACAAGAUUCAUCUUCACUCCUAGAAAAGCCAAAUUCCUUGACCUUUUCAUCAAAGCAAAGAUUCCAUCUGCGAGGUGCUUGCUUCAAUCCAUAAAUGGAUUUCUCAAGCUUACACACUCUAUUAGGGUACUCGUUGCUGACAAAACCCUCUGGCUGACUCAUGUAAACAUCUUCAGCCAACUUUCCAUUAAGGAAAGCGGUUUUGACAUCCAUCUGCCAUAUUUCAUAAUCAUGAAAUGCAGCUAUGGCUAACAGAACCCGAAUAGACUUAAUCUUGGCUACUGGAGAAAAGGUCUCAUCAUAGUCCACUCCAGGAAUUUGAGAGAAGCCCUUUGCAACCAGUCUAGCCUUAUAAGUGUGUACUUUACCAUCCAUGUCGGUCUUCUUCUUGAAGACCCAUUUGCACCCUACUGUCUUACGACCUGGUACAUUCUCAACCAAGUUCCAAACUUGAUUGUCAUACAUGGACUGUAUUUCGCUGUCCGUUGCCUCUUUCCACUUGGCUGACUCAGGGCCUGCCAUGGCUUCAGCAUAAUUGUUUGGUUCAUCCAGACCUAUCAGUGUCACUGAUAAGUGUAUCUCCUUCUGCAGUAAUAUGGAAUCCAUAGUAAUGCUCAGGAGCAUUCCUAACCCUUGUGGAACGCCUCAGAGGUACAGACUUGUCAAUUGGCUCAACAGGAGUUUCCUCCUCAAGUUGAGUGCUAGGGUUUGAAGUUCCUUCACCGCUUGACUCUUGAAUUUCUUCAAGAUCAACUUGCCUCCCACUGUUUCCUUGGCUUAUGAACUCUCUCUCUCUCUCUAAAGAAAGCCCUCCUAGCUACAAAGACCACAUUUUCACUAGGUCUGUAGAAGAGGUAACCAAAGGAUUGCUGUGGGUAGCCGAUGAAAAUACACCUCUCGCUUCGGGGUUCGAGCUUAUCAUGAGUCUCGCGUCUCACGAAAGCCUCGCAACCCCAAAUCUUGAUGUGGUCUAGUUUGGGUACUUUACCAGUCCACAUCUCGUGAGGAGUUUUCGCAACUUUCUUUGAAGGGACUAGAUUAAGGAUAUGGACGGUAGUCUCUAAGGCAUACCCCCAGAAUGAGAUUGGUAGCGAAGCUCGACUCAUCAUGGAACGAACCAUAUCCAACAAGGUUCGAUUACGCCUCUCAGCCACACCAUUCAACUGUGGUGUCCUGGGAGGUGUCAAUUGUGAGACUAUCCCACAUUCCCUUAGAUAGUCAAGGAACUCUGAACUAAGAUACUCACCACCACGAUCGGAUCGAAGCAUCUUAAUGUUCCUGCCCAAUUGAUUCUCGACUUCCUGUUUAAAUUCCUUAAACCUNNNNNNNNNNNNNNNNNNNNNNNNNNNNNNNNNNNNNNNNNNNNNNNNNNNNNNNNNNNNNNNNNNNNNNNNNNNNNNNNNNNNNNNNNNNNNNNNNNNNNNNNNNNNNNNNNNNNNNNNNNNNNNNNNNNNNNNNNNNNNNNNNNNNNNNNNNNNNNNNNNNNNNNNNNNNNNNNNNNNNNNNNNNNNNNNNNNNNNNNNNNNNNNNNNNNNNNNNNNNNNNNNNNNNNNNNNNNNNNNNNNNNNNNNNNNNNNNNNNNNNNNNNNNNNNNNNNNNNNNNNNNNNNNNNNNNNNNNNNNNNNNNNNNNNNNNNNNNNNNNNNNNNNNNNNNNNNNNNNNNNNNNNNNNNNNNNNNNNNNNNNNNNNNNNNNNNNNNNNNNNNNNNNNNNNNNNNNNNNNNNNNNNNNNNNNNNNNNNNNNNNNNNNNNNNNNNNNNNNNNNNNNNNNNNNNNNNNNNNNNNNNNNNNNNNNNNNNNNNNNNNNNNNNNNNNNNNNNNNNNNNNNNNNNNNNNNNNNNNNNNNNNNNNNNNNNNNNNNNNNNNNNNNNNNNNNNNNNNNNNNNNNNNNNNNNNNNNNNNNNNNNNNNNNNNNNNNNNNNNNNNNNNNNNNNNNNNNNNNNNNNNNNNNNNNNNNNNNNNNNNNNNNNNNNNNNNNNNNNNNNNNNNNNNNNNNNNNNNNNNNNNNNNNNNNNNNNNNNNNNNNNNNNNNNNNNNNNNNNNNNNNNNNNNNNNNNNNNNNNNNNNNNNNNNNNNNNNNNNNNNNNNNNNNNNNNNNNNNNNNNNNNNNNNNNNNNNNNNNNNNNNNNNNNNNNNNNNNNNNNNNNNNNNNNNNNNNNNNNNNNNNNNNNNNNNNNNNNNNNNNNNNNNNNNNNNNNNNNNNNNNNNNNNNNNNNNNNNNNNNNNNNNNNNNNNNNNNNNNNNNNNNNNNNNNNNNNNNNNNNNNNNNNNNNNNNNNNNNNNNNNNNNNNNNNNNNNNNNNNNNNNNNNNNNNNNNNNNNNNNNNNNNNNNNNNNNNNNNNNNNNNNNNNNNNNNNNNNNNNNNNNNNNNNNNNNNNNNNNNNNNNNNNNNNNNNNNNNNNNNNNNNNNNNNNNNNNNNNNNNNNNNNNNNNNNNNNNNNNNNNNNNNNNNNNNNNNNNNNNNNNNNNNNNNNNNNNNNNNNNNNNNNNNNNNNNNNNNNNNNNNNNNNNNNNNNNNNNNNNNNNNNNNNNNNNNNNNNNNNNNNNNNNNNNNNNNNNNNNNNNNNNNNNNNNNNNNNNNNNNNNNNNNNNNNNNNNNNNNNNNNNNNNNNNNNNNNNNNNNNNNNNNNNNNNNNNNNNNNNNNNNNNNNNNNNNNNNNNNNNNNNNNNNNNNNNNNNNNNNNNNNNNNNNNNNNNNNNNNNNNNNNNNNNNNNNNNNNNNNNNNNNNNNNNNNNNNNNNNNNNNNNNNNNNNNNNNNNNNNNNNNNNNNNNNNNNNNNNNNNNNNNNNNNNNNNNNNNNNNNNNNNNNNNNNNNNNNNNNNNNNNNNNNNNNNNNNNNNNNNNNNNNNNNNNNNNNNNNNNNNNNNNNNNNCAUCUAUAGAACCAACUUCAUUAUUAAAUGAAAAGGUAAACCCUUGUUUGUACAAAGCAUGAAAGGAAAUAAUAUUUCUUGCCAUUCCUGGCGAAUAACAACACUUAUUCAAAUCUAAACUAAACCCACUACUUAGCGAUAAAGUAUAAACUCCAAUCUUGGUAACAGGUAUAGCUUUCCUAUUCCCCAUGAUCAAGUUUAUCCUUCCUUGCUCCACAUCCUCACUUCUUCUUAGUCCCUGCAAGUCACAACAAAUAUGAAUACCACACCCGGUAUCAAGGACCCAAGAAUUAGAAUGGGGUGAGUUAUUAGAAAUGAUAGUGUAAAUACCUGCAUGGUUGGGUUUAACUUUCCCAUCCUUCACAUCUUGCUGGUAUUUUGGGCAGUUCCGCUUCCAAUGUGAUUUUUCAUGGAAAUAGAAGCAUUUGGCCUCUAUUGGAUCAGAAGAAGGAGUGGUGAAAACUUUCUUGGUUCCACUUGAAGAAGAGCCAUCAAGGGUCCGAACCUUGGUACCCUUAGAAGAGCUCUUUCUCUUCCUCCCUCGACUUUUCCCGAUUGCCAAAACCGGAGUAGAGUUUUGAGUAGGAGUGAUAGCAACCGACUUCCCCUUAAGACCUGAUUCUGCGGUCUUGAGAAGUCCCUGAAGUUUGCUGAGGGUGACUUCUUCCUUGUUCAUGUGAUAUGUCAUGCGGAAUUGAUCAUAGCACGAUGGUAAGGAAUGCAAAAUAAUAUCUAUUGCAAGAUCCUCCGGGAAGUUCACAUUAAGCUUCAGCAAACGAUCCACAUACCUUUGCAUUUUCUGCAUGUGGCUCGUGACGGAUUCCCCGUCCUUCAUCAUGGUUGUUAUCAUGGAGCAGAUGAUUUCAUACCUCUCUUGUCUUGCACUUUGAUGGUAUCUUUCCAUCAAAUCUUGGUGCAUUUCAUAAGGGUAGAAAUCCUCAUAAGACUUUUGGAGUUCCGCUGUCAUCGUGGCCAUCAUGAUGCAAGCCACUUUCGUAGCAUCCCUUUCAUGUGCCCGAAAUUCAGCGAUCUCCUGAGGAGUUGCAGUGGACUCAUCAAUCUCCUUAAGCUCCUUGUCAAGGACAUAUUCUUUGUCCUCGUAGCGGGUAAUCAUCCUGAUGUUUCUGAUCCACUCAUUGAAGUUGGAUCCAUCAAAGGUGACUUUCCCACACAAGUUCAUAAGGGUAAAGGAGCCAUUAGGAUUAGAGCCAGAAGCAUUGUUGAAAGACAUCUGAAGGAAAGAGGACAAGAUUAGUUUAGAUAUAAGAGAGUCCUUAAUAAAACACCCAAAUGUAAUAUUAAGGCUAGGAUCCAAUCACAAUAUAAUAUAACUUAGAAGAGGUAUGCCGUAAUCUAAGCUAUAUCAUAUUUGAAAGGUAGGUGAAUGACGAUUCACCAAUUUCCACCACGAAAACCGCAAUAUUUUAGUAUUAGGUUUUUGAAUGGUUCUUAGAAAUUCCUAGAUUCUUUGAGAUUCAAUGAACUUUUCAAAGGCAUGUUUCAAUCUCGAGUGUGCCCUCCAAGUUUUGUGACUGGGAUACCGAGGAUCACAAAACGAGGUGUGAAGUAACCAUGCAAAUCACUUGGUACCCUUAAAGUUUAUCACUCAAUCGAUGUGCCGGUUAACCACACACGCUCCAUCGAUACUAUAAUAAACCCUAAGUCACCCUUUACCUACCUUGUUAAGUCCAAGUUAGUGUGCCGGUUAACCACACACGCUCCACCAACGACUUAAUCAAAGUGUAAAGUGUAAUUUCAUGGAAUAGCACCUUAUUCACAUUUUUCCUAAAGUAACUAAGAUUGGGAAUUUAAUAAAACAUUUAGUUACUUUAUAAUAUUCAUCAUACUUUGAAUGAGAAUUAAUAAGUCCUUGUCUUACCCGUUCGGCUAACGACCCUCCACCGAUCAAGCAAGCGGUGGGUGAGAGUGGACACCCAUUAAGUCACCAUUUUAUAGGCAACAACCUUAUACCCACCUUAUAGACCGGCUUCGUGAAUGAGGCGUACUAGCGGUAAGACGACUUUGUUCUUAUACAUAUAUAUAUAAUUAUUAAAUCAUAAUAAUAUAAGUAUAAGGGUUGAAUUUUAACUUUUAAAAUUCUAGGGGUUGGAACUAAAGUUUUAACUUAACUUUACUUGUUCCAAAACUUGAGGGCAAGUUUUGUAAACUUUCAAAACUUUUCAUUUCUUGUAACUUAUGAGUUUAAUAGAGUAAUAAAAUGAGGACUUUUCAUUUUUCCUAACUCUUGUGUUCUUUUAAUGUUUUUUAAUCCAAGAGACUUUUGGUUUUCCAUAACUUGAGGACAAGUUAUGGACUCCAUUAAAACACAUUAUGAUCAUGAAUUAAUCUACCACAUAGGUUACAAAUAAUUCCUAUGAUCAUCUAAACAUCAUAAGAACAAGAAUAUGAAUAUGAACACUUUCAAGAAUCAAAAUCACAUUUAAUCUUUGUAAUUUUGAUAACUAGUUGUUGUAAAUGAGUUAGAAAAGACAUUACACCUUCUAAAAUAAGUUUUCAAGUACCAAAACAUUUUAGGGUAAUGAUUCUAAUCCAUUUCCAGCAACACAAGUCGAAAUUCUGCACUCUGUCGACCCUACUCGCCGAGUGCAUAAACCUACUCGCCGAGUAGGUUGAAGAUACACAUGAACUCGUCGAGUCCUCCCCAUGGACUCGCCGAGUCCAUCAGUCAGACAGCAAGAUUUUCGACUUUCUUCAACUUUUAAGCACAAAUAACAAACAAACAAGCCUAGGCUCUGAUACCACUGAUGGGUUUUGAGCAUUCUAACACUUCCUAAGUGUACAUGCAACCCUAAUAACCUUGGAUCUAUGUUUGUCUAAUUAUCAUGCAAAGUUGAAUUCCAAGGUUAUAUUCCUAUCUAGCAUACAUGGGGAACAAUUUUAACUUGAAUGAAAGAUAGAAUAACUUACCUUGUUGUUGCUUAUGUUCCUUGAAACCUUGUGAGCCUAGCACCCCAAGUGUGAUGCCUCAAAUGCUUCACACAACACCAAAUGCUCUUGGAAAGACUUUUGAGAGAAUACACACUUCUUGAAAUCGGCCUAGCCCUCUUGUUUCAUAUGUGUAGCCGAUUUUUGUGGAGAAUGGGAUUCUUAUAUAGUGUUGACACAUCUAGGGUUACACCAUGUAAACCCUAAUGUGUCAUGACUCUUCAUUUCCAUGACCCAUGGGUUUGUAACUCCCAUGGAGCAUCCAUGGAGCAUCCUAUGGGUGGAACCCAACUUGAUAAUCCAUGGAGCCUCUUAGCCCACUAUACAAGAUAUGAAUGAUUUACAUAAUCAACCCAUAUAUUUAAUUAGUUAUCCUUUGAUCACUUAAUUAAUUCUAAAUUAAUUCUUGAUCAAACUAAUCAAAUAAUAUUAUUAAUAUAUUAGAACUUAUAAUAUAUUAAUAAUCUCCAAGUUUUAUUGCUCUCAUUUAGUCUAUCCAAUUGCAUGGUGUCAUGCAACCCAAAUGGAACAUGCCGGGUCAGGUCAAGUACUGACCCGAAAUAGUUAUAGACUUAGACACCUUAUCCAACAACAUGGAAGGGUGAUAGCAUACGCAUCCCGCCAACUAAAGACGCACGAAGUAACUUAUCCGACCCAUGACCUAGAAUUGGGAGCUGUAGUUUUUGCCCUAAAGAUUUAGAGGCAUUACCUUUACGGUAUGAAGUGCACCGUCUUCACAGAUCACAAGAGUCUCCAACACAUACUGAACCAGAAGGGGCUGAACAUGAGGCAACGAAGAUGGGUUGAAUUGCUAAACGAUUAUGAGUGUGAGAUCAAGUACCACCCAGGCAAGGCCAACGUGGUAGCUGACGCAUUAAGUCAGAAGGAGUACUCUAAUCAUCGUGCGAAAACUCUCUCAAUAACCAUUCAAUCUCAUCUGGCCACCCAAAUUGCAGCAGUCCAGUCAGAGGCCAUGAAGACGGAAAAUAGAGCAAGCGAAGCAUUACGCGGGAUGGAGAAGAACCUAGAGGCAAGGGAGAAUGGAGUAUACUACUUCAUGAACCGAAUUUGGGUCCCUAAAAUCGGAGGAUUUAGGGAGGUUGUUAUGAAGGAAGCCCACAAGUCACGAUACUCCAUUCAUCCCGGUUCAGACAAGAUGUAUUUGGAUAUUAAACAACACUAUUAGUGGCCUAACAUGAAGGCGGAAAUUGCGACCUAUGUUAGUAAGUGCCUUACGUGCGCCAAGGUAAAGGUGGAGUACCAGAAACCCUCAGGAUUAUUACAGCAACCGGUAAUCCCUGAGUGGAAGUGGGAGGGGAUUUCUAUGGACUUCGUGACCAAGCUACCCAAGACGUCGGACGGACUGGACACCAUAUGGAUAAUAGUCGACCGACUGACGAAGUAUGCCCAUUUCCUGCCUAUAAAAGAAUCCUACAAGAUGGAAAGAUUGACACGUUUGUACAUUCGAGAGAUCGUGAGACUCCACGGAGUACCAAUGUCUAUUAUCUCGGAAAGGGAUAGUAGAUUCACUUCGCCUUUUUGGCAAUCUCUCCAUAAGGCACUAGGAACUCAUCUUGACAUGAGCAUCGCAUAUCAUCCACAAACAAACGGUCAAAGUGAACGAACCAUUCAAACGCUUGAAGACAUGCUUCGUGCAUGUGUGAUAGACUUUGGGAAGUCAUGGGAUACCCAUUUACCUUUAGUCGAAUUCUCGUAUAACAACAAUUAUCAUUCAAGCAUUAAGGUCGCUCCUUUCGAAGCACUGUACGGGCGUAAGUGUAGAUCACUGUUAUGUUGGGCUGAAGUAGGUGACACCCAGCUAGCAAAAGCACUCAUGUUGGAUCAGGCGCUAACGGGACUAGAAAUCUUUCGUGAAACCACAAAAAAGAUUAUUCAAAUCAGAGCUCGACUGCAAGCAUCGCACGACUGACAAAAGAGCUAUGCCGAUAAACGGCGAAAGCCCUUAGAAUUUCAAGUCGGAGAUCGAGUACUGUUAAAAGUCUUGCCCUAGAAAGGAGUUAUUCGUUUUGGGAAGCGGGGAAAAUUGAACCCACGAUACAUUGGACCUUUCAAAAUCGUCGCUCGAAUAGGUCCGGUAGCAUACAGACUGCAACUACCCACAGAGCUAAACAGUGUACACCUCGUGUUCCAUGUCUCUAAUCUGAAGAAGUGCCUAUCAGAUGAAACACUCGUCAUUCCUCUUGACGAAAUCGAAAUCAACGAGAAUCUCCUGUUCGUUGAAGAACCAAUUGAAAUCAUGGACAGGGAGGUGAAGCGUACCAUGCAAAGUCGCAUCCCGAUCGUGAAAGUACGGUGGAACGCAAAGCGUGGGCCAGAAUUCACGUGGGAACGCGAAGACCAAAUGAAGAAAAAGUACCCUCACCUAUUCUAGCAUUCUCAAAUCUAGCUUUCAAACAGAAUUUUGGGACGAAAUUCCCUCUAACGGGGGGAUGAUGUCACAACUAGAAAUUUUGUGUCUUGUAAUCACUAUACUUAAGUAAAAGGUUGAAUCAAAAACAUAAGAGCAUGUGAGAUACCUAUUAUUAUGACAUCAAAAACUGCAAUCAAAUACAUCAUACAAAUACUACAAAUAGUCAUCAAGCAAUUGGAAACCCUAGAAGUUCUUGUUUAGGUCCAUUUUGGACUAGGACUUGCUUAUUGGACUCAAUGGACCAAUAAGCUUCCAAUUUGACUAUCAGGGGCUUAGAACCCUUAAAUGGGCUCUAAUUGCACCCACAUUAAUUUAUUUCAACAUUUUGGGCCAUAUUGGGCCAAGAAUGAAAUAAAUUGAAAGUUUUGAACCAUGAUUAACCUAAACUAGCCCAACAAAGUGUAAAAAUCAUGUUAUAUUUCUUUUAGGUCAAAAAUCAUCCAACUUAACUUCUAUAUGGGCUUGAGGGCUUUAAAGCCCAAAUCUUUCCUUUUCCAUCCAAAUUUUCGGCCCAAGGCCCAAAUCCAAGAAGAAAAGAGGAAGGGUUGACUUAAUGCGUGCCACCUCAUUAUUAUAUGGUGGUUAUCCAAGCUAAUAUUCCUCAAACAUCCAUGCGAAUCUCAUUUCUCCAUGCAACUCUCUCUCUCCUUCUCUCUUCUUGUUUUGGCCGUGAGUAACACACAUACACACACCUCACAAAACUCUCUCUAGAUUACUCAACAAAUCAUCCUUCCUCUCCAUUCAAAAAUCUCGAAACUUUGCUUGUGCAUCAAGAGGAUUUCAAGAAAAUAUCAUCACUUCUUUGUAAGCUACAUAUAUCUAAGGAUUUUAUAACUCUUUUCUCAUGAUUAGAUCCUUUCUCUUAAACAUUUGUGGUAAUCAUGCUCCUAGAAUCUUCUCAAAGUCGAGAUCAUCACCAAAGGGUUGCUAAGGCCGAAAAUGACCAAACUUUCUUCCAUCGUUUCUUCAAAAACCGAAACCACACCCUAAGGUGAGCUUGAUACCCCCCCUUAUUUUCGUUUUUUAUAAGUUUUGUGGGGGGAGAAUACAAGCAAAUGUGUAGAUCUAUCAUUAUGUGUAUGCCUUGUAUGAUUUCUAUGCUUAUAUGUGUGUUUAUGUGUGAUUAUGAUGUUGGAUCUAGUUAUAAACCCCUAAAAAUCGGGAUAUACCUUAUGUUAAAUGAUACUAGCAUAAAUUAUAUUUCUACAUACAAAGCAUUCCAAGAAAAAUAGCUAAGAGGUUUAAUAACAACUUCAUUGGGCUAAAAACUCAUUUUAUGACAUAAAAUGUUAAAAAUAUAAAGUUAAAGGGGCCAAAAUGACAUAUUACGAAUUCUGAUGGGUGAGAUGAGUCAAAACAGUUCCAAUAAUGUAUUUUCUGAAAAUAUACUCUUUUGAAGGGUUAAAAACAUAAAUUUCAAGCUUAAUGGGCUAAAAAUGACAUUUGCGGUGCAAUAGGGCCCAUUAUGCGAAUUUUUCCAAUUUGAGGGACUGAAACCGUGUUUUUCUAUAAAACAGUGGACUGUUAGUGUCCUAAGUCCUUUUCAAAGGUCAAAAAUGCUAUUCAUAAUUAAAAAGGACCAAAGUUGCAAAAAAUUUCCAAUUUGGGCCAAAAGUGUAAAAAUUGCGAAAAAGAAAGGUUGCAGCCGAGAAAAGUGCAUUUUAAGGGACUAAAACUGUUUUCAAUUAAAAAUGUGAUGAAAAAUAUCAAUUUCAAUAAGUUUUGAUGUUAAAAUGCCAAGAAAAAUGGUUUGAGGACUAAACCGGAAAGUUAAUUUACUUUAGAGGACUAAACCGGAAAUUAAUUUACUUAAAGGGGUGAAAAAGUAAAUUUACAAAAUAAAGAGGGGUUGUAAACAGAAAAAUUUCAAUGUUAAUUCAAUACAUUCGUUGUGAUCAAAUACUGACACUGUGACUACCGACGAAUUACAAUACACAAUAAUACCAACAAUCGUUAUCAAACGAAUUAAUUCGGUCUCGAAUCAAAAACAAAUCCGAAACUACUAACACUGCGACACUCAAUACACACAUGGAACUCUCAGAAACUCUAUACACUCGUGGAAAUACGCUAUACGUCGACGCUGUGUCCUUGGGCCCAAAAGUUUCAAAUCAUGCUUGUUGGGCCUAGCUAGCCCAAUGACAUGAUCUUUAGGCCCAAAGGAAAUUUACUUACAUGUAGUCGGGUCUAAUACGACCUAACUUCGUGUAAAAAGACUUUCAAUGGCAAACAUGCUGCUGGUCCCCAAUGGUCCUUCGGUACUGCUAGCAAAGUCGAGAACUCUCUAGUGCGAGUUGGGCUAAGGGCCCUUCGCAUUCACUAUGGCCUUGAACGACAUAAGGAAAUACCGAGGGCUUCGCACCUUCUUUUCCCCUCGGUCGUGGGGCUACACGAGUCCGGGGAGUUGGGUUACGUGAAUAAGUGCAAGCGACGCCUAAGGGAUUGUUUGUACGGUUGUCAACUGGGCGUUUUCAUUAAUGUACGUUACAACAAUUCACCAACUACUAUAAUUCAACGCCUCUGGAGCUCAACUAAUACCUCUAUCGUAUCGAAAUAACAAUACAUAAACUAACUAAAGCAAAGUGAUAGGAAAACGUCGGGUUUUCCUAGGCUUUUCAACUAUUACACCUACGAACUACAUACCGAGCUUUACAAACCGUACGCUUACACCUAUAGAAAACAAACAAGCAUACUUAUGGAUCUUCACACUUUUUACACCAUACUAUUUUCAGAAAAUAUCGGAUUUUCUGGUGGUUUUCAAGACAUUAUAACCCGUUGGAUUUCAAACAUUACUUAUGAACUCACCAACAUUUCAUAUGUUGACGUUUUUCAAAAUACUUGUAUUCUCAGGUAACAGGUAAAGUGAAGGAAGAAUUGUACUCUAUGAUGUUUUGUGGUUGUUUAAUUAACAACGAACAAUUUAUUUUUGGGCAUGUAAUAUUUUGGAACAAUGUAAUGGAUGUAAACACUAUCAGUUGUAAUAUUCAAAUGCUUGGUAAUGAAUGAUGUUAUGUUUCAUGUAUAUUCAUUGUGAUGGUAUUCAAUUGAGUCACAACAGCCCCCGGACGUUUCCGCCGUCUGGUUCGGGGGUGUGACAUGAACUGAGUGUGUUCACUACGUAUCUUUGAACGGAGUGUGUUCACUAGGUAUUUUGAACUAAGUGUGUUCACCAGUUACUUUUGAACUAAGUCUUUACCAGAUGUUUUGGACUACGUGUUCACCAGUUUUAAUCUAUAAGCUUUGGUAAUGAUGGACUUCGUGCCGAUUCCUUAGGAUAAUCGUUAGGAAUGAAUGAACGAGAAAUAGCUGAUUCUUAGGGUAUAUCCUUAAGAGUAAAGAAGAUAAUGGGGAUGGUUAAUUGGGUUUAAUAGCUAGAUUUUUUAAGCAUAAUAAUUAUAUUAUUGUGGGUUGAAAACCCUAUGUACUCACCAGGUUUCCCAACCUGACCCACUCAUUUUAUUUAUAUCACAGGUGUUGAUAUAAAGUCACAUUACACUGAGAGAUUAAAGAGAUGUAGAUCACUAGUGUAAAUAAAUGUAAGUUCUAUUUAUGCUUAUGUUCCUGUAUUGACAAUGACAUCCCAAAUGUUUUAAAAUGAAUAAAAUACGUCUCUUCAAAAAUGUUUUAAUAACAUAUUUAUCGUGUUUUUCUAGGAACAAAUUCCGCAACAUUUUUAUGAAAAGAAGUACUCUGAACUUUAUAAAGCAUAAACAAAAUUGGUCUUUUCUGGCCGUGAAAAUGGGGAUGUCACAUUAUCAAAGCACUUCCAGAGAAAGAUAUUUUUAUUCAUUUAAAACAUUUGGGAUGUCAUCGUCAAUACAGAAGACAUAAGCAUAAACAGAACUUACAAUCAUUGUCAUUAGUGAUUUUUAUCUCCUUAAUCUCUCAGUGUAAUGUGACUUCAUAUCAACACAUGUGAUAUAAAUAAACUGAGUGGGUCAGGUUAGGAAACGUGGUGAGUACAUAGGGAUUUCAAUCCCAUAAUGUUAUCCAUAUAUAUACUUUAAAACUCACAAAAUAUACAAUUUCACCAUAUAUAUAAACAACUUUUAUCCCGCCCCGUCGAUCCUCACAACGAGACUAUCCAUACUCUCGUACCUAAGAUUAGCCGGUUUACCUAAUCCAUACUCCCGGAUCAGAAAUGAACGACUUUGCCUAAUCCAUACUCUCGGACUAGGGACAAAUGACUAAUCUAUACUCUCGGAUUAAUGAUGAAUGAUUAUGCGUAAUCCAUACUCUCAGACUAAAGACAAUGACUAUGUCUAAUCCAUGCUCCCGGAUCAAUGACAUAUACUAAGGUUUUAUUCUCUGAGUAUAAUUCACUCGUUCUCGUAAGAAAACACUACCCAAUAUUUCUCAUAAUUAAUUUAGGUUUACACUUUAUUCUAAAUAAGCAUAUAUAAUCAGGUAUCCUCUUUAACAAGUAUCUCAUGCAACAUCAAAUAAUUCGCACAUAAACAUAUAUUUAAUACUUCAAUCGAUAAUUGUAUUAAAAUCAUGUUCAUGAAAGGGACUAUGCACUCACACAUAAACUCUUCAACAAAUAUUUAACUCUUUAACAUAUAUUUAAUAAUUGAAUUAAUACUUGUAUUAAAAUCAUGUUCAUGAAAGGGACUAUGCACUCACAACACGUAAUUUAUAUUAAAUACUUCAUAUAUUUGUGUAAGAUGAAAGAGACCAUGCACUCACUUGAAAAGGUGGUGAUUCCGAACUCAGACAGCGCUUCGCUUCUUAAAUAUAAUUUCUUUCGACGAGACCUAGUAUUAUUACCACUAGAUUUUUGUCUAUUAUUUGUCGAGACUAAUUAAUAGUCUAGCUAUUAUUACUAUUAUAUAAGCAUUAAACAAUACUUAUAUAACCCAUAGUAAUAGCCCAAGUACUUAUUAUAAGUUCCUAAUAACGUUACUAUAAUUAGAAAAAAAAAACAAAAAAAAAACCUAUAUUAAAAAUAGCGUAGGCGUAACUCAGUUACAACGGGUUUUAUACAAAACCGGGCUUUUCUUGGGAUAGCGUUCCCAAGCCGAAACGCUCUUAUUCUCAGAGCCGUCGAGCACUACGAGGCUUCCGCCUCGUGCUAAAGAGGUUCCCUAGCCUUUUCGGGGCUAGAGAGAGAGCUUCUAGAGAGAAAGUAAAGAGAAGAAAGAAUGAGAAAGGUGUGAACAAAAUGAGGGUGUGAGAGGUUCUAUUUAUAGGGUGAAAAUGGCUGAACUUGGUGCCACAUUUCACCAUCUAGUGGCAAGACUUAGGGAGAAAGCAAUGGCCAAGAUUGUGUCACAUCACCCAUUUUUGCAUAACACACCUCCGACUUCUAAAAUCCGUAACUUUCACAUAUGACCUCCGAUUUUGAUGUUCUUUAUAUCCACACCUAGGUAAAAAUAAGAUGUACAACUUUCAUUUUGACUGCGUCGGCUAAUUCUCGACCGAUCCUAAAUUUAACAGUACGAGGGGAUUAUACUGAUAAAUGUCCGCGUAAAAUUCAUAACUUCUACAUACGGACUUUGUUUUUGUCUGUCUUUUUACCGUUGAGUUCCUAUUAAUGAGUUCUUCAAUUCUCAUUUAAGUCAUUCAGGCCAAAAACCGCUCGAACUAAAAUUCGAGUUUCGGGUCGUGCACUGCUAUGCCAAAUCUUAGAAAAUUCAUAACUUCCUCAUACGAUGUCAGAUUUGGGCGUUCUUUUUUUGUAUGUUCUCGGUUUAACAUAUACUUCAACUUUUGUUUGGAUCAAUAAGGCUAAAUGUUCCUAUAUCAAAAGUUCACUAUUUAUGUCUCCCGGCGUCGUGCCGGUUUUGCCGUAAAACUUCAACGAGCCAUAACUUCUUCGUUAUAACUCGGAUUUCAACGUUCUUUAUAUGUACGGAACCCUUGAGACAUAUUAUAAAUUUUUGUUAAGAUUAUUUAUUCUAAAUAAUAUUUUGUCAAAAAGUCAUUUUCGACCCCUAUUAUCUCUAUAUUGACUAGCCUGGAUCUACGGGCGUUACAAUUAUCUCCCCCUUAGGAUGAUUACGUCCCGGAAUCAUGAACGAAAUAGGCUCACAUGAUGAAUCCAUACAUUGUCUCUUCAUCCUAAGUAAUAACCGUAACUUUGAUGUUUCUUCGAACGAAUAUUUAACUCUAAGACUUCCUGAUUGCAGGCCGUGCUCGAUCUUGCACUUGCUCCCUCUCUCACGUUAGACUCCAAAUUAUGACCUUCAAGUCACAAUCUUGAUCCUUACUAGAGACUUCUUCUUCUUCUUAACAAACUUAAGAUAUGUUAUUUUAUUACUAAAAUAGACCGAUGUGUCAUAUUCUAAUGACUUAUCAUCGUAUGUUCCCACGCUUAGACUCAGGUCUCUUAGAGUCUUCCAGAACAAACUAUACUUUCGUUCAUGUUCCAAUCUCAUAUUAAAAGGUAGCAUUUCUAGCUACAAGCAACUAUCGCGAUACCUCUACUGAUCACUUUGAUUGUUUUUCUCUUCAAGCUUUUAGCUUAAGUCAGUUGCUACAUCAGACUUGAUUCUCUGAACUAUUUAUCAUACUUAUCGUAGUCGAACUCAAUUUGAUAUGAACGCUAGGGUUAGUAUAACAAUCACCAUCUUAGUCAUUACCGAAACGAUGGUAACGAUAUUCUUGAAUAAAAUGGUACUAUUUACUAGUUUCUUGGUAACCUUGUGACCUUCCCUGAUCCAAGUGCGAGUCACGUGCUUCCGGUAGUAUAAGCCUCUACUACCAUUCACACCUACUCAUACUCGUCUCAAGUAUUGUCUCGCAGUUUUCCCAAGUCACCAUCAAAUAAAAUCACAUGAAAACUUAACACAUUGGAUAGAAAAACAAAGGUUUUUAUAUUAUUCGUUGAAACGAUUACAUAGGUGUUCAAGUUCACCCUAGACUAUGCCUCUAAUAGGCUACAUUAUACGAUAUUAUGGCUACUGCAUAACUCGAUCUUCAGAUAUGAAGUCCUCAUCCUUGAUUCCUCGCGUUAUCAUCUGCUUCGUGAAGGAUCAUCUGAGAUGCUCUUGCCUUUGGUUUUGGCGGUAUAUUCGGCUUUGUAGCUUCUUCUUUCCUUGGGAAGUCUUGCUUGAAGUGUCCCUCUUCACCACACUUAAAAGCAGAGUUUUCUCUUGGUUGUGCAUUCACCGACGUAAUGGCCAGUCUUCCCGCAUUUAAAGCAGGUCAUCUCUUUAGAGAAUUCCCCAAUGUGCUUCUUUCUACACUUGUCACACCAUUGCAUUCCUUCUUCGAACUUCUUUGAACCAGUCAUCAAGAAUUUUCUAUUCUCGUCAGACCUUAAGGAUCCUUCAAACUUUCUCUUCUCGCCAACCUCCAUCUUGCUGGCAGCUCUUCCCUUGAUCAUAUCUUCAACAGACUUGGCAGCCCAGAUAUUUGCCUCCAGAGUAGACGCCUGACAUACUGGCACCGCAUACUCCCAAGGAAGACCCUUUGCGUACUUGUCAAUUUUUGUCAGCUCGUCCGGGACAAGACGCAAAGCAAACUACAUCUUGUCUGUGAAGUUGUUGGUGUAUUCAUCGAUGGUCAUGCUUCCUUUCUUCAAGGUUAGGAAUUGGUUCUAUAGCUCGAGCAGGUUUUGGGCUAAACAGUACUUACGUUUGAAUUGCACCAAAAACUCUGUCCAAGUCAAUUGCAGGGGCUCAUUGGGGCUUAGAGUCUUCCCUAGGGUAUUCCACCAGCGCACAGCGCCUCCUCGGAACUGACGCACUGCAAAGGUGGUUUGCAGCUUGCCUCUACAACCGCACGUCAUAAAAGCUAACUCCAUUUCUGAGAUCCAAUCCAUGACUUCGAUCGGUCUUCCUUUCCAGUGAAAGUCGAUGACUUGCAAGUCAAAAAAUCUUUGUACUUGCAUCUGUUUCUCUUGACUACAUCAUCUUGACCGUUUCUCCUAUUAACUGGCGGAUCAGCUUAGCCCACUGACCUACUGUAGUUUCCUUCCUCCGAUUGUUCGGGAAUCGGCUCCUUUUGCACAAUGGGCAUGGUGGCUUCGUCCUUGUUUCUCUUGCAUCAUCCGCAUCAUUUCUUCCCUUUGUUCCGCUAACAUAGCCCUCUUCAUGGCUUGUACUCCCGCCAUGGUGAUUGGCUCAGGUGCGACUUCUAUUACGACUACUAUUUGCAGUAUCACUGGGGGUUGAUCUCAGUUCCCAUUUGCAUUCACGUUUCCGCUAUGGGUCCUAGCCAUCUUGAUCUACACACCGAAUAAGGUGAAUAUAGAUCUUUCUUUAGGACUGACGCUUAUAUCAUCCUUAUCUCUCCGAAACGUUUAUAUGCGAGUUCUAAUAUCGUAGUCGUACGUUUUGAAUCCUAAACACAUAAGGUUUCCAGAUCCGGUCGGCAACAGAACAUAGAUCCGAACAAAUAACGGCAUAUCAGACAGAAAGCAUUUAGCACAUAAAAGCAUUUUAGGCAUCAUUCCUAAAAUAAGCUACUGCUCAUAUCUCACAAUCAUCGCUUAGCAUUUUAAGUUUAAGUCAAGAAAUCCUACAAAUUCCUAGUUCGCUUUAAUAAAUGCUCAGAUACCAACUAUGACAUCCCCAUUUUCACGGCCACAAAAGACCAAUUUUGUUUAUGCUUUAUAAAAUCAAAGUACCUCUUUUGAUAAAAAUGUUGUGGAAUUUGUUCCAGUAAAACAUGAUAAAUACGUUAUCAAAGCACUUCCAAAGAAAAGUAUUUUUAUUCAUUUUAAAACAUUUGGGAUAUCAUCGUCAAUACAGAAGACAUAAGCAUAAACAGAACUUACAUUCAUUAUCACUAGUGAUUUAUAUCUCCUUAAUCUCUAAUGUGACUUCAUAUCAACACUUGUGAUAUAAAUAAACUGAGUGGGUCAGGUUGGGAAACCUGGUGAGUACAUAGUGAUUUCAAUCCCAUAAUGUUAUACCAUAUAUAUAUAUAUAUAGUUUAAAACUCACAAAAUAUACAAUUUCACCAUAUAUAUAAACAACUCUUAUCCCACCCCGUCGAUCCUCACAACGAGACUAUCCAUACUCUCGGACCUAAGAUUAGCCAUUUUACCUAAUCCAUAUCCCAGAUCAGAAAUGAACGACUUUACCUAAUAUAUACUCUCGGACUAGGGACGAAUGACUAAUCCAUACUCUCGGAUUCAUGAUGAAUGAUUAUGCCUAAUCCAUACUCUCAGACUAGGGACAAUGACUAUGUCUAAUCCAUGCUCCCGGAUCAAUGACAUAUACUAAGGUUUUAUUCUCUCAGUAUAAUUCCCUUAUUUUGGUAAGAAAACACUAUCUAAUAUUCCUCAUAAUUAGUUUUGGUUUACUCUUUAUCCUAAACCAGCAUAUAUAAUCAGGUAUGUUCUUUAACAAGUGUCUCAGGCAACAUCAAAUAAUUCGCACAUAAAUAUAUAUAUUUAAUACUUCAAUCGAUACUUGUAUUAAAAUCAUGUUCAUGAAAGGGACUAUGCGCUCACACAAAAACUCUUCAACAAAUAUUUAACUCUUUAACAUAUAUUUAAUACUUUAAUUAAUACUUGUAUUAAAAUGAUGUUCAUGAAAGGGACUACACACUCACAACACGUAAUUUAUAUUAAAUACUUGACAUAUAUGUGUAAGAUGAAAGAGACCAUGCACUCACUUGAAAAGGUGGUGAUUCCGAACUCAGACAGCGCUUCCCUUCUUAAAAAUAAUAUCCUUCGAAAAAACCUAGUAUUAUUACCUCAAGAGUUUAGUCUAUUAUUUGUCGAGACUAAUUAAUAGUCUAGCUAUUAUUACUAUUAUAUAAGCAUUAAACAAUACUUAUAUAACCCAUAAUAAUAGCCCAAGUACUUAUUAUAAGUUCCUAAUAACGUUAUUAUAAUUAAAUAAAAACCAUAUUAAAAAUAGCGUAAGCGUAGCUCACUUACAAUGGUUUUAUAAAAAACCGGGAUUUGCUUGGAGCAGCACUCCCAAGGCGAAAAGAUCUUCUUCUCGGAGCUGUCGAGCAUUCCGGGGCUUCCGCCUCAUGCUAGGGAGGUUCCCUAGCCUUUUCAAGGCUUGAGAGAGAGGUUCUAGAGAGAGAGUAAAGAGAAGAAAGAAUGGAAAGGUGUGAAGAAAAUAAGGGUGGGAGAGGUCCUAUUUAUAGGGUGAAAAUGCCUGAACUUGGUGCCACAUGUCACCAUCUGGUGACAAGACUUGGGGAGAAUGCAAUGGCCAAGAUUGUGUCACAUCACCCAUUUUUGUACAGCACACUUCCGACUUCUAAAAUUCGUAACUUUCACAUACGACCUCCGUUUUUUAUGUUCUUUAUAUCCACGCGUAGGGAAAAGUAAGAUCUACAACUUUCAUUUGGACUGCGACGGCUAAUUCACUACUGAUCCUAAAUUAAAUAGUGCGAGGAAAUUAUAUUGUUAAAUGUCCGCGUAAAAUUCAUAACUUCUACAUACGGACUCUAUUUUCAUCUUUCUUUUUACCGUUGAGUUCCUAUUAAUGAGAUCUUCAAUUCUCAUUUAGGUCGUGUAGUCCAAAAACCGCUCGAACUAAAAUUCGAGUUUCGGGCCGUACAGUACUAUGCCAAAUCUUAGAAAAUUCAUAACUUCCUCAUAUGAAAUCAGAUUUGGGGGUUCUUUUUUUGUAUGUUCUCGGUUUAACAUAUACUACAACUUUUAUUUGGAUCGAUAAGGCUAAAAAGUCCAUUAUCAAAAAUUCGCUAUUUACGUCUUCCGGUGCCAUGCCGAUUUUGCCAUAAAACUUCGACAGGCCAUAACUUCUUCGUUAUAACUCGGAUUUUGGCAUAUUAUAAAACUUGGUUAAGAUUAUUUAUUCUAAAUAAUGUUUUGUCGAAAAGUCGUUUUCGACCCCUAUUAUCUCUAAAUUGACUAGCCCGGAUCUACGUGUGUUACAUUUAAUAUCAAUGAUGUUGAUAGUCAGCUAAUGCCGGUAGAAAUCUAUGUCCAAAUACUUUCAUCCUCCUAUCAUUAGAGCUCUACCUAAAUCCCAUACUGGUCAAAUCGUUGAACAAUGGAAAUUUAGUCCGUGGAUCACUUUCAAUUCUUUUUGAAAGUUGGGACAUGUUAUCCUCCAACCAAAGAUAGCUUAGUUCGGAUGAAAAUCGUCUUAUAACCAUUCUAUAAACAUAAUUCUACUCUAUACCAGGACUACAUCAUAAAUAUGUAUGUCGGAACAUAGAGGGCCAUUGAACAGCGAUAACAANNNNNNNNNNNNNNNNNNNNNNNNNNNNNNNNNNNNNNNNNNNNNNNNNNNNNNNNNNNNNNNNNNNNNNNNNNNUAUAUAUAUAUGUUGAAUGCAGUUUGUAACGAUCAUAGUUAUUAACAAACUCACUUCACGUUUUGGGACAGAAUCAUGUCGUCACCAAGAAAUAUCCAGCCAACCGACAAAACCCCGAUCCUUCAUAUAGACUCUGCAACAUUCCAAUAUGUCGUAAUGGCUGUUGUGACCACUGUCAUGGCGCAAUUCCAUUCUAACAACCCAAACAAACGUACAAACAGCAUCAAAACUUUGGACCGAAGGAACAACAAAGGAAACCAACGAGCGCCAACCCAUGAGGGAACCCUAACCCAGAAACCGAACAAUAAGAAGAGAAUAUUUUGGGAUAAAAAGAAGUGCAAAUCAUCCCAAAGAACGACAAAGAGACAGCAACCUAUGGCGGCUUUUGCGGCCACGACAUUUUUGCCCUUACUACCAUUCCGACUAAUAUCCCGGUGACCCGAAUACCAGCAAAGAAGUAUGUUAGAAGUCUACCCGAGUACACAAAGUGUAGUUUCCACCACCUGGGUGUUUACCGAAAGUUGCAUUGCAAGGACUGCAACAUGACCGGACACACUACACAUUUCUACAGAACCUGAAUCUAGCGCCUCACAUCAACCACAGAUGUUGGAGCAAGUCUAAUAUGUCACCUUUGUGGUGAAAUUGGACAUUUAAAAAGGGAUUGUCCAACCGAGAAGAAUAAUGGAGGAUCAGGAGGUGUGUGACCCUAGCAUAUCAAAGGGCAUAAAAGGAUCCUGUUUCAGUUUUGGUACGCUUCCAAACCCUAGUAAUUAAUUAUAAUUAACCUUUCGUUCGGAUUGAAUCUCAGCACUUGUAUAAAACUAGGAACUCUAUCUGGUAAGCUAUAAUGGUUUAGCGUAUACAUUAGGGUCAUUUAUACUUAAGAUUCAUAGACUUAAAAUGAGUGGUUCCCCCUUAUUCUCUUUUCCUUGUCUAGAUGUGGGUUUAGGGCAGAGUCACUCAGUCAAUCAUUUUUCCAAUCUUAAUUAUACGUGACCCGUAUACACCCAAAGGUUAUAGCAAAACCAAGUAGGGGACAUAUCAUGCAAGUUCAUUAUUUCAAAUUAUUCAAAAUCCUCGUAUAAUGAGUACUCAUCUAAUUCAGGUCAAAAUAUUCGUGGUAAAAAUACGAAGAUUAAUUAUUCUUCCUAGUAAUCAUUCCUUCUUCUAGAUCAUCAUGACAUUUAAGUCAUCAAAAAGUUCUGACAUCUUCGUCCAAUAGAGUUUGGCUUAGUCUUCACUAUGCAAAAACUUGUGUCCUAGAUAAAGAAACUCUCCCCAUAAUAAACCGUCAGAUGAAACUCUUCUGAUCCAAAACGCGUAACCCUUAUAUCAUCUCUCACUUUAGAACUUCAGAAGUACCCAUGCAGGGGUACUGCACCUUUCUAACUUAGCUAAUAGGUUUUACACUUGAAACGAAGUGCACCACAUAACACCUCCAAAGUAAACAACUUUCUAGACAUCUUUCCAAACGAACGAUCAGGAACACCACCGUAAUGUUAAGUCGAGUUCUGAAUCGACUUAAAUCCCAAGAGCUACCCCAGUAGUUAAGUCGCCUCACAAUCUAGCUCCAGCAGAGAUGUGGGAACUUUCCAGUCAGCUUAACGAACUUCCUGGAGAGGGAUUUAUGGACCAAACUUCUCACCAUGGUAUGCCCCGGCCUUAUUCGUAAGGGAGAAAGAUGGAUCGUUUCGCAUGUGCAUCGACUAGCAAAAAUUGAACAAACUAACUGUUAAAAAUCGUUACCCCCCUCGCAUCAACGACUUAUUAAUCAAUUACAAGGAGAGAACUACUUUUCGAAGAUUAACAUAUGAUCCGGGCACCAUCAGUUACGAGUGUUGAGGAGGAUGUUCCCAAGACAACCUUCUAAACUCGUUAUGGACACUACAAGUUGUAGUGAUGUCAUUCGGAUUUACCAACGCACCAGCCAUAUUCAUGAAUUUAAUGAUUUAGGUGUGUCGUCCUUACUUGGAUCAGUUUUCCGUUGUAUUCAUCGAUGACGUACUUAUGUACUCUCGUAGUAAGGAGGAACAGAGUCAACACCUACGUCAGAUUCUAGAAUCACUUCGUACAAAGAAAAUUUACACACAGUUUCUUGACAAUGAAUUGAGGAGUCAAGGAGUCGAAUUCUUGGGGCACGUGGUUAGUAAUGAGAGUAUUCAUGUGGACCUUUCCAAAGAUCAAGGCCAUCGAGAACUAGAAAGCACUAAGCGAGGACUUGAAAUCACAUAGGGAGCGCGAGGAUCAAAUUUAAAAUGACAUAUCCUCAUCUUUUCACUUGGUUAUCUAUUGCUAAACUCUAAUUUCGAGACUAAAUUCUGUCUAAUAGGGGGAUGAUGUGACAACCCGAAAUUUCUUCCUUGUACAAGCAUCCAAUUCAAUAAAAGUCGGACUCCUUUCUGCUAUCUUUUAGCACUGUUUAAGGUCUAUUUGAGGGUUCUAAGCAUAGUACAAUCAAGGCUUAAGCUUAGGAUUGAGUUAGCUUAAUUCAUAACAAGUCAAUUGGGCUAAACACUCCUUUAAGAGGAGUGUACUAUCGUACACAUGGGUGUGCGGCCGUACAACCCCCCCCCCCUCAUGGACGUACACCAACUGUCAAUUGUUUGAUAGUUGUACUUUGGGCUGUAAAUACCUUAUGUAUAUGGGUGGAGGAUUUCUAGGGCUUAGGAUAGGCUUAGAAUUCGUCCAAGGCUUAUCAUGAAGGGGAUUGGAUUGCUUAGGGCUUAAGUUAUCCAAUUAGGGUUUAAGGGUGAAACCCUAGGAGCCUUGCAAGUAUAAAUAUACCCUUAGGGGCAAGGGAAAUCGGCACUUGUGUCUUAGGAAAGAAACCUUGGCCGAUUUUCUUCCAUCUCCUCUCUCUCAAAUCAUCCUCCUUGCUAGUUGGUGUUUGUAAGCCAUUAGAGGAGUGAUAAUUGUGACUCUAAAGCUCCAACGACAAGAAGAUCAAGCAAGUGAUUCAAGGUAAACUUCUAACUCUGAUUUUGUAUUGUUAUUAUACUCUAUUAGCCAUUAGAAGUCUUGGAUUCAAUGCAUGUUAAUUAUAGAAAGCUAGAUCCAAGCAUUAGGGUUUGCAUGUGCACAUAGGAAUGUUCAUAUGGCCAAAACCCAUCAGUGGUAUCGGAGCCUAGAUUGGUUUCUAUUGAAUUGAUGCAUUAGUUGUUUGUUUGAUGCCUUCAAAAUUCGAUUUUUAUGGUUCUGAUUGAUGGACUCGGCGAGUCCCAUAGUGGACUCGGCGACUAGGCUUGACUCGGCGAGUCCAUUUGGGUACUUAACGAGUCUGAGCGUCAGGAAGAGCAAAUAUCGGGAUUUCUUGCUGUUUAUCCUUAAGGUACUUGCCUUUAUCAUAUUAGAUCAAUAUAAAUCCGAUUUUUUGAUAUAUAUGAAUAUAUUCUUGAUCUAAUUGAAGAUAUUUAUCAAUUAAUAAAAUAUUUAUUUCCUUAUGUGAUAAUUGAUUAAUUAUUUUAAUUAAAUUGGUAAAUUGUUUUGCAAGAACUAAUUAAAUAAAUCAAAUAUGGAUAAUUAUGUGAUUAAUUGUUAAUUUAGAUUAUUUGUUAUUUGAUCCUCUAUGUUUUGAAAAGUUGAAAACUUGCCCUCAUGUUUUGAACUUUUUGUUUUGUAAUUAGAAGUUUAAUUUAGACAAUUUUAAAUUUCAAACCCUAGAAUUUUACAAGUUUAAAAUUCAACCCUAUACUAAUAUAAUAUUACAAGAUUAAUAUGUAUAUAUGUAUAAUUAAAAUGCUAGUCUUACCGUUAGUAGACCUCAUUCACGAAGCCGGUCUAUAAGGUGGGUAUAAGGUUACGGCCUAUAAAAUGGCGCUUAAUGGGUGUACACUCACACCCACCGCUAGCUUGAUCGGUGGAGGGUCGUUAGCCGAACGGGUAGGAUAGGGCAACCUCAUCCUCUCAUUAAAAGUAUAAUAUGAAAUACAAAGUAACUACAUGUUUUUCAAAAUUUUCCAAUCCUAGUUACUUUAGGAAAAGUGAAUUGAUGCAAUCCCAUGAAAUUACACUUUGCACCAUUGCUAAGAAGUUAGUGGAGUGUGUGUGGUUUACCGGCACACUAAUUGGUUCUAAGCAAAGGUGGCAAAGGGUGAUUCAUUGUUUAUGAUAGUUCGAUGGAGCGUGUGUGGUUUACCGGCACAUCGAAUAGGUGAUCGUUACAAUGAAGGCUCCAUGUGAAUUUGUAUGCUAAUUCACACCCACUUUGUGAUCCUCGGUAUCCCAGUCACAAACGAGAGGGACAUAUCAAGAUUUAAACAUGCCAUUGAAAAGUUUCAAUGAAUCUCAUCCAAACCUAGGAAUUCUAAAUGCAUUUAGAACUUAAAGUUAUGUUUUCAUGAUGGAGAAUUAGUGAAUCGUCAUUCACUUACCUUCAAAUUGUUUGCAUGUUAGAUUACGGCAUCCCUUUUCUAAUAUGUAAAUAUUGUUGUUGGAUCCUAGCCCUAAUUUUUCUUAUUGGGAGAUAAUUAGGGAUUCAAAUUCUAAUCUAUCUUUGUCCUUUCUAUUUGUAGAUGUCGAGCACGAACAACGCUGCUGCUAGCUCAUUCACAUUGAUGAGCCUUUGUCAAAAGGUGACUUUCAAUGGGACAAACUUUAGCCAAUGGGUAAGAUACAGUCGCACAAUUUCUCGCUAGGAGGAUAAGGAGUAUGUCCUCGAUGAGAAGCUCGAGAAGAUUAACCCAGAAAUCGCAACUCCGGCUAAAUGACUACUUUCGAGACUCAUGAACGUGAUGCAACGAAGGUUCAUUGCAUCAUAAUAGCCACUAUGAACUCCGAAUUCCAAAAGUCCUAUGAGGACAUGUACCCGUACGAGAUGCACCAAGACUUGUUGGAGAGAUACCACCAAAGCGCGAGGCAAGAGCGUUACGAAAUUUUCACUAACAUGAUUUCCGCUAAAAUGGGUCAUGGAGAGUCUCUUACCGUGCACCUGCAAAAGAUGCAAAGGUAUGUCGACCGUCUUCGCAAGUUGAAUGUUGACUUUGGGGAAGACUUGGCGAUCGACAUGGUGCUUCACUCUUUGCCUCCGUGUUACAAUCAAUUUAGGAUGACCUACCACAUGAACAAGGAAGAGGUCACCCUAAGCAAGCUCCAAGGUCUCUUUAGGGUUGCUGAAAGCAACCUCAAGGAAAAGGUUGUUGCACCAACUCCCAAUCCACCCGCUGCUCCUGUUUUGGCUAUUGGACAAGGAAGGGGAAAUAAGAGGAAGACUUCGUCUAAGAACCACCACAAGGUUAAGUCCCGAGAUGGUGACUCUUCUAGUGGGACCAAAGUUUAUCCUUCUAAACCCUGCCCUAACCCAAAGGAGGCAGAGUGCCACCCCUGCCACAAAAUAGGACAUUGGAAGAGAAGCUGCCCAAAGUACCUGCAAGCCAUCAAGGAAGGAAAGAUCAAGUUGUCUUUCGUAGGUAUAUACACAAUUAAAUAUAACAAUUUAUCUCAUGCUAUUUCUUGGGUCCUUGAUACCGGUUGUGGUUACCACAUUUGUUCUGAAUUGCAGGGACUAAGAAGAAAUAGGGAUGUGGAGCAUGGAAGAAUAAAUCUAAUCAUGGGGAACAGAAGAUCGUCGCCUGUGACCAAGAUUGGAGUGUAUUCUUUAGUGCUUAGGAAUGGUUUAUGUUUAGAUUUGAAAAAUUGUUGUUAUUCGCCCGAAAUGGCUAGAAACAUCAUUUCAUUUCAUCGUUUGUUUAGACAAGGUUUUAGAUUUUCUUUUAAUAAUGAGAAUGGUUCUAUUCCUUCUUAUCUAAAUGGUGUCUUUUAUUUUGAAGCAAUACCGUGUAAUGGAAUUUAUGNAGAUUCUUCCACUAGUAUGGAUAAAGCAUCCUUGUGGCAUUGUCGUCUUGGACAUGUCAACAAGAAACGCAUAGCCCAACUCCAAAAGGAUUGAGUGUUGGAGUCAUUCGACCUUAGGGAAUAUGACACAUGCGAGUCUUGUUUGCUUGGAAAGAUGACUAAGUCACCCUUCACUAGUGUGUGUGAAAAGGGUGAGGGUCUAUUGGACCUCAUACUUACCGAUGUAUGUGGACCGUUUAGAUCAACCACGAAGGAUGGGAACCGCUUCUAUGUGACUUUUACCGAUGACUAUAGUAGAUAUGGGUAUAUCUAUUUAAUCAAGCAAAAGUCAGAAACCUUUGAAAAGUUCAAAGAGUUCAAGAAUGAAGUGGAGAAUCAAUUGGGCAGGAAAAUCAAGAUGCUUCGAUCCGAUCGAGGAGGAGAGUACCUAAGUCUUGAAUUCCACGAUUAUCUCAAGGAGUGUGGAAUAGUUUCGCAAUUGACGCCUCCUAGGACACCGCAGUUGAAUGGUGUGGCAGAAAGGCGUAAUCGAACCUUAUUGGAUAUGGUUCGCUCUAUGAUGAGUCGUGCUUCAAUCUCAUACUCUUUUUGGGGGUAUGCCUUAGAGACUGCCGCCCAUAUCCUUAACCGAGUCCUUACUAAGAAGGUUGCCAAAACACCUCACGAGAUGUGGACACGGAAAGAUCCCUCGUUAGCACAUAUCAAGGUUUGGGGUUGCGAGGCUUUCGUCAGACGAGAUACUCACGACAAACUCGAACCUCAUAGUGUGCGAUGUAUUUUCAUCGGCUACUCGCAUAAAUCCAUUGGAUAUCUCUUCUAUAGACCAAAGGACAAUGUUUUCUUUGUUGCACGGAGAGGAGUUUUCCGAGAGCAAGAACUCAUAAGCCAAGGAGACAGUGGGAGGCAAAUCGAGCUUGAAGAGAUUCAAGAGUCGAUAGAUGAAGGAACCUCUACCGCUGGCACUCAACCCGAGGAGGAAACUCCGGUUGAACCGAUUGACGAAUCCUUACCUCUUAGACGUUCCGAUAGAGUUAGAGUUCAACCCCAGUUUUAUGGUUUUCAUAUUACUACCGAAGGGGACACGUAUAUUAGUGAUGGUACACUAAUAAAUCUUGAUGAACCUAAUAGCUAUAAGGAAGCCAUGGCAGGCCCGGAGUCUGCGAAAUGGAAAGAGGCAAUGGAUAGCGAGAUCCAAUCCAUGUAUGAUAACCAAGUUUGGAAUUUGGUUGAUUAUGUGCCCGGACGUAAGACCGUUGGGUGCAAAUGGAUCUUCAAGAAGAAGACCGACGUGGAUGGAAACGUACACACAUAUAAGGCGCGAUUGGUUGCGAAGGGCUUUACUCAAACUCCCGGAGUUGACUAUGAUGAGACCUUCUCACCAGUUGCGAAGAUAAAAUCUAUUAGAGUGAUGCUAGCGAUUGCCGCAUUUCAUGAUUAUGAGAUUUGGCAAAUGGAUGUCAAGACCGCUUUCCUUAAUGGAAAGUUGGUUGAGGAUGUUUACAUGGCUCAGCCAGAGGGGUUUGUGGAUCCGAAGCAUCCGAAUAGAGUGUGUAAGCUUGAGAAGUCCAUUUAUGGACUUAAGCAAGCGUCUCACAGAUGGAAUCUUUGCUUCGAUGAGAAAGUCAAAGAGUUUGGAUUUGUACGAAGCGAAGAUGAAUCUUGUGUAUAUGUCAAAGCCAGUGGGAGUAUAGUAAGCUUCCUCGUUCUAUAUGUCGAUGACAUAUUACUCAUAGGAAACGACAUCCCGACUCUGCAGGAGGUUAAGUCCUGGCUCGGGAAGUGCUUCGCUAUGAAGGACCUCGGAGAGGCUUCUUAUAUUUUGGUAAUAAGGAUAGUAAGAGAGAGAAGUAAGAGAGUAAUAGGACUUAGUCAGAACACUUACUUAGAAAAGGUACUAAAACGCUUUAGUAUUGAAAACUCGAAGAAGGGAAAAUUACCGAUACAAAGUAAUGCCAAAUUGAGUAAGACUCAAAGUCCGAGUACCGAAGUUGAAAUAGUAGAAAUGAGCCGAGUUCCAUACUCUUCCGCAGUUGGCUUAAUCAUGUAUGCUAUGACUUGUACUCGCCCUGAUGUAGCCUUUGCUUUGAGCAUGGUUAGUAGAUAUCAAGGGAACCCUGGCAGAGCCCAUUGGAUUGCGGUUAAGAAUAUCCUUAAGUACCUUCGGAGGACAAAGGAAUGGUUCUUAGUCCUCGAAGGGAGUGAUGACUUGAAGGUGCGAAGGUAUAGUGAUGCCAGUUCUCAGGCCGACAGGGACAACUACCGUUCGCAGUCGGGAGUGGGUCUUUACCCUGAAUGGAGGAGCAGUAACUUGGAAAAGUUCCAAGCAGGAAACCGUAGCUGAUUCAACAUGCGAAUCAGAGUACAUUGCAGCGAGCGAAGCGUCGAAGGAGGCAAUAUGGUUGAAGAACUUCAUCAGUGAUCUUGGAGUUGUACCUGCCAUAAAGGAGCCCAUGGAGAUUUUCUGUGAUAAUGAAGGAGCGAUUGCUUUGACCAAGGAACCGAGGGAUGAUGGUAGAUAUCAACAUAUCGACAAAAAAUACCACUUCAUUAGACAUCGUGUAGAAGAAGGACAACUCGUAGUGAAGAGGAUAUCAUCAGAAGAUAACCCGGCAGAUCCGCUUAUGAAGGGACUGAGUAUGGUUAACCACUUGCAACAUGCUAGGAGUAUUGGGCUGAAGGAUGCUAUUAGUAUAGAUUAGAUAGUGUUAGAAACGUGUAAUAGAUAAAUGUAAUUAACAUUUGAUGAUUAAAUAAAAGAGUAUUAUUUAUGAGUAAUGUUACUGUCUUAUGUUAAUUGUUUAACUAUUGUUUCACUUUGCAUGUUUUGACUUCCAGAAUAAUUGAGUUUAUUAAGAAUAAUCGAAUUAUUCAAAUUGUCCACAAUCGUUCAUAUGUUGGAAGUAGAUAUGAAUGAAGAUUGUCAUGAAUUGGUGUGCAGACUGUCUAAAUGGUAUUAGACAUAGCAAAAGGAUUGCUGCAACAUUCAUGAGUGCUUAUGAACUAGUUUUGAUCAUUGGAACAAACCCGUGCUGGCUGGAAUCACCUUAUGGAAUGUGAUAUAAAAGGGUGAUCGCAAGACGAUAAUAUCAUAUAGUCUUAAAACCUAGAUAUAUGGUUUGUUAUUUGUUAAUUGAUUGUACAUUGAUAAUGCGAUACCGCAUCAAUAACUCGGUGUUAUAAAACGCAUUGUUGUGUAUAGUUGAUUAAUGAAUAAGUAAAUGCAUAUAAGUCGAAGUUUAUCUGUAACUUUUAUCCUAAGAGGGUAAAAGCGAUAUCUCGGCCGCUCGAUGAUUUGAUUUGACUUAUGUGUCGGGCCCGGUCAGAACUGAAUUGAUGUGUUCGAUUAAGUUCUAUGUCAAAUAAAUCGGAGAUCGAGAAACCAAAUGCUAGACUAAUUAUUCCAUAGAAUUGUCAGCAUGAUAUCUAACAGAGGACUGUACGAUCCCUUAUCUAAAGGACAAGAUUGAUUAGAUCAGAGUUUGACAGCGUCUUUGAGAGCUACGAUUGCAAAUCGAAUUGUACUUGUGCAUAUAGUUACUAGACUUAUCCAAGUGGGAGACUGUUGGAAUAGUGUCUAAGGCUGCAACUAUAUUAGGCAAGUAUUUGACCCGGUUGUGCAUGGUCCUUUUGGGUUGCCUUCACCAUAGCAACUUGACAGGAUGAUUUAUUAUGAGAGAAAGAAUAUUAUUAAUAUAUUAUAAGAAUAAUAUAAGGAAUAAUAAUAUUAUUAUUUGAUUAAUAUAAGUCAUAAAUUAAAUAGGAAUUAAUUUGGUGACUUAAAGAGAUUAAUUAAAUAAAGGGGCAUAAACUGUCAAUUGUUUGAUAGUUGUACUUUGGGCUUUAAAUACCUUAUGUAUAAGGGUGGACGAUUUCUAGGGCUUAGGAUAGGCUUAGAAUUCGUCCAAGGCUUAUCAUGAAGUGGAUUGGAUUGCUUAGGGCUUAAGUUAUCCGAUUAGGGUUUAAGGGUGAAACCCUAGGAGCCUUGCAAGUAUAAAUAGACCCUUAGGGGCAAGGGAAAUCGGCACUUGUGUCUUAGGAAAGAAACCCUGGCUGAUUUUCUUCCAUCUCCUCUCUCUUAAAUCAUCCUCCUUGCUAGUUGGUGUUUGUAAGCCAUUAGAGGAGUGACAAUUGUGACUCUAAAGCUCCAAGGACAAGAAGAUCAAGCAAGUGAUUCAAGGUAAACUUCUAACUCUGAUUUUGUAUUGUUAUUAUACUCUAUUAGCCAUUAGAAGUCUUGGAUUCAAUGCAUGUUUAAUUAGAGAAACCUAGAUCCAAGCAUUAGGGUUUGCAUGUGCACAUAAGAAUGUUCAUAUGGCCAAAACCCAUCACUUAUAUCGAUCUUACAUUCCCACCACUCACUACAGGUGAGUUCAUACCCCUUAAUAUACCUUUUAAAUAGUUUUAAAUGCUUUUAUGGGGGGUGGGGAUACAAGUUGAAAACAUUAUAGUUAUUAUAUCAAUCACUUGUGAUUAAUAACUAUCAAUCAAGUGGAUUUCAUAUACUUUAAAACUGUUUAUUAAGCAAACUCUUUAAAACAUUUUAUAAAUAGACAUCAAGUUAUCUAUUAAUAUUCAAAUGUUUAAAACUCCUUUUUAUGUUCAACUCUUUUAUGCUAAAACUCGUUAUUAAACUCUUUUAUGCUUGAAAACGUUAUUAAACUCUUUUAAACUUAUAUAUUGUCAAAAUCAUGUCUAUAUAGGUAUAGUUAUCUAAGUAAGGUUUAAAGGACUUAGGACUGAUAACUCGCUUUAAUUCUUGUUCCUCGUUUGGUUGUGGACAUAGAGUAUUCAGUUAUUUUUCCGAGUGUCGUUUGAACCUUAGUUAUAUAUUAUGUAUAUGUAUAUAGAUAUAAAAGCUUUUAUCUCAGUUCAACACCUUUGGGUAGCAAAGGUGUACAAACACACUCAGUCAUUUAAACAACCUUACUAGUAAACUAUAAUACGUAUUGUUUAGGAGAUUACUACUCACUAUUUCUAUGUACAAUGAAACAUACAAUAGUCGAUUCAUUCAUGAGUCAAUACAAACUUACGAUAAUGAGAAACAGAAAGAACAUAAUAUGAUGAGAAUUUACGAGAACAUACACUACAUUAUACAAGAGAACAUACUAUACACUAUAGCAGAGAGAACACACAAUACACUAGAACAUACUAUACAAAUACUAGAAUACUAUAACCUUAAUGUGAGUCUACUUCAUGGAAUAUGGUAGAACAAAGUUCUAUCAGGAUCGAUUAAUUCUAAGUACGCAAACAAGAAAGAACGUAAAGUGAAAGAGAAUAUGGCUUGAAUAUGUCGUAUGAUUAAUGCUUCAACACCUCAGAAGAGCUCGAUAAAGAACUUCGACUGUAGAGGUGUUUAGGGUUACAAAGCUCAAUCGUAAAUAAUAAGACAUGUAAAAUAUAAUGCAUACAUGCAUGAAUAUAUAUACUUUAACCCUAAGAGAUAAUCACGGAUGGACAGGCCCAAUCCGGAUAUAUACAAAAAAUCCUAAGACGCAACAUAAUAAGCUCGACAAUCUCCCCCUUUGCGUCUUUGGGACUGAGACUUCAACUCUUAGGAACCGAGGGCUUUUUAACCAUCUUGAACACUUUCGAUAUGAUAACUAACAUAUGGUACCGAAAGGUGAUGUACCACCGAAGCAUAUCAGUAAAAUUCUUCUUAUCAGCAUCUGAGUUCUGCUUGCACCGAUGUAUCAAAUUAAUGAUGUGCUCCAAGCAGUCAGUAGAAAAAUAUGUUUAUCUACCAAAGCAAACAAAACCUAUGAGCAUCACCCUUCGUAAACAUGGCCGUCAAAUGGGUUGAGUCAAUUUGCCCGAUCUUCAUCUUAUUCACAUCACCGGGCUUUUGGGUCGGCUUGACUGUCGGCUUUUUAUUCAUAACCCUUGCAAUCUCCUGAUCCAUUGUUGUGGCUUCGUGGAUAUAGGAUCCUAACAUUCUUUUUAGAUGUUCUAUAAUGGGUUCAUACUCCUUGGAAUGAUCGAGCAAAAUAUUGACAAGCAAAAUCCAAUCGUGUGGAUUAAGAUUGGGAAGAUCAGCAAGCGAUAUCAAUGAGACAGAGUUUGCAGUCCCUCGUGUUACUUUGAAAUGGACAUUUACAAACUUGCCAGCUGAAGUCGGCUUAAAAACUUUGACAGUUGUAAUCUUUUGAGCACUCAAUGUAAGAUAUUGAGAUUGAGCAUACUUCAAGUACCAUUCAAUAAGCUCUCGGUUAACCUUUGGACUUGGAAACGGAACCUCAACAGUUGAAUCGAAACAAUGAAAAGUAAAUGCCUUUCGUGUAAUAGGCAUGUCAAACUGUGAGUCCUUGGAAUUGUCAUGGUCAAAUGAAGCAAUCAGUUCUAACCAGUAGAAACUUGGUGAUUCAAUUGUCUGACUGAUCAACACAUCCCUAGUCCAUUCAGGAAAAAGAGCUUUCUUACAUUGUAGGAUAUCUUCUAUAUCUUUGUUUCUUCGCUCAGUUUCCUCAGCCUCUUUAGUGAUCUUCAAAUUCUCAUCCAACUCUUUAUCUCUUUUCUUUCUUUGUAGAGCCUCGUUAAUAGUUUCAUUAGUGUCACUAUCGCUGUCAUGAAAAAUCUGUUUCAACUUUUCUUUCGGGCCAAAACUUGAAGCUACAUUAACCUUUAGUUCUUUGAUAAUAACUUCUUUCUGGGAUUCCUCUCCCCCUUGUUUUGGAGUGACGAAAGGCUCCGAAACACCUUUCAUCUCGUGUAGAAUAGCAAGGGUGGGAAGCAAUUUGGUGGUGAGAUGAUUGCGAAUAGUAAGAGUUAGAAUCGGAUCAUUAGCACCAAGGAUGAUGGUCAACAUGUCCUUUACAUCGUUUGCACAGCUUCGAAAGACAUCUCUUUCGGCUUUUAACAAAGAAAUAUCCUUCUCUGCCUGAGUAAGCUGAUCUUUCUGGACUACAAUGGUAGAGGCUUGUUUGGCAAUUUCAUCUUUUAAAGCACCCUCUUUGGCUAUGUCAGCAUGCGUAGAGUCCAGUUUGGAAGAAACCGAACUUAUGAGAGAGGCAUUGUCGGUUUUCAUUGAGGAACGAACUUCUUCAAAUUUCGUUUGUUUUCCUUUAAAUCUUGAGAAAGAGAAUCAACCGAGGCCCGAAUAUUAGCUGCAUUUGUAUUUUCAUGCCCUUUCAAAGAAUCAAGAAAGAUCUGUGUUGUGCAAACAACUUCAGUAACAUCAGCUGUAGCUUUCUUGCAAAGCGAAGUUGAUUCUUUGACAACAGAAGUGGAUUUAUCCAUUGCUUUUGUAUAUUGCUCUAUGGCGGUUUCCACAACGGAUUUUAGAAUAACUCUGCCAUAAGCUUUCGUAUCAGCAAGUAACUUAUCCAGCUUCUCGUGAAUACUGUCCAAGUGUUGUCGGUUGAGUGGAGCUUCAGUAUCCUCAUCCGACUGCAACCGAUAGCGACUAAAGUAUGUGGAGUCAUACUCACCAUUAUCACCUCCAAUUGUAGCACCCGAAUCAGUUUAUUUGGUUGGUGAGGGAGGGAUAGUGAUGACUGGAGUUUCGGAUACAGUAGGUGCCCCCGUAUGAGAUACGUUAACCCUUCUUGUUUCCUCAGGUUUGGUUGUGGUUGUGGUAAUUGGGGUAAUGAGUGGAGUGGUUAAAGGAUUGGUGGAAAUAUAAUUAGAAGAUAUUGGUGGAGGUGGUAGAGAGGUUACGGUUGUAGAACUUGAAACAACCGAAACUAGUACUUUUGGUGUCGGUGUUGGAGUUGGCUAUUUUGGCGGUGUUUGUUUUGGUGAAGGUGGUGGAUUUGGAAUUUUAACUUCUUCUGGUUUAGGAGGGGAGUGUUUAGGGGAUGGAGGUGGAGUUGGAAUCUUGUCUUCUUGAGUUGGAGAAGGAGAGCGUGGUGGAGUAUUACCUCUUGGAGACAUAUGAGGAGAUUCGGCUUCUUGAUCGUCUUCAUCGUCAGAUAGUGUUGGAAAUGGACCCUUAGGCUUUCGGGCCAUUUGCUUGAUCUUCUUUGGCUUUGAAGAACUUUUGGUCUUGGUUUUUCGCUUCUUGCUCUUUGAAGGCAUAGAAGGUUUAGUCUCGGUUGUCUCCUUCUUGAUAGUAACGCGUUUGCCUCGACUACUCGGUUUAUCAAGAGCGUCGAGAGCAACUUGUUGUUCUGGUGUGAGAACUCUCGGCUCUGUGGGAUGCAACUUGCUGUAGUCCGCCAUCACUUGUUUUGCUGAGUAACACUUCGGUACAUCGUCUCCGGUAUUGAACCAUAAUGACGAAAUUUGACCGGGUCUGAGAUGAUGAUCUUCUUCGUAUGGAAGGUGGAAAUUAACGCAAUGAGAGCAUCCUUCAUUAACGGAAUCUCCAAAGUAUCAAUAGCCCUUUGAGUGAUGAUUGUCCAGAACCUCCCACAAGAAAUUUCAGAUUGACGAGUAGAUGUGUUCAGACUCUGCACGACCUGAGACCAGAUGAUUGACCCAUAAUCCAGGUUCAAAUCAUUGUACAAGUCGUAAAGAAUAGCCAAAAACCCCUUACUAGUGCCAUCAGAUCCAGCACUCUUUUCCAUUAAGCCCUUUAUCAACAGAGUAAGAAGACCAUUGCACAGAGAGAAUAGACUGUACUUCUCGACUUUGGCAAUGGUGGUCAAGACAUCAAUGUAGCCCAUCUCAUACAUCAUUGAGAAUAGUUGUGCAGUGGUGAUGAAAUCAGGAGAAACCACCGACGAAUCCACUACAAGAUGCAAUAAGGAACAAAACCUCCCUUUUGAAAUUGAAGCCUUCUUUUUUGUGGAUUUGGAAAUAGAUGUGUUCCUUAUUCUUGUCGUAUGAUGCAGAUGAGUAAACUUGCGAUAAUAAGGACAUUGGAACCGCCUCGUACCGGGUUAGGGCAACCACCAGCGGAGAAUACUUCAAACACUCCAUAACAUGCAGCAUAUAAGAAUCGUACAUGAAGGGAGUAAGUUCGAUAAUAAUUUUUUGGUUAGGCUUAAUGGUGAGAAAAGCAGAUGAAGCGGUUUGAUCUUGUGCAGAAGAAGAAGUCGCCAUUGUUGAUGAAAGGAAGAAGAUGAACAGUUGAAAACGCCGUUACAGCUUAGAAUUCUUGGAAGCAGUAGAAGACAAUGAAGCGUGCAACCCCUUUAUAUACCAUUGGUAGGAGAGAGAAAUUCGUGAAGAUUGUGACGUUAUCUUCUAAAAAGUAGCCUGAAAAAGCGCGAUUUGACAGGUCGGAUGUUCCUAGGUAGGCGUCAGCACGCGUGCGGAUGGCGACCGUUCAAAUUCACGCGCCCAAAAGAUUUCAUCAAUCUUCAUUUGAAUUAGAAUUUACCACCAAAACCUGAAUUGCCCUUGAGUCACUAAAUGACAAAUAUACGCAAAUAUAUCAUCAACAGAAUGGGGAAAAUUAAAAAUUUCCGUGCAUGAGAGUGACAAACGAUAAAGUAAUAAAGCAAAUGUGUUUGGGUUGUGAGUGAUGUCUGACAAUUAGACGAAAAGCAGAGGAUUCCGGGCAAGAAUCGCUUCAUUUGAAGUCAAGAGAGACUCAAAGUGCUUGUGUGGAUUCCCGAGAAUACGAUCAAGUGUUUGUUAAUAAACAUUGAAAGGCUUCUUUCCUAAUAUAGGCUUAGGGUGGCUUAUCUUCAACCGAACAUCGAUACUUAAAAUAAGACCGAGUGUCGGAAGAAGUACUUGUGAGACCGAUGUGAUCUGUUAAACAAGUAGGCAGAUGUUAUUUUGUGAUGACAAGAGAGUUUAUAGAAAUCUUAAAAAAAUAAAAUUGGAUCUUUAUGGGAAGAAUAGUCUUGGUAUUAGACAUAUUCAUAAAAUACCUCACAAAAUAAAAAAGAUUUCAUUCGGUACAAAGUAAGAUCUUGAAUAUAGAAAUUCACCGUUAAUUCAUUAUGGGUGUUGAAUUUUGGGUUUCACUUAGCACGUGGUAUACGUAUCUAAGAUCAUAAACACAGAUGUUGUGCAACCAUAAACCUUAGUGGUAAAAACCGAGAGUCUCGAGGGUUACAAUAGUGAACCGAUAGUAGAUGGAGAAUAAUUUGUGGAUGUUGAAAGAAACGAAGGUACCUUCUUUUGUAUAAAAGGACAAAACAGAGAAACUCUUAACUCAUGUGAGAAGAGUAAGGUCGCUCUAGAUCGAGUAAAGAUGAAUUGUCUGAUUGGGAAGAAACGAUAGGUUAAAUCGAAUCAUUAAGGCCUUACUCUAGGUCGUAGAGGCUUGAGUCAACAUGCAGUAGCAUGCUUCUAGGGACCCUUAACUAGUUCAGAAAAUAUACUUAACACCUAUACCAGCUCCAUUUUCUGUUCUUCUUGUAUCCUUGUGUAACAUACACUUUACUAACCUUGUUUAAUUAUCAUGUUUCAUAUGAUUGUUAGUUUAAAAAUGAAUAUUAUAAGAUAUUAUAUUGUUUUAAACAUUUAAAGUAGGUAGUUAUAGUAAAAUAGAAUUUUAAGCGUUAAAAAGAAUAUUAUAAUUUUUCGGUAUGGUUUUAAGCGUUGAUUUCUAAUGAAAUAGUUUUAUAAUAUUUGAAGUUAAACUAAGUUUAGAAUCAUUUGAAAGGUAUUGGAAGUGAUAGGGAAGUCUUAUGUGAUUCCGAUCAAAAAGUCAACUAUCAGAAUUAAUGAAAGUAUAACGUCUAAGUUGGAAAUAAGUAAAUCUGAUUUUAUUGGAAAAUCUUUUCAAGGAUAUUUUUAUUGGAAGCUGUAAAUUAUCUUGUUAGAAACGUAUAGGCGAAAACCUCAUCGAAAACACAGUUUCGAGCGGAAAGUUAUGCAAUUUUUAGUAUUUAGGGGUAAAAUGCGUACCCAAAACGGGUCAAACCCGACCCAACUCGGGUUUUUACCCAUUGAAACACGAUUUUGAGUCAUUUUUCUGCCAUUUUUAGUUCCUCACCAUCCGUAUGGGAGAUUUUCACAUACAUGAUCAAUCUUAAUCAAGUUUUGAUGAUUAAAUCAAGAUUUUGAGUGUUCUUGAAGUAUCAAGUCUAGUAAUCAAGGUAUGAACUCUUAAUUUUUUUGAUUAACCCUUGUAAUUAGUGAGUUAUUAAGAGACUAGUGUUUGAUCAAAGUGGGUUUACCACUGUUUUAAUGAAAUUAGGCAUGAUUUUAUGUUAUUAACCUAGAAUCUUAAAUGGAAAUCAAGUAACACAUGUAAACUUGAGAAUUAAUCAUAUGGUUUAAGAGUAAUUAGUGAAAAUUAGUAAUGAACCCAUGGUUUAUACUUGAAUUAUAAUGGAUUACUAAUAUAUUCAGUGUUAUUAUUGUAAAAGAAGAGCUUGGUGAUAUUGAUCAUGAGGUUUGAUCAUGUAAAGGGUAAAAUGAAAUUAUAAAGGUUAUAAUUGUCCUGUUUUUGUAAAAAUCACCAAAAAUUGUAAAAAAAUCGUAUGGAGAUGUGCUAUAUAUCCCUGCAAAAGCUGAGAGUGUCUACUUUGAUUUUUGUUUUAAUACAAAAAUCUAAUUCCGGACUUAAGAUGGGUGAAAACAGCUAUAUGUUCAGUGCAGUCAGGCUGAAUUUUGACAGCUUUGGGACAUUUUGACAGCUUUAGGAUGCUGUUUUGUAAAAUUCAUAGUAAAUUAUAGAAAAAUCAUAAAAGUGUGAGGUCAGUGGCAUUAGAAAGAUAUAAGAGUCUAUUUUGUUAAUAUUUAUAAUUUAUUAGUUAUUUUGACAUUUAAGAAGGGUAAAUCAGAUUUGCAAGUGAAAGCUAUACAAAGAACAAAAACCAAAAUUCCUAAAUUGAAAACAACAUAACUUGAGAGUAGUUGAGUAAUUGCUUAUGAAAUUUGAAAUAUGAACUCCAGGGGUAUAAUUGAAGGUUUUAGAGGCCUGAGGAUGGUGUAAUUUCAUUAGAAAAAAGAGGAAUUUUAUCGCAACAUUCCGUUACAGCACAGUGAGUUCAAUAUAGUGACAAUUGUAUGUUAUGUGUUAUAUGUGCAAUGUGCUUUCUUGUGUUAUUGAUCUAAGUGGUUAUUACUUGAUAUUGAUUUUGAUGCCUUUGACCAUGUAGAGCAUGACUCGUAUCACUUUGGUAUUGGCUUUGUGCCUUUAACCAUGUAGAGCAUGACUCAUAUCACUUUGGUAUUGGCUUCGGGCUAGGUAGGGCAGAAAACCUGUAUAUUCUAGCAACAUGAUUAAAGUUAAAAGGGAUCGUGUUUUAUGUGCCUCUUGGGCUGGAAUUUAUGAUGUUUAUAAUCCUAAAUUAUUGUGUCUCAUUGAUUGUAAUCCGUUGAAUCUAACUGUUUAGUGAUUUGGAAAGCCCUUCAUUUGAUACACAUAUAAGCCUUUGUUGUCCUUUGUUUCUUUUUGUUCCUGUCAUAUUGUUAUGUAUAUGGCAUAGUGUUAUAUUGUAUCUAUUUUUUGAACUCACUAAGCGACGCCCUCUUAUCCCUUUCAGUGUUUAACUAUUUCAGGUGAUACACAUGCAUAGUAAGCAGGCUUUGUUGGAGGACUUAGAGUAGUUCACACUACUACGUUUUUUACUUGGUAUACAUAUAUGUAGAUGGGUUAUAAAUUCCUGCGUAGUUACGUGUUUAUACAACUAGUUAUGAAACUUUGUAAAAACCCUUUUAGUUGGUUUGUAUCUAUGCUUUUGUAGACCACUAGUGUGAAUUAUAAUUAUGAUAUGCAUGUAGCAUGUUUGCCUUUAUGGUAAUUUUAGUGAAUGGGGUCUUACAAUCAUGGUAUCAGAGCACUAGUUUAAGUGAACUAAAUACCACGAACUGGUAUUUAGAUUUAAACUGUUGGAAGUUCAAUAUAUGAACAUAUUCAUUGUCCGUAGAUGGAUACUAACCAUAGGAAAGUCUUAAGUGGGGUGUUGGGUAAUGAUAAAUCCUUAUAUUCUUACGUGUUAUGUUACUCUAAAUUUUUCAGAGCAAUGGUUGAGCAGGAGGGUAGUCAUACACCAGAUGUGGGUGGAGAUCUUCAUCUUAAUGAGGGAGAUACUCCAAUAUCCCCUCGUGAGGCAUAACUUUUGGUAAAACUUACUGGUGUUUUUCGACAAACUCUCAAACAAUACAAAAGGGAUAGUGAUAAGGGUAAAGAGAAAGCCACCGGAGAGUCUUCAAGAGAGAAAGUGAAACGUCCCUCAUUCAAAACUUUCAAGAGUAGUGGUGCUACAGAGUUUUCAGGUGUCCUUGAUCUCAUUGUUGUUCUUACCUGGAUCCAGAACACAGAAAAAGUAUUUCGUAUCUCCUAUGUGGUUAAUGAAGACAAGGUUAACUAUGCUUCUGCAAUGCUCAUUGGAGAAGCCAUAGUUUGGUGGGAAGCGACAUUUGAAGCUCUUAACGAGUAUGACCAGGAGAAUUUAUAUUGGGAGAUGUUUAAAAUCCGCUUUCUAGGAAAAUAUUGUCCUCUAGAUAUGAGGAGAAGACUGGAGAAGGAGUUCCUCGAACUUAAGCAGGGAGGAAUGACGGUGACCGAAUAUGAAAUUCAAUUCAAUCAAAGGGCACGGUUUGUUGCGAAGUAUAUCCCGACUGAAGACGAUAAAAUUCAGUUAUUCAUCGAAGGGUUACGGUAUGAAAUCUUUGUUUUCGUGAUCAACCGGGAUAUUUCUAUCAUUCGAUAAAGCUGUUGAGUAUGCCCGAAAGCGCGAGCAUGACUUAGAGAUACGUGGUGCCACUCUUUCUGUCCUGAAGCAUUCACGUGUUGAUCGAACUAUUUCUGUUUCAACUAUUACAUCGGCUCGAUCUGAUCCUAGCACAAAAGUACAAUCUUAAAGCACCUUUGGUGGUCGCAGUCGGCCACAAUCUUUUUCUGUUUCGUCGAGAGCUCCACCAUCGUGCCAGAAAUGUGGAAAGAGCCACCAAGGUUAAUGCAAGAUAGGAAAAGGACCGUUGAUUUGCUAUGGAUGCGGAGAAAUAGGUCAUAUGAAGCCUGUUUGCCCGAUGAAGAAUGUUACAUGUUAUGCUUGCAGUGUUACUGGCCACAGAAAGCGUUUCUGCCCAACUCUUACCAGCCAAAUGGUAGGAAGUCAAGCUUCCGUUCAACAACCGUUGGGUACUUCAACCCAAAAGGAGGAGAUGACAAAGGCUAAAGGCUGUGAAUUCCAGAUUACCCCAGAGGAGGCACGCGAGGACCUGAAUGUUGUGACUGGUACAUUUCUCGUCAAUUCUAGACCUGCUCACAUCUAAUUUGAUUCUGGUGCCUCAGAUUCUUUUGUGUCUCGUGAAUUUGCACAUUCUUUUCAAAUUGCUUGCUAUGCACUCGCCCAACCCAUUCAUGUAGAUACCGUGAGAAGUGUAUCAUUACUUGUUGAUAAACUCUAUAGAGAUUGUGUCAUAGAAGUUGAAGGUUAUAAUUUUCUUGCCAAUUUGAUUCCUAUCUCCCUACCCAACUUUGAUAUCAUUCUCGGCAUGGACUGGUUGUCAAAGAACCAUGUAGAACUCUUGUGCUAUGAAACGAUAGUACGCAUUCCUAUUGAAGGGGAAAAUCCUAUAUAUGUCUACGGUGAACAAAGAAUCUUAAAAAUAAUCUCUUUCCUUAAAGCUCGUAAAUUCAUAUCGAAUGGGUGUUUUAUCUAUCUGGCCUACUCAGUUGAUGUAUCAAAAAAGGAGAAGAAAAUAGUAAAUGAUGUUCCCGUUGUUAACGAAUAUCCUGAUGUUUUCCCCGAUGACUUGCCUAGCAUUCCUCCGGAUAGGCAAGUAGAAUUCCGAAUUGACCUUGUGCCUGGUGCUGCUCCGAUUGCAAAGACUCAUUAUCAUCUCGCGCCAACAGAGAUGAAAGAAAUGAUGAUCCAACUGCAGGAAUUACUUGACAAAGGCUUUAUCCGACCGAGUACCUCUCCCUGGGGUGCUCCGGUAUUGUUUGUCAAGAAGAAACAUGGAUUGAUGCGGAUGUGCAUUGAUUAUUGUGAGCUGAAUAAGGUGACUAUCAAAAACAAGUACCCACUACCUCGCAUUGAUGAUUUAUUUGAUCAAUUUCAGGGUGUUAGCUAUUUUCUCGAAGAUUGAUUUAAGAUCUGGCUAUCAUCAGUUGAAAGUUUACGAGCAGGAUGUACCGAAGACUGCUUUUCUUACUCGAUAUGGGCAUUAUUACUUCCUUGUUAUGUUGUUUGGUUUAACAAAUGCUCCUGCUGUAUUCAUGGAUAUGAUAAAUCAGGUAUGUCGCCCAAUGCUCGAUAAAUCAGUCAUCGUAUUCAUUGACGAUAUUAUAAUCUAUUCUAAGUCUGAAGUUGAUCAUGCCAUUCAUAUUCGUACGGUAUUAGAAUUUCUUCGGAAGGAGAAACUAUAUGCUAAAUUCUCGAAAUGUGAAUUCUGGCUUCUCAAAGUUCAAUUUCUUGGCCAUGUUAUUUCUAGUGAUGGUGUAUCUGUAGAUCCUAUCAAAAUCGAAGCCAUUAAAGACUUUUAUCAUAUAGUCGUACCUCUCACGAGUCUUACAAGGAAGGAAGUAAAGUUCAAAUGGGGUGAAGCCCAAGAAAAAGCCCUCUCAACUAUAAAAGAUCUUUUGACUCAUGCUCCGAUCUUAUCACUCCCAGAAGGUGAUGAUGAUUUCUCCGUAUACAGCGAUGCUUCAAGAUUGGAACUUGGUUGUGUGUUGAUGCAACAUGGCAAAGUGAUAGCCUAUGCCUCAAGACAACUAAAAGAUUAUGAAAAGAAUUAUCCCACUCAUGAUCUCGAACUCGCUGCAGUGGUAUUUUCCCUAAAACGUUGGAGGCAUUAUCUUUUUGGUACAAAAUGCCAAUUAUUUACCGACCACAAAAGUCUCAAGUACAUAUUCAGUCAGCAAACUUUGAAUAUGAGACAACAACGAGCCAUGGAGCUGAUCAAAGAUUAUGACUGUGAAAUCCUAUAUCAUCCUGAAAAAGCUAACGUAGUUUCCGAUGCACUUAGCAGAAAAGUUUAUCGUAAUAAUAUGUGUUAUGCUAUUACUCAUACCACAGUAAAAUUCACUAUUCUAGAUGAACUAGAGAAAUGGAAAGAAGAGGCCCUAAAGCCAGAAAAUGUGAAGAAAAAAGGGAUGAUACAUUAUAAUAAUGCUUUACUUGAUGAUUCGUGAGGAUUAAAAGUAUUCAAGAAUCGGCUAUGGAUUCCAAAGAUUGGUGGAUUCAGACAGAAGAUUUUAGAUGAAGCCCAUAAAUCUAAACUUUCAAUACAUCCUGGUACAAGUAAAAUGUACUAUGAUGUAAGAGCUGAUUAUUGGUGGCCUGGAUUAAAGAGAGACAUUGGAAGAUAUGUACAGGAAUGCUUAGUAUGCUUACAAGUCAAAGCAGAGCACCAAAAGCCUUAUGGAACCCUAGAAAGUCUUAGUGUUCCUGUAUGGAAAUGGGAAGAACUGUCCAUGUAUUUUAUUACAAAAUUGCCAAAGACUGCUAGACAGAAUAAUAGCAUUUGGGUAAUUGUCGACCGCCUGACUAAAAGCGCUCAUUUUCUUGCCAUGCGUGAAAUGGCUCCAAUGGAGAAAUACGCACAAGUAUACUUGGAUGAAAUUGUUGCAAGACAUGGUGUGCCACUAAAGAUCAUUUUUGAUCGUGAUACUCGCUUCACUUCUCACUUUUGGGCAAGUAUGCAACGUGAAAUGGGAUCUCGAGUUGCUCUCAGCACAGCUUAUCAUCCCCAGACAGAUGGUCAGACGGAGAGAACAAUCCAAACCGUAGAAGAUAUGCUUCGUGCAUGUGUCUUGGAGUUUGGUGGUAACUGGGAUAAAUACUUACCUCUUGUCGAAUUUUCGUAUAAUAACAGUUACCAUGCUUCAAUAAAAUGCCACCAUAUGAAGCAUUAUAUGGUCGCAAAUCCCAUACGCCAUUGUGUUGGCGAGACGUAGGACAAAAAAUCCUUGGAGGCCCUGAAAUGAUUCAAGACACCACCGACAAGAUUCAAAUUGUACGAAAAGAGGAGACGACCCAUAGAUUUCCAGGUGGGUGAUUUCGUAAUGCUAAAAGUAUCCCCGUGGAAAGGCAUUAUGCGAUUUAGGAAUAAAGGAAAACUAAGCCCUAGAUUUGUUGGUCCAUUCAAAAUCAUCCAGAGAGUUGGUAAACAAGCAUACCACUUGGAAUUGCCAGAAGAUUUGGCAGGUAUUCAUGAUGUGUUUCAUGUGACCUAUCUACGUAAAUGCUUGAGCAUCUAUGAUGCGACAGUUCCAUUAUCUGAGGUGAAAUUGGAUAAUAAGUUAAGAUAUUUGAAGAACCAGAAAAGAUUAUAAAUGAGAGAACAGUUGAUUUGCGUAAUAAAGAAGUAGAGUUAGUGCUUGUCAAGUGGAAACAUCAUCGAGGCCCAAAUUAUACUUGGGAAAAUAAGAAUGAGAUAAGAGAAAAAUAUCCCCGCUUGUUUAAAUCGUCGUGAUUUCGAGGACGAAAUCCUCAAAAGGAGGAGGUAUUUGUAACAUACACUUUACUAACCUUGUUUAAUUAUCAUGUUUCAUAUGAUUGUUAGUUUAAAAAUGAAUAUUAUUAGAUAUUAUGUUGUUUUAAACAUUUAAAGUAGGUUGUUAUAGUAAAAUAGAAUUGUAAGCGUUAAAAAAUAUAUUAUUAUUUUUCGGUAUGGUUUUAAGCGUUGAUUUCUAAUGAAAUAGUUUAAUAAUAUUUGAAGUUAAACUAAGUUUAGAAUCAUUUGAAAGGUAUUGGAAAUGAUAGGGAAGUCUUAUGUGAUUCCAAUCAAAAAGUCAACUAUCGGAAUUAACGAAAGUAUAACGUCUAAGUUGGAAAUAAGUAAAUCUGAUUUUAUUGGAAGAUCUUUUCUGGGAUAUUUUCAUUGGAUGUUGUAAAUUAGCUCGUUACAAAUGUGUAGGCGAAAACCUCAUCGAAAACGGAGUCUCGAGCGAAAAGUUAUGCAAUUUUUAGUAUUUAGGGGUAAAAUAAGUACCAAAAUCGGGUCAAACCAGACCCAACUCGGGUUUUUACCCAUUGAAACAUGAUUUUGAGUCGUUUUUCUGACAUUUUUAGUUCCUCACCAUCCCUAUGGGAGAUUUUCACAUACAUUAUCAAUCUUGAUCAAGUUUUGAAGAUUAAAUCAAGAUUUUGAGUGUUCUUGAAGUAUCAAGUCUAGUAAUCAAGGUAUGAACUCUUAAUUUUUUUGAUUAACCCUUGUUAGUAGUGAGUUAUUAAGAGAUUAGGGUUUGAUCAAAGUGGGUUUACCACUGAUUUAAUGAAAUUAGGCAUGAGUUUAUGUUAUUAACCUAGAAUCUUAAAUGGAAAUCAAGUAACACAUGUAAACUUGACAAUUAAUCAUAUGGUUUAAGUGUAAUUAGUGAAGGGUGAAAUGAAAUUAUAAAGGGUAUAAUUGUCCUGUUUUUGUAAAAAUCACCAAAAAUUGUAGAAAAAUCGUAUGGAGAUGUGCUAUAUAUACUUGGAAAGCUGAGAAUGUCUACUUUGAUUUUUGUUUUAAUACCAAAAUCUAAUUCCAGACUUAAGAUGGGUGAAAACAGCUAUAUGUUCAAUGCAGUAAGGCUAAAUUUUGACAGCUUUGGGACAUUUUGACAGCUUUAGGAUGCUGUUUUGUGAAAUUCAUAGUAAAUUAUAGAAAAAACACAAAAAUAUGAGGUCAGUGGAAUUAGGAAUAUAUAAGAGUCUAUUUUGUUAAUAUUUAUAAUUUAUUAGUUAUUUUGACAUUUAAGAAGGAUAAAAUACAUCUGCAAGUGACAACUAUACAAAGUACAAAAACUAAAAUUCCUAAAUUGAAAACAACAUAACUUGAGAGUAGUUGAGUAAUUGCUUAUGAAGUUUGAAAUAUGACCUUCAGGGGUAUAAUUGAAGGUUUUAAAGGCCUGAGGAUGGUGUAAUUUUAUCAGAAAAAAGAGGAAUUUUAUCGCAACAUUCGGUUACAACACAAUGAGUUCAAUAUAGUGACAAUUGUAUGUUAUGUGUUAUAUGUGCAAUGUGCUUUCUUGUGUUAUUGAUCUAAGUGGUUAUUACUUGAUAUUGAUUUUGAUGCCUUUGACCAUGUAGAGCAUGACUCGUAUCACUUUGGUAUUGGCUUCGGGCUAGGUAGGGCAGAAAGCCUGUAUAUUCUAGCAACAUGAUUAAAAUUAAAAGGGAUCGUGUUUUAUGUGCCUCUUGGGCUGGAAUUUAUGAUGUUUAUGAUCCUAAAUUAUUGUGUCUCAUUGAUUGUAAUCUGUUGAAUCUAACUGUUUAGUGAUUUGGAAAGCCCUUCAUUUGAUACACAUAUAAGCCUUUGUUGUCCUUUGUUUCUUUUUGUUCCUAUCAUAUUGUUAUGUAUAUGGCAUAGCGUUAUAUUGUAUCUAUUUUUUGAACUCACUAAGCGACGCCCGCUUAUCCCUUUCAGUGUUUAACUAUUUCAGGUGAUACGCAUCCAUAGUAAGCAGGCUUUGUUGGAGGACUUAGAGUAGUUGACACUACUACGUUUUUUACUUGGUAUACAUAUAUGUAGAUGGAUUAUAAAUUCCUGGGUAGUUACGUGUUUAUACAACUAGUUAUGAAACUUUGUAAAAACCCUUUUAGUUGGUUUGUAUCUAUGCUUUUGUAGACCACUAGUGUGAAUUAUAAUUAUGAUAUGCAUGUAGCAUGUUUGCCUUUAUGGUAAUUUUAGAAAAUGGGGUCUUACACCUUGGGACCGAAAUAAGACAAAACAAACCAAUAUACCACACAAAAAAAAUAAAUGAAAAUAUUUUUAAGAUUUUAAAUUUUUCUGAAAAUGAAUAAAAACAGAAAAAGAAAAUAUUUUUUGGUUUUUUGAGAUUUUCUGAAAAAGAAUAAAAAUAGAAAAAGAAAAUAUUUUUGCAUUUUUGAGAUUUUCUGAAAAAGAAUAAAAACAGAAAAAUAAAAUAAGCAUUUAAAGAAACAUAAUCAAUUUUCAACCGAAACCUUAUCUUAGUUGAAUGAAGAGAGAUAGACCGAGCGGUCGGUUCAUUUCGGUUCUCAAAAAUUUGAGGAGCCGAAUAGACCGAGCGGUCGGUGCAUUUCGGUUCCCAAAAUUUAAGGAGCCGAAAUAGACCGAGCGGUCGCUCCAUUUCGCUUGUCUAAUUUUUAGUAAGAGGAUUAAGGAUUCGGUAACGACUCUGUUUCCAUCAUACCAAGGCCUUGUAAGAUUCUGUUAAAGAGUACUUCAGGUAAUGCCUUAGUGAAUAUGUCGGCCAGUUGAUCAUUAGAUCGAACAAAGUGUACUUCUACGUUCCCAUCUUCAGCAUGAUCUUUAAUGAAGUGGUAUCGAAGUGCAAUAUGCAUACUCUUUGAAUGUUGCACUGGAUUGUGACAAAUCCUUAUCACACUUUCUGAGUCACAAUAAAGAGGUAUCUUCUUCAUGCUUAGCCCAUAGUCUCUCAGUUGACUUUGAAUCCAGAUGACUUGAGAAGUACAAGAGGCUGCAGCAAUAUAGUCAGCUUCGGCUACGGAUAACGACACGCAAGUUUGCUUUUUGGACUGCCACCUACAAUUUUUCCAUCGAGAAAUUGGCAUCCACCUGUGGUACUCUUUCUGUCCAGUCUGCAUCCUCCAAGAUCGGCAUCAGAAUAAGAUUGAAUGAAAAAUCCAGAUCUUGCAGGGUUCCAGAGACCGAGAGAAGAAGUUCGCUUUAGGUAACGGAAUAUGUUCUUCACUGCAACCAUGUGCGGUUCUCUUGGAUUUUCUUGAAACCUGGCACAAUAACACACAGAAAACAUAAUGUCUGGUCUACUAGCCAUUAAAUACAUAAGUGAACCUAUCAUUUGACGAUAUUUUGUUACGUCAACAGCUAGUUUUUCCAGAGAUGGUGUUAGUUUAGUGCCAAAUGCCAUUGGAACCUUUACUUUUGAGUCACCCGUCAUACUGAAUUUUGUCAGUAAGGUUUUUGAAUAAGCCUCUUGGUUGAUGAAAAUACCUUUUGUUCCCUGUCUAAUGUUUAAACCAAGAAAGAAAUUAAUUGGACCCAUUGGGCUCAUUUCAAAUUUAGUCUCCAUCAACUUAUUGAAUUCAGCUGUUAAGCUAGGAUUCGUAGAGCCGAAGAUGAUAUCUUCAACAUAAAUUUGAACGAUCAUUAAAUGUUCGCCUGCUUUCUUUCGAAAGAAGGUAGAGUCAACCAAACCUUGCUUAAAUUUUGACAUUUUUAGAAAACGAGUUAAGGUUUCAUACCAGGCUCUCGGUGCUUGCUUUAAUCCAUAUACUGCUUUAUCUAGCACAUAGCAAUGAUCAGGGAAUUUCUCGUUUACAAACCCAGGCGGUUGUUCCACGUAGACUGUUUCUUCUAAUUCUCCAUUCAAGAAGGCACAUUUGACAUCCAUUUGGAAAACUUUGAAGUUUUUAUGAGCUGCAUAUGCCAAGAAGAUCCUUAUUGAUUCCAUCCUAGCUACCGGAGCGAUUGUUUCUUCAUAAUCUAUCCCUUCUUCUUGACAGUAUCCUUUCACAACCAACCGAGCCUUGUUGCGAAUGACAUUCCCUUCUUUAUCCAAGUUAUUUCGAAAAACCCACUUCAAUCCAACUACAGAGGCAUCCUUUGGUGUAGGUAUCAACCUCCAAACUCGGUUUCGUUCAAAUUCAUCAAGUUCAUCUUUCAUUGCCUGGACCCAAUCUGAAUGAUCAAGUGCAGCAUUUACCGGCUUUGGUUCGAUCUUUAAAACAAAUGAAUUAAACAUACAGAAUUCAACUUUAGAGAAUAAUGCAGUUUGUUUCUCCUUUAUUUGAGACCGAAUGAGAACGUUUUCAGAUGUUUCACCAAUUAUUUGUUCUUUGGGAUGGUCUCUGGUCCAUUUCACCAACGGAGGAUAAUUUAGGUCAUAUUCUGGAUCCAAUUCGGCAUUCACUUCUACUUCGGCUUCAGAUAGAUCACCUUCACCUUCCUCAUUUGUGCUUUCGGUCUCUUUCUCCCCCUCGACUGGUGAAGUAUAACAUGUGUCUUCACUCAAGGUUGCAUUCGCUAUGGGAGUAGAGUUCUCCCCUUCGGUUGAACUACCAAUAGGUGGACUUUGAGCUGAACUUUCCUCCUUUUCUGAGACUUUAAGAGAUGGAGACGAAGCUGAAUCCUCCCCCUCGAAAAAUGCUUUACUUGUUUCUGUUGGAGUUGAACUUUCCCCUUGUAAUGAUGGAUUACUUUUAGCAGUUAGAGGUUCGCUUUCCAUCUGUUUAGCAGCUUCAUCGAUAAUUUUCUGAAGAUUUUCAACUUUUUAUCUGUGGCUUUCACUUCUGAGGUUGCUGCUUUUUCUGGUUCAUCAAACAGCCGCAUGUAUUCUUCAAACAAGUUGGCUAUAGGAACCGAGACUUGUCCUGAUUCUGGAAAAAUGUCUCCUAUAUCACUUUCUUUCCUUUGGAAUUUCUUCAUAUAGCUGUCGUUGAAGGUGAUAUAGUAAGUUUCUUCAAUUCGUUUUGAACGUUUGUUCAAUACUCUAUACGCUUUCGACGUUAGUGAGUAUCCCAGAAAGAUUCCUUCAUCAGCUUUGACAUCAAACUUGUUUCGGUUUUCUUUCGAGUUGAAAAUGAAACACCUUGAACCGAAAAUGUGAAAGAAUUUGACAUUCGGCUUUCUGUUGUUCAGUAUCUCAUACAGAGUUAAUGAGAAUCUCUUGUUCAGUAGGGACCGAUUUUGAAUGUAGCACGUGGUUGCAACAGCAUCAGCCCAUAAGUAUAAUAGAAGUGAAGCAAAACUUAGCAUAGUUCCGGCUGCUUCACACAAAGAACAGUUUCAUCUUUCAACAAUGCCAUUCUGUUGUGGUGUAUAAGGUGACAAAAAGUUAUAAGUUAUUCCCUUAUCAGCCAAAAAACCAUCAAAAUCAUUAUUCUUGAAUUCCAUACCAUUGUCGCUUCUGAUAUUCCUCACUGUUUUCCUCAGCUACACUUCUAUUUGCUUAAUGAAUGUUUUCAUCUUGGGAGUUGCAUCUGAUUUCUGUUUAAGAAAGAAAACCCAGGUGAAGCGUGAAAAGUCAUCUACAAUUACAAGAAUAUACUUACUUCCACCAAAGCUUUCAAUAGCCGAAGGUCCACAUAAGUCGAUGUGCAAGAGUUCAAGAGCUUCAGUUAUGUUUGUGUUGAUCUAUGUAGGGUGGCUCUUUCUGCUUUGUUUCCCCGUUUCACAUGCUGCACACAGAUGGUCCUUAUCGAAUUUGAGAAGAGGAAGUCCACGUACAUGAUCACCGAGCACCAACUUAUUAAUGUCUUUAAAGUUUAGGUGCAAAAGUCGUCUAUGCCACAACCAGCUAUCAUCCGUAUUUGCUAUUGUUAGCAAGCAUAUUGUCGGUUUUCCUCGUAUGGUAUUGAGAUUUAAUGGGUUCAUCUCUCCCUUACGUUCAGAUUUCAACAGAACCUCCUUGGAUUGUUUCUCAAUUAUCUCUGAACAUUCAUCAUUGAAUGAUACUUUUUAACCUGUGCCCACAACUAAUUGUGACACACUAAUGAGGUUGUGUUGUAAUCCAUCUACGUAAGCCACUUUUCGAAUUGUGAAGUCACCAUUUGUUAUCAUGUCGUAUCCCUUGAUUUUUCCAAAAGAGUUAUUCCUAUAUUUCACACAGCCACCGUUUUUCAACGAACGAAAUUCUCUAAGUUCUUCCUUCCUCCCUGUCAUGUGACGUGAGCAGUCACUGUCUAUGUACCAUUCUUCGUCGAACUGCUCGUCACUCAUUACAUGCGAAAUUAAAUAGGUUUAGGAAGCCAAAGUUGCUUGGGUCCUUGUGAGUUUUUCAGAAAGAAAGGAAUAGCAGUAGAAAUAUCAACCAAGUAUUUUCUUUUUAUUAAUGUGGUUUGAUCUUUUAUUUUAAUUGUAUAUACUUUAAUUUUUGUAAUAUCUUGUUUAAAUUUAAGUUUGUUGGUUAGUUUGCUUGAUGGACUUUGACUCCUAGGAUUAGUUGAUGAUUGCUUAUUGUUGCUCCUAGUAUCAGCAAUUAGUUUUUCUUUUCCUUUGAAAGAUGCUUUGCUUUGCGGUUUGCUAUAGCCGAAACUAGAUUGAUGACCGAAACUGGGUUUGCUUUUGUUAGGGGGACCAAAACUCGACUUAGGACCGAAAAAGGGUCGAGGACCAAGAGUGGAUUUUCGGUUCUCAGACUUGGAAUUGUAGGAACUUUGACUGAAUUUGUCUGUAACUUUUGUGACAACCGUUAAUUUCCGGUCAAGUCAAAUUCAACUGAAGUCAACAAGUCAAACCGUUCUUCCUAAGUUGCCCAUGGGUACUAGAGUUUACGUUAUGUAAAUUCUAAACAACUCGUUAUUCUAAUGAGAGAUCAUAAAUCGAAAAGUGCGUACAUCUAGAUCUCCUUAACCUAAAAAUGAGGUACGUGGCGAGCCAAACCAUAAAACAAUGUUGCAUACUCAUCGAGAGUGUGUAAAAUCCUUAAAAAAGGCUUAACAGGGUUUACGGACCUUGCAUUGCGAAGCCGGACACCCAAAAAGGUCACAAGUGAAAUCUCUCUUUGUAUGUGAAAUCUCUCUAAUUAUGUGAAAUCUCUCUCAAAUCUCUCUUUGUAUGAGAAAUCUCACCAAGUAUGUGAAAUCUCUCUCAAAUCUCUCUUUGUAUGAGAAAUCUCACCAAGUAUGUGAAAUCUCUCUCAAAUCUCUCUUUGUAUGAGAAAUCUCUCCAAGUAUGUGAAAUCUCUCUCAAAUCUCUCUUUGUAUGAGAAACCUCUCCAAGUAUGUGAAAUCUAUCAAAUCUCUCUUUGUAUGAGAAAUCUCUCCAAGUAUGUGAAAUCUAUCUCAAAUCUCUCUUUGUAUGAGAAAUCUCUCCAAGUAUGUGAAAUCUCUCUCAAAUCUCUCUUUGAAUGAUAAAUCUCUCCAAGUAUGUGAAAUCUCUCUCAAAUCUCUCUUUCCGUAACCGGGUCAAAAACGAGCAAAAACGGCUUCAACGAGGUAAAAACAAGUCAAAAACGGCUUCAACGAGGUAAAAACGAGCAAAAUAGGCUUAAGGGCCCGAAACCCCUCUUAGGGUCGAAAGUCCUCUUAGGACCGAAACCCUAAGCAGCCGAGACUCAGCAGUCGAAUCCGAAGCCUCUCAGUCCGAAACUAGGAAGAGAAGCCUCUCGGACCGAAUCUGGGAAGAGAAGCCUCUCGGGCCGAAACUGAGAGGGAAGCCUCUCGGGCCGAAACUCGGAAGUGAGACCUCUCGGGCCGAAACUCGCGAGACCGAGCCUCUCCUCUCGGUUCCUCCUACUUCGCACUCUCGGUCCCUUCCAUUGCACUCUCGGUCUCUUCCCUCCUCCUCUCGGUCUUCACUUCUAGUCUCGGUUCCAAGCAUCAGAGGCCGAGACUUCGGCCAGACUUCGGAAAUUCAACACUUUUCACCCAUUUUUGAUAUUUUUAACAUUUUAAGCCCGUUUCUAAUUAUUUUAACGCGGGAUUUUCACCCAAAAACAUAUUUUAACAUAAUAAACCCUAGAUAUUCAUAAUUUAAUCAUAUUUUCAUGAAAAUCCUUAUUUAAAUAAUAAAAUCUAGUGGGUGAAUAAUUAAGGUGGAGUGUUGACUUUGCUUUACCUCAUGACACAAACAACCACUCCCAUACCCACUCCAUUUCACUAUUCACCAUCAGCCCAUACCUAGUCAUUUCAUGGUACUUUCCCUACCAUUUUUCAGCCACACACUUGGUCAAGGGUUAGAAAAUCCUCCUCUCUCCUCUCAUAUAUUUCAUUUCCUUUCAUUCUUCCUUCAAGAACAAACUUCAUUUUCUCUCAUCUUCUCUCUCUAAAAUUCGAGAUUCAAGGAUAUUCUCCAAGCCUCUCCUCUACUAUUGGUAAGUAUUAACAUCCUCCAUAUGAUUAUUUCACUUCCUUUUACACAAAUCAUAGAUAUCUUACACAAACUUCAUCAUAAUUGUGUUAGAUCUUCGAAUCUUCAAGCAAUCUCCCAAAGUGUUAUUGAGUUGAACACUUCUUUUCUCCAUCAUCCAUCUACUUAAAUCACACACGGUGAGUUCAUACCCCUCUAUUAUCAUGUUUUCUUAAGUUUUAAGGGGAAGAAUACAAGUUAAAACACCAAGAACAUAACUAAAAUUUUCUUACAGCUUUCAUCAGAAAAGUUGGACUCCAUUCACGGACUGUUUUGGUAAACUUAAACAUUUUUGUUUUUAAAACUGUUUUAGGGGAAUGUAGCUCAAGUUUUUAGAUUUAAAAUGAAUACUUGCACAUCUCCUUACGAUUUUUCUACAAUUUAUGGUGAUUUUUACAAAACUGUCUAUCAUUUCAAACAUAAUCCGGACCNACCUGUCUGUGAUUAUGGACUUGUUCACACAAGUUAAAGGUCACUAAAAAUCAUGGAAAAAUUUAUGAACAAACUAGACUCAUUUUCCAAACUCCCGGAAUUUAUGGGUUCUGAUUUGGACCUGUUAAGAAGUUUUUAUAAAUGUUCUAAUAACAACGAUCGAAACUAGCAAUAACAGAAAAAUGUUAACAAUUUCUUUUCACCUUGUAACACGUUGAGCAAGGUGUAUAUCUUUAUGUGAAUGUGUGUUAUUGCAAAUAAAUGACAUUUUGUCUUAGUUUAUAAACAUGCAUCGAUUAAUAAAUGGAUUUGAUACAUUGAAAUACACAUCAAAUAUAAAGGAUAACACAUUUGUUUUAAAUCAAAGUACAUCCAUUUUACUCAAACAAUUGAAUAAACUACAUUGAAUAUAGUUACGUACAUCACCAUUACAAACGUUUUGAAUAAACUAUAACAGGUAUGGUUUAUGUUUCCAUUAACGCCACAAAUAUAUUUCGGAAGGUUUUAUUCCCAUAGAAAAAGGUUUUACACUCACGCACACCACACGUAAACUUGUUAACCUAAAUUGUGAGACAUUCUCUUUCCGUACGUCCGAGUGCGGGAUUUAAAUUCCUGAUAGUUAUAAUCAGAGUCUCUUGUAGGGAGAACAUGAUAGUUGUGUAUAGAUCUAUAUUGGGUUUGACACCCCACACCUUGCUGCUAGCUACAGUGGGACCUGCAUGUCUACGGGUGACAAAUGUCAUAUCAGUUUUGCGACGCCUAAGAAACGUCGUGGCAGGUUCAUUAGUCAUAGUAUGAUUAUAGCGCUCACAUAGGGAUUUAACAAGACAUAAAGUUUACAGGAUUUUUUUUGUCGAUUUAAAAUCACUUUCUAUAUCAAUAAUUACAGAUAUUAUGAUAUACUUUCGGUCUUGGUAUUUAAGACUACACAUCAUUCAUUACGUGUUUUUCUCAAAUUUAGAAGGUUUUUACGCCAAUUUAAAACCACUUUAUAUCUUUAAGUAUGACAAAUACUUGUUCAUUUCCGGUCCCGGUAUUUAGGACUACAUAACUUUUAUAAGGAAAAUAUUGGAUUUUCUUGGUAACAUACUUCGCUUUACAAAGAUGAAUUUUCAAACUCUUACCAUCAAAAGCUUAUGAACUCACCAACCUUUGUGUUGAAACUUUUUCAAAACUACUUGUAUUCUCAGGAAAUCAUUAAACAAGUAACCAAGUGCUUUUGAGGAUGGGACGUUAAGGCGUCAAACAUUUCAUACUUAUUGUCUACAUAUUGUAACUGAUUUAGAACAUGUAANUAUAUAUAUAUAUAUAUGAUUGGUUGUAUUUACUUGAGCACUAUUAUACUCGUUGUUGUGAUACUAUACAUGAAGUCCUCCACCCCCGGACGUUUCCGCCAUCCUUGGUUUGGGGGUGUGACAGAAUGGUAUCAGAGCAUUGUUUAUAGUGAACUCAGUAUAUCAAACCACAUAAGAUAUACAAACUAUAAAUGCAUUGAGACUAAAGUCUCUGAUUUAAAGUUUUCAAAACAACUAUACUUUUAGGAAUAAAUAGUUUCUUAUUAAAAGUAUACACGCAUGCAUACAUACUAAGGUCAGCUUCAUUCUAGAACAAAACAAAAGUAAUGAUUAUUGAAUAUCACAGGUACGCUCAGGGAUGUAUGGUCAGUCUUGGGAGUGGCAUAGCCUGAUCAACUAUGCUGGUCCGAAGAGUGAUUAGGACAUGCCCAAGAAUGUUUGUGAUAUGGCGAAAAGUCUAAAAACUUACCGACACUACCAUAAUGAGAACAUUAGAACAGAACAUGAGUUUAAAAUACUAUCGGAGUAUUUUGUAUUACUAUAAUUGCUUACAUGAGAACUAAACAAGUCUAUAUCAAGUAGGUCAAUAGUUGUUAAGUGGAUACGCUCAGGUUAUAUGAAAUUUAGGCAUUAUAGACUCAGAAUCUGUGACCGUUACUUUACUUCCUGUUCUUGUUUGAUUGUGGAUUUGAAGUUACAGUCACCUAUUCGAAAGACUAUCCUGCCUUGAUUUCAUAUAACUAGUACACACUACCCAAGUAUUGAUAUAACUGAUAAAGAUCAUCUAAUAAUUAUCUACAUAGUUGUCCAAUAAUUAUCUUCUUACUCCUAUUCUCUCGCGUACAACAUAGUAAGAUCCUACUUACCGGACAACCUCUACUUUCGCGUUCAGAGAAAUGGUGGAUGGUUAUGAGGAGAAUCAGAAGCGGAACCGGAGAUAAUCAAUCCUCCAUGCAUAGCAAGCGUUUCCGCGAACCAUUUCGACUACAUCGAACCUGUGCCCCGUUGGGCAAUCGUGAUCGAGGGUUGAAUGUCGAUAGCAAUGAUAACAACCACCAUGUGGAGACCAACGAGGGUGCUAUGACCUCAACCACGGGGGACGACUGACAGAGCCCUCCCGGCAAAGACCCGGCGGAUCGCGAACAUCGGGGAUUAAAACAAGGAGACUACAACCUGAGUUAGAAAAAUUGCACGCUACUAUGAACCCCACCGUCUCACUUACCCGAAACUCAGAAUUAGACUAGUAUUCCCGAGACCAACUCUCUUUUUAAGACCUUAUCGCCGCUCGUAAAGAGGAAAAAUAGUGACAUAGCAGACACACGACAUUCAAAGAGAGGAUGAUCGCAGCCAAGCAUCAAUUGGCAGGGCUGUUAGGUGCAUCGACUUUGCCUCAGACAUCACAAGGGACGGACCGUCGUAAAUGAAUCCAUACCACUCACGAUACCUUGUAAAUAAAGAUCAUGAAUACACGUUGGUGCUACCCUAUUCUAGGUGUUGGCACAACACUGCGAUUUAAGAAGUUAUACAAAUCAAGAGAUCUAGUUACUAUCUGAACUUUUCCUUGCAUGGAUGUGAGGUAGCCCUGCGUCGAGAUCAAAUGCUUUCGCUGAAACCAUAAUUACUAGAAUCAUAUUAACGAGAUGGGCUCAGGACAUACCUAACAGACUCGAAGGUUUAACUAGCCUUAACUAAUAUAACAAAGCAUACAUCAUUUGGCCACCAUAAGAGCCUCGCUUGGAACAAAUUACAAGGUUCCACUUGAAUACAGAACUACUAAAAAUUCAUGAGUUUACCAUUUAUAGGCUCUCGUUAUGAAAUGUUUUCAUAACACCAUAAAACAACCGAAACACACAACAAAAUGAAAUAAGAUAAAAUUUGUUAGAAAGCUCGCGACGUAUAGUCAUCCUAAAAACUCAUUUCCGUCUUACUUUAAAACACCUUAGUUGAGAGGUGCUUUCUUCAUAGACCUAUGGAGUGCGAUCAUGCCAGCACUAAUACACCGGGUCCCAUCAAAACUCCUCAGCCAAGCGUGUUCGGACAAACAUGAUUCUAAGAUGAGGAAAGCUUAACGCCCAUAUGAAACCUACUCCUACUCACUACUAAAACUCCAACUCAGGAUCGUUAGCGGAAACACUAGGAAUAGUACAGUAAUGUGCAAAAUUUAUGUGUAAAUAUAAAUCGUAAGGAUGCACUUAAGAUGAUCAAUUCUACUAACGAAGUCGUUUUUCAUCGUGAAACAGAGCUAUGUAUUCACCAAGAGGCAACCAACCAACUAGUAAGGCGCCAACUCUGCAGAUAGACGCUGCUACUUUUCAGGCUGCAGUCAUGGCAGCCGUGNNNNNNNAGCCGUAGCAGCCAUCAUGGCGCAGCUCAACGCUAACCCCGUCAGCAUGCGUGGAAAUGGUGUCAGAAAUGCUAACUGCGAUAAGAAUCAAGAACAUCAGUGGGCGACUAUCACCAAAAAUUCCUCAGGCCACAAACCUACGAAGAAGAAGCGAAAAUUUUGGAACAAGAAGGAGCGCAACCAAUCUCAAAAACUCACAAAAAGACAGCAAUCGGGGGUUGCUCCUACUAUGAUGACAAUAGUCACAACUCAUGCUCCGAUGCUAGCCACAUCGUCUGCCACCCCAGCACUGGUCAGACAGUAUAUGGGAACACUUCCGAAGUGUAACAAGUGUAACUACCAUCACACAGGAGCUUGCCGAGAGAUGUACUAUAAAAACUGCAACAGGAAAGGGCACACUGUUCAUUUCUGUAGGGUCCCGACCCAGCAUCUCCCUUCAAUCACCAGCACCAGGUUAAACCCAGUAUGCUACUUAUGCGGUGAAACAGGACACUUCAAGAGAGAGUGCCCAACCGAGAAGAAGGACGAAGGAGCCGGAGGAGUGUGACAAACGAACCAGCGAGGGUAACAGGGAACCAUAUUAGGACUUUUGUAAUGUCCCAACGACAAAAACGUUUAAGUAUCAUAUGUUUGUAAUGAAAUUUUAUAUGCUUGCUAAAAUCCAUGUCUUUCUAAAAGUAGUUAAAAUGCUCCCUCGUUCAAAUCAAACCAAAGUCAUUCAUAUAUGAUCUUAGGAUCAUUACCUAUAAGAUGUGAUGACUUUGUACAUACAUCGGGGUUAAUUAUAAUCAAAUUACUGAAGUCAUGAAACAAAUAAUCCCAUCCUGAUUCCUAUUUCAUGUCUAGCAGUAAGAAUUAAGCGGGGCCACCCACUCGAUGAUUUCACCAACAUCAACUCACAUACGACGUUGAUAUACCGUUCGAUCAUAGGGGAGACCUGUCAGGGAUCACGAUGUUAAGUAUCAUUACUGAUUAUCGAAACACACCCACUACCAGUGCUAUACACUGUGUUAUAAAUCAUCUACAGUAACAAUAACAUUAAACAAAACAGAACACGGAAAAGAAACACUAGAUACUCCAUCACUUUAGUGAUUUCUCCUUAUGAGAACAACUUAACUCAUGUUAUCUAAUAAAAGUGUCGAUUGUCACCAUUCAGUUUCAAUUAGAAUUAAUCCUCAUCUUCCCGAUUUAACGACUACAAAAGGGGUCUUCACCUAACCCUCCGAAUAUCGUAACCUUCGACUCUCAUAAAAACCCAGCACGGACCUCCGGGUCAUCUCUCGUGAUGAGACCCCAAAACACGCACCAGAGGAGUGUUAUACUUCCUGAAAACCUACCACAAGUAUUUACAGGAGACUUUCGGGAAUGUCAUCCAUGUAGCAGACAAGGUUCAAGCACGGAAGCUUGGGACAUAUACGGUUAGUCCACCACUACUACGUGUAUACGCGAGGAUAAUGUAUAAUUAAGAUUCUACAGACAUUGGAUGUGUGCUUCCACCCUAUUUCCUGUUCCAUGUUUGGUUGUGGAUUUGGGGCAGAGCCACCCAUCCAACUAUCUUGCCAACCUUAAACACAUACGACCUAUAUGCGCAAGUUAAUGAUUGAUGGACCGGGUACGAGUCCUACCUUGAACUUCAGGCCAAGGUUUCCUAGAGGGACGAGUAAAUUUCCUACCAUCCGAAAAGGCCUAGUCGCAUAAACCAAACCCACAUGCCUCCAACCGAGCUACAAGAACUGUCAGGUCAAACCUGUCGAGCUACUCAACAAUGAAAUUAAAGAACCAAGCUUCUCACCCUGGAAGGCUCUGGUCUUAUUCUUCAAAUAGAAAGGCAAAUUGCUCGUAGUUCCAUUGACGUCAGAGGCCCCGACAAUAUCUCCAAUAGAAACCUUUACUAUCUACCUCGCAUAGACGAAUAGGCCGACCAACCGCAAGGAACGAGGUACCCUUCAGAAAUUGGACCUGAGGUCUGAAUAUCACCAGUCGCGAGUGUUGGAGAAGGAUGUCCGAGGACAACCCUCCAAAUUCGAUACAGACACCGCAAGUCCGUAGUGAUAUCACUCGGAUAGGAACAACCCGCUCGCAGUACUCAUGAACUUCAUGAAUAGGAAAUGCCAUUCUUACUAAGAUCAGUUCGUCAUUGUCAUUAUAAAUGACUUUCUUAUCUACCCUCGUAGUAAGAAGGAAACCAAGGAGAACAGCUGCAACGAACCGCAGAAACAAUAUGAUCAAAGAAACCUUACCUGAAGUUCUCUAUAUACGAGUUUUGGAAUUUAGGGGUCAAAUUCCUAAGGCAGAUCAUUAAUAAUGUGGAAAUUCUUAAGGACCCUUACAAUUGAUCAAAAACCGUUGAGAAACAGUCAGCACCAAAGACGUCAGCAGGAAUACGCCAAAAUUUUGGGUCUCGCUGACCUGCCGUCGUAGCUCCCUUAGAAUUCCUCAUAAAUUUCGGAGUCCCCCCUUACGACCUUGACCCUGAAGGGAGAAAACCUUGACGGGAAGAGAAGCAAGAGGGAGAAACCUUUAGAACGCCAGAAUAAGAGACCAAAUUCCUCUAGGCAUGCUUAGUACGCUCCGGAAGGCGUGGAAAGCCAAAACCCAGAUAUUUAUGCCUUUCCAGAUGCUUGUAAGAUUCAGCACUUUAAUCGCAACUUUAAUCUACUCCCGCGAGCUUGGUAAAGUACAUUCUACCCGACACGUCCCGAACUUGCAGAAGUACCUAUCCGACGAGACUCUUGUAAUCCCCCUCCACGAGAUCGAGUUCCACAAGAGCCUCACCUUUGUGAAAGAAUCGCAGUGACCAUGGACCGAAAGGUCGAGCGAACGCUGCAACACCGCUUCCAUUUGUGAAGGAGCGCUAGAAUACUAACCAGGGACCUGGAGUCACUUGGGAGCGAGAGAAAUCAUUCGAUUAGGAAGUAUCCCCACAUCUUGGCUCGAUUAUUCAUGCCUACUCCUUGCCUAAAUUCAAAUUUCGGCACGAAAUUCCCUCUAACGGGGGGACGAUGUGACAACGGUCAAUUUCCGGUCAAGUAAAAGUCAACAAGUCAAACCGUUCGACCCAAGUUGCCCAUGGGUACUAGAGUUUACGUUAUGUAAAUUCUAAACAACUCGCUAUUCUAAUGAGAGAUCAUAAAUCGAAAAGUGCAUACAUCUAGAUCUCCUUAACCUAAAAUUGUGGUACGUGGUGAGCCAAAUUGAUAAAACAAUGUUACAUACUCAUCGGGAGUGUGUAAGAUCCUUAAACAAGGCUUAACAGGGUUUACGGACCUUGCAUUGCGAAGCCAGACACUCAAAAAGGUCACAAGUGAAAUCUCUCUCAAAUCUCUCUUUGUAUGUGAAAUCUCUCCAAGUAUGUGAAAUCUCUCUUUGUAUGAGAAAUCUCUCCAAGUAUGUGAAAUCUCUCCCAAAUCUCUCUUUGUAUUACAAAUCUCUCCAAGUAUGUGAAAUCUCUCUCAAAUCUCUCUUUGUAUGAGAAAUCACUCAAAGUAUGUAAAAUCUCUCUCAAAUCUCUCUUUGUAUGAGAAAUCACUCAAAGUAUGUAAAAUCUCUCUCAAAUCUCUCUUUGUAUGAGAAAUCUCUCCAAUAUGUGAAAUCUCUCUCAAAUCUCUCUUUGUAUGACAAAUCUCUCCAAGUAUGUGAAAUCUCUCCCAAAUCUCUCUCAAAAGUUUCCGUAACUUUUUUGAGUCAUUCGGGUCAUUCCGACCUUUAACCGGGUCAAAAACGGCUUGAAACGGGGUAAAAACGAGCAAAAUAGGCUUAAGGGCCCGAAACCCCUCUUAGGGCCGAAAGUCCUCUUAGGACCGAAACCCUAAGCAGCCGAGACUCAGCAGCCGAAUCAGAAGCCUCUCGGGCCGAAACUAGGAAGAGAAGCCUCUCAGACCGAAUCUGGGAAGAGAAGCCUCUUGGGCCGAAACUAAGAAGGGAAGCCUCUCGGGCCGAAACUCGGAAGCGAGACCUCUCGGGCCGAAACUCGCGAGGCCGAGCCUCUCCUCUCAGUUCCUCCUACUUCGCACUCUCGGUCCCUUCCAUCGCCCUCUCUGUCUCCUCCCUCCUCCUCUCGGUCUUCAUUUCUAGUCUCGGUUCCAAGCAUCAGAGGCCGAGACUUCGGCCAGACUUCGGAAAUUCGACACUUUUCACCCAUUUUUGAUAUUUUUUUACAUUUUAAGCCCGUUUUUAAUUAUUUUAACGCAAGAUUUUCACCCAAAAUCAUAUUUUCAGAUAAUAAACCCUAUAUAUUCAUAAUUUAAUCAUAUUUUCAUGAAAAUUCUUAUUUUAAUAAUAAAAUCUAGUGGGUGAAUAAUUAAGGUGGAGUGUUGACUUUGCUUUACCUCAUGACACAAGCAACCACUCCCAUACCCACUUCAUGUCACUAUUCACCAUCAGCCCAUACCUAGUCAUUUCAUGGUACUUUUCCUACCAUUUUUCAGCCACACACAUGGUCAAGGGUUAGAAAACCCUCAUCUCUCCUCUCAUUUCUUUCAUUUCCUCUCAUUCUUCCUUCAAGAACAAGCUUCAUUUUCUCUCAUCUCCUCUCUUUAAAAUUCGAGAUUCAAGGCUAUUCUCCAAGCCUCUCCUCUAUUAUUGGUAAGUAUUAACAUCCUCCAUAUGAUUAUUUCACUUCCUUUUACUCAAAUCAUAGAUAUCUUACAAAAACUUCAUCAUAAUUGUGUUAGAUCUUCGAAUCUUCAAGCAAUCUCCCAAAGUGUUCUUGAGUUGAACACUUCUUUUCUCCAUCAUCCAUGUACUUAAAUCACAUACGGUGAGUCCAUACCCCUCUAUUAUCACGUUUUCUUAAGUUUUAAGGGGAAGAAUACAAGUUAAAACACCAAGAACAUAACUAAAAUUUUCUAACAACUUUCAUCAGAAAAGUUGGACUCCAUUCAUAGACUAUUUUGGUCAACUUAAAUAUUUUUGUUUUUAAAACUAUUUUAGUUACAUGUAGUUCAAGUUUUUAGAUUUAAAAUGACUACUUGCACAUCUCCAUAAGAUUUUUCUACAAUUUAUGGUGAUUUUUACAAAACUGUCUAUCAUUUCAAACAUCAAUCCGGACCAGUCUGUGAUUAUGGACUUGUUCACACAAGUUAAAAGUCACUAAAAUCAUGUAAAAAUUUAUGAAUAAACUAGACUCAUUUACCAGACUCUCGGAAUUUACGGAUUCUGAUUUGGACCUGUUAAGAAGUUUUUAUAAAUGUUCUAAUAACAACGAUCAAAACUAGCAAUAACAGAAAAAUGCUAAGAAUUUCUUUUCACCUUGUAACACGUUGAGCAAAGUGUAUAUCUUUAUGUGAAUGUGUGUUAUUUCAAAUAAAUGACAUUUUGUCUUAGUUUACAAACAUGCAUCAGUUAAUAAAUGGAUUUGAUACAUUGAAAUACACAUGAAAUAUAAAGGAUAACACAUUUAUUUUAAAUCGAAGUACAUCCAUUUUACUCAAACAAUUGAAUAAACUACAUUGAAUAUAGUUACGUACAUCGCCAUUACAAACGUUUUGAAUAAACUAUAAUAGGUAUGGUUUAUGUUUCCAUUAACGCAACAAAUACAUUUCGGAAGGUUUUAUUCCCAUAGAAAAAGGUUUUACACUCACGCACACCACACGUAAACUUGUUAACCUAAAUUGUGAGACAUUCUCUUUCCGUACGUCCGAGUGUGGGAUUUAAGUUCCUGGUAGUUAUAAUCAGAGUCUCUUGUAGGGAGAACAUGAUAGUUGUGUAUAGAUCUAUAUUGGGAAUGACGCCCCACACCUUGCUGCUAGCUACAGUGGGACCUGCAGGUCUACAGGUGACAAAUGUCAUAUCAGUUUUGCGACGCCUGAGAAACGUCGUGGCAGGUUCAUUAGUCAUAGUAUGAUUAUAGCGCUCACAUAGGGAGUUAACAACACAUAAAGUUUAUGGGAUUUUUUUUGUAUAGAUCAAAAAGGGAUUUUAUGUCGAUUUAAAAUCACUUUCUGUAUCAAUAAUUAUAGAUAUUAUGGUAUACUUUCGGUCUUGGUAUUUAAGACUACACAUCAUUCAUUACGUGUUUUUCUCAAAUUUAGAAGGGUUUUUACACCAAUUUAAAACCACUUUAUAUCUUUAAGUAUGACAAAUACUUGUUCAUUUCCGGUCCCGGUACUUAGGACUACAUAACUUUUAUAAGGAAAAUAUUGGAUUUUCUUGGUAACAUACUUCGCUUUACAAAGAUGAAUUUUCAAACUCUUACCAUCAAAAGCUUAUGAACUCACCAACAUUUGUGUUGACACUUUUUCAAAACUACUUGUAUUCUCAGGAAAUCAUUAAACAAGUAACCAAGUGCUUUUGAGGAUGGGACGUUAAGGCGUCAAACAGUUCAUACUUAUUGUCUACAUAUUGUAACUGAUUUAGAACAUGUAAUUCAUACAAUGACGUAANUAUAUAUAUAUAUAUAUAUAUAUAUAUAUGAUUGGUUGUAUUUACUUGAUCACUAUUAUACUCGUUUUUGUGAUACUAUGCAUGAAGUCCUCCACCCCCGGACGUUUCUGCCAUCCUUGGUUUGGGGGUGUGACAACCUUUUCCUUUCCUUUGCCCUCUGAGCUCUUCUUUAGAGGAAUAUAGUUGGAAUUUUGUGAAUUCCAAUAACUCUUUCCCUCAUUUAUGUUCUUUGCAUACCUUUGAUUUCUUAAGCGUUUUUGCUCAGCUAGUUCCUUCUGCGAUUUAUGCAUGUUGAAGCUUGCCUUUUGCUUCUCUCUUUGGUUUUCGGUUGUUUUGACUGGAGCAUUCGGUUCUACGCUUUGCUCUAUAGGAAUGUCCUUGGUUCCACUCGUGCUUGGUUUGUCAGAACCUGUGGGUUUAUUUAAGGGUUCAGCCACAUAUCUUCCUUUAACUUUCCAGGAGGUCUGCUCAGAUAAGCCUACAGUUUCGUCUGCAUUAUCUAUGGGAGCCGACCAGAAGAACUCUUAGCAUACUUCAGCAUUAUCUGCUUCUACCAAGACUCUUAGUUCUUCUGUUUGUCUAUGAGUAACUCCUUCAGUUGCAUAUACUUGAUUCGGCACGUUUUGAACCUUUUGAUAAACCAUAGCUUUUUCUUUAAGCUUCUUUUCCUUAUCCUUUGCUAGACGAGCAAAUUCAAUCGAGUUUUCUGAGAUUAAUGGUUUAUCAUUCUCAGUUUUGCUCUUCGUAAACUCAAAGCAAUCAACUACAUCUUCUACAGAUAUCUCACUCAUCUCAUCAAAUUCAGAUGCGUUGUCUAAGUCUAUUUUAUUUUCAGAAGUUAGUUUGGCACUUGAUUGUUCAAAUGAAUGAAUAGUUUCCGAUUUGAUUUUCAAUUUAUCAUUUUCAUCCAAAAUGUAUUUUAACAUACAUUUGUGUUCUUUUGAAUCUAUGAAUGUUUCUAUUUUGUCUAGACUGAUUUUGUAUGACAUGGAUGUCUCUUCUGAUGACACUACUGAUUCGCAUUCUGCUAUUACCUCAUCUUCUUUAAAUUCAAGAAAUGGGAAAAUCAUCUUAUGAAUUUUCUUACCUAUCUCAUAGUUUAAAUGCAAAUGGGCUAUAUUAGUGUAAACACUUAGCAAUUAAACAAAAAACAUUUCACUGUUUCAAGAAUUUCAAAUUGUCUUUUUGUAAAUAAAAACUUUCGUCCCUAGCUUUCACUAAUUCCACCUCCUACAACUUGAUCCACAACCUUCUCCCCUCACUCUUUGAACAUACCCUGCUGAGUUGGUCAGUUAGGUUAGAAUUCGCUAAGCGACUUUGCAUGAGACUACCACUUAAGUUAGAGAAUUUAAAUUUUAAUUCAUUUAAUUCUUCUUCAUAAUUAGUUAAUGGAAUUUUAAGUGAUUCGAGGAUGGUUUGUACCUUUUUGAUCAACUGAUCGCAGUCGUUGAUCUGCUCACUGACAGGCUUUGCCGCGAAGCAUUUGUCUUCAUUCAGGUUCGGUUCUUUAUCUGCACUUUCGGUUGAUGAUCCAGCGGUGACCAUCAAGCACUUCCUGACUGAACCUGCUUCCUUUGCCACAUAAGCCCUUCCAUGAGUGGGCUUUCUUACUUCUUCAUCCUCGAAUUCGGUUGACCACACUUCCACGCCACCGAACUCAUCUUCAUCACCCUUUUCCUGCACAAUUAAAGCAUUCAUCAUACCUUUUGUGUCGUUAUUUGUCUUCUUAUUCUUGAUCUCUUCCAGCUUUCGCAUGUAAUAUGCCUCAUCAUCUUCCCCGUCUGUCUUCUCAGCCAAUUUCCUUAACAUGCAAUCCUGGCAAAGUGGUUAUUGCCAUGACAGUAGUUGCAGUCGUAUCCCGAGUCUGCAUCAAGUUUGUUCUCGCUCUUGUCUUCAGUCUUUUGAGAGGCGAUCUUCGCUUCAUCCUUCGCCUUCUCGGAACUAUAGCUUCCUUGCCAGUUUCGGUUCUUGUUGACAGGAAAUUUUCUUCUAGCAAACUUCUUUGCAUUGGUGAGAAUCAUAGCAUAUUCUUCGCUUGAGAGGUCAUAUUCAGAUGUAUCCGACUCUUCUUCUUCUUCUGCAACACCCUUUCCUUUUGAUAUAAGAGCCAGUGAUCCCAUACCAGAGACUACUUUCGCUUCUUUGGUUACUUCGCUUUCAUGGGACUUAAGGAUUCUCACAAGUUUUGCAAGCGAGUAAGAUUUGAACUGCUCAUGCGCUUUUACUAUAGAGACCACAUCCAUCCAUUCGGUUCUUAGUCCGGUCAUGAAGGUCACCUUUUGCUCAAUUACCUUUCUUUCUAUUCCAUGCUUGACCAUUCUGUUGAGAAAAUGAUUGAACCGAUCGAACGUCUGUACGAGUUUCUCUUUUGGUUUCUAUUUUAAUGCUCCAAACUCAGACAACAACAAGGUUUGAGUUGAGUGUUCCAGAUCUUCAUCAGUCGAAUAGAGUUCUUUCAAUCUGUCCCAUAUUUGUUUAGCAGUCGUGCAUGAACCAACUAAUCGAAAGGUAUCAGACUGCAAGGAGAAUCUUAUCAUUCGCAUGGAUUUCACAUUACAUAGCAAUUUGUCUCUCUCAUCCUGUGGAAUCAUUUGUUCGUCUGCCACCAGCUUGUUGUACUCCUGCUGAGUCAUGACAGUAGUGUUCGUUCCCGAAUGAACAAACGGUCCAAGAGUGAUGGCUUCCCAGAUGAGAUAACCAUGAUCUUCAAAACCUAUCACGUAGUCUUCAAAGUGAAGUGCCCAUACUUCAUAGUCUUGAGUAUAUUGUAUGGGUAUCCUAGUUGUAGAUCCGAUGCUGUUAGAGAUGUUAAUGGGAUUUGUUUGCGAAUCAUCGUGAGACAUGUUGAGUUUUUAGAAUCAGACUUUUAAACUCGAGAUUAGGGUUUUAUCUAAAACAAAGUUUCCUACUAAACGAAGAAGACGACUUGUUAUAUAUUCGAUAAAAGCGGAAACCCUAAAGAAUUCUGAAUACAGAAGGAAUGUGUAUUGAUCACACAAACUCCUGCUCUAAUACCAAUUGUUAGAGCAAAGUUCUAUCAGCAUCGAUUAAUUCUAAGUACGCAAACAAGAAAGAACGUAAAGUGAACGAGAAUAUGGCUUGAAUAUGUCAUAUGAUUAAUGCUUCAACAUCUCAGAAGAGCUUAAUUAAGAACUUCGAGUGUAGAGGAGUUUAGGGUUACAAAGCUCAAUCGUAAAUAAUAAGACGUGUAAAAUAUAAUGCAUACAUGCAUGCAUAUAUAUACUCUAACCCUAAGAUAUAAUCACGGAUGGAAAGGCCCAAUCCGGAUAUAUACAAAAAAUCCUAAGACGCAACAUAAUAAGCCCAACAGCAUAGUAACAAAUUUGUUGUGUCACGUUUGGUAACCAGAGUCUCCUGGAGGGAGAGCGGACAUUGUGUGUAUAGAUCUAUUCGGGAUUGACAAGCCUGCAUCCCGACUGUUUGCUACAGUUGGCCGAAAGGCCAGGGGUGACAAAUGUCACAUUUACUUUUCGGCGCCAUUAGGUCGUCGUGUUAUCUACAUGUUGAUUUAGCAUGGUUGCUACCACAUCACAUCCAAACCUUAAAUUAACAAAUUGGCUUAAGGUAGUUAGUAUAUUGGUAGUUACUCACAUACAAUACUACAGUACUUUAUUAUUUUCCCAUUGCAUUCACAUUGUGAUCUUCUCACAUAAACGGUAAUGUAAAAACUAUAUUUUUGGUAAUGAUAGUCAUAAUUGGGAAAGAUACAGACUUUUACAAAUAAACAGCAUGCAGAACAUUUGGGUCUAGCUAGAAAGCUACUUUUUGGUAGAAAAUAUAGGAUUUUCGAGGAGAUGCAAACAUUUACUACAAACACUUACCAACUUUUACAUCAAGCAUUUUCAUACAAACAAUGACACUACAAUAAUUAUGAACUCACCAGCUUAAAUGUUGAUCCUCUCUUUCAAAAUAACUUGUAUUCUCAGGUCAUUAGUAGAUAGGUACCGAUGACAGGUUUUGAGAAGACGGAGCUUUCAAGACUCAUCCAUAUUUUGAUUAUUCUUUUUUUGUGUCGUAUUAUUAUAGAGAACACACUUGUAUUAAAUUAUACUAUUAAUGCAGUGGAUGAUGUUGUUGCUUGUUUACUAUUAUGUAUUGUUGUGAUACUACACAUGACGUCCUCCGCCCCCGAAUGUUUCUGCCAAUUCGGUUUUGGGGUGUGACAGGUAUGGACCAAAACCAUAAAAAAAUGUUAACCAUGGGGACCAAUAAGUAUAUUUAUAUGUUCAGAGGUCGUCUUACAUUAAUUAAGUCAGUUCUUGGAAGUUUGGGGAGUUAUCUGAUAGCAAGUUUUAUGGUUCCGUCUUGUGUUUUUAAUUCUUUGGAGUCUCUUCGUUCUAGAUUUUUUUGGGGUGCCAAUUUACAGGAUAGUUGUAUGCAUUGGGUACAUUGGGAUAGAGCUUUGGCUGGUAAAAACAGGGCGGUCUUGGAAUUGGAAGUAUGUUCUCUUUUAAUCGGGCUCUUCUUUUUCGUUGGUGGUGGAGAUUCUUCCAUAACCCAGAUCUGAUUUGGGUUAGGAUGGUGAAAUCUUUACAUGGCCUUGAUGGGGGUUGUUAUUCCUUGUCGUUGAGAAGAGGGUGGACAGGUCCUUGGAGUGGGAUUAUAAGGAUGCUAAAGCAGCUUAGAGAUCGGGGCAUGGAUUUGUUUUCUUUAUGUCCGAUUAGAGUUAGAGAUGGGAGUAACACUUCUUUUUGGCAUGAUGUUUGGAAAGGUUAUCAGCCUCUUGCGGUGUCUUUCCCUAGAAUUUAUGCAGUGGAUAUUCAUUGAGUGUUUCUAUUCGUGAUAGGGUUAUAGUUGGUUGGAGUGUUGAUUCUCUCAGAAGAAUUCCUAGGGGUGGAAUGUAGCAUACCCAGUGUGAUGAGUUGAUUGAGUUGGUGUGUGAUCUCCAAGUUACUUCUUUUCCUGAUCGGUUGGGUUGGUCUAUUGAUGUUUCUAAUUCUUUUUCAGUUUCAUCUGCUAGAUUUUUUAUUGAUAGUGCUUUGUUGGGGACAUGUGGUAGUGAGACUAGAUGAAAUAAUUGGGUGCCUGUUAAAUUGAAUAUUUGUAUUUGGAGGUUGCGGUUGCAGAGUGUGCCAACUAGAGAAAGGUUGUUGCAUCGUGGAAUUACGCUUGACUUGUUUAUGUGCCCUAUCUGUUAUAUUACUGUUUAGUCUAUUGAUCACCUAAUUGCUGAGUGUAUUCAAUUAAGGGAUAUUUGGUCUCGUGUGGCUAUUUGGUGGGAUGUUCAGAUUCUUUCUCAGUAAUCAAUUGAUUCUAUUCUUUUAUGGUCUCAGUCGUCUGGUUUGAGAGGUGGUCGAAGAAAAGCUUUUGAGGCGGUUAUUUUUACGGCUUUAUGGUGCGUUUGGAAUUUUCGAAAUGCUACUAUCUUUGGAACGGUGGUGCGUUUGGAAUUUUCGAAAUGCCACUAUCUUUGGAAUUUUCGAAAUGCUACUAUCUUUGGAAUGGUGGUUGAAAAAUGUUUUUUUGGAUUUCUAAUAGGUGUACUAAAGCUAAGAUAUGGUGGUCUUUUUGGCUCAAUAAUCCUUCUAUUGCAUGUAAUAUGUUGUAAUGUUUCUUUUUCUAGCUUUUUGCUAGUUUUUUAAUAAAAUCUCUGUCAUUCUAUAAAAUAAAUAAAUAAAUAAAAAACCUUAGUAAACUCAAAAAUAUUUCUCAAAAUAGUUUUUCCAUUAGCUUUAAUAACAAGAUUUUCAAAGGCAUAUCAAAUUUGAUUUUUUUUAACUUCUUUUAGGUUUUUAAAACACAAUAGCUUAAAAAAAUGAGAUUUUAUGGAGAUUGUAAACAAAGCAUGUUUUAAUUUAUCAACGUUUUCCCACUAUAAAAAUUAAUCUAAUAUUUAAAAUAAAUAACUAAUUUGCGACCCCCACAAAUAAGAAAAAAAACAUUCUUGCUCGAAAACAGAUUUUAAGUUCAAGAAACAAUUUCAAACACCCUUUUAAUAACAUGCUGUUAUUUUUAUUAAAAAGAUACUGACACAAAAACCCUUAAGUUUAGCAACUAUUAACGGUUUCACUUUAAUCGGUGUCGACGAACUAAAUUCUGAAAUGAAACUAAUCGUGUGCUGAAUAUGGGGUGUUGCUGAAUACUCCCUUAAUAAGUAUAUAAUACUCCCUUAAUAAGUAUAUAUCCCUAUCAUACAUUACAUAUUCUUUUGAAAAUAACAUACUUAUGAAUGAACACUAAUCAACGUAUGAGACUUUUUGUCGUAAAAGACUCUCCAAUGCCCGUUGAAAGGAAAAUAUUAAUUACCAUGUAUUUGACGUUUGUUGCAUCCAAGUAUCUCAUAUGUUAUACUCUAGGUGUAACACUCGUAUAUUAUACGAGUUGAUUAAAUAUUAAAAUUUUAAAAAUAAGUAUUUUUAAAAUAAAAUUUUAAAAUAAUAAAUAAACAAGUAUAAUAAUUUCAAUUUACUAUCAUAUUUAUUACAUUUAGUACUUUACAUAUAUAAGUAAAAAGUAUUAUGUGAUUUUUAUUGAAAAAAACCAUAAAUUGACAAGUGGAUAUUAUUUAUUUAAAAAAUAUCAUAAAAUGACAAGUGUCAAAAUUGACGAGAGAUUUACAAAUGACAAAAUUAUUUUCAUUUAUUAGAUAGGAUUAAACGUAUUUAGAGUAUCUCAUGUGUUAUGCUUUAACUUUAGAGAAACUAAGGUGCUAUUUGUUUUUUCGAAGCGAAAAUUCAUUAAGUCUACGGACCACCUCUGCAAUUCUCUGUAGCAGAAGAGGUGGAACAAACGGCUGCAGCCUAUAAUAAGAAGCAUGUUUGUUUUUUAACAUCUGCAGAUUGUUGCAGUAAAGUGAAAUUUAAAUAAACUGAAAAUAGUUAUCAACACCAAAAUUUCAUAAUUCUAGUCUUAAAACGUUAAAAUAAUAAUAAAAAGAGCAUGUAAAAAAACAAAAAUAUAGAACUUUUUUUAAAAAAAAACUUAAAAAAAUGUAAAAUACGCUAAUAGUUUUAUUCUAGAAAAAAAAAAUUAAUUUUAAAAAACAUUAAAAAAGAAAAUAAUAAAAAAAAAAUUAAGAAAGUAUUGCAAAUGUUGUCUACAAAGUUUGUAAAAAAUUACACACGUUAAAAAAGAUGCAACUGAAAUUGAAAAUAUUAUUAAUAAAACGGUUAAAAAAAAAUAUAAAAAAUAAUGUUAAAAAAAUCGUGGAAAUUAUAAAAAUAAAUUGUAUCACAUCCGUAAUGAAAAAUUUAAGAAAAUCAAAGUUUUAAAAAAAAUAAAAAAAAAAAGUUAUACAAAAAUUCUUAAAAAAACACUUAGAAAAAAUGAAAAUUGAAGAGGUUAGAAGAUGCAAGUCAAGUGUUACGUCACGCAGCACACACACAGAGGUUUUGUAGUCUGAAGUUUUCCAAAAAACAAACUGUUACGAGAGGAAAAGUGUUGCGCGUGUGAUGCGUCACGCAGCAAUAAGUGGUUUGAAUAUGUUUUUAUAGAAAAACAAACCGCACCUAAAAAUUCUUCAAAGGAGAAGUAAAUAGUUAUGGUAAUUGGAGGUUGGCCUCGCCAUGAUUGGUGAAUCCCAAAUGAGUUCAUGUCGAGACAAAGGACAACGCUACAACCCCAAAUGAGUUAAUGUUAACAUAAAGGACAACUCACUACCAUUUUUAUGUUUUUCUAUGGUUUUUCUAACAUAUAAUCAUGCUUAGCCGAUUAUUAUAGGAUCUUGAAAAUUCUAGCUCAGUUGAGCUUGAGGUUGAGUUAAGUUUCGACACUCGGGUUUUGUAUUUAAGUAAAGCUCAAAUUUUGCAUCGUAUUCACUCAAAUAUACUUAACUACACCCUUAUACGAGUCGAGUCCAAGUUGACACAUAAAAUGGUUAUAAUUUUUUACUUUUAAGAAAUAACAAAAGUUUAAUUUUAUUUUUAACCAACAUACUUUUAUUUCAAAAAUAAUACAACUAAAUAUAUUUAUUUUUAACCAAUACAGCAACUCAUUUUUAUUUUUAGCCUAAAAAACAACAUGCUUAUAUUUUAAAUGAAAAUAUAAAUUCACAUUUAUUUUUAACCAAAAAUAACUAAAUACUUAUAUUUUUAACACAAAACUUAAAUUAGUAUUAUUUUUACCUAAAAACCAAAACGUAUUAUUCAUUUUUUUUAACUCCGAAUGAAAAUAUGUAUGUAUUUUUUUUCUCAAAACAACCCAUUAAAAAUUUAAUCGCUCUUCAAANNNNNNNNNNNNNNNNNNNNNNNNNNNNNNNNNNNNNNNNNNNNNNNNNNNNNNNNNNNNNNNNNNNNNNNNNNNNNNNNNNNNNNNNNNNNNNNNNNNNNNNNNNNNNNNNNNNNNNNNNNNNNNNNNNNNNNNNNNNNNNNNCAAGGAUAUAAUAGUAAUUGUUUAUUUAAUUCAUAUUAAAACAAAUUAGAUUUAAAUCUUAAAUUCCUAAAAUUUAGCAAUAUUUAUUACAUUUACUUAAAAAAAGAUUAACUGAUUUUUGAAUGAUAAAAGUAAUGUGUAUUCAUUUUUUUGUCAAAUAAAAAAAUUGAUUUUUUUCAAAAUUUUAAUUCAUCAAAAGAUUUUCAAAUAUGUAGGAAUAAAACAUAAUUAUAUUUAUAAAAAUAUAGGAUUGUAAUCGUAAAUGAAUACAACACAAUUUAAAGAUAAAAUUUUUCAUUUUUAAUUGAAUAAAAAAGUAACUACUAAAUAUACACGAAUAUACUGACAAAAAAAAAAUCAAUACAUUAAUAAAUCAUCAUCAAACAUUAUUAUAUUAUUAAAUACAUCUUCAAAAGAUUGAGUUUACACGUUUUUAUAUUUAUACUCAUAAAUGAAUAUGUCAAAACUAGUUUUAAAUAUUUAUACAUAAUGACAAUACUAUGUAAAUACUAUAAUAUGAUAAAAAAAAAUAUUAAAAUGUAUGAGUGGUAGCAAAAUUAUAUGGUGUUAUAAUUAAGAUAAUUAUAACUAAUGAUCUAAUCGUUUAUGUUGCCAAUAGUUAUAAUCAUCAAUAAUUAUCAUCAGUGUCUUGUAAGCAUAUGGACAACAAUAUUUAUAAUCAUAAAUGAUUAUAACGAACAUAACCAACAUUUUUUUUUAUUAAACAAUUAUCACAUGUAAAACCACCCUACAAUAAAUGGGUUCAUCUUUAGCAGAUUCUAUGUAUUGAAAUCAUCAAAUGUAAUUAACAAGCAAACAAAAAAUUGACAAAAACUUACAAAAAAAAAAAAAAACUUCAAUCUAGUGAAGCAUUUGCGGCAGCUAUUUAUUAUGCAUCUAAAAACAGAAACUGCAUCAUGCCGAAUCACAUUGUUGUCAUGUCUUAACCACUCAGAAAUGAACAAUUAACACCGGUGAUUAGCCAAAUCGGAUACAAACACACAAAUCUAUAACACCAAUAGAUGUCGGUAGUUUACCUUAAAGAAACCGAAAUUAAAAGGGAACUUCUUCGACAAGGCGACAAUAGUAGAAACAACAUCAUCGAUGUUAGCAGACUUAACCAAAAACACUAUCUUACAUUGAAUUGCAUCUUCGUCAACAGGAGCAACAGAUAAAAAAAAUAUUAACUUAAAUCGAUGACGAAUCUGGCGACUAGAGUGCGGGAAACAUCGACGAAAAUUGGUGUUGGAUGGUCGGUUGAAGAGAAGGAAGAAAAGGGAACCGAAUUGAUAGAGGAAGGUGGUUUAUUAUGAAACACUGUAGAGAGAGAGAGAGAGUGUGUGUGUGUGUGUGUGUGUGUGUGAGAGAGAGAGAGAGAGAGAGAGAGUGUGUGUGUGUGUGUGUGUGAGGGGUAUAAAGAUACCAGAAUAUGAAAGGAGAGAGAGAGAGAGAGAGAGGGAGAGAGAGAGAGAGAUUGUAGAAAAUAGGUAAAUUUACAAUUCUUAUCAUGUCCUUUUGACAAUUUAAAAGUUACAUUUUAAUGGCAAUAGUUUUACAAUUUUUCAUAAAUCGUCCGUUUAAUAAUAACAUUUGAUCUAAGUAUUUAAAUGGUCUAUAAGUAUUCUUACGUUCUCAACAUUUUAGGUGUUCUCAAAGAUCUCGUAUGUAUCAUAUAUCAUUCAAAUGAUUAUUAUAUAUAUUUGUCUUAUGUGCAUGAUAUCAUAUGUAUCAUAUAUCAUUCCAUAAUUAACUACUUUAUAGGUACAUUAUUUUAUAUACAAACACAUGGAAAUUCUAACCAUAAAGAAUAUAUUUUAUAAAACAUUCAUGGUUUAUCUAAUCUUGGACCUCAAAGGAAACUUGAACACAAUUGUUAUCAGAUAAACAAACAGUCAUUUCUAUUGGCGUGUUUGAAAGUAUUGUAUCCGCAAUUUCGAUUAAAAAAUCCGAAAUAAAAUUAUCCGAAGUUUUAGACGUCCAGAUAUCAAAAAUAAAUAAAAAUAAAAAUAAGAAAUAAAAAAAUUACUAUUUUACAUUCUAUAUUAUUUUAAAAUAGAAAUGAAGAAAUCGCUACUAAUAUUACAUAACCUUAAAUCAAUAAAUUAGAGCUUUGUCUCAUAAAUUUGGAACCAUUAAAAUUACAAUAAGUACUUAAUUUUUGGAGGAAAUGAUUAAUUGAAAGCCCGUAUACUAGAUUAUUUGUUUCUUUCUUUAUCAAUAUGUUUAAAUGGCAUUUCGUGUUAGACCUUUUAUUUUGUGGUCAUUUUGCCUCAAAUAAUAUGUCAAUGGAUAGCAGGAUAGCACAUAUGUAUCUAUUUCCCCCUCAAUAUAGCAAUUGUUUUUUGCAAUAUAUCAAUGGAUAGCAUGAUAACACAUAUGUAUCUAUUUUCCUCUCAAUAUAUCAAUUGUUUUCGAUAACUUAAUUUAAAGUUUGGGUGAACCAAAACUGCACCGCAACUAAAAUUAAACGCAAAAAUUACAUAAACUGCAACCGCAAUAAAAACUGAUGGUGAGACUUUCUGUUUUUCAAAAACCACAAAUUUGCGGCGUGGUGCAGUGCGGUUAUUAGUUUUUAAAACCCGCAAAAAAACCACACAGCACCGCAUAUAUUAUAUAAAAGAUUUUUAUUAAUUAUUAAUAUAUUAAAUAUUAAAAGUAAGACAAGUAAUAUAGAUAAAAGAUGGAUAAAAUAUUAGAAGAACAAAAAUGUUGGUCUUUUUUGUUAUGUUUAACUUUCAAAAAUGGUGAAAUUAAACAAAUUUAAGAUAUUUUUUUUAGUUACUAUUGAUUUGACAUUUUGAAGAUAUUAGUUGUUUGUGAUAUAAGUUAAUUGUCUUAUAGCUUAUGGUUUUUUAUCAUUACAAGUAAUAUGUUUGAACUCUUAAAACCGUUUGAGCCUAAACUGUGGUUAAAACCAUACAAAAUAACUGCACAAAUCCAUGCGGUUAAUAACCGCAAUACAAAAAAAAAACAACAAAACUACACCGCAAAAACAAUCGUCUAAUCGCACAGCAAAAAUAACCGCACCGAGCAGUUGUGAAAAUGGAUUAACUGCAUUUGCGGUUAGUAGUGAGGUUUUGGCUAAUAACUGCAUUGAACGGCACCACGCUCACCCCUAUUUUAAGGUUUAUUAUUUCAUACUAACCAUAUGAUUACUAAUGCAAGCAUAUACUUACUUCAAUAACUUAACUCUCUCUCUCUCUCUCUCUCAAACUUCAUUAAUAUUGUUUACUUCAUCAUAAAACUCAAAGUGUAUGUGACAACCGUCAAAUUCUGGACAAAUCAAGUUAGCCAAAGUCAACGGGUCAAACCGCUAAACUCAAUGAGUGCUUGUACGAUAGGGUUUAUUCCAUGUUUUCUAAUGUACAACUUUCUAUCAUAAUGCAAAGUUUCACUCAGAAGUUUCAAAUGUUCAUAAAUUCUAAACCUUAACUAGGGAGAGUGAGGUAACGACUGAAUAAAGCACUAUUAUGUACCCUUCGGAGGCGUAAAACACUCAUAACAAGGCAUAAUGGGGUUUACGAACCUUGCAUUAUAGGGUCAAACACUAAUAAGGGCCACCGGUCAAAUUUCUCCAAAUCUCUCGCAUUCCAUCUUUACCACUCCCAAAUCUCUCCCAAAAAUCUCUCUCAAAACACUUGGUAGUAAGAAUCACAUUUUCCAACGUUUAUAUGAACAUCCAUGCCGUCUCGGACUUUCCCUUGGUCAAAAACAACUUAAAACGGAAGAAAGAAGUGAAAGACAAGGUUGAAGGUUCGCAGGGAACUAUUUACAAGCAAACCUUCGUUUGUGUAACAACCCGAAGUUGUUCAUUGCCGAAAACCUAUUCUACCCGUAUAACUCGCCGUAUAUCGGUUCGUUCCGAUGUUGGUUUUCGGCCGAAUAAAUUAAACUUAUAUGUUUGAUUGAUACUAAUGAGUGUCCAAACCUGUUAGGAACUCACGAAAUGAACCCAAAUUGCUUAUUCCAAAAAAUUUAGAAACAUUCCUGCCGAGUUACGGAAACUUAAUCGGGUGCGACCAAAAGCCCCGUUUGGUGCCGGUAUCGGGUAGAAUUCCACCGUGUCCAAAAUUUUCGACCUAUAUAAAUGCGUUUAACCUUUCAUUUGAAGCUUUUGCUUCCUCUCUCCACUCUCUCUCUAACCUCUCUCCUAAAUCCAAGUUAAGGGUCCAAAUCAUCAAUUUUAGGCACCAAAUCUUCGAGGUAUCUUCCCUAACUUGUUAUGUAACCUCCCUAGCCUUCAAAUUCGAGUUCAACACAUGGAAUAGGACCAUGAAAGGUCAAGCCUUGAAAUAUGAUAAUGUUUAAAACAGACUCAGCGUCAGCACGUAUCUCAGAAUCAGCAUCAGCACUUCAGCAAUUCAGUUUGUAAUAGUUUUGUCUAUUCAGUUCGUUGUAACAAAUCUUAUACUUAUACUGUUUCCUUAAUUAUCUUGAUGUAUUAGCUAGCAUAUCCCUGAAUUGUAGGGAUUAUCUAGAAUAACAGUAUAUAUUGUUUUGUAUAGGUUUGUGAAAUACAACGUUUUUCACAAACCCUAAUUGUCGCUUUGUGCACACGAUAAUCUCUUUGUGAGAUUAUUUUUCUUAGUGAAAGUUUUUCUUCGUGAAUCUCUCUUGUGCUUAUUUGUGGUCAUUGUUUGAUAUUUCGAUUGAUCUAAAGGCCUCUUCAAUUGGUAUCAGAGCAGGUUUCUUUUAUCAAACAAAUGGCUUCAUCAACUUCUUCAUCAAACUCGUCAAAUCAUCCUUCUGCUAAAAUCCCUCCUUUCGAUGAAACUAACUUUGCUAUGUGGAAAAUAAAGGCUCUAUAUGCCUUGGAAUCUGUUGAUGAAGACAUGCUGGACAUCGUUGAAAAAGGUCCUUAUGUUCCAAUGUAUCAGCCUCUUAAAAACAAUGUUCCUGAUGGCACUAUGAAGAAAACUCCAAGAGAAAACUGGACGGCAGACGACAAGAGAAAACAUGGUUUGGAUGUUCGUGCUCGUGCCGCUAUUAGCUACUCAUUGCCAUACAACAUCUUUGGGCUGGUUCAAAAUUGCAUCUCAGCAAAAGAGAUGAUGGAUACGCUGACUGUAUCUUUUGAAGGAACUGAAGAAGUCAAGGCUACUCAAAUAAAUGAUCUUAACCGAAGGUAUGAACAUUUUUUUGCUAAGAAAGGUGAAACCUUGACUCAAACCUUUAACAGAUUCAAUACUCUUGUUAACGAUCUUCGGAGACUAGAUCAGUUGAAGCAUAGAACUGUUCUAGUGCAAAAGUUUUUGGAUUCUCUAGGUGCAGGUUGGGAGAAUCAUGUUGAUGUGCUGAAAAACAGCGAGAAGAUCAACUCUAUGGACUUACAAAGUCUCUAUGGAAAUCUUCGAUACUAUGAAGAAUCCAAGCUUCAAAGAAAGGAACUGAUGAAGGAUUCUCAGCGUGAAUCUUCUGUAGCUUUGUUCUCCAACAAAAAGCUUGUGGCAGACUCAGACACUGAAAGUGAUUCAGACACUGAUUCAUCUAAAACUGACACUGAUGAUAUUGAAAAGGUUGUAGCUAGUGCAGCCUUGAUUGUGAAGACCUUUGAAAAAUCAGGUCGAAACUUCUCAAAGUUUCAAAAGAAGAUUGGUGGAAAGUUCUCAAAAGGGUCAGGAGCUGAUAAAAGGCAUGGUGCUGAUAAGAAAGAGAAGGCUCAGUGCUUUAACUGUGGGAGCACUGAUCAUUUUGCAAAGGAUUGUAAACAAAAGAAACAAGGCACAGAUGAAUACUGGAAGCAGAAGUACAACAAGCUGAUUGAGAAGCUGAAAGCUGAAAACUUGGAACAUAAAGUGCUUGUAGCUGAAGAAGAAAAAUGGAAAACUGAUGAAGAGUCAUCAGAUGAUGAAGUCAAGUGUCUCAUGGUCAAAAUAGAGGACCCGGAUAUUCCCGAUAAAGACAAAAGUACUUUUGACACUGAUAUGUCUGAUGCUGAAAAUUCCAGGAAGCACAACAUUGACUCUUCUUCAAUGUACCAGGUUAAAAACUUUGUUUCCUAUUCAAUGAAUGAAAAAAUCAAAAUGUUUGAGUAUUUGGGUGUCAUUAAUUCUAAGAAGAAUCAAACCAUAAGAAAUUUGCAAAAUCAAAUUGAUCUUCUUGAAACUGAUAUAUCCAUAAAAAAUAGCAUUAUUGAGUCCACUCAGGAAAAUCUUAGAAUUACCAGUUUGUCAAAUUCAUCCUUGUCUGCUGAAAUUGACGAUGUUAAAAAUCUUUUGAUUAAAGAACAAACUGUGCUCCACACUUGGGCAAAAUCUCAUAAGAAUGCCAAUUAUAUUAUCUCAGCUCAAAUUCCUCAUUCUUGUGAAAAAAUUCUUGGGGGUAAUUUUGCAGAAGCUGAAAAAGUUUUUAAAUCACAAGAAAAGGAAUCUGAGGUCUAUUCCAUGAAUGAGAUGAAAAAUAAUUUCAAAAAUAAGUUUGUCAGUAACUCUUUUAUUAAUCAAAGUUUAAUUGAUGAAUAUUGUACUAUUAAUUCUGAUGGUAUUACUGAGUGUAAUGUUGAAAUUACCGGAAUUGAUCCUACCUCUUAUCCUGCACAUCUUGUUAGACCAACCCCUCUAACUGAGAAUAUUAUUGCUUUUCCUAUCUCUAAUGGAGUGUUUCAUGCUGUUCAUGAACAACUCAAGCACUUCCCUGAUUGCAAUCCAUCUGUGAAUGAGUCAAAAUCAGAUACUGAUAUUUCAUCCUCUAACACUGAUCAAAUUCAUUCUGACACUGAACUCAGUCGUGACUCAGUGAUAAACAAAAGGACUCAAAGCUCUAUUGGUGAAUCUUUCAUAUCAAAAUGUGUUAAAUUAAAAAAUUUGCUCACCAAGAAGAACUUUGGAACUAGAAUUUGUUACAGAUGUGGUGAUUCCUCUCACAAGAUCAGUGAAUGUUCUUUUGAUAAAUCAUCCUCAAGAGCUGAAAAUAUUGAAGUUAGGAAUGAAAAAUGGACUCUUAAGUCAAACUCUUUGUGAAUGAUUAUCGAAUGGGUCAGUGUGUUCUAACUAGUUUCUUAGCACUGCAGGGUUAGGAGCAUCUUUGGUACUUAGACAGUGGUUGCUCAAGGCAUAUGACAGGAUCAAAGUCUCUCCUGGAAGAUUAUGUUAAGAAAACUGGUCCUGCAGUUACUUAUGGAGACAAUGGAAAGGGGUUCACUAAGGGAUAUGGAAACAUCAAAUGCAAUAACGUGGUUUUUCAAAACGUUUCAUAUGUUAAGGGUCUCAAACACAACCUUAUUUCUAUCAGUCAAUUGUGUGAUGCUGACUAUGAAGUUCACUUUACAAAGAAGGAAGGAAGAGUUGUAAACACUGACAAGAACAUCGUACUCUCAGCAAGUAGAAAAGAUGAUAUAUAUGUUCUUGACAUGUUCUCAAGUAACAAGGCACUGAUGCAUUGCUUCUUUACAAAGUCUCAGACGAAUCUUAGCUGGAUUUAGCACAAAAGGUUCUCUCAUCUGAACUUCAAGAAUCUAUCCAAGAUAUCCAAUCAAGACCUAGUUAGAGGGCUCCCAAAAUUCAACAUUAUGAAAGACAAGAUGUGUUCAGCGUGUGAACAAGGAAAACAAACCAAGUCCUCUUUCAAACCCAAGUCAUGUUCCAGUAUAUCAGUCCCUCUUCAUCUACUCCACAUGGACCUGUUUGGACCUAUUCCUGUUCGUUCACUAGGUGGAAAUAAGUAUACUCUAGUGGUCGUUGAUGAGUUCACUCGAUUUACUUGGGUAGUUUUCUUGAAGAAGAAAAGUCAUGCUGCACAGGAAAUUAUCUCACUGAUUUGUAAAAAUGAGACACUAACAGGUCUUAAAGUCAAGCAAAUAAGAAGUGAUCAUGGUACUGAGUUCCGAACCUCAACUCUUGAAGAAUUUUGUAAUCAUAAAGGAAUUGGACAAAACUUCUCAGCUCCUCGUACUCCUCAGCAAAAUGGUGUUGCUGAACGAAGAAAUAGAACACUGAUUGAGGCAGGAAGAACCUUGAUGAUUCAUGCUGGUCUUCCUAUGUCGUUUUGGGCUGAAGCUGUCAAUACAGCAUGUUUUACUCAGAAUCGAUCUCUAAUUCACAGGAUUCACAAGAAGACUCCAUAUGAAAUGCUGAAAGAUCGAAAACCAGAUGUAUCCUUUUUUCAUGUGUUCGGAUGCAUUUGUUAUAUUCUAAAUCAGCGUGACCCAAGAUCCAAGUUUGAACCUAAAGCUGAUAAAGGUAUUUUUGUUGGGUACUCAUCUAUUUCAAAGGCUUUUCGUGUUUUUCAUGUGAACAGGCAAUGUGUUGAAGAAUCCAUUCAUGUGAAGUUUGAUGAGGAAUCAUACACUGAUGAAAAAGUCACUCAUUCUCCUUGUAUCUUUCAAGAGCUCCUCUCUUGUCCUUUUAAUGAAGCUCCUUCUGCUGAAGAUAAGAUUGAUUCCUCUGAUCCUAUCAUUCCAGUUCCAUGUUCCUUGAAUCAAGACAUUGCAACCACAUCAGCAGAUGAUUCAUUAGGUGCUGAUGAAACCCUUGAAGCUGAAGAUUCUCCUGAAACUGAUAAUGUGUCAGUGUCUAUCCCUCCGGAAUNGCCACAUCAGCAGAUAACCCAUUAGAUGCUGAUGACUCCCUUGAAGCUGAAGAUUCUCCUGAAACUGAUAAUGUGUCAGUGUCUAUCCCUCCGGAAUCAGCAUCAGUCAUUGUACAUCGGGAUCAUCCUGUUGAUCGAAUUAUAGGGAAUAUUCAUGAUGGUGUCCGAACCAGAUCUAGUGUACUUAAUAACUUUUGCAUGUAUGUUAACUUUGUUUCAAUGAUCUUACCUGAUAAGGUACACACAGCUCUUCAAGAUGCUGAUUGGAUCAAGGCCAUGCAAGAAGAACUGAAUGAGUUUGAAAGGCACAAAGUUUGGACUCUUGUCCCAAGACCAUCUGGAAAGACUAUCACUGGAACUCGCUGGGUCUAUCGUAACAAGGUUGAUAAAGAUGGAAUCAUUACUCGAAACAAGGCAAGGCUUGUGGCUCAAGGGUUUACUCAAAUUGAAUCCAUCGACUAUGGGGAAACUUUUGCCCCAGUUGCUCGCAUUGAAGCUAUCAGACUGUUUCUCGCAUACGCAUCCUACAUGAACUUCAUUGUCUAUCAGAUGGAUGUGAAAACAGCAUUCCUUCAUGGUGUGUUAGAAGAAGAAGUUUUCCUAAAUCAGCCCCCAGGCUUUGUAGACAAAGAUCAUCCUGAUUACGUGUACCGGUUAGACAAAGCUGUUUAUGGACUGAAGCAAGCCCCUAGGGCUUGGUAUGAGACGCUGACAUCGUAUCUGCUUGAAAAUGGAUACAGACGAGGAGCAAUCGACAACACUCUCUUCAUCAAAAGCAAAGGCUCAGAUAUGGUUCUUGUUCAAAUUUAUGUCGAUGACAUUAUUUUUGGCUCUCCAAAUGAGACACUGAGCAAGGAAUUUGCUGAGAUCAUGUCUAAAAGGUUCGAAAUGAGCAUGAUGGGAAAGAUGACCUUUUUCUAAGGUCUUGAGGUUCAACAACAAAAGACAGGUAUUUCAAUUUGUCAAAAUAAAUAUAUCUCUGACCUGCUUGUUAAGUAUUCUCUCAGUGACUACAAACCAGCAUCUACCCCGGUAUCUAAGACUGAUAAAAUUCACGCUGAUCCAACUGGAACUGAUGUCAAUCACUCUCUGUAUCGAGGAAUGAUUGGAUCCCUCUUGUAUCUCACAGCAAGUCGUCCUGAUAUCAUGUUUGGAACCAUUCUCUGUGCUCGAUUCCAAGCUAAUCCCAAAGAAUCUCACCUCAUGGCUGUCAAACGUAUUUUUCGAUACUUAAAGGGAACUCAAAACCUUGCACUAUGGUAUCCUCGCGACUCAGCAUUUGAACUUUAUGGAUACACUGACUCAGAUUAUGCAGGAUGCAAUUUAGACAAAAAGAGUACAUCUGGUGGAUGUCACUUCCUUGGCAACCGUCUCAUCAGCUGGUCUAGCAAGAAGCAAACAUCAGUUGCCAUCUCAACUGCAGAAGCUGAGUAUGUUGCAACUGGGAGAUAUUGUGCUCAGCUCUUAUGGAUUCAAAAUCAACUUCUCGACUAUGGGUUCAAGUUUUCAAAGACCCCCAUCUAUUGUGACAACACCAGUGCCAUUCAGAUCACACAUAAUCCUGUUCAGCACUCAAAGACAAAGCAUAUCGAGAUCAGACAUCCCUUCAUCAGAGAUAAUGUUGAAAAGGGAAAAGUUGUUCUUGAACAUGUCAAGACUUCGGAGCAGCUUGCUGAUAUCUUCACAAAGGCACUGGAUUCUCAAACAACUGCUUACAUUAUCGGAGAACUGGGAAUGAUUUCCUUGUAAUUAAUUUUGAUGUUUAAUUAUGCUAAUGUUUGAUUUUGUCUUAUAAGUUGAUGUACAUUGUGCUGAUGAUGACAUAUUGAUGAUAUUUGCUACUGAGCACCUUGGUUUGAUUUCUUAUCUUUAUCUCUUCUUCAAGUCUUCUAAAUAAAAGUUGAAUGAUUCACUGUAUUAAACCAUACGCUGAUAACAACUUGAAACUGUUUGCCGAUGGUUAGAUCAAAACACCAAGAUCUAUCACACGCAACUAUCCCUUCUUACCAAUCUUCCACUGAUUCUGUGAUUCAGUGUGCCAAAACACACGCUGAUGAGAGUCUAAAAAUCUUUGCCGAUGGUUAGACCAAAACACCAAGGUUUAUCACACGCAACAAACCUUUCUCUACCUUCUUCUUAUUCAGUGUCUAAUGAUUCAGUAAGAUAAACCACUCACUGAUAAAGUCACAAUACUCUAUGCCGAUGGUUAGAUAAUGUAACUAGUAUCUAUCACACGCACCAAUCUCCUUGCUAGCCCCGAUUAAGCAAGCUGUACCUUGAAUUAACGGAGAAAUAUUUUUCAGCAUGAAACUUCUGUAACACUGAUCUCAGCGCUUCCGCAUACACUGACUGAUGUUUCAUCUUCAGUCAACGGCUCUUUUUCCCAACGACUAUUUUUUGAUUUGACAGGUUGUUACGCUACGCUGUUAUUUUUGCAAGAGAUAAUUAUUACCUUUUUAACGGAUCGUUUCAUUCCAUAUUUAAACCUAUUUCACCCUAUUUCAAAUUUUCCUUCCACAAUUCAAACUUUCCUUACUUACAUUCAAUAACCCUAGAACCCUAACAGACUCUCUAAUGGCGGCAUCCUUGUUCACUUUCUCCUCUACUUCACGAAGGGUUGUUCCUGCACCAAACUCUCAUCCUCUUCCCAUAUACAUCAAAGCCACCAACGUUGUUUUCAACCCUGAUAUUCCCGAUGUUCAUCGAGGUCUUGGACUCGAUGACUUUGUCAAUUUCUUAUCCUCCUGCCGCCUUCGAUAUGCUAUCAGUGACAUACCAUCAGAGUUCUUCCCUGAUCAAGUUUGUGAGUUUUACUAUACAACAACCGUCAAUGCAGAAAACAAUGUCAUCACCAGAACCAUUGGCCAUGGCAGACUCUCCGUCUUCAUCACCGCAUAACUUCUAAGUGCUGCUUUAAGGUUACCAAUUUUCGAACCCUUCUCUGAACCUCCUACUAUUGAAAGAUGUAAACGCAUGUUUGAUCAACUGGGCUAUGAUCAUUCAAAAGCUGGAACUCGCUCAGCUGUUAUUUUGCGUCAGUGCAUGACUCCAGGCUGGAAGUUCUUCACUGGUGCCUUAUGCAAGUGUGUGGGUCACAAGUCUCGCAGUGGUGACCAACUGAGCAAUUAUGAGCAACCAGUUGUCUGCUCCCUUCUUCUCAACAAAAGGCUGGAUUAUGGGGCACUAUUCUUUGAUCAGCUUGUUCAGCUUCUACGUGAAAAUGUGCGUGCUGAUCAUGUUCCCUUUCCACGUUGGAUUGCCCUGGUAUUCGACAAGUUCUUCGCUGCUGAAUACUUUUCUCACUCUGGGAAUCCAAUUCAAUGCCCUCGAAUGUCCGUUCGUAUGUAUCAGGAUGAUCCUUUGGAUACUGACAUUGGAAUCUCGGAUAGGAUGAGAGAAUGGAUUGCCAAUCCAUACACUGUGCCCUCUCUCACUGUUGACACUGAUGAAGGAGGUGCUGAUGGUAAUCAUAUGGAUCAUGCUGAUCAAGAGGUGGACCAUCUCGAUGGCGGACAUUUCUCCCCUCAACUUUCUCAUCACAUCAUCUCAGACACUGGCAAAGCCUCCUCAGCACCAAAGGACUCUAUGCCUCUGGGGGAGCAACAAUCUCAGGGGGAGCAUCCCUCUCAGGGGGAGUAUCAGUCUCAGGGGGAGCAUCCAUCUCCAGCAGCUCAUCACUUCUCUCCAAGGAUGCCUCCAAGCUCUCCAGUUGCCCCAGGUACCUCAAUGGUUCAAAUUUUCCGCUUCAGCAUUUUCUGAACUGAUGUCACUAACUCGGGACAUGAGUCAGCGUCUGCUUCAAAUUGAAACUGAUGUUCAACACAUCAAGGUGGUUCUCUUACUUACUCCUCUCUCUAGUCCCAAAACUGAUGAUGCUGAAAAAGGGGGAGAUACUGAUGAUGAUGCUAACGCUGAUGAUCAUGCUGAUGGUGAACCAAAUGAGAUAGACACAGAACCUGCUGACAACACUAUCAUUCAGCAUGAUUCAUCCAACCGUAUUCGUGAAUCUGAUUCUGCGGGGCCUAAUAGUCCAGCAGCUACUGAAAAGUUGUAUGAAGACAGUGAGCAUGAUGAAGAGCAUGAUGAACCUGAUGAUGAAUGUCAAAUUCUUGACAUGAACUUCAUUGAUCCUCUCAUUCCAGUUCAGCAAGAAAGCUCAGAUGAUCUUGCAGAAUCUCAUCCGAUACUAGCUGAUCCAAUCAUUCCGGUUCAAGGAGAGGAUUCGGACGUUGCAAGUGAAGAAUCUCAUCCGCUGUCUCGAAAGCGGAAGGCAGCCGAUACUGACUUGGAUCUUUCUCAAACUGAUAAUUCUUCGUCUGUGAAGAAACCCAAUUCCAUUAUCAGUAUUUCAAACCUUGCCACUGAAUGGAACAUGUCCCCUGACCAAGUCAAGCAAAUUCUUGAUGAAGCCAAUCGAGCUCAGCUUCUAAAGAACAUUGCUCAAGCUGAUGAAUCUCUUAUUCAGCACAAACUUUAGGCCAAGGGAUCGUUUGAAGCUCAGAUGCAGAAGUUCAUGGAAUUUCAGUCCAAGGCUCAGUCUUCUCAACCUCCUACUGGCUCUAGUAAGCCUAAGGCUGAUAGUGUUCUUGAUCGGAUUGAUCGAAAGAGAUUUGAAGUUGUUUUCAAUCGGCGAAUCUGUGAUGACAAGAUCAUCAAGGUCAAAGCUUCCAAACCUCCAAACGAGAAAAUCCUUAUGUUGCUGAUUAUUCGUCAAGGUCCUCAGCAUUCAUAUUCUGAAGUUGUCAAAAGAGAUGAGCUGAUCAGAUAUGGGUAUUCAGAAUGGAUGGAACUGCUCGAUCUAGCAUCCAAGCAAACCUCAGCUCAUUCUUCCGAACUGACUUGUGCUCUUCAUCUGCUGAUCAAAAAGGUUCAGCGUUUGGAUCUUGUUCCUAAAGAACGACCUCAGCAUCAAGGUCAAAGGUUGUCAGUUCCUAGAUCUCGAAGGAUCAAGUUUCAUGUUGAUGGUGAAGAUGUGUUGGUUCUAGACUUCGGUGUUGAUGUGAUUAAUAAUUCUCUUCCUCUCGGUGUUGAUCCGGUUCAGCAUCAAUUCAUCUCAGCUCCUGAACACGGGAUGUUCUACCUUGAUAAAAACAGGAGAAUGUGCUUUCAGUGCACUACUGAGAUCCUAAAAGCUCCAACUACUCACCUUAUUGGUUUAAGGCAAAUGUGCAUGAGUCCUCAAGAUCUAUCCGGAGAAUUUCACAUUCUUAUCGCCAUGGAGCUGCUGAACCGAAGACAGGAGUUGCUGGAAAGUCCUUACUGGCCAGUUAAAAUUGAAGCUGAAGCUGAGUAUGAAGAAUUCCUUUCCAGGGGUGUCUUAAUUUAGUUUGUUUUGAACAUCAUCAUAUUGGGGGAGAUUGAAAGGUCAAGCCUUGAAAUAUGAUAAUGUUUAAAACAGACUCAGCGUCAGCACGUAUCUCAGAAUCAGCAUCAGCACUUCAGCAGUUCAGUUUGUAAUAGUUUUGUCUAUUCAGUUUGUUGUAACAAAUCUUGUACUUAUACUGUUUCCUUAGUUAUCUUGAUGUAUUAGCUAACAUAUCCCUGAAUUGUAGGGAUUAUCUAGAAUAGUAGUAUAUAUUGUUUUGUAUAGGUUUGUGAAACACAACGUUUUUCACAAACCCUAAUUGCCGCUUUGUGCAAACGAUAAUCUCUUUGUGAGAUUAUUUUUCUUAGUGAAAGUUUUUCUUCAUGAAUCUCUCUUGUUCUUAUUUGUGGUCAUUGUUUGAUAUUUCGAUUGAUCUAAAGGCCUCUUCAGAACACAUUCAUGAGUUUACGGCCCUGGAACAGUCCUAGGCCGUGAACUCAUAUGAAAUGAGUUUUGGAGCAAUAAAACCCUUCCAAACCACAAUUGGACCUUAGAUAUGGCUAAAUGACUUCAUGGAAUGGACUUAAAACAUUUGAGACAUGGAUUUUGAAGGAUUUGAAGGAGUUUACGGCCAAGGCACAUGCUUGGGCCGUAAACUCAUAUAUAUGCGGUUUUUAUGACCUUAAACCCUUCCAAAUUACUAAUAAGGCUUAGAUACGAAUUUUAGAAUAUUGGUUUUAGCAUUUGAACAUAUUAAACAUAUUAUUUGAGGGACAAUUGAGAGUUUACGGCCAAUACUUAUUCUUGGGCCGUAAACCCUUCAUUUUGGGGUGUAAACUCAUCUAAAGGUGUUAGAAUGCCACCUAAACACCCCUAAAGCCUUUGAGUGAAUUUUAGAAGUCCUUACAAACAAGCUUUUGGCCUUAAAACAUCAUGAAACACCCCUUAGAAGAGUUUACGGCCAUGAGGGGGGUCUCAUGGGCCGUAAACUCCAAAAACACCCCAAAUGUUGCAUAAAAAUUCAUGUAAGGCCUUGAAAUAAUUUUAGCAAUCACAUGUGAUUUGUUUGGAAUCAAAAACACAAUUUUUCAUGGGUUUAUAGGAGUUUACGGCCAAGGGUCCUAUGCUAGGCCGUAAACUCCCUUAAUGUGUCCAUUUGGUGUUUAAAAUUAUUCCAAGUCCUUAAACCAAAGUCUAGCAUUUAUCCCUAAGUGUUUGAAGUCAUUUUGCACCAUAAACCACCCCACCAUGAGUUUACGACCGUAAACUCAUGGGGAAUGGGUGUUUUAGACCAAAAACUCUUGUAUAAGUUUAUUCAUGGGGAGUAAACUCAAGUUCCAAGUCCCUAGUGCCAUUACACGUCCUUAAACGCCACCCGGGUCCUUCCAAACACUUGAAAUGAGGUGUUUUCGCGACUAGAAGUAAUUGUCCCUAACAAUCGAAUAAUCUAAGUCCUAAUUAGAUACAAAUAUGUAUCUUCUCAUUAUACAUAGGAACCUCGUGCAUUUGCAAGUCCCGAACCGUUGCUUGACGUCCGAAAUCGUCACGUUUCUCGUCCGGUGAGUUCAUACCCCAACCAUUUUUCACUGUUUUCAAUGUUUUAAGGGGGGGGGGGGGAAUACAAGCAAAAGUACAAGUGUAUCUUGUACUUAAACUGAUUUUCAAAUUAAUGAUUUCAGUUUCUAAAUGUCUUGAUUUCCAAAGAUUGGGAUAACUAAUGUUUCGAAUUGCAGGUUAAAUACAGAUUUCUUUUGAAAAGUGUUUUGAUCUAUAUUACUUUUAUAAAGAAAUCAUACUAAUACGAAUAAUACGAAUCCGAAAUCGAAUACGAAUACGAAUACGACUACAAAUACGAAUACGAAUAUGAAUACGAAUACGAAUACGAAUACGAAUACGAAUACGACUACGAAUACGAAUGCGAAUGCGAAUAAGAACACGUCUACGAAUGCGAAGUGACGCCUUUGGUUGACACUAAGAAUUCGAUUAUACAGUUGCUGUACCCUCUGAGUGUCACCAGAGUUCCAAAAACGAAUACGAAAAUACGCCUCUGGACCUCUACUGAGUUACAAAUAUAUCCGCCUCAGAAUGUCGACAGAGCUUCGAAUACACAACGAAAUGUACUCUUUUGGAACUUAACAGAAUUUCGAAAAUAUUGUAAUGUACGCUUCUGUGUGGUUCCAAAUAUUCGAAAAUACAACUAAGUUAGCAGAUAGUAGCCAUACGAAGGUAGAAUAACUAAGGGUUAGAAUACUUAGCUAAUACUAUACACAUGGUAACAAGUGGUAACAACUUAGAAACGAAUAGACAACUCAACAUAUAGGAAAAUAUGGGAUUUUCCUGGAGCGACAUAACCAACCAUUUUCGAAAUUGUACAAAGGAUAACCAAACUAUUUUCAUAAGAAAAUAUGGGAUUUUCUUGAACAACAACUUUUUCAGAAAGCAAAGGAACUCAUUCUUUCAAAACUAAACCGCUUAUGAACUCACCAUCUUUAUGCUGAUUUUCAAACUGCUUGUAUUCUCAGGUCAGCGAUAGACAGGUAUAUCGCAACCUUUUGGAGAAGACGGAGCAUCCUGAAGUCUCGUCUUUACUUUUGUUUAUAUUACAUAUGUAAAACGCUUGUGAAACUUUACUUUUGAACCGAUGUAAACAAUAUUAUGUAAUGUAAUGUUUUGUGAUUACUACUUUACUAUGUGCAUUGGAUUUGAUACUUAACGUGGAGUCAACCCCAGAAAUGUUUCCGCCUUUGGUUUUCGAGGUGUGACAGUUUGCCUUCGCAUCCCUUCCCUUGUCAGGUUCUCUUGUGAGUAGGGACUUCGUGUUUAGCCGGGAAAGUUCGCUCCCUAGUCCUCGAACGAAGCUUAAUCUCGCGUCGGGCGCUUUCACAUAGUAGAACCGAGAAGGUUCGCUUCUGGUUGAUGAUGCUUGCUUCUAACCACCCACGUCCGCUCUGGACCCCCUGCUUAGGAAACGAGCCUCGCCUUCGCCUUAGAGCCAACCCCUCGCACAAACCCUCGCUUCCCUUCGUGCCCAACCUUCUCACCCUCGUAGAUUCGCUUCUCAAGCCCAGUGUUUGACCAGUUUUGCAUUUUAAGCUCGUUUUUGAUGAUUUUAGCGUGGGAAUUUCACCAAAUUUGUAUAUUCAUCAUUUUAAACCCUCCAAGUUCAUAUUUUGUUCCCAUAUUGAGGAUUUAUGGUCUAUAAAUCAUAUCUUUUGUUCAAGAUCACACACAAAGGGUUAUUGCUUUUCCCAUAAAAGUUAUGACACAAGUAAUCCCUACAUCAACUUUAUGUCACUAUUCCCACACUACUUAGUCAAAUCAAUAUACAUAUUCAACACUUCAUCAGAUUUCUUUUGACCAAAUUCAUUCAUUAGAUUCUCAAAACUUCACCUAUAAAAUAGCACAGAACCUCCAAAGAAACACUCUUUAUAUCUCUCUCUCUCUCUCUCUCUCUCACUCACUCUCUAGAAGACUGGAACUCAACUUUCCCCAGGAAGUCUCGAACUCUUUCCCCCACUCUUGGUAAGUUCUUCAUUAUUAAUCCUAAAUAUCCUAUGUUCCUUCACACAAGUCAUGAUUUUUACACAAAUAUUCACUUAUUUGUUCUUAGGAUCUUCAAAUCUUCAAACAUUCAGCAAGUGUUCUUGACUUGAAACUCUUCACUCUCAACCUUCUAAUCUUCAAGAAUCACAGAAGGUGAUUUGAUACCCCCAUGUUUUCUUAUUUUCUUCUAGUUUUAAGGGGGAGAAUACAAGUUACAACACCAAAAACAUACUCAAACUCAAAUAAAAACUUUCAACAGAAAAGUUAUGGCCCAAUCACAGACUGUUUUGACAAUUUAAACUCAAUAUUUUUCAAAACUAUUUAAUAUACAAAUAGUUUAGGUUUACACCUUUCUAAUGACUACUUGUACAUGUUCAUACGAUUUUUCUAAAAUUUAUGGCGAUUUUUACAAAACUGCCUAUCACUAUAGAAAUGAUUUUGGACCAGUCAGUGAAGAUGACCCUUUUCACACUGGUUAGAGACCAUUAAAAAUUAUAAACAAACUAUGCACAAUUUCUAAACUUCCAGUGUUUACGGAUUUAAUUUUUGACUUCCGGUGAUUUUUCUGUAAUUUUUACAAAAGCAGUGAUAGAAACAUUAAAACUAGUUAACAACAAUUUACAAGUUUAUCAAAACUUUGUAAUUUGUUGAGCAAAGUGUAUAACAAUGAUGAAAACAUAUUGAAUUGUGUUUCCUGUUAAGUUUACCUUCAUGAAACAUAAAUACUUAUUCAUCAUAAGGAUUUUCAUUCACUACAAACAUACAUGAUAAGCUAUAUUAGAUAUAGUUUAUGUUACGAUUAACUCUAUGAACUUACUAUGGAAGGUUAUAUUCCUACUACAAGAAGGAUUUUCAGUUACACUACACAUAAACUUGUUAAAUAUGAUUGUGAGACACUACUUCAUUGUACUCUUAGAGUACUGGUUAAAAAUCCUAUAGUUAUUGUUGGAUUAGUGUCUAAGUCCAUAACUAUUUUGGUAUGUACUUGACCCGAUGGUGCAUGUUCCUUUUGGGUUGCCUUCACCAAAGCAACUUGAUAGGAUGAAUUAUGGAGAGAGAGAGGAUUAAUUAUGAUUUAUUAAUAUAUUAUGAGAAUAAUAUACUAAAGGAGAAAUCAUAUUGUUUAAUUAAUAUUAGUCAAGAAUUAAUUGAUAAUUAAUUUUGUGGCUAAAAGUGAUUAAUUAAACUUAAGGGACUGGAACUGUAUUUAUGAGAUAAUUGCAAUUGGGCUAAGGAUUACUUAAUAAUAUAUAGGCUGGACAAAUUCUAUGGGGAAGCCCAUUAGAAAUCGUCCAGGGGAUAUACCAAAGGAAUCCAUGGGCUGCAUAGGGCUUAAGCUGUCAGAUUAGGGUUUCCUAGUUGAAAACCCUAAUAGCCUACAAGUAUAUAUAGUGCCCUUAAGCCCCAAAAACGUGGCUAAGAGUUCCUCUAGGGUUUUACAUGUUUUUGGGCAGCCUCCACUCUUCUCAUUCUUCAUCCUCUUGCUCUUGGUGUUUGUAAGCCAUUAGAGGAGUGACACUUGUGACUCUAAGCUUUCUAAAGUCAUUACAAGGAGGAUUUGAGAGUGUUAUUGCUACAUAACAAUCAAGGUAAGAUCUAAACCCCAUUCAUAAGUUAAUUUGAUUAAUUGUAUGCUAGAUCUAGGGGUUGAAGUCUUGGAUGAAUUGCAUGUACAAUAGAGAAACCUAGAUCAAACAUUAGGGUUUGCAUGAGCACAUAGGAUGUUCUUAUGGCCAAAACUCGUCAGUGGUAUCAGAUCCUUGAUUGGUUUCUAUUGUAUUGAUGCCUAGCAUAUUCAUCCUUGUUGGAAACUCGUUUUUUUGGCUCCCUGACUGCUGAACUCGGCGAGUUCCAAUGUCGACUCGGCGAGUUGGCUCCAACUCGGCGAGUCCAUAGAGGAACUCGGCGAGUUCGAGCGUCAGUUAGAGCAUAUUUCGGGAUUUCUUGCUUUUUUACUUGAGGAUACUUGCCUUAACUAUUUUGGGACUUUAAUAUUCGAAUUUUAUCUUAUAUUUGAGUAUAUCCUUGAUUAAACAAAAGAUAGUUACCAUUUGAUUAGAUAAUAACUUCCUUAUAUGAUUAAAGAUUGAUUAUUUGUAUUAAUUGGGUAACUUAUCUUGCAAGAAAUUGAAAUUAGGUCAAAUAUAGAUAAUGACAAAAUUAAUUGUUUAAUUUAUAUUAUUUGUUAUUUAAUCCUUGUGUUGUGAAAAAGUUUCAAUUUCCCCCCUUUAGGUUUUAUAGUUUAAAUUUGAACACAAAAGUUUUUGUUUUGAAAUUUAAAUAGUUGAAACCCUAAUGUUUUGAAAUGUUUCAAAACUUGCCCUCAAGUUUUUGAAUUUAAAACUUGAUUAAAAUUUAAUUUAGAAAUGUUUAAUUCUAAAACCCUAGUAUUGCUUUGAAAAGUUCAAAUCACACCCUUAUGGUUUUAUUAAUUAAUUAAAGUGUAUAAUUAAAAGAGAUUUAAUAAAUCAAUAAACGUUUUGGUUUACAAUUUAAUUGAAUUAAAAGUAUAAUUAUUAAAUUUGACCACACAGUAUUUUAAAAGUGUAAAAUACACCCUAUACUUUAUAUAACAUUAAAAGUCUAACAUUAUAUAUAUGUAUGAGUAAAAAGUUAGUCUUCCCGUCAGUAGGACUCAUUCACGAAGCUGGUCUAUAAGGGGUGUUUAAGGAAAUUGCCUAUAAAAUGGCGAUUGAAUGGGUAUCCACUCUUACCCACCACACUCUUGACUAGUGGAGGGUCGUCAGCGAAUGGGUAGGAUAGGACAGAAACCUUCCAUUAUAAGUAUAAUGAAGUACAAAAGUAACUAAAUGUUUUUACAAAUUCCCAAUCUUAGUUACUUUAGGCAAAAGUGAAUUGAUGCAAUUCCAUGAAAUUACACAUUUUACCCUUGUGAAGACGUUAGUGGAGCGUGUGUGGUUAACCGAUACACUAAGUGGUUCUAAGCAAAGGUAGCAAAGGGUCACUCAAUGUUUGUCAUAGUUUGGUGGAGCGUUCGUGGUUAGCCGACACAUCAAAUAGGUGACUGUAACAUGUGGGGGCACCAUGUAAGUUUGCAUGGUUAUUCACACCCGCUUUGUGAUCCUCGGUAUCCUAGUCACAACCUAGAGGGGCAUAUCGAGAUUUAAACAUGCCAUUGAAGAGUUCAAUGAAUAUCAAAGGAUCUAGGAAUUUUCAAAGCAUUUAAAACUUAAUCGGUUUUUCGUUUUUCAUGGUGGAAUAUUAGUGAAUCGUCAUUCACUUACCUUCAAAUAUUAUGCAACUAGAUUACGGCAUCCCUUUUCUAGGUUGUAGCGUAUUGUGUUGCGUCCUAGCCUUAAUAUCUCAGUUGGGUGAUAUAUUAAGGACUCAAUCAAUCAACUAACUUGAAUUUGUUUUCUCCCAUUUUGUAGAUGUCAAAGUAUGAAAACUAUGGUAUUCCCAUAUCCCGUGGAACAAGCUUUCAACAUGAAGAUGAUAUUCCACGAUUCGAUCGAUGAACAAGAGGUCAUGCUUCACUUCCUCAACCUCCUCCAAAUAUUCUCCCUAACCCACAAGUUUGAAAGCUUGAAAAUUUCAAGCUCACUCAAGCCCUUUUGGCAAGUAAACAUGUAGAAGGAAAGUCGGUGUGUGCACACGUCCUAGAGAUGAAGUCACACAUUGAUAGGUUAAGAAUGUUGGGAUCUGUUGUCUGUGAGGAGCUGGCUGUCGACUGGGUUCUUCAGUCGCUUCCUAACUCAUAUAGUGAGUUCUUAAGAGAGUACUAUAUGAUGAACCAUGACGUGAACCUUAUAGAUCUCACCUAUAUGCUUAUUGCUGCUGAAUCAGCAAUGGUUUGGCGCAAUGGAAAAGCAAAGUUGAUUGGUGAAUCUACCUUCCAGACCUCUAUGGAUAUAGGCAAUGGCAACUAAAGGCAUGCCAUGAUCGAAAAGUUUGAUCAUAAAAGAGAGGCAAUGUCUGAAGUAGUUCCAUGUGCUGUUCCAAAAGAGUCAAUUUGAUUUUAUUGCGAAGAAAAUAGGCAUUGGAGACGAAGCUGCCCUAUUUACCUAAGAGAUCUAAGAGAUGGCAGAGUCAAAACGUAUGGCUCUACUUUAGGUAAAAUCCAUUAACUAACUCUUUUAAGUUCCUAUUCUAGAUUCUUAAUACAUGAUGUGAUAAGAUUACAUUUCGAUGUUUUGUAGAAUCGAAGAAAAUAGAGGAAGCUUAAGGGAAGAAUUGAGUGGAAUUUAAUCAUGAAGAAAUGGAUUUCGAUCGCAUUCUUGAAGAUUAGAUUUUUGAGCUACUACUUAGAGUUAGAAUAAGAUUGCUAAGAAAUAUGUAUAAGCAUAGUUUUUCAAUGAAUUGCAUUGUAAGGACAAAUUUUUCCGCAAUAAAAUAAAUUUUGAUUUUAUAUUAUUUAUUUAUCCUUGCAAUGGCAUGCAUGAAAAUUGAUGUUUGAAGGUUUCUAGCAAUAAUGGAUUUGAUUCUUAAUUAUGUUGUUUGUGGAAAUGUCAAGAAUUUACAAAAUAGGGAGAGUUUCUCAUCGCCCAAGUUUCAAUUGGACAGAAACUUGNNNNNNNNNNNNNNNNNNNNNNNNNNNNNNNNNNNNNNNNNNNNNNNNNNNNNNNNNNNNNNNNNNNNNNNNNNNNNNNNNNNNNNNNNNNNNNNNNNNNNNNNNNNNNNNNNNNNNNNNNNNNNNNNNNNNNNNNNNNNNNNNNNNNNNNNNNNNNNNNNNNNNNNNNNNNNNNNNNNNNNNNNNNNNNNNNNNNNNNNNNNNNNNNNNNNNNNNNNNNNNNNNNNNNNNNNNNNNNNNNNNNNNNNNNNNNNNNNNNNNNNNNNNNNNNNNNNNNNNNNNNNNNNNNNNNNNNNNNNNNNNNNNNNNNAUCAAUAGCAGAACGAAUAAGAAGAAUCAAGUAGGCAGAAAGAUAAAAGGUUUCUCUAUUCUAAGAAGAAGGGAGAGUACCUUUUAUUAUGUUUUAUGAUUGGUCUUAAUGAUUAAGAACCAUAUCUCAAUUGAUCCUCUAUGUGAGUCUUAGUACAAUUGUAUGUCUGAGAAGAGGAAUCAAGAAUUGAAGAAAUGGUUAAAUCAAGAAGUCAGUCAUACUUCGUUCCAAAACAAGUCUUAGAGUUAAAAUUGUGACAUUGAGUGACAAGUAUUAGGAAGGUUUAUAACAUUCAUCAAAUGUGGAAAGUUGUGAUGUCUUGGAUAAGACAAAGACCAACUAGGACCAAUUUAUGAAGUGUUUUGUCUUGAUAAAAGCUACACUAACUCUUGAAUAUUUGUUUGUCAAGAAAUGUUUAUUGACAAGAUAAUCUCAUAUGUCAAGGAGUUAGUGGGAGUCUUAAUGGUCUUGAAAGGUUUCAAGAACAAAUCAAAAUAAACCUUAUCGAACAUCACUAGCAGAACGAAUAAGAAGAAUCAAGUAGGCAGAAAGAUAAAAGGUUUCUCUAUUCUAAGAAGAAGGGAGAGUACCUUUUAUUAUGUUUUAUGAUUGGUCUUAAUGAUUAAGAACCAUAUCUCAAUUGAUCCUCUAUGUGAGUCUUAGUACAAUUGUAUGUCUGAGAAGAGGAAUCAAGAAUUGAAGAAAUGGUUAAAUCAAGAAGUCAGUCAUACUUCGUUCCAAAACAAGUCUUAGAGUUAAAAUUGUGACAUUGAGUGACAAGUAUUAGGAAGGUUUAUAACAUUCAUCAAAUGUGGAAAGUUGUGAUGUCUUGGAUAAGACAAAGACCAACUAGGACCAAUUUAUGAAGUGUUUUGUCUUGAUAAAAGCUACACUAACUCUUGAAUAUUUGUUUGUCAAGAAAUGUUUAUUGACAAGAUAAUCUCAUAUGUCAAGGAGUUAGUGGGAGUCUUAAUGGUCUUGAAAGGUUUCAAGAACAAAUCAAAAUAAACCUUAUCGAACAUCACUAGCACACGACUUGAGGUUUACAUCCUAUCGUGUUGACACUAUCUUGUUUCUAUGCCGUUCCAAUCGAGUUAAUUAUGCAUGUGAUUUCUAUGAGUUCUCAUUUGAAUGCAUAAAAUGCAAGCACCUUGAUCAAUCGAAAGUACAUUGAUGGGAAAGGGUGAGCUGCUUAACUACUUGGAAGACAUGGUGGUCACUGGUGUUACCAUAAGGCAAGAAAUCAAGAUUUAGAAAGUUCGGUCCAUAUGUGUUUCGAUUUGUCGCAAACUUUGGUUUUGACAAAUUCACAUGGAUUGGAACACAUACACCAUUAAAAUCUAAGUGUCAUAAGAUUCCUUCCAUCAUGAAAAUGACUGUGAGGAAAUGCUUUCACUAAGAGAGAUUUUUAGAAGAUAGUGAUUGUAAAAUUGGAUUCUCGAAUUCAAUUAUGGUUACGGUAUCCCUUUCCAUGAUUCUAAUUGAGAGAUUUGGCAAUUAGUCUUAAUUGUUUAGACACACAUAUGAGCUAUCUAAGGCAAAGGUGUAUAAGCUUAGAUAAAGGAUUAUCAAAGCAUUAGGUAUUAGAAACAUGAACUUAAAAAAUUCAAUAGCUAUUGUUUUUCUGAAAGUUAAGCUGGUUUCUGAAUACAUGUCAAAGCUAGGCUUCGGUUGUGGAAUGUUAAUAAAUUUAGUGAAGGAUACAUAGUACGUUCUCAAAUUUCGAUUAUGAUUAUGGAAUUCCUCUUCAUAAAUCGAAUUGUGAGAUUGUGACACAUAAAAUAUUAUGGCAGAAGAUUGAUAAAGUAUCAGAUCUUUAUGUAAGACAUUAUGCAUCAUCUCUCAUACGUUUCGGGUAUAGGAACGAUUGAAAGUGCUAUAAUAUUUAACCAUUCUAAAAUUUUCCAAAUGUCUAGCGCAUUUAGAGGGAAAAAGGAAAAGAAUCGGUUUUGACUAAAAUAAUUAAACAACUAUCAAAGGACGAUCCAAAGCUUGCUGAGGAUUGGUCGCUUAUGAGUAGUUGGAAGUAUAGUAUUGGAUGGACCAUAUCGACAUUAUUAUGAAUAGAAAAGAUUCUAUUAAGAAUGAGUUGUCAUAUGGAAAAUAUGGAAAUGUUUCCAUAUUGGAAGUUGGAUAAUGAGAGUGUAUGUCUAGAUUAGAACAUUUUAUGCAAAAGGAUAUUCAAAGGAAUGUACUCUGAGUGAGAGACAUCACGUCUAUGGAAUUGUAUUGUAACAAUCUCAGAUAGAGGACUUUGUAAUUUCAUUGGCAAUAGUCAUAGUGACUUUUGUGCUAUGACAUUACGAAAGGAUCAUUGCAUAAAAUGUUAGAAUCUAACAUAUUCUAUAAGUGGCAAGAAUUUGAUAUUCUUUCACUUGUGAAAAGGAUUGGGAGUUGUGAAAUGAGUAUGAUUGGAAAUGUGUUCAUUUGAUCUAAUUUACAAAGUAAGAACCAUAGGUAAACAUUGUGUGCAUGCUAAGAGCAUGGGACAAGUGUUGUAAUAAUUCAAGUAAAAGGUUGAUUACCCGAAAAAACAAAUAAUGAGUAAUCGAUAUAUUGAUAAAUAAAAGGUGUUUUAUUUAUACUCAAAGGUUUGAGGCCAUAUGGGAUUAGUAUUAUUCUUGUGUUUCACUUUGCAUGUUUUGACUUCCUGAAUAUCUUAAUUGGUUGAGAACAGUCAAAUUAUUCGAACGGGCCACAGUCGUUCAUAUAUUGGAAGUAGGUAUGAAUGAAGACUGUCAUGAAUUGGGGUGUGGAUUGUCUAAAGUGUAUUAGACAUGAGCAAAUGUUUGCUGCAACGUUCAUGAGUGCUUAUGAAUAUGAUUUGAGCGUUGGAUUAAACCCACGCUCACUUGAAACCGAGAUGUGCGAGUUGUAUCUUGCGAGUCGGUUGCACAUUGAUAAUAUGUAAAUGCACCAGUAACUUGUUAUAAAACAUAUUGUUGUGUGUGAUUCGGUAAGUAAGUGCAAGCGAGAAUUGAGUCAAAGUUUAUCCGUUUCUUUUAUCCAAAAGUAGGAUAAAAUUGAUAUAUUUUGGCCCCUCGAUGAUUUAGUGAUGGCACCUAAGCACUUGGCCAAGCCGGGACUAAUUUGAUGUGAUCAAUUGUAGUCUGUUGUCAGUCGUCAUAAAUCGGAAGUUGGGAAAUAGUAUAGAGAGAAUGAUUAGAAUUCAUGUCUUAUAUCUAUACGAUAUCUAGAAUGGAGGAAUAUAUGAUCCCUUAUCUAAAGGACACGCGUAUUUGAUAAGAUCANCGGCUUUGGAAAGCUACGAUUGCAGAUCAGGAUCUGAAGUCAUACGCAAAAUAGUUAUUAGACUUAUCCAAGUGGGAGACUGUUGGAUUAGUGUCUAAGUCCAUAACUAUUUUGGUAUGUACUUGACCCGAUGGUGCAUGGUCCUUUUGGGUUGCCUUCACCAAAGAAACUUGAUAGGAUGAAUUAUGGAGAGAAAGAGGAUUAAUUAUGAUUUAUUAUUAUAUUAUGAGAAUAAUAUACUAAAGGAUAAAUCAUAUUGUUUAAUUAAUAUUAGUCAAGAAUUAAUUGAUAAUUAAUUUUUUGGCUAAAAGAGAUUAAUUAAACUUAAGGGACUGGAACUGUAAUUAUGAGAUAAUUGCAAUUGGGCUAUGGAUUACUUAAUAAUAUAUAGGUUGGACAAAUUCUAUGGGGAAGCCCAUUAGAAAUCGUCAAAGGGAUAUACCAAAGGAAUCCAUGGGUUGUUUAGGGCUUAAGCCGUCAGAUUAGGGUUUCCGAGUUGAAAACCCUAAUAGCCUAUAAGUAUAUAUAGUGCCCUUAAUCCCCAAAAACGUGUCUAAGAGUUCCUGUAGGAUUUUACACGUUUUUGGGCAGCCUCCACUCUUCUCAUUCUUCAUCCUCUUGCUCUUGGUGUUUGUAAGCCAUUAGAGGAGUGACACUUGUGACUCUAAGCUUUCUAAAGUCAUUAGAAGGAGGAUUGAUGAUUGUUAUUGCUACAUAACAAUCAAGGUAUGAUCUAAACCCCAUUCAUAAGUUAAUUUGAUUAAUUGUAUGCUAGAUCUAGGGUUUGAGGUCUUGGAUGAAUUGCAUGUACAAUAGAGAAACCUAGAUCUAAGCAUUAGCGUUUGCAUGAGCACAUAGGAUGUUCUUAUGGCCAAAAAUCAUCAGUUAUAACUAGACUCUUUUAUAGGGAGAGGGUGAUACUUGUAUAUAGAUCUAUAUUGGGAUUGACAACCCAUACCUUAACUGCAUGCAACAGCUAGACCGGCAGGUAUUGGGUGACAAAUGGCAUAACAUUCCGAUGCCUGAAGAACGUUGUAGCAGGUUACUAUGUCAACAAUAUGGUUAUAAUAACUCAUGUAACCCCCUGUUUAUUUAAAUAAAUUAAUAAAUGUGAGUCCCAGACUAAUUUGUGAAGAAUUUUGAUAGUUGGGGUUGUUUCGUAAGUUACAGAGUUGAUUUGAGAAGGAUAUUAGAACUAAGGGUAUGUUUGGUAAUUAUUGGGACUUAAUAUGAAAGGGAUUUUCGAAGUCAGGGCCUGUCUGAUAUAUACUGGAUUAAAGUUGAGAAGAUUUUAUGGGUCAGGUGCUAAGGUGUAAGUGUUGGAUUUAAUUUGAAAAUAAAAUGUGGAGGAGGGGCUGUUUAGUAACUAUUGGCCUUAUUCUGAAAAGAAAUUUAAGAGUCAGGGUCUAAAGGGUAACUAAUGGAGCAAAAGUGGAAUAAUUUCAUGAGGGAGGGGCACUACUGCCAUUAUGGAGGACUGUUUUGUGGGUAUCAGGUAUUUAAUCAAACCCUUAACCCUAACCCUAGCGGAUGUUAGAGUCGCCAACCUUAUGUCUCCCCGACGCCACCAUCCUCCCUCUGCCAUCGCACAGCCACCAUUAAGGUCGGGAACUGCCAUAGCGCUUCCUUUCGUCAUCAUUAGGAGAGUGAGGCAGUCAGAAGUCGUUGAUGUGAACUGCCAAGGUCCAGCCGCCAUGCGUGAAGACAGCCGUCAUCACCUCCCAUCGUUCGCUUCUCCAACCAGUCGAGAUAACCCUCUGCCGCUGCUUGUUGCCUCGCUGCUGUCGUUGCAUUCAUUCGGACGACAAAACGAGCCGGCCGAUAGUUUUCGCUGCUGAAGAUUAGGACGCAGCGCCUCCUACAGCCGUCUCUGCCGUACCUCCUCUCCACCGUGUAGCUGUUGUGACCGUUGGUGUUGCUGUUGUCGUCGCUGCCUUAUCUCGUCACCACCGGCCACCAUGGGAGGUGGCUGUGGGUUUGUUUUGGUGUGCGUUUCUACUUCAAGUUCGUGUGCUGUGUUGGUGCGUGAUUGGAAGCCAAAAGAUACCAUUGCCACCACUGUGAGGUGGUGGUUGCCAUGGCAGUGUGCCACCAGGUGUGCUGUGUUGGUGCCUUUGAUCAAGACCAUGUAGAGACUUGGGCCCAAUUGGGAAAAUUGGGCCAUAGAUGGGCCAUAAUUGAGCCUUGGUCCAUUAUUAGACUUUUGGGCCUUGGGCUGGAGUCAAGCUAAGAUAGGGGUAAAGUAGUCUUUUACCCAUGUAUGGACUUAUGGUUAUUAGUUGGAACCCAAUUAUUAAUUGGGCGUUAUUUUGGUGGUGACAGUUCGAGAAUCUGUCAUCCAGUAGCUGGGGUUGAAUCUGCGGGAUUUCAACAGUAUAGGAUUGUGUCUACGGGACUUCAACAAUGUGAGGUGAGUUUUCAUUCCAGUAGGAACAGGUCUACGGCCACAAUGCCGACUCUUUUAGUUAGCAGCGGUUCCAGACCUCGGUCUGAUGCAGUAGUUAGAGUGUUUGAUGUCUUUGGGAAUAAAGCGUGUUUUGUGUUAUGUGUUCCGGACCAUGGUCCGAUGCAGUAUGCAGUAUAUGUGUUCAUGGUAGUUGAUAUGUUUAUGCUAUGCUAUGUUCAAUUAGUUUCCAGACUUCGGUCCGAUGUAGGGGACAAGGUCCCAGUCAGUUUCGGACUUCGGUCUGAUGCAGUUAGUUCCGGACCUCGGUCCGAUGCAGGGGAUAAGGUCCCAGUCAGUUUUGGACUUCGGUCCGAUGCAGUUAGUUCCGGACUUCGGUCUGAUGCAUGGGACGGGGUCCCAGUCAGUUCCGGACUUUGGUCCGAUGCAGUUUCCGGACUACGAUCCGAUGCAGAGGGCAAGGCCCUGGUUAGUUCCGAACUUCGGUCCGAUGCAGUUUCAGGACUUCGGUCCGAUGUAGUGGGCAAGGCCCAAUAUGUGUUUAAAUGUUAUUGUAUGGUAUGUGGUAGUUUGGGGGAGCUCACUAAGCCUUGUGCUUACAGUUUUAAGUUUUGAUUUCAAGUACCCAAUUUUCAAAAUAGGAGCUCGGGAAGAUUGUAGUGCACACACCAUUUGUUCAACCUAGGAUGUUUUUACUCUAAUAUACUUUCCAGUUGUUAUAAUAGUUUGAGAUACAUUGCUUAUGAUUUUUAUAUUAGUAUUAUCGACUAUGGUUUUUAAUAUUAAAUCAAACGAAAAAUUUCACACUGUGCUUUUGGGAUGUUACAACUCACAUGGGGAAAUAACGACAUACAUAGUUUAGGGGGAUUUCUACAAUCAAAUGGGUUUUAUUUAUAUAAAACUGCAUACACUAUUAUAAGUAUGGAAAAACACUUGUACAUUUUGGUCUUUGGAUCUUAAGACUGCAACUCAUUUUAUAAGGAAAAUAUUGGAUUUUUCUUGUGCUACACUACAUUUACAAAGAAAGUUUGUAAGAAUCCCUCGAUAGUGGAUUUGCAAUUGUAAUGGUAUUAUGAAGCAAUUUCACUUGUUUUUUUUAUCUGAGAGAUGAAAAAACAUUUGAAUGUACUUAAUUUUCAUUCUCAUGAGAAUAUUAGAUUUGCAAUUGUAAACUAUCUUCAUCCUUAAGAAUGAUUAAUUUUUAUUUUUGAAUUUUAGGUUCUCAUUUUAUUUAUUGUCUUAUUCUUCAAGAACAUUUUGUUAUUAUUUUUAAAAUUUUGGUUAUACAUAUGAAAAUAAUGACUUAUUCUUCAAGAAUUUUAAAAUAUUCUUUGAGAAUAUCAGUUAUGAGAACUAAUUAAUAUCUUAUUCUACAAGAAUGUCUUAUGAGAAUAUCAUUAUUUAUCAUUCUUAUUAUCAUGCAUGAACAUUUAAUUAACAAAAUUGAUUCUUAACCAUUUUGAUGAUAUAUAAGACACUUUACUUUAUUUAAAAGAAAAAAAUGGUUAAUAAUGUUGUAUCAACCCUGAGAAUUCUUAAAAGAUUGUAACUCUUAAACAUAUGAAUUGCAUAAAAUAAAUCACGUGAUUAAAAAAAAUCAAAUAUUAUUGGUGGUGAAAUAAUAAAUCAUAAUCUACUCUAAUAAAUGAAGGGUUUUUUGCCACUUGUCACCUAUCAUUCAAUUUCUCAAAUGUCAUUUUGUGGUUAUUUUGAAUUAAUUUUUGUUCCACAUGUCAUUUUAUGAUUUUUAUAUUUUAUUAAAUUCCACAUAGUAUUUAAAUACAAUAGUAAAUGCAUAUUAAUUUCCUCAAUGAACUUACAUUUUAAUUCCAAAAUUACUAAAGUAAAGGUUCAUUCAUUUCCUUUAUUUAUUUAUCUAAAUUAUUUGUUUAAAUUAUUGUAAAAAAACAUUUUAAUUUUUAUAAUUUAGUAUUAUUCAUAUUUUUUGUAGAAAUUCAAACUUCUCAAAUGUUUAGAAUUUUAUAUGUAGUUUUGUCUUUUAAAUAAACUCAUAUAAUACAUAAGUUUCAUACCUAAUUCUUAAAGGAUGAUAUAUGUUUCAUAUUUUUUAAGUACCGUCUAAAAAAGGAUUACAGAACGUAAAUGGAAUUUAAAUUGACAUCUCAUGAAAAUCUUACCUUCGAUAAAUACUUAUUUUAACCAUUCUUACAAUUAAUUAAUUGAAAUUAUAUAGUAAAUGUUACCACAUGUUAACAGUAUGUAUAUUCAUAUUUCAACCCUUCAUUCUUUUAAUCAACUUGAUAGGAAUGGGUCAUACAUUCAUCCAGUAUGUGUAGUUCAUAUUUGAUCCUAACUAUAUAUAUAUAUAUAUAUANNNNNNNNNNAUAUAAUUGUGGGAAAUGUGUUAAGAAGAAAAAAGAAUGAAUUUUGGCCUUUAAAAGUGAUUUAAGGUUUAAAGGUUAUUUGAACGGUGCAGAUGCUAUCCAUGCAUGUUAAAGAAAAUAGCCAAUCAAAAUAUAAAUAUAUAUUUAAAUUCAUAACAAUACCCUUUCAUUAUUUAAACCCCGUAUUCUCAUUUUAUUCUCUCUCACACACAUUUAAAAACCCUAAAUACACAGUUUCUCGGAUGCCUCCACCGAUGUCACCAUUUUUCUCCAUAAUCGUCUUCAUCAUAGUAUAUGUCAACUUGUAUACUCAUAUCUCCUGUAUCCAGCCCUAUAACCAUCCUUUUAUUUCUCCUUCUCUGAAAGUUUAUGAUUCCAAACCACCACCACAACAGCAUCGUACACUCUCUACGAAUGUUGGUUAAUACGAUCUUCUCACUUAUAACCAAACCACUCACCAGCACCACUAUUGAACUCCGUGACCACUGACUUUCCCUGCCCUUGAAAAUAUUUUCUGAUAUGGGGCCAUUUUUGUAGUUGGAUGGGUCUAGAUCUGUGUAUUUAUAGUCUAAUAUGUUUAUAUGUGCGAUUUUUGUAGUCAAAUGUACGUAAAUGUGUGUUUUUGAUAUAAGUUUUGGUUUAAAAAUAUUUUUCAUAUCUAGUAUGUUUUUGUUUCAAGAUCUGGUGCAAAAGUUUCCCAUAUGAACAUAUUCUUUAGUAUGUUUGAUGAACGGGGAAAUAGUUAUUGUGCGUCAUAAAAGGUAAAAAAAGCCUGAACUCUUUACCUUGAUUCAUUCAAAAUUUGACCGAGAAAUCAUUGAUGUGGGCUUUUUUUUUAGUAUGUUGUUCUUAAGUGAUGUCGGUAGUAUUUUUUUUAUCUUAAGCUCUGCUUUUUUGUUGCUUUUUGUUGUUAGGGAUGUGAAUAGAUUCCAAAUCAAAGUCUUCUUUCAUCAUUUUAACAUUUUUAGGUUUAUUCAUUCAACAAUGAUCAACUUUCUGGAUGUUUUUAGUGAAAGAAUCAGCAAAAAUAACAGCAUGCACGUCAAGCAGUAGGCAAAUUUGAAGCUUGACUCGCUUCCCCUUCCCCUUCCUCUCCCUCUUUCUUUCUUUCUUUCUUUCUUUUAAUUUCUUUAUAUUUGUCUACACUUCUUUGAGCUAAUGCUUUUCUUGAAGAAUAGAUCUCAGGAAUGUUGGUUAAAGGUUGACCUGGAAAUCUGGAAACAAUAAGGCACAUGGGAGUCAUGACCGUUUGAAAUUAAUUGUUGCUAGUUUUUCUCUUUUCUGUUUUAGCUUUUACUAUUUAAUAGAAGGAGCUUUGAUGCCAAUGUAAUCAGUCGAAAUUUCUCUUGUACAACAACUGUAAUCAUUCAAUUGUCUUUCUUCAUUCAAUAAAAGUAAUUAUUUGACAUCCUCAUCCAGUUGUUAUCUCUUGUUGUUUCAUUGUUUCAUUAGCUUGAUCACCAAUAUUUGGUAUCAGAGCUUGAGAUCCUGAUUAAUUGUAUGCCCAAGAUUCUUCGAUUCAACUACAUGAUAGUAGCAUCAUCAUCCAAUCCGCCCAAGGAUAGUCCGUUCACUCUUCAAUGCCCGAUGUUAACCUCGCUGAACUACAAUACAUUGUCAAUACAAAUGAAAGCAAUCAUGGAUGCCCAUGGUUUUAGGAUGCCUUAUUUGCUAAACUUCACAAAAAGGUAACUGGGCAGGUUCCAUUCGAAGACGGUCCUAAGGUUUAGAUCAAAGGAGAGGGUACUCUGCUGUUUGAUUAGAAGAAUGGUGAUCAAUUUGUCAUCCCAGAUGUGUAUUACAUCCGUGUCCUGCAUAGCAACAUAAUCAGUCUAGGAUAAAUGACUGAAGAAGGAUACAACAUAGGGAUGAUGAAAGAGUUUCUAAGAAUAUAUGAUGAGGCAUUUUUCCUAGUCAUAAAGGUGAAAUGGUCCAAAAACAGACUUUAUAAAUUAAGGCUCACACCUAGGAAGCCUGUAUGUAUGGCAAUGAGUAUAGAUAAUUACUCAUGGUUGUGACAUGCAUGUGUAGGGCACAUGAAUUUCAAAACACUUGGAGAGAUGACACGAAACAGAAUGGUGACAAGUUUUCCCUAGUUGGCCCACCCAUCUCAAGUCUGUGAAGGUUGUAUGGUAAGCAAGCAGGCAAGACAAAGCUUCCCAAAAGUGACCCAGUGGAGAGAAAAAGAACCACUCCAGCUGUUGCACGCAGACCUCUGUGGACCCAUUACACCUACAACAUGAUUAGAAUUGUUAUAGAGAUUAUGAAUGCAAUUAUGAAUUGAGUGAUUGAGUAAUAAGAACACGAAGAGUAAUUAUUAAUCAUAUCUUGUAUUGAGAAAGACUGAUUACACGAAAUAAGCAGAAGGAUAUUCGAGUUGCAAAAAGUUAUCCUCUACUUCUAACCUCAGUCCCUGUUUAUAGGGAACCUAAGUGAACAAAAAAUAUACUAAGACUAAACAUCUAAGCUUCGCAUAAAAAUGACUUAGUAAAAUAACUAAAAUGCGAAUAUUACAAAGACAUAGCCACUUCGACUUUUACAACAAAAUGACUCUACAAUCUCCCCCUUUGUAAACAGUCGAAGCUAUUCAGAUAGAAAGUCUCUGAAUAGCUGAGUGGAUAGCCUUUCGUACUUCGGAAUACCAGUUGAUCACCUUCUUCAGCUCCUUCUUGUCGCCUUCAUUGUUUCUCGUGCAAUUGUUCAUACGAACAAUGAAUUUCAUAUAUUGCGAAGAGGUAUAUCUUUCUAUCUCAGAGACCUUGAACAAAAACUUUUUAGGUUUGCCCUUUGUAUCCCUUCCUUAGAACACCAUGCCAAAAGGUUUAAGGCAUAUUUCCCCAUCAUCAUAUUUUGAUAAUACUGACUGGGUCAAUGUGGUUUCCCAGGGAACUGUCACCUUUCUCCCCAAGCUCGUAGCUAAUUCUUCAUCAGUCAAGGCUAAGUAAUCAUAAUAGUUAUCAAUGAAGACUUUGAUAUGUGCGAAGCCUAUUCUGAACACUUCUGUCUCUGAGCCCUUGAGCUUGUGAUCCUCCAUAUGCUUCAAAAGCAGUGCUGCUUGAAUUAGAUCGUAGCAAUUCAUCAAAGGAAAAUCAACAAUGGUGAAGUCGUAUUGUCUGUCAUCAACUCGCAUGACAAAAUAUCGAAAAUUUUGUAGCAUAUCUUCAAACAUUGCAUCUUUCUUGAUGGUUAGCACUUUCUUUAACUUCAUUAAAGACCACACUUCCUCCGGAUUCUUUGCCAACACAGCAUGAAAUCUGAUUUUCAUGUGUGUAUAAUCAUCAACAUUGUCAAACUUCUCAUUGAUCUUGUAUUGAGCAGUUAUUAAGAGCAUCUCAUUUAUCGGAAAAUCCAGUUGGCAUUUGUCCGAAUUAGCAAUAUCAUAGCUCACCUUAGGCUUCUUCUCGAAUUUGUACAUCUCUACCCCCACAACCUUUGAUUCGAUUGUUUCAUAUGAAUAAAGCUUUUCAGGAUCACCUUUGUUCAUUGUGGGGGGAUCACCAGCCCUGAGCCUCAUAAUGCUCUGUACCUUCCUCAUUCGCUCAAUCUCCACUUCAGCUUCGGCUUUCUUCUCCUCCUUAGACUUUUCGUAUGCAAUGCCCUUCCCUUUUCCCACGUCAUCAGUUGGAGGUUUCGAACUUGAACUCCCUCCUUCUUUUGACCCAAUAGAUAUACCUUUGGCUAUUGGUCUCGUGGUCAUAAUUAUCGAGGAAACAGGCAUUGUGAAUGUAGGAAGAGUUUUCUUGAGUUGGGUCGUAAUGACUUUCCCAACUAUCUUCGCAUCCUCUUUACCCUUCUCUCCCCCUUACAACCCUAUGAAAGCAGGCGGGGCAUUCUUUGGGAGUAAAGAGGUGAAAUUUGCGAUUGGUGCUAAAGCUUUCUGAAUUGCUUUCUCUGAAGUAUUAACCUUCAGAGACAAGAACUCAGGGGUAAGGAUUUGUUGUGGUGAAGAUUCUGAAACCACCUAUUUGAGCUCAGUUACCAUCUUAAGAAGUUGAUCAAAUUUCUCUUUGGUCUCUUUGUGGUUAGCUUCAAGAAUAGGGGCACUAAUAACAUUGUUGAGUUUAGUAGCCACCACAUCAACCCGCUUUUGAACUUCAAGAUGUUGAGAAUUUAUAUCCUUAAGCUCCUUUGCAAUCUCAUUCUUCAAUUCUUCAAUCUUGAAAUUUACAUCCUCCCUUACCUUCUUGACAUCUUGUACAAAAAGAACAUGUCGUUCUUUUGCAACAUUUUUUAAUUCCUUCACCACUCCCGAAAAUAUACUCCCCUGAGCUUGAAUGCAAAGCUCUGUAUUUUUGUCUAAUUGAUCAACUUUUUCAAGAAUAUACUUUUCAGCCUUCUUGAUCAAGUAUUCCACUUCAACCCCUGACAUAGAAGAUUUAGACCCAAAAUCCGCUUGAGAUUGGAUAAUCGCAUUCUACUUGCGAUUCAAUACCUUGAACUGUUUACCAGACAUAAGCAUAUGAUCUGGUAUCUCCUCCUCUUCUGAAUCAAAAUGUAAAGCCUCAAAAGUUCCUCCGAAACCUCCUCCUUCCGUUUCAUCAUCGGAUAUAUUCUGUGUAGGCUGAGGAGUUUCAGGUGAUUGCGAAGGGAAUAGAGUGGUGAAAGGAUGUUUCAAUGCAUGGUCAAAUAUCGAAGAUGAGGUGAGGGUAGGUGUUGGGAGUGAAAAAGGUUGUAAUGAGGUAGAAACGGUGAUUGUGGAAAUGGGAAAUGUGACUGGUAGGCUUAUGGGCAUAGUCGAAUCAACACUUGUGAUAGGUGCCCCCGUAUCAGAUACGUUGACAACUGUAUCAGAAAUAGGUACCUCCUCAGAAAUUGAUUCGGUAGUGACUAUUUCAAGUGGUUCUGUGAGUGGAGUUGUGGUAGAUAUUUGCGAAGUAGGUUGAACUGAGAUGAUGGGUAAGGAAACAUUUACCGUAGUAGUGAUCAGUGGAGUCUCAGGAACUACCAUUUCAUCAGAUGAUUCAUUGUGAACCACCAGCUUUCAUUUUUUCAAUAAAGUAUGUUGCAUGUUCUUCGCAAUGUCUUCAGCUCUUUUCCGUUUCUUUGUUGCAAAGAUCGGAGCUGGACCAAUUCGCAUCGUUUCCCCUUGACUACUAGCAUUAGGUUUGCGAACUGGUGAGGGUUUGCGAAUCUUUUUCAAUACCCCCGAUUUGGACGGUAUUGUUUCUUUCUUUGAUUUGGAUGAAGUCUCUUUGACAUGUACAUCUUCAUCCUGAGCUUUUUGGGAAGAAGAACCUUUCGCAUCCUUCUUUGUGGUCUUUUUCUUCUUCAACGGUACUGCCACAUCUAAUAAUACUCCUGUAGACACCGAUUAAUCAACUGUUUUCAAAUAUCUCACCAAAACCAUGUGAGUUUGAGAAACCUUGCGAAGCAUCGCAUCUGGAAUGCGAGCAACAUGAGAAAAGAUUUCUGCAUUAUCAUCCACUACCUUUGGAAAUUGAUAAAAAGAGAAUUCAGCAACUUCAACAUCCUCAAGGACAGGAAUCCCUUCUUUUUCAUACACUUUUUAAAGAAUCAAAUUCCAAUAACUCGCACACGAAAUCCCUUUUUCAGAAUUUGUGUUUUCUAGACUCUUGACAAAUUCCUUCCACAACUGGGUUGCAUAAUCGACACUUAUAUCGUAGUACAGGCCCAUAACCAUGGCAUAUACUUCCAUUCUUCCCCUAUCCAAACCAACUGUUCGUCCUGUUAGGCAUCUGAGAAAAAUACCAAACAAGAAAUUCCAUAUGCACGGUAACCCAGACUUUCAAAAGUCACUUAUCUUCUCAUGAUCUGGUUGAUGGCCCAUUUCAUUAAACAUAUGAAUGAUUUGAGAAUUAACGGGUUUGAAAAAUGGAGGGUUGUUGGGAAUUUCCAAAAACUCAACGAACAUCUUCUUCGUGAGUUUCACCCGUUUGUUGUUGAUGAGGUUGAAAGUUAUGACAUCGGUGGUGAAGUUGUGUGAAAUAGAAGAUGCAGCCAAUGACAACCAAGUCAUCGGAACUGAGAAAGAUUUGAACAUUGCAGUGGCCAGAAAGGAACUUUUCAGAGCAACGAUAAGCAUCUUCAGUCCUUCGGGAUACGAAGAGACAUUUGGAUCAACCAAAUAGUUUGUGCUUUGAAUUUUCAUCAGGGAUUGGGAAAGAACUUCUUCAGUGUUUGAUUGUGUUCCGACCAUUUCUAGGGUUUGAAAGAAAGGAUGAAGAUGAAGAAGUUUUGACGAAAUUUAGGAUUUUGAGAGUUUGUUCGUGUAACCGUAUACAAUGGUCUUGAACCCCCUUUUAUAGGUUACUCGAAACGAUUUGAAUUUGAAGCGGGAUGCAUUUAAUGAGAUCUGACGUGGCACCUUGAAAACCGGACUUUUCUGCAAAAGGUAGCCAUGCAUGCAAAAAAAAAAACAAUCACUUCUCCUUGAAAAUCGGAAAGAAUACAAUACGUCAUGAAUACACAGCCUGUCUAAUCCGCUUUAUCAAAUUGUAACCGUUAUGACCCUUCGCAUGGAGGCUAGGCUCUUUCGGUUUUGGGAUUAUAAGCGAACUCAUAUGCCAGAUGUUUAAAAUCAUCAGUCUAAGUUAAUAUUACUUAGAACCUCAAGGAUUUCGUGUGUGCAAGUGUGUCAAAGAAAUAAGAUAAGAAUCAAGAUAAAUUUUUUUUGGAUUUUUGUGAUGUCAAAAAUAAAUUUUGACACAAAAGCAAAUGAACCCCAGGCAAAGGUUGCUUAGUUAAACAUCAAGAGAGAUAUUUAACUGCUUGUACAGUUUCCCGUGAAAUACAAUCGAAUACUUGUUGAUAAGUAUCGAAGGGCUUCUUUUUCAAAGAUAAAUUUUGGGAUUGGGUUUUAAAUUUCAGUACGUAUCAACCUUAACAUAAGGUGAGAAAUUGUAACUGAAAUUACUUGUAUGUCCAGUGUAGUCAGUGACAAGUUGGCUGUUGAAAAUUUUAUGAUGACUAGGAAUGCGAAUGAAACUCUCACAUAAAUCAUAUAAAAAAAUUUAUUAUACUGGAGCUUGCUGGGUAAAAAACAUCCUAGGUUGUGAAUGUUUGAUCAAGACCACACAUGCGAAAUGAAUUAUGAUUUUGAGUUUCGAAUUGUGAGACAGAAACAAAAGUUUCAUCAAUCUCUUGAAUAAUGUUCCUUGUCAAUUCCUUAAAGAGUAAGAUUAUUGGAUUUCACUUUCAUCACGGACUCAUGAUUUCAGAUCAUAAACACAGAGGUUUUGUAUGUCUAAAUUUCGAUUGGUUUGAUCAGAAACCUCUUGGACAUACGUCUUUGUGUGUGAAUUGUGUAAAGAAUUUUAAAAUGACAAAGAUUGGUUUACCGAUCGAAUGUACCUCUGUUAUUUGUGGACCAAAUAGAAAACUCUUAACUCAUAUGAGAAGAGUAAGGUAACUCUGUUGACUUAUGCGAAUACAAGCCUUGUUGGGAAGAAAUUUUCAUGAGAUAAUUUCAUCAAGGCUUUCCUUUCUCACACAUUGAGUCAAAUGAGGCUUGAGUCAACAUGCAACAUCAUGCUUCUAGGGACAUCCUAACUAUUACAAAGUUUAUAGAAAUCAUACCUUCCCAUAGAAGACACAAACAUGAGCUCUUCGCAUUUAACUUUGGACUAACCUCACAACACACAAUGUUUUAAAAACAAAAAGAACAAAAAUAUUUUUGUGAUUUUUGAAUUUUUCAAAAAUAAAACAGAACAAAACAAAAUGUUUUUGGAUUUUUAAUUUUUCAAAAAUGAAAACUAAACCAAAUAAAAUCUUUUUGGAUUUUUUAGGUUUUUCGGAAGAAAAAAAAUUAAAAACGAAAUAUAACCUUAGUUGAGAUGUGUGUGAAUGCGAAGAAAAGUGAAUGCGAAGCCACUUAAAUGAACAUAAACUUCUUUGUUGUCUUGAGUGCGAAUGCAAGGAAAAGUGGAUGUGAAGCCAUGCGAAGCCGCUAAAUGAACAGUAACUUCUGAACAAUUUUGAUUCAGAGCGUCUAAACAAACAUUUCAUCAUUGACUGAUAGAUUUCGAUACUAAAUUCACAUCAAUCAUACCCAAACCUGCCAAAAUUCUAACAAAUGAUUUUUCAUCAAGAGGUUUAGUAAAAAUAUCAGCAAGUUAUUCAGUGGUUUUCACAAAAUGAAUUUCAAUAUUCCCAUCUUCCACAUGAUCUUUGAUAAAAUGAUAUCGAAGAGCUAUGUGUUUCUUCUUUGAGUGUUGUACUGGAUUAUGACAAAUACGAAUUGCACUUUGAGAAUCACAAUACAAAGGAAUCUUUUUCAUAUUUAUUGCAUAAUCACGAAGUUGACUCUGAAUCCAAAUGAUUUGCGAAGUGCAAGCAGCAGCAACAAUGUAUUUAGCCUCAACAGUUGAAAUUGCAACACAAAUUUGUUUCUUUGUUUGCCAACUUACCAACUUUCCAUCCAACAAUUGACAUCCACAACUAGUACUUUUCCUAUCCAAUGUACAUCCUCUUAGAUCAGAAUCUGAAAAAGCUUAAAUGAAAAAUCCAGAUUCGAAGGAUACCAAAGUCCUAACGAAAUUGUACCCUUAAGAUAGCGAAAAAUAUUUUUCACUGAAGUUAAAUGAGGUUCUCUGGGAUUAGCUUGAUAUCUAGCGUAAUUACAAACCGAAAACAUAAUAUCAGGUCUACUUUCAGUUAAGUACAAUAAAGACCGUAUCAUGCUUCGAUAUUGUGUUAAAUCAACAGCAGGAGCAUCUAACGAAGGAGUUAAUCUUGUUCCCACUGCCAUUGGUACUCUUAGUUUCGUGCUAUUUGUCAUUCCAAACUUUUCAAGCAAGUUCUUUGUAUAUUUUUCUUGAUUGAUUAAAAUUCCAUUCCUGUUCUGUGUUAUAUUCAAUCCAAGAAAAUUAUUAAUUUUUCCCAUCAUGCUCGUUUCAAAUUGACUUUUCGUUAUAUUUUCAAAUUCAAUUGACAAUGCUGGGUCAAUUGAGCCAAAAAUAAUAUCGUCAACAUAAAUUUGAACAAGUAUAAGAUGAUUCCUAAUUUUCUUUCGAAACAAAGUGGGGUCAACUGAUUCUUGUUUAAAUUUAGAUUGUUUCAACAAAUUUGUAAGAGUUGCGUACCAGGCUCUUGGUGCUUGUUUUAACCCAUAAACAACUUUGUGAAGAAUGUAGACAUGAUUAGGAUGUUCCUCGUUUAUGAUUCCUGGUAGUUGCUCAACAUACACUGUUUCUUCAAGUUCUCCAUUUAAGAAAGCACAUUUAACAUCCAUUUGAUAAACAUCAAAGUCUUUGUGUGCUGCAUAAGCUAAAAAACUGCUUUGAGUCUUGCAACAGGAGCAAAUGUUUCUUCAUAAUGUAUUCCUUCUUGUUGCGAAUAACCUUUAACCACUAGUCUAGCUUUAUUUCGAAUAAUAUUGCCAUCUUUGUCGGUCUUAUUUUAAAAAUGCAUUUUAAUCCGACAAUCGAAACAUCAGAAGGUUUAGGAAAUAAUCUCCAAACCUUGUUUCGUUCAAAUUCAACCAGUUCAGAUUGCAUAGAAACAACCCAAUCUGAGUGUUCCAUAGCAUCCGUUAUUGUCUUUGGCUCUAUUUUCGAAAUAAAGACAUUAAACAUACAUAGUUCUUGGUUUGCAUUCAGUAUUUCAUUUUUCGCACGUAUCUGAGCUCUUGUCAACACACCAUCUUGUUGAUUUCCUAUUACUUGUUCUUUGGGAUGAUUCUUUGUCCAUUUCUCAAGUAGAGGAAAAUCAGGAUCAAAUUCCAAUGGUGCAUCUUCAUACAUAUCUUCAUUUUCAGAUCCUGCAACAGAAAAAUUAUCAUUAAUUUCAUGCAAUUCAUCAUUUUCACCAAGAUAGUUUUUCUCUGUUGUAUCAUCCUCUUCCUCAAAAUGCAUUUCAUCUUGAUGCUCCCCCUUAAAAUGAUGUUCCUGUUGAUUUUGCGAAUGCUCCCCCUCAUCUUGAUAUUCUUGUUGAUUUUGUGAAUGCUCCCCCUCAACUUGAUGAUUCCUAUUUUCAUUCUCCCCCUCGAAAGUUGGCUGAUUGUCUGCAUUGUUGAUCGUAUGCUCCCUCUCCAUACGAACAUCAGACACACUAUCACAAGAUGUUGACGUUAUAGUAAUUGUCGAAUCGUCAGUAUGUUUUGAAGAUUCUGAUGUUUGAUUCUCUAAUACCAAUUGAUGAUUUUGGUUUCAAAAUUUGUUCUUUUUCAACUUUUGGCUUAUCAUUAGACACAACUUGCCAAAAAAUUGCUUUUCUUGCUUUUCUUUUUGAAACAUUAUUCUCUGUUGAAUAAUUUCCAACCAUCAAUUUAAAUUCAUGAGAAUUUAAGUUCACUUCAGCCUUUGAUGUCUCAACUUUUUCAAAAACAUUGUUUGCAUUUCACCUUUAACCACCCAUUUUUGUGAUGACUUUUUCUCUUGAAAAACAUAAGGAUUUUUCGUUAAAUUGUUUUCUUCGGUAUUUUGAUUUGAAAAGAACCCUGUGGCUGAUAACUUUUGAUUAUCAUUUUCAACCAUUUUGAUGAAUUCAGGUUUAAUGUUCUCAACAUUUCCAGUUGUGACAAAAACUUGAUUUGGAAAAAUGAUGUCAUCUGUACAUUUAAAAUUUGGAUAGACCACUGUGUUGGUUUUCAAAUAAUGUGCACCUUUUUCAUUAAGAAUUUUGUCAAAUUCUUUUGUAUUAUCAAACACUUGAUUCACAACAAAUCUUGGAAGUGUUUUAGGUGAAUCCUUCACACUUUCAUUGUUUUCAUCAUUUUCAUCAGUUUUCCAGCUUUCAACCUCCACAUUAUCAAAGUUACAAUGUUGCGAAGUAGAAGGUUUAUCAGUUUCAUCCUUAACUAUCGAAUCAACUAUUAUUUCUUUACCUUUGAUCUUAGAUGUGAUAUUAAUGAUUGACACUUUAGAACAAUCAACCUCUUCUUCUUCUUCUUCUUCAAUUUCACUAAUCUCACUCACAUUAUCUGACUUGUCAUUGACAUCAACAUAAUUGAGUUGAGAAUCAAGAGUUGAAUUUUCAGUUUUCUUUAGAAUUUUCACUUGUUCACUCUUUGUCAAACUUUCAUUGACAAUAUCAACCAACUCAUCAGCAUUCAAGAAUUCAUUAAUUUUGACAAUACCAUAUGCAUAUCUAUCAUCAGGUAUUUUGUUAAAUUGAGCAAUUGUACCUUCGCAAUCAUAAGAAACAACAUAAAAUUUUUCACGUUCAUAUUCAAGAAAAGGUAAAAGUUUCCUAUGUUGUUCUUUGCUAAUAUCUGAAGAAUGAUGUAAAGCAGUUAAUUUUGCAUACAAUCUUUUGGCAGAAUUACAAUAUAUGUUCCUUUGUGCAAGUAAUAACCUAACACCAUUUGUAAGAUUAUCCAUAUCACAAUUUACAUUUUUCAUCUGUAUUUCAAGUUUUUCUACUUUGCUCCUUUUUAUUUCUAACUCUCUUCGUGUCUCUCCUAGUUGCAAAUUUAAGUUUUGUUGAAGAUUAAUGUGUUGCGUCUUGGGCCCUUUUAUUUUACAACCGAAUUGGGCUUGUCAAUCCGUGUUUAUCUAGAUUAGCUUCCUUUUACUUAGAUAAACUGUUAGGGUUUCAAUAUAAAUAUAUGCAUGCAUGUAUGCGUAUAAAAGAUAGUUUUGGUCGAUCACGUUGAUUUCGGUAAACCCUAAAUCCUCUACAGUUGAAGUUCUUUAUCGAACUCUUGUGAGGAUUGUUUAUUAAUCAUUCGACAUCUUUUGAUCCAUUUGCUUGUUCUUACUGUUUAUUCGUUUAUUUCUCUACCUGUUUCAUAGAUCUAAUCGAUCUUCAAGUUUGUUUUAACUUAUCAAUUGGUAUCAGAGCAGGAGGCUGUGUAAUCGAUACACUUCUUUUCUGUGAAAAAGUUUCGAUUAGGGUUAUUCCGCAUUCAUUGAUAUUUAUUGAGCCGUCAUCUCAUAAUUAACGUAUCUUGAUAUUUAUUGUUUUGCCCUAAUUUGAUAUAUUACAAGUCUGAUCUUUGAACAGGUUAUUCGAUCAAUUAUGGACGAGUCGCAAUCCAAUCCCAUUAAUAUUUCGAACAGCAUUGGAUCAACAACGAAGAUUCCCAUCCUGUACACCCAUGAUUAUGAAGUCUGGGCGCAUCACUUUGAAGAUUAUGUCAUAGGAUCUGAGGAUAAUGGAUACCUCAUCUGGGAAGCAAUCAUUUCUGGACCUUUUUCUCAUUCAGCAACUUCAAGGAUUAUUAAAACUCAAAAGGAGUAUAAUGAUCUUCUGAAAGAUGUUAAAGAUAUUGCGCAAGACGAAAAAGAUAAAUUUCAGUGCAAUAUCAAAGCGUUAAGAUUGAUCAGAUUCGCUCUUCAAUCCGAUACUUUUAGGCUGGUAAGUUCAUGCACGACUGCAAAAGAGAUAUGGGACAGACUUCGUGAAUUGUACUCUACAGACGAAGAUCUUGAACACUCCAUUCAGACCUUACUCUUGUCUGAGUUUGGUGAAUUCAAGCAAGGAACCGAAGAAACUGUGACUCAAACGUUCGAUCGCUUCAAUCAUCUUCUUAGCAAGAUGAUCAAACACGACAUCGAAAGGAAGCUUAUUGAACAGAAGGUUACAUUUUUGAAUGGACUCAGAUUUGAGUGGAGAGUGGUUGUGUCCACAGUUAAAGCGCACGAGCAAUUCAAAUCCUAUUCUUUGGCGAAACUGGUGGGCAUCCUAAAAUCUCAAGAAAAGAUCGUGUUGCAGGAGAAAAAUGUGGUUUCAAGCCUAGGUUCGUUGGCCCUCCUGUCCAAAAGUAAAGCGGUGAUGGAGGACGAAGAUCUCAACUUGGAUGACUAUGACCUCACGUCUGAGGACUAUGCUAUGAUGGUGUCAAAUCCCAAGAGGUUCAUCAAGAAGAAAUUCCCCACUAACAGGAACCGAAACUGGCAAGGGAGUUACAGCUCUGAAAAGGUCAAAGAUGAACCGAAGUCUAAAGAGUCAAAGAAGGAACCGAAGGCUGAAGGAGAUUCGGGAGUGAGCUGCUAUUAUUGUGGAGGAAAGAACCACUAUGCAAAAGAUUGCGUCCUAAAAAAGAUGGCAGAAAAGGAUGAGGAAAAUGAUGAAGAAGCUCUAUUGCAGAAAAAGCUUGAUGAAUUAAGGAAGAAGAAAUCUGCUGCUAACCCUCCUAUGAAUGCUUUAAUUGUGCAGGGUUCUAGCUGAUGANGUUAAUUGUGCAGGGUUCGGUAGCUGAUGAUGAGUUCGGUGGCGUGGAGGUCUGGUCAACCGACUCCGAAGAUGAUGAAGUGAGGAAGCCUUCACAUGGAAAGGCUUAUGUGGCGAAAGAAGAGAGCAGUGGGGGAAGAUGCUUAAUGGUGUCCGACGUAUCUCAAAUGAGGGGAUACAACACGGAUGGUGGGAAUGAUGACACAAAGGAGAAACAGAACUUGUGCUUUAUUGCCAAACCGCUCAGCCUGCAGUUCAACGAACUUGAUGAACCGAUCAAGAAGGUACAAUCAGUUUUUGUCUCAUCUAAAGUCCCAAAAUGCUCAUAUGAAAAAGAAUUAAAAAAUUUUAAUUCAAGAAUCUCUCAUCUAGAUAGUAGUUUAACUCAAACUCGGGUCACCAAUUCUAACCUAACUGACCAAUUAAGCAGGGUGUCUUCGAAGAGUGAGGAACUGCGCAUGUGGAUCGAACUGAAGGAGUCGGAAUUAAUCAAAAUAAAAGAUGAAAACAUUUAUUUGCAAAGAGACAAUUUAAAGCUUUUGAAACAGCGAAAUGUUUUUUGUUUGAUUGCCAAACGUCUUUACACUAAUAUUACUCAGCUUCAUUUGGAUUGUGAAAUAGGACAAAAGAUUCAUCGCAUGAUUUUACCCUUCCUUGAGUUUAAGGAGGAUGAAAUUGAUGCUGAAGCGUAUAAUUGUGAGAGUGUUAUUUCAUCUGAGGAUGUUAAUCCAACGUAUAUGUAUGGACUGGACAAAAUAGAAUCUUUCAUUAAAUCCAAGGACCAUAAGGACAUGCUUAAAAACCUUUUGGAUGAAAAUGAUAAACUGAAACUGAGAACCGAAACCAUACAAAAAUUUGACUCAUUAAAUGCCAACUUAAGCUCAGGAAAUAAAAUUGAUGUUGAAAAUGCAUCUGAGCUUAAUGAGGACGACAAUAUGAGUGAAAUUUCUGUAGAGGACACGGUUGACUGUUCAGAAUUUGUCAAGAGUGAACCCGAGAACCACGAAAAUCUCAUUUCAGAAAAUUCAGUGGAGUUCGCUCGUAUGUCCCAACAAAAGUCCCCGAUCCUUGUAGAGAAGGCAGUCGUAUACCAAAAGGUUAGAACCACUCCAAAUUAGGUGUACAAGGUCACAGGUGUAACCGAACAUCAGAUUGCUGAACUCACAGCUAUUGUAAAUGAAGACAAUGCUGAUGGCCGUGACGAGUUCUUCUAGUCAGCUCCAAUUGACAAUGCUGAUGAAACGGUAGGUCUGUCUGAAAGAACUUCAUGGAAAAGCAAAGUCAGAUAUGUGCCAGAACCUUUGAAUAAACCUGAUAGCUUCAACGUGGCAAGUACCAGUGGUACGAAAGAUGUUCCUCAAGAGAAAGAAAUUCCUGCAAAAGAAGUCACAUCCCCAAGUGAAACUUCAUCAGUUCAGAGUGGACCGGCUAAAAAAAACCAAAAACCUAAAGCUAACAUCGAUCAUCAACCGAAGCAGAUGAGAAAUCAAAAACGAGAAAGGAAUCAGAGAUACAGGAAGAAUCUCUCUAAAAGAAAACAAUUUUGGCAGUCUCAAAAUGCCUAUUUCUCACAUCAAGACAGGAACUUAAAACAGAGAAAAAUCCUGUUGGAUCGACAGAGAGCAACAACAACCGAAAGCAGAGGUUCGGUUCGGAGCAAAACAUCAACUGAAAACAUAGGUUCGGUUCAGAAAAUGAUGCCAACCGAAAGCAAAGGCUCGGUUCAGAAAAUGAUUUCAUCCGAAAGCAAAGGUUUGGUUUGGAAAUCAAAAGAGAUCAAAACUCUAGGGUCGGUCCUACUGUUGAUCAAAAGCAAAAGGGUCAACUAGAAUCUUCAACCAAGAAGUCAUCUCAAUCUAAGCUAUCUCAUUCUAAUUCUUCUAAUUCUUCAAACUCUUCUAUCUCUUCUCCACCUCAUCCUAAAUUCCAUUCUGUUCCUUCUCAAAAAUCUCAAUCAUUAGCUGAACAAAAAGGAAAACAGAAGGUUUCAGUAGUUAAACCAGAGUCAAUACCGAAAGCAUCGAAUCCCGAUAAAAUUAAAGUUUUUACCAUCAAAAAGAAAGAUGAAACAACACUAAUAAAAAGAGCAUAUUUAGUUGACAUCUCUCUUACUAUUCCUGUUCCUGUGAAAGGCUCACGUGGACCCAAGAAACUUUGGGUUCCUAAAUCUGCUUAAUUUUUGCAGGUUAUCAGUGACGAGCAGUUUGACGAAGAAUGGUACAUUGAUAGUGGCUGCUCGCGUCACAUGACAGGAAGGAAGGAAGAGCUAAGGGAAUACAGGUCUCUUUCAGAUGGUGGAAACGUCAUGUUCGGGAACAACUCCUUCGACACCAUAAAAGGCUAUGGAAUGAUUACAAACGGUGAUUUCACGAUAAGGAAGGUUGCAUACGUGGAAGGAUUACAACAUAACCUCAUCAGUAUAUCUCAACUUGUUGGAGGUACCGGUCUCAAAGUCUCAUUCGAUGAUGAGGGUUCUGAAAUAAUUGAGAAGAAGACGAAAAGAGUUAUUCUCAAAUCGGAGCGUAAAGGCGAAAUGUUUCCGUUAAACCUCAAACCCAUCAAAGGAAACCCAGUCAUCUGCCUGUUAUCCAAAACACAAUCUGACGAAAGCUGGCUGUGGCACUGAAGACUCUCUCAUNCUUUAAAGAUAUCAACAAACUUGUUACUGGAGGUCAUGUUCGAGGUCUUCCAUUGCUCAAGUAUGAUAGAGAUCAUUUGUGUGCUGCAUGUGAAAUGGGGAAGCAGAGUCGUCAAAGUCAUCCAUCUAUAAUAAACACUACAGUUGUUGAACCACUAGAAUUACUUCAUAUUGAUUUGUGUGGUCCAUCAUCUAUCGAAAGCAUUGGUGGUAGCAAGUAUAUUCUUGUUAUUGUCGAUGACUUUUCGCGUUUUACAUGGGUGUUCUUUCUGAAGCUUACAUCUGAAGCGACUCACAAGCUAAAAGUGUUCAUCAAGUAGAUUGAAGUACAGCUGAAGAAGGUCGUCCGCAACAUCAGAAGCGACAAUGGAUUGGAGUUCAAAAAUAGAGAAUUCGAAGAAUUCCUGGAAGAAAAGGGACUCAGUCACAACUUCUCAGCUCCCUACACACCUCAACAGAACGGAAUUGUUGAAAGACGAAACCGAUCCCUAUGUGAAGCUGCCCGCACCAUGCUAAGUUUCGCUUCCUUACCUUUAUAUUUUUGGGCUGAUGCUAUUUUUGCUUCUUGUUUUACACAGGACAGGUCGUAUCUCAACAAGCGCUUCACUCUCACUCCUUAGGAGAUCAUCAACAGUAGGAAGCCAAAUGUGAAGUUUUUCCAUGUGUUCGGUUCCCGGUGUUUCAUUUUCAAUUCUAAAGAAGACCGCAACAAGUUCGAUGUCAAAGCCGACGAAGGGAUAUUUCUGGGCUAUUCUCUCACUUUUAAAGCGUAUAGGGUGUUAAAAAAGCAUUCGAGGAAAAUAGAAGAAACUUACUACGUGACUUUUGAUGAUAGCUAUGUCAAAAAGCUAAAGGUCAACGAAGACACAGCUGGAGAAAUCUUUCCUCAAACUGGCCAAGUCACAGCCUCGAUCGCUAAUCUAUUCGAGAAAUUCAUGGAGCUUUCUGAUGAACCAGAGAAGGCCACUCUUUCUGAAGCCAGUGCAGCAGACAACAGGGUAGAUCACUUGAAGCAACUUGUCGACGAUGCUGCAAGGAGAAUGAAUGAAGAAGAAUCAGGUUCUAAAGACCCUCCACAACACAAUGCGUCAGUCGAGGGGGAGGAUCCACCAUCAUCAUCCCAGCAAAGCUCAAAAGUUGAGGGGGAGCUGAGGUCUCAAACUCCAACCGAAAGCACAUUGCCAACCGAAAGCACUUUGCUAACCAAAAGCACUUUGCCAACCGAAAGUGUCUCCCCAACUGAAGGUGCAUCAACGCCCGAAAGCUCAGCACCACAAGAAACCACUAUAGCUCAAGAUUCUCAAGACAUUCCUGUAAGAUCAUUUGUCGAGGGAGAGCAUGCUGAUAUGUCUUAUGACUUUGACAGCCAUUCCGAACCAGAAGAAAUGAUAAACGCUGAAUUAGAUCCAACCUUUGAUCCAAGCUACCCUCCUCUCACCAAAUGGACCAGAGAUCAUCCUGUCUCUCAAGUUGUUGGUGAUGUAUCAGAUACAGUUCUGACUCGAUCACAACUCAGGGCAAAACAGACUUCCUUGUUCUCAAAAGUCGAGUUCCGCAUGUUUAACUCAUUCGUAUCAAAAGUUGAACCAAAGACAGUUAACACUACUCUUGAUCACUCCGAUUGGGUUCAAGCUAUGCAAGACGAACUGAAUGAAUUUGAAAGGAACAAAGUUUGGCGUCUUAUUCCAACUCCUCCAGGUGCCUCGGUUGUUGGUCUCAAAUGGGUCUUUAGGAACAAAAUUGACAAGGAAGGGAACGUUAUAAGAAACAAAGCACGUCUGGUCGUGAAAGGAUACUGUCAAGAGGAAGGCAUUGACUUUGAAGAGACUUUCGCUCCUGUAGCUAGGCUGGAAUCAGUGAGAAUAUUUCUUGCCUAUGCUGCCCACAAAAAACUUUGAGGUCUACCAAAUGGACGUCAAGUGUGCAUUUCUCAAUGGAGAACUCAAAGAAAUUGUGUAUGUGCAGCAACCUCCUGGAUUCAUGAAUGAAAAGUAUCCCAAUCAUUGUUACAUUUUGGAUAAAGCCGUGUAUGGACUGAAACAAGCACCGAGAGCCUGGUAUGAAACGCUGACUAAAUUUUUAAUGAUGUCCAAAUUCAAAUAAGGUUCGGUUGACCCAACCUUCUUUCAUAAAAAGGAAGGUAACCACCUUAUGAUCGUUCAAAUUUAUAUCGAUGAUAUCAUCUUUGGCUCAACGAAUCCUAGCGUAAUAGCUGAAUUCAGAAAGNGUCGUAUUAAUUUUUUCCUUGGUUUAAAUAUUAGACAGGGACCCGAAGGCAUCUUUAUCAACCAGGAAGCUUACACGAAGACUCUCUUAGCAAAAUUCGGCAUGAUGGGAGAUUCAAAGGUCAAAGUUCCAAUGGCAUUCGACACCAAGCUAACUCCAUCCCUAGAUAAACCGGCUGUUGAUCUUACGCUUUAUCGUCAAAUGAUAGGCUCUCUAAUGUAUCUUACUGCUAGCAGACCUGACAUAAUGUUUUCUGUUUGUUACUGUGCUAGGUUUCAGGCAAAUCCACGGGAGCCUCACAUGCUUGCAGUGAAGAACAUAUUACGUUAUCUCAAGAGAACUACCUAUUUAGGUCUGUGGUACCCUUCUAACUCAGGCUUCUUCGUUUAAGCCUACUCAGAUGCAGACCUUGGUGGAUGUGGCCUCGACAGGAAAAGCACCACUGGUGGCUGCCAAUUCCUCGAUGGGAAGUUGGUUAGCUGGCAGUCAAAGAAACAAACGUGCGUGUCUUUGUCUACAGCUGAAGCAGAAUACAUUGCCGCUGCCUCCUGUACCUCUCAAGUGAUUUGGAUCCAGAGUCAACUCCGAGACUAUGGACUCAAUAUGAAAAAGAUCCCACUAUAUUGUGACUCUGAAAGUGCAAUUAGGAUCUAUCAUAACCCAGUGCAACACUCCAAGACCAAGCACAUAGCACUGAGGUAUCACUUCAUCUAAGAUCACGUGGAAGAUGGAAACGUUGAAGUACACUUUGUUCGAACCACUGAUCAAUUGGCCGAUGUCUUUACCAAAGCUCUUCCUGAAGCGUCCUUCAACAAAAUUCUACAAGGCUUAGGUAUGAUGAUAGGAGAGUCGGUCCCGAAUCCUCAAAUCUCUCUCUAAAAAUCCGGAACCGAAACAGACAAACCGCUCGGUCUCUCUUUGGUCUAGAGAUAUAAUGGAACCGAAACAGACAGACCGCUCGGUCUCUCUCUGGUCUAGAGAUAUAAUGGAACCGAAAUAGACAGACCGCUCGGUCCCUCUCUGUUCUGGAGAUUUAAUGAAACCGAAAUAGACAGACCGCUCGGUCCCUCUCUGUUCUAGAUAGUUUAUGACACCGAAAUACACAGACUGCUCGGUCUCUCUCUGCUCCAUCAUUUUCGAUUAAUUUCUGUCGUAUAUUUUAUCUUUCUGUUUUAUUUCUUUUUCAGAAAAAUUUCAAAAUCACAAAAAUAUUUUAUCUUUCUGUUUUUAUUUCUUUUUCAGAAAAAUCUCAAAAUUACAAAUACAUUUUAUCUUUCAGUUUUAUUUCUUUUUCAGAAAAAUUUCAAAAUUACAAAAAUAUUUUAUCUUUCUGUUUUUAUUUCUUUUUCAGAAAAAUUUCAAAAAUACAAAAAUAUUUUAUCUUUCUGUUUUUAUUUCUUUUUCAGAAAAAUUUCAAAAUCACAAAAAUAUUUUAUCCCUCUGUUUUUAUUUCUUUUUCAAUAUCUUACUUAUUUCCACUGCUUGUUAGUUUUGGCUGGUGUAUGCUAUUCACAGAUAAAUACAAGUGUAACCUUCGAUAGAGUUCAAGCAGGUAUGUUUCAAUUUUCUCUCAAACUAGUUAUCAGUCCCUAGAAGCAUGCUGCUGUAUGUUGUCACAAGCCUCUAUGAUCUUGAGUGAGCCUUAAUGAUUCGAUUGAUACCCGUAGUUUCUUCCCAAUCAGGCUAUUUUACAUUACUCGGUCUAGAGCUACCUUACUCUUCUCGUUUGAGACAAGAGUUUCUCUGCUCUGUCACACUUAUCUAGCAGAAGGUACAUUCGGUUUCUUAACCACCUCAUAAAAUUCUACAUUUACCUUCGAUUCACUAAAGUAACCCUUGAUACUUUCGGUCUUUACCACUGAAGUUUAUGGUUACACAACAUCUGUGUUUAUGAUCUUGGAUACGAUUACCACGUUCUAAGUGAAACCCAAAAGCCAACACCUAAAAUGAAUUGAUGGUGAGUGAUAUACUCAAGUUGUAACUUGGAAAUCUCCUUUUAUUUUUGCGUGAUCUUUUAUGAAAUCGUCUAUAACUAAGACAUUUCUUCCCAAAGAGGUCCAGUUUAUAUUUCUUUUGAGAUUUCUGCUUAUCCAAUGCUAGUCACAAGAUAAAUCCCACCUACCUAUUCAACAGAUCAUCUCGGUCUCACAGGUACCUCUACCAACAAUCAGUUUUAUGUCGAGACUUGAUGUUUGGUUAGAGGACAGCCACCCAAUAGCCUAUGAUCAAAAGAAGCCUUUCAUUGUUUAUUGACAGACAAUUGAUCGUAUUUCUCGGGAAACCAGACAAGCACUUCAAGUCUCUCUUGGCUUUGAAGGAAGUGAUUCUUGCCCGGAAUCCUCUGCUUUAUGUCUUCUACAAAGACAUCACUCACAUCUCAAACACAUUUGGUUUAUUUCUUUAUCUUUCACACUCUUAUGCACGAAAAUUAAUUUUUUCCAACAUUCUAAUUGCUGUUUGGUAUGGGGUUUUAUGUUUCAGCUGUAUCCAAACAAGGGUAAAAGGAAUUUCAAACGGUACGAAGAUAAGAUUUGGGCGCGUUAAUUUGAUUCGUUUCACACCCACGUGUGCUGACGUUUUCCUGGGAUACACCAUAACAUCCAAUCGCGCUUUUUUAGGCGACGUUUUAGUUCCAUAAUCAUCACGAUUUUCUCUCUCCAUGGAACGGUAUAAAUAGGGUGAUCGUGUUCUUUGUCAUUUACCAAACACGUAUCUUCUCUCUCUGCAAAAGUUUCCACUGUUCAUCUUCUUCUUCGAUUCAACCAUGGCGACUUCUUCCUCUGCACACGAUCAAACUGCAACUUCAUCUUUGCUUUCCAUCAAACCUAAUCAGAAUAUGAUUAUAGAGAUGACUCCUUUUCUGUAUGAUGCGUACAUGCUCCAUGUGGUGGAAUGUCUGAAGUAUUCCCCAUUGCUGUUAGCCCUCACGCAGGUGGAAGCCGUUCCGAUGUCCUUGCUUUCUCAAGUUUAUACAUCAGCAAGUUACGACAAGAACAAAGAUCGUAUCUACUUUACCAUCCAUGACAAGAAAACCUCGAUUUCGAAAAACAUGUUUUGUUCCCUUUUAGGGCUUGCUGUUGACUCAUCCGUCAUCUCGCCUGAUUUUGUCUCGACUGCACAGCUUUUAUCGAUGAUGUACGAGAUGGGUUAUACUGAUGUUCUUACGAUGAUAGCGAAGGUCAAGAAGUCCUGUCUCCCUUCACAGUGGAAUGGCUUGCUUACCCUGUUGAUCAAGGGUUUAGCAGAACGAUGUGGCGGUUCUGAUACCACAAGCAAAGGAUUUCUCACCAUCCUCUAUGGUCUUUACAAUAGCAUCAACUUAGAUUAUGGCUCCAUAAUCUGGUCUCAAGUCGUUCAGAGUCUUAACACCACGACUCGGUACUCCGAGAUCUCCUGCGGGCGUUUCUGGACGCUCAUCACGAAGAAAGCCAUGGAUUCUAUGGAAAUCCCUGUGAUGAAGGAUGCUCUUCUUGCUUCAAUCGCCUCCUUCCAUACUAAGAAGAUCAUUGUCUCGGACCCUAGUAAGUUUCGUCAUUAUGGAUUAAUUCCUGAAUCCAUGUAUAGGUGUGUGACGCCACAUAGCCGGGUCAUGGCCGAUUACAGCACCAGAACUCCUUUGCCUCCAAGGGUUCUGACUGACGAACAACAAGCAGCCUUGGAUACUUUGGAUCAACCUGCUAACCGAGGCAAGAGGGUCGUGAAAAAGGAAAAAGACGAGAAGAAGGAAAAAGAAAAGAAAAAGGAGAGUAAGCCAAGAUCCUCUAAGCGAAAAUCAGGUGAAGAAGAAUCUUCUCAAUCUAAAUCAAAGAAGAUUAAGAAGAUGGCAAAAAGGGCCAAAGGAUCCUCUUCUCCUGGAUCUGAUCAACAUGAAACGCCAGAAGCAGAGACUGCAUCUCCUCAUGAUUCACCAAAAGAGCCAACUCUUGCUUAGUCUCCACAAAAACCAUCCUAAAGAUACUCAUAUUCCCUCUCCACCAACAUCUCCCAAAGUCACAAAACUACCCACUCCUCCACCUUCUCCUAAAAUUCCUACCCCACCCCCAUCACCGAAACAGAGGGUUUCACUUUUUGUUCCUAUCAUCAUCUCUGCAACUACAUGAGAACCAACUUCUUUACCCACUUCAACCAUUAUUUCCUCUGUUCCUCUCCCUACUACUUCAAUAUCCACUCCAAUCAUAACCGAAUCUGUUACUACCACCCCUUCCCAACCUCCAGUAAAAGUCAAUAUAUCUGAUACAGGGGCUACUACUGUGGUUGAAACCCCUGUAAUUCAAAUACCACCAUCACCUACCCCAUCCUCAACCUCUGGUGCUACUUUGGGUGGUGAUGAUGAAGAGUAUGAUUCUCUUUACUAUAGCCCAUACAGAAUUCCCACUGAUACUGAUGCAGAUGCUCCCAUUACCAGUCAACAACUUCAAGACAUUCAUGAUAAACUAGAUAGUCUGUUGGCUGAUAAUAAAGCCUAUGGGAGUGUGGUAUUGAAAUCCUUUAUCGAAUCUACUAUCAAGACGUAUACUGAUGCUAUGGAUCGCUCCACUGAUGCCAUUGACAAGUCAGCCGCUUCAUGCUACAAAGCCACAAAGGAAGUCUCUGAGGUUGUUCACACAACUCAGAUUUUUCUCGAUUAUCUUAAAGCGCAUGCUGAUGUUAAUGCGGCCAAGUAUCAAUCGUCUGUGGACUCCUUUUCGGCUACCCUUCAGGGGGAAACUUCCAAGUUUGAAGCUCUGCGUGCUGAUCUCAAAACUGAAUCCACCUCUUUUCUUCAAUCUUUGGAUUCACGUUUUGCUUCUCUUGCAGCAGAGAGUACCUUAAAGGAGGAUCUUGUCAAACACCAGGCAACUAUCGACCUUCAAAAGGUGCAACUGGCCCAGGCAGAACAAUAAAUUUCUUUGUUAAAGACUCAGCGGGCAGUUCUUCAAGGUUGUGCUGGUGAUGUCAAAAACAUGUUGACAAGUGUGCUUGAAACUCAUGAUCCUUUUCUCACCCUCACCAUCCGACAGCAUCUCCAGGCCAAACUCCUCCCUGCAAUCUCAAUUCUAAGCGAGAUGAAGGGUGUCUCGGAGCGAUUGAGUUUCCCUCGAUGUAUUGGUUGGAACCGAUUGCAUCUUUUGAGUGUGAGAAUACUAAAGACUCGCAGUUUGACAUGCCGAUCACUCGAAAGGCUUUUACGUUUCAUUACUUCGAUGUCACUGCUAAUGUCCCUCAUCCAAACUUAAAAGUUGACAAAGAAUUGAUAGAUUUCUAUUUGAAGUAUGGUCAACCACGGUACUUGACAUGGAGUGCACAGAAGAUAGUAAAGGUCAAGGUACUGAAACCAACACCGGCUGGGAAAUUUGUAAACGUUAAUUUCAAAGUCAAUAGAGGAACGGCCAACACAGAACAUUUUAUUUCUCUGGCAGAUCUUCCCAGUCUGAAUCCUCAUGGUUGGAUUUUGCUAUACAACAUUCUUCUCUCAAAUCAAAGGGAGUAUGAACCGAUUCUGAAACAUCUCAAAAGAAUGUUGGCUUCCUAUAUCCAUAAGCUUGCCACUAUGGAUCAGGAAAUAGCGAAGAUAAUGAACAAGGUUUAUUUCUCUACCCUUCAGGGUGAAACUUCCAAGUUUGAAACUCUGCAUGCUGAUCUCAAAACUGAAUCCACCUCUUUUCUUCAAUCUUUGGAUUCACGUUUUGCUUCUCUUGCAGCAGAGAGUACCUUAAAGGAGGAUCUUGUCAAACACCAGGCAACUAUCGACCUUCAAAAGGUGCAACUGGCCCAGGCAGAACAAUAAAUUUCUUUGUUAAAGACUCAGCGGGCAGUUCUUCAAGGUUGUGCUGGUGAUGUCAAAAACAUGUUGACAAGUGUGCUUGAAACUCAUGAUCCUUUUCUCACCCUCACCAUCCGACAACAUCUCCAGGCCAAACUCCUCCCUGCAAUCUCAAUUCUGAGCGAGAUGAAGGGUGUCUCGGAGAAGACUAUUCUUCCAAGACAAGGGGGAGAGGAGAGUGUAAUGAAGACAGACCCGAAGGUUAAUUUAGCUUCGGGUUCUGGAAAGCAAAUACUUGUUGAGAGCGAGUCAGACACCGAUGAAACUAUUGCUAAAGCUCUUCAACGGAAGAAUAGGGAUAAAGAGCUGGAUGAGACUCUGAAAAUCGCUCAAGAGGCAGAGGCCAAAGAAAGAAAAAUUAAGGAGGAUGAGGAUGCUUUAAUGACUAAGAAGACUCUGUUUCUAGAAUGGGACAGAGACACACUCAUUAAUCAAGCGAUUGAGUUUCCCUCCAUGUAUUGGUUGGAACCGAUUGCAUCUUUUGAGUGUGAGAAUACUAAAGACUCGCAGUUUGACAUGCCGAUCACACGAAAGGCUUUUACGUUUCAUUGCUUCGAUGUCACUGCUGAUGUCCCUCAUCCAAACUUAAAGGUUGACAAAGAAUUGAUAGAUUUCUAUUUGAAGUAUGGUCAACCACAAUACUUGACAUGGAGUGCACAGAAGAUAGUAAAGGUCAAGGUACUGAAACCAACACCGGCUGGGAAAUUUGUGAACGUUAAUUUCAAAGUCAACAGAGGAACGGCCAACACAGAAAAUUUUAUUUCUCUGGCAGAUCUUCCCAGUCUGAAUCCUCAUGAUUGGAUUCUGCUAUACAACAUUCUUCUCUUAAAUCAAAGGGAGUAUGAACCGAUUCUGAAACAUCUCAAAAGAAUGGUGGCUUCCUACAUCCAUGAGCUUUCCACUAUGGAUCAGGAAAUAGCAAAGAUAAUGAACAAGGUUUAUUUCUCUACCCUUCAGGGUGAAACUUCCAAGUUUGAAACUCUGCGUGCUGAUCUCAAAACUGAAUCCACCUCUUUUCUUCAAUCUUUGGAUUCACGUUUUGCUUCUCUUGCAGCAGAGAGUACCUUAAAGGAGGAUCUUGUCAAACACCAGGCAACUAUCGACCUUCAAAAGGUGCAACUGGCCCAGGCAGAACAAUAAAUUUCUUUGUUAAAGACUCAGCGGGCAGUUCUUCAAGGUUGUGCUGGUGAUGUCAAAAACAUGUUGACAAGUGUGCUUGAAACUCAUGAUCCUUUUCUCACCCUCACCAUCCGACAACAUCUCCAGGCCAAACUCCUCCCUGCAAUCUCAAUUCUGAGCGAGAUGAAGGGUGUCUCGGAGAAGACUAUUCUUCCAAGACAAGGGGGAGAGGAGAGUGUAAUGAAGACAGACCCGAAGGUUAAUUUAGCUUCGGGUUCUGGAAAGCAAAUACUUGUUGAGAGCGAGUCAGACACCGAUGAAACUAUUGCUAAAGCUCUUCAACGGAAGAAUAGGGAUAAAGAGCUGGAUGAGACUCUGAAAAUCGCUCAAGAGGCAGAGGCCAAAGAAAGAAAAAUUAAGGAGGAUGAGGAUGCUUUAAUGACUAAGAAGACUCUGUUUCUAGAAUGGGACAGAGACACACUCAUUAAUCAAGCGAUUGAGUUUCCCUCCAUGUAUUGGUUGGAACCGAUUGCAUCUUUUGAGUGUGAGAAUACUAAAGACUCGCAGUUUGACAUGCCGAUCACACGAAAGGCUUUUACGUUUCAUUGCUUCGAUGUCACUGCUGAUGUCCCUCAUCCAAACUUAAAGGUUGACAAAGAAUUGAUAGAUUUCUAUUUGAAGUAUGGUCAACCACAAUACUUGACAUGGAGUGCACAGAAGAUAGUAAAGGUCAAGGUACUGAAACCAACACCGGCUGGGAAAUUUGUGAACGUUAAUUUCAAAGUCAACAGAGGAACGGCCAACACAGAAAAUUUUAUUUCUCUGGCAGAUCUUCCCAGUCUGAAUCCUCAUGAUUGGAUUCUGCUAUACAACAUUCUUCUCUUAAAUCAAAGGGAGUAUGAACCGAUUCUGAAACAUCUCAAAAGAAUGGUGGCUUCCUACAUCCAUGAGCUUUCCACUAUGGAUCAGGAAAUAGCAAAGAUAAUGAACAAGGUUUAUUUCUCUACCCUUCAGGGUGAAACUUCCAAGUUUGAAACUCUGCGUGCUGAUCUCAAAACUGAAUCCACCUCUUUUCUUCAAUCUUUGGAUUCACGUUUUGCUUCUCUUGCAGCAGAGAGUACCUUAAAGGAGGAUCUUGUCAAACACCAGGCAACUAUCGACCUUCAAAAGGUGCAACUGGCCCAGGCAGAACAAUAAAUUUCUUUGUUAAAGACUCAGCGGGCAGUUCUUCAAGGUUGUGCUGGUGAUGUCAAAAACAUGUUGACAAGUGUGCUUGAAACUCAUGAUCCUUUUCUCACCCUCACCAUCCGACAACAUCUCCAGGCCAAACUCCUCCCUGCAAUCUCAAUUCUGAGCGAGAUGAAGGGUGUCUCGGAGAAGACUAUUCUUCCAAGACAAGGGGGAGAGGAGAGUGUAAUGAAGACAGACCCGAAGGUUAAUUUAGCUUCGGGUUCUGGAAAGCAAAUACUUGUUGAGAGCGAGUCAGACACCGAUGAAACUAUUGCUAAAGCUCUUCAACGGAAGAAUAGGGAUAAAGAGCUGGAUGAGACUCUGAAAAUCGCUCAAGAGGCAGAGGCCAAAGAAAGAAAAAUUAAGGAGGAUGAGGAUGCUUUAAUGACUAAGAAGACUCUGUUUCUAGAAUGGGACAGAGACACACUCAUUAAUCAAGCGAUUGAGUUUCCCUCCAUGUAUUGGUUGGAACCGAUUGCAUCUUUUGAGUGUGAGAAUACUAAAGACUCGCAGUUUGACAUGCCGAUCACACGAAAGGCUUUUACGUUUCAUUGCUUCGAUGUCACUGCUGAUGUCCCUCAUCCAAACUUAAAGGUUGACAAAGAAUUGAUAGAUUUCUAUUUGAAGUAUGGUCAACCACAAUACUUGACAUGGAGUGCACAGAAGAUAGUAAAGGUCAAGGUACUGAAACCAACACCGGCUGGGAAAUUUGUGAACGUUAAUUUCAAAGUCAACAGAGGAACGGCCAACACAGAAAAUUUUAUUUCUCUGGCAGAUCUUCCCAGUCUGAAUCCUCAUGAUUGGAUUCUGCUAUACAACAUUCUUCUCUUAAAUCAAAGGGAGUAUGAACCGAUUCUGAAACAUCUCAAAAGAAUGGUGGCUUCCUACAUCCAUGAGCUUUCCACUAUGGAUCAGGAAAUAGCAAAGAUAAUGAACAAGGUUUAUUUCUCUACCCUUCAAGGUGAAACUUCCAAGUUUGAAACUCUGCGUGCUGAUCUCAAAACUGAAUCCACCUCUUUUCUUCAAUCUUUGGAUUCACGUUUUGCUUCUCUUGCAGCAGAGAGUACCUUAAAGGAGGAUCUUGUCAAACACCAGGCAACUAUCGACCUUCAAAAGGUGCAACUGGCCCAGGCAGAACAAUAAAUUUCUUUGUUAAAGACUCAGCGGGCAGUUCUUCAAGGUUGUGCUGGUGAUGUCAAAAACAUGUUGACAAGUGUGCUUGAAACUCAUGAUCCUUUUCUCACCCUCACCAUCCGACAACAUCUCCAGGCCAAACUCCUCCCUGCAAUCUCAAUUCUGAGCGAGAUGAAGGGUGUCUCGGAGAAGACUAUUCUUCCAAGACAAGGGGGAGAGGAGAGUGUAAUGAAGACAGACCCGAAGGUUAAUUUAGCUUCGGGUUCUGGAAAGCAAAUACUUGUUGAGAGCGAGUCAGACACCGAUGAAACUAUUGCUGAAGCUCUUCAACGGAAGAAAAGGGAUAAAGAGCUGGAUGAGACUCUGAAAAUCGCUCAAGAGGGAGAGGCGAAAGAAUGAAAAAUUAAGGAGGAUGAGGAUGCUUUAAAGACUAAGAAGACUCUGUUUCUAGAAUGGGACAGAGACACACUCAUUAAUCAAGCGAUUGAGUUUCCCUCCAUGUAUUGGUUGGAACCGAUUGCAUCUUUUGAGUGUGAGAAUACUAAAGACUCGCAAUUUGACAUGCCGAUCACACGAAAGGCUUUUACGUUUCAUUGCUUCGAUGUCACUACUGAUGUCCCUCAUCCAAACUUAAAGGUUGACAAAGAAUUGAUAGAUUUCUAUUUGAAGUAUCGUCAACCACAGUACUUGACAUGGAGUGCACAGAAGAUAGUAAAGGUCAAGGUACUGAAACCAACACUGGCUGGGAAAUUUGUGAACGUUAAUUUCAAAGUGAACAGAGGAACGGCCAACACAGAACAUUUUAUUUCUCUGGCAGAUCUUCCCAGUCUGAAUCCUCAUGAUUGGAUUCUACUAUACAACAUUCUUCUCUCAAAUCAAAGGGAGUAUGAACCGAUUCUGAAACAUCUCAAAAGAAUGUUGGCUUCCUACAUCCAUGAGCUUGCCACUAUGGAUCAGGAAAUAGCAAAGAUAAUGAUAAAGAAACCGACCGUCAAGCCUACUUCCAAGACAGGAGAUGUGCAUAAAAUGAAGUUAGGGCAAAUUGACUCUACAAAUCUGACGGUUAUGUUCACAAAGGGCGACAAGCACAAGUUUCUGUUUGCUUUGGUAUACAAGCAUCUAUUUUCAACAUACUGUCUGGAGCAUAUCAUAAACAUUGUUCACCGAUGCAAGCAGAACUCAACAGCAGACAAGAAGAAUUUUACAGAUAUGCUUCGGUGGUAUAUUACUUUCAGGUAUCACAUUCUGGCCAUUAUACCGAGGAUAUUUGAAACGGUGAAGAAACCACCUGCUGUUAAAAGGGAAUGAAGCCUCUGUGCCAAAGACGCAAAGGGGGAGAUUGUUGAAGAUUAAUGUGUUGCGUCUUGGGCCCUUUUAUUUUACAACCGGAUUGGGCUUGUCAAUCCAUGUUUAUCUAGAUUAGCUUCCUUUUUCUUAGAUAAACUGUUAGGGUUUCAAUAUAAAUAUAUGCAUGCAUGUAUGCGUAUAAAAGAUAGUUUUGGUCGAUCACGUUGAUUUCGGUAAACCCUAAAUCCUCUACAGUUGAAGUUCUUUAUCGAGCUCUUCUGAGGAUUGUUUAUUAAUCAUUCGACAUCUUUUGAUCCAUUUGCUUAUUCUUACUGUUUAUUCGUUUAUUUCUCUACCUGUUUCAUAGAUCUAAUCGAUCUUCAAGUUUGUUUAACUUAUCAAGUUUUGUGCUGCAGUACUAGCAGACACAAUUACAGAAUCAAAAUAAGCCACAAUAUCAUCAAAUGAAGUGAGUUCAGCAUCAUAAGCAGAUAAAGGAAUAUUAAAAGAUUCAAGUAUAAGAGGUAUCUUGGUAGUCAUGGGUGAUUUGUCCGUGGAUUUGGAUACGAAGCACCUCCCUGAAAUUUCCUCUUCGCAAUCUUCAAAACUUGCGAACAUGGCUCCAUGUGUGGGAUGCCUUAUUUCUUUGUCAUCAGAUCCUGAAGACCAGAUCUGAUACGUUCCACUCUCUUCAUCAUCAGUUUCACCCUUCGCAACCAGAGACACUCCUUUUGUCUUAGCACGUAACUCUUCAAUCUUUUCAGAAUAGUAUGCUUCAUCUUUAACUUUUUCCUUUUUCUCUUCUUUCUUUCGCAACAUGCAAUCGGCUGCGAAGUGAUUCGCACCAUUGCAGUAGUGACAGUAAAUUCCCGAGUCAUCUUUCAGCUUCUUCACUUCUUUCGCAUCUUUUUGUUUUUCCUCAGCUUUCUCCAUUUUCUUCCUCUCAUCUCCUCCAAUUUUUGUGACUCCACUCUUCGCAUCAGUAGCCUUUCCUUUUGCAUUAAAAGGCUUCUUGAAAAAUUUCUUAACUCUAUUAUUUGAGUAGAAUGCCACAGCUUCAUCAUCCGAGUUCAUAAAAAAUCCUUCAUUAUCUGAAUCAUCUUUUUCAUUCACAUCAACUUCAGAUACUUUUGAAACUAGAGCCAAAGGUCCUCCAAUACUUUGUUUUGACUCUUCAUACAUUUCUGAAACUUCACACUCAUGAGUUUUUAGUUGAUUGUAUAGAUCAUUCAGACUUGUUGUAUCAAAACUCUGUAGGUUUUUAAUCAUCAUGCUCACACUUCGCCAUUCCUUACGAAGGCCCAUGAUAAAAGUUAAGUAGUACUCAAUGACUGAUCUCGUAAUCCCAUACCUAUUGCAACGAUAGACCAGUUCAUUCAGAAGAUCAUAGUAAGCUUCAAGAGAUUCAGUCUCCUUUUGUCUGAAUUCUUUCAGUUCAACAAGACAUUAUUUCACUGAAUUGAUCUUCGUUUUUUCGCUUCCUUGAUAUUUCUCCUUCAAAGUGAUCCAGAUUUCCUUUGUUGUUUUACAACUACGGAUGUAACUGUAAACAACAGGAGAUAAAGCAACUCUUAAUUCCCUCAUGCAUUGUUUUUCAUUCUUCUUCAUACGGUUUUGUCUUUCAAGUACUUCAGGAGUUGUAGUUGAUGCUCCGAUUGGUUGAACAUUAGCAGGAGCUUGAACUGUUCCAUCAAUACAGUUCCAAAGUUCUUCAUCUAUUGAAUUCAGGUAAUCCUCCAUUCUGUCCGCCCAUUGAUCAUAAUAUUCAAGAAUUAACAUAGGAAUUUUGGUUGAUGAUCCAAGUAAAUGAGAGAAGGAAGUUAUUGUGUUCGUGUUAAAAUUCGCCAUUGAUGAACACAAAAAUUUUAGAAAGCUUGAAAAACUCAAUGAAUUUGAAAAUUGAUUGACUGAAAUGAUCACAAAUUGCUAAUCGAUUACUCGAAUUAACAAUUCAAAAGCAGAAUCGAUUCAAAUCUGAAGAUCAAAAGAGAUUUUCAAAACCAGAAUGCGUGGAAAAUUUUGAGUAAAAUUACUACUCAAAAAGCAAAAUUAUUCUAACACAAAAAUCAGAUCGAAGCAGUUUAAAUCCUGCUCUGAUACCAAUUGAUGAGAAUUGUUAUAGAGAUUAUGAAUGCAAUUAUGAAUUGAGUGAUUGAGUAAUAAGAACACAAAGAGUAAAUAUUCAUAAGAUCUUGUAUUGAGAAAGACUGAUUACAAGAAAUAAGCAGAAGGAUAUUCGAGUUGCAAAAAGUUAUCCUUUACUUCUAACCUCAGUCCCGAUUUAUAAGGAACCUGAGUGAACAAAAAAUAUACUAAGACUAAACAUUUAAGCUUCACAUAAAAAUGACUUAGUAAAAUAACUAAAAUGCGAAUAUUACAAAGACAUAGCCACUUCGACUUUUACAACAAAAUGACUCUACACAACAAAAAGCGGUAAUCAAUACUUCCUGUUAAUUUUGGAUGACUACUCAUCAUAUAUGUGGGUGUAUCUAAUUAAAACCAAAAACGAAUCCUUGACCAUGUUCCAGAAAUUCAUGUUGGAUUAGUGUCUAAGCCGGUAACUAUAUUUUGUAUGUACUUAACCCGGUUGUGCAUGGUCCUUUUAGGUUGCCUUCACCAAAGCAACUUGACAAGGUAAUUUAAGGAUAGAGAGAGAAUAUUAUGGUUUAUUAAUAUAUUAUAAAAAUAACAUUUUAAAGGUGAAAUCAUAUUUAUUUAAUUAGUAUUAUUCAUAAAUUAAUUAGGAAUUAAUUUGCUGACUAAAAGUGAUUAAUUAAAAAAAGGGGCAUAAACUGUCCAAUGUGUGAUUGUUGAGUUUUGGGCUAGGAAGCCUAAUGGACUAAGGGGAGACGAAAUUAUGAUGAGGGAUCAUCAUAUUUUAAUUCAAGGCCUUAAUUCCAGAAGGUUCCUUGGGUUGCUUGGUAAAUAUAACCCCUAGGCUAUGGAAAUCUACUACACUUCAUUCCAAGGGAACCUUAGGGCCACCCUCUCUCAUAUUUCCUUCUUUCUUGUGCGGUUUGUAAACCAUUAGAGGAGUUACAUUUGUGACUCUAAGCUCAAGAUUAAGAAGACUACAAGGAUUUCAAGCCAUUUGAAAGAGGUAAAACACUUAGAUCUGUUUCUAUGAUGUUAAUUUCAAAUUAUGUAUGAUAGAUCUAGGGUUGCAAGUCUUGGAUUCAAAGCAUGUACAAUAGAUAAACCUGUUGGGUUUUGAGCAUUCUAACACUCCUAAGUGUACAUGCAACCCUAAAUACCUUGGAUCUAUGUUUUCUCUAUUAUACAUGCAAAUAAGAAUUUCCAAGGUAUUAUCCUAAUCUAGCAUACAAAACAAUGAAUGUAAUAAGAUAUAAUACAUACCUCUUUGAUGUAGAAAGUCUUCAUGAAGCUUGAGUGCCAAGUGCCCCAAGUGUGACACGUUCAAAUGGUCCACACAACACCAAAUACACAUGGAAUGACUUGACAGAAAAUCCACACUUCAUGAAAUCGGCUAGCCCUUCUACUUCACCCACUAGUGCCAAUUUUGGUGAAUAAUAUGAUGCUUAUAUAGUGUGUUACAAUUAGGGUUACACCAUGUAAACCCUAAUUGUCAUGACCUUUCAUUUCCAUGACCCAUGGGUUAUGUAACCUCCAUGGACCAUCCUAUGGGUUUAACCCAACUUGAUUAUCCAUGGAGCUUUGGCCCACUAUAUAAGUUAUGGAUGAUUUGCACAAUCAACCCAUAUAUUUAAUUAGUCUUCUUUUGAUCACUUAAUUAAUCUUAGAUUAAUUCUUGAUCAAUACUAAUUAAAUACUAUUAUUCUUAUUAUUAAUAUACUAGAACUUAUAAUAUAUUAAUAACCAUAAGUGUCUUAUUUCUCUCAUUUAGUCUAUCCAAGUGCAUGAUGCCAUGCAACCCAAAUGGACCAUGCCGGGUCGGGUCAAGUCUUACCAAUUAUAGUUAUGGACUUAGACAUUAAUCCAACAGUCUCCCACUUGGAUAAGUCUAAAACUAUUAUUGCGUAUGACUUCAGGAACCAACUGGCAAUCGUAGCUCUCAAAAGCUUCUGUCGAACUCUGACCUUGUAGAUGAACUCUGACCUUUGUCAGUGACUUGUCCAUUAGAUAAGGGAUCAUAUAUUCCUCCAUUCUAGAUAUCAUAUGGACUGAGACAUGGAUUAUAAUCAUUCUCUCUGUCCAUUUGUUGUUUCCCGAUUUCCGAUUUAUGACGACUGACUAAUUGAACAAAUCAAAUCAGUCCUGGCCCGGCCGAGCACUUCCAUUUGUCAUCAUCAAAUCAUCGAGGGGCCCACAGAUAUCGCUUUUAUCCCGAAGGUAAAAGGAACGGAUAAACUUCGACUCAUAUGGCUUGUUCUACUACUUGUUGAAUCAUACACAAAGGCACGUUUUAUAGCACCGAGUUACCAAAUGCGUUUUCGUGCUAUCAAUGUACUAUCAACUCAUAGUAACAACUCAUAUCUCUAGGUUUGAAGAAUAUAAGAUAUUAUCGUCUCAUGAUCACUCGUGAUAAAAUCCAUGAAGUGAUUCCAAUGAGCGCGGGUUGAAUCCAAUACUCAGAACUUANUGAUAGACAUUCGAAUGUAGGAUAACUAAGAGUUUAGAAUACUUAACUAAUACUACAAGUGGCCCGGCCGAGCACUUCCAUUUAUCAUCAUCAAAUCAUCGAGGGGCCCAAAAAUAUCUCUUUUAUCUCGAAGUUAAAAGGAAUGGAUAAAAUUCGAUUCAUAUGGCUUGUUCUACUACNNNNNNNNNNNNNNNNNNNNNNNNNNNNNNNNNNNNNNNNNNNNNNNNNNNNNNNNNNNNNNNNNNNNNNNNNNNNNNNNNNNNNNNNNNNNNNNNNNNNAAUGCCUUUUAAACUUAUACACCUUUGCCUUAGAUAGUUCAUAUGCGUGUCUUAACAAUUAAGACCACUUGCGAAACCUCACAAUUCGAAUCAUGGAAAGGGAUACCGUAACAAUAAUCGAAUUCGAGAAUGCAAUUUUACAAUCACUAUCUUCUUAAAAUCUUUCUUAGUGAAAGCGUUUCCUCACAAUCAUUUUCAUGAAUGAGGAAAUCUUAUGACACUUAGGUUUUAAACGGUGUAAAUGUUCCUAUCCAUGUGAUUUUGUCAAAACCAAUGUUUACGACAAAUUCAAACUCAUAUGGAUCGAACUUUCUUAAUCAUGAUUUCUUGCAUUAUGGUAGCACAGCGGCCCACCAUGUCUUCCAAGUAGUUAAGCAUCUCACCCUUUCCUAUCAAUGUACCUUUUAUUGAUUAAGGUGCCUUGCCUUUUUUGCAUUCAAGAUGAGAACUCAUAGAACUCACAUGCAUAAUUAACUCAAUUGGAACAGCACAGAAACAAAAUAAUGUCAACACGAUAGGUUGUAAACCUCAGCUCGUGUGCUAGUGAUGAUAGAUAAGGUUUAUUUGAUUUGUUCUUGAAACUAUUUAAGACCAUUAAGACUCCCACUAACUCCUUGACAUAUAAGAUUCUUUUGUCAAUAACCAUUUCUUGACAAACAAAUAUUCAAGAGUUAGUGUAGCUUUUAUAAAAACAUUUCAUAAAUUAGACCUAGUUGGUCUUUGUCUUAUUCAAGACAUCACAACUUUCCACAUUUGAUGAAUGUUAUAAACCUUUAAUACGCUUCACUCAUUGUCACAAUCUUAACUUUAAGACUUGUUAUUGAACAAAGUAUGAUAGACUUCUUGAUUUAACCAUUUCUUCAAUCCUUGAUUCCUCUUCUUAAACAUACAAUUGUACUAAGACUCACUUAGAGGAUCAAUUGAGAUAUGGUUCUUAAUCAUUAAGACCUAUCAUAAAGCAUAAAAGCUACUCUCCCUUCUUCUUAGAAUGGAGAAACUUUUAUCUUUCUGCCUACUUGAUUCUUCUUAUUCGUUCUACUAUUGAUCUAAACCCUUUAAUCAAUUCAGAAUUACACUUAAUCUUGUAAGUAUAAUCAUAUUUACUAAACCUUUAGUAAAUCAUGACGAAUAUCUUUGUUACUCUUAUGGUGGACUUGAUCAACACGCAACUUUGUGUACUCGAUCUCCUAGUCCUUCACUUGACACUUUGUCAAUGAAUUAGUCUAAUUUCCAAAUAUGAAAUUUCUCAUUCAUCGUGCAACCAAGUUGCAUGAUUCCAAGUUUCUGUCCAAUUGAAACUUGGGCGAUGAGAAACUCUCCCUAUUUGGUAAAUUCUCGACUUUCCAUAAAUAACAUAAUAAGAACCAAAUCCAUUAUUGCUAAUAAUAGAAACAUUCAAACAUCAAUUUUUCAUAUACGCCAUUGCAAGGAUAAAUAAAUAAUAUAAAAUCAAAAUUUAUUUUAUUGCGGAAAAAAUUUGUCCUUACAAUGCAAUUCAUUGAAAAACUAUGCUAAUACAUCUUUCUUAGCAAUCUAAUUCUAACUCUAAGUAGUAGCUCAAGAAUCUAAUCUUCGAGAAAUGCGAUCGAAAUCCAUUCCUUCACGGUUAGAUUCUGCUCACUUCUUCCCUUAAGCUUCCUUUCUUUUCUUCGAUCCUACAAAACAUCAAUUGUAAUCUUAUCACAUUAUGUAUUAAGAAUCUAGAAUAGAAGCUUAAAAGAGUUAGUUAAUGGAUUUUACCUAUAUUAGAGCCAUACGUUUCGACUCUCCCAUCUCUUAGAUCUCUUAGGUAAAUGGGGCAGCUUCGUCUCCAAUGCCCUUUCUCUUGGCAAUAAAAGCAAAUUGACUCUUUUGGAACAUGACAUGGAACUACUUCAGACAUUGCCUUUCUCUUAUGAUCAAACUUUUCGAUCAUAGCAUGUCUUUCGUUGCCAUUGUCUAUAUCCAUAGAGGUCUUGAAGGCAGAUUCACCAAUCAACUUUGCUUUUCUAUUGCGCCAAACCAUUGCUGAUUCAGCAGCAAUAAGCAUAUAGGUGAGAUCUAUAAGGGUCACGUCGCGGUUCAUCAUAUAGUACUCUCUUACGAACUCACUAUAUGAGUUAGGAAGUGACUGAAGAACCCAAUCAACAGCCAUUUCCUCACAGACAACGGAUCCCAACAUUCUUAACCUAUCAAUGUGUGACUUCAUCCCUAGGACGUGUGCACACACCGACUUUCCUUCUUUAUGUUUACUUGCCAAAAGGGCUUGAGUGAUCUUGAACUUUUCAAGCCUUUGAACUUGUGGGUUAGGGAGAAUAAUUGGAGGAGGAGGAGGAAGUGAAGCAUGAUUUCUUGUUCCUCGAUCGAAUCGUGGAAUAUCAUCUUCAUGUGGAAUGCUUGUUCCACGGGAUUUGGGAAGACCAUAGUUGUCGAACUUUGACAUCUACAAAACGGGAGAAAACGAAUUCAAGUUAGUUGAUUGAUUGAGUCCUUAGUAAAUCACCCAAAUGAGAUACUAAGGCUAGGACCCAACACAAUAUUCUACAACUCGGGAGAGGGAUGCCGUAACCCUAAUUGCAGAAUAUUUGAAGGUAAGUGAAUGACGAUUCACUAAUUUCCACCAUGAAAAACGAAAAAGAAAUUUAAGUUUUAAAUCUAUGAAAACUCCUAGAUCCUUUGAGAUUCAUUGAACUUUCAAUGGCAUGUUUAAAUCUCGAUAUGCCCCUCUUGUUUGUGACUGGGAUGCCGAGGAUCACAAAGCGGGUGUGAAUAACCAUGCAAACUUACAUGGUGCCCUCACAUGUUACAGUCACCUAUUCGAUGUGCCGGUAAACCACACACGCUCCACCGAACUAUGACAAACAUUGAGUCACCCUUUGCUACCUUUGCUUAGAACCAUUUAGUGUGCCGGUAAACCACACACGCUCCACUAACGUCUUCGCAAGGGCACAAAGUGUAAUUUCAUGGAAUUGCAUCAAUUCACUUUUGCCUAAGUAACUAAGAUUGGGAAUUUUAUGAAAACAUUUAGUUACUUUAAUAAUUCAUUAUACUUAUAAUGGAAGGUUUCGUCCUAUCCUACCCGUUCGGCUAACGACCCUCCACUAGUCAAGAGUGCGGUGGGUAAGAGUGGAUACCCAUUCAAUCGCCAUUUUAUAGGCAAUUUCCUUAAACACCCCUUAUAGACCAGCUUCGUGAAUGAGGCCUACUAACGGUAAGACUGACUUUUACUCAUACAUAUAUAUAAUGUUAGACUUUUAAUGUUAUAUAUAGUAUAGGGUGUAUUUUAUACUUUUAAAAUACUAGGUGGUCUAAUUUAACAAUUAUACUUUUAAUUCAAUUAAAUUGUAAACCUAAACUUUUAUGGAUUUAUUAAACCUCUUUUAAUUAUACACCUUAAUUAAUUAAUAAAACCAUAAGGGUGUGAUUUGAACUUUUUCAAAACUAUACUAGAGUUUUAGAAUUUAACAUUCCUAAUUAAACUUUUAAUCAACUUUUAAAUUCCAAAACUUGAGGGCAAGUUUUGAAACAUUUCAACACAUUAGGGUUUAGAAUUUAAAUAUACAUCAAAAUUAAACUAUUUAAUCAAAAUUUAAAUUCCAAAACUUGAGGGCAAGUUUUGAAACCUUUUUCAAAACAUUAGGGUUUCAACUAUUUAAAUUUCAAAACAACAAAACUAUUGGGUUCAAAUUUAAACUAUAAAACCUAAAGGGCAAAAUAUGAAACUUUUCAUAACAACAAGGAUCAAAUAACAAAUAAUCUAAACUAACAUUUAAUUACAUAAUUAUCCAUAUUUGAUUUGUUUAUUGAUUUCUUGCAUAACAAUUUAUCAAUUUACUCAAAAUAAUUAAUCAAUUAUCUUAUAAGGAAACAAUUAUCUUAUUAAUUGAUAAAUAUCUUCAUUUAGAUCACAAAUAUAGUCAAAUAUAUCAUAUAAUCGGAUUAAUAAUGAUCUAACAUCAUAAGGAAACUAUCCAUAAGCAAAAACAACAAGAAACCCCGAGAAAACCUCCAUCUGACGACUCGACUCGUCGAGUCAGGCAUUGGACUCGUCGAGUCAGCAUGGACUCGGCGAGUUCAGCCAUGGACUCGGCGAGUCUAGCUUCCAAAAACUCAAAAAACGAAUUUUUCAAUUAUGUAAUGCAUCUACAAUUGAAACCAAGCUAGGCUCUGAUACCACUGAUGGGUUUUGGUCAAAAGACAUCCUAUGUGCUCAUACAAACCCUAAAGCUUGGAUCUAGGUUUCUCUAUUGUACAUGCUUUGAAUCCAAGACUAUAAACCCUAAUUAUAGCAUAUGGAAAUCGACAUUAACAUAUAAUUAGGUUUGUGAUAUUACCUUUAAUUGUUAUGUAGCAAUAACAAUCCCAAUUCCACCUUGGAUUGACUUUGGAAUGCUUAGAGUCACAAGUGUCACUCCUCUAAUGGCUUACAAACACCAAGAGCAAAUGGAGAAGCUAUAAAGAGAGAGGAGAGAGGUUAGAAUUCGUCUCUAGGACUUCUUGGGAAGGGGUGUUUAUAUAGGUGUAGAGAUAGGGUUUCUGUCAUUAUCCUUAUCUAGUUGCUUAUCAACAAAGCAACCAAUAAGAUAAUCCUUGAAUCCUUAUCAUACUCGAAUUCUAAGGCUCUUUAUCCUUAAAUUCGUCCAACCUAUCAAUAAGAUAACUCUUACCUUAUUUUGUAACUAUCACAUAAUUACAAUUCAGCCCCUCUAGUUUAAUUAAUUACACUUGAUCACAAAACUAAUUCUUAAUUAAUUAUUGACCAAUAUUAAUUAAACAAAUAUGAUUUCUCCUUUAAUAUAUUAUUCUUAUAACAUAUUAAUAAAUCAUAUUAUCCUCUCUCUCUAUAUUUUUCUCCAAUCAAGUUGCUUUGGUGAAGGCAACCCAAAAGGACCAUGCACCAUCGGGUCAAGUACAUACCAAAAUUGUUAUGGACGUAGACACUAAUCCAACAUCUAAGACUUGUAUUGGAACGAAGUAUGACUCAUCAUCUUGAUUUAACCUUUUCAACAAUUCAAGAUCCCUCUUCUUAGUUAUACGAAUGCACUAAGAAUUCCUUAGAGAACUAAUUGUGAUAUGGUUUCUUAAUCAUUAAGAUGAUCACAAAAACUGAUACUAAAGUACUCUCCCAUUUUUUCAGAUUUGAGAAACUUUUAUCCUUCUGCCUAGUUUGAUUCUUCUUAUUCGCUCUGCCAUACAUUGGAACCUUUUUCCAAUGUCUGAAAAUUACACUUAAACUUGUAAGUAUAACCAUAUUUACUGAACUUAAGUAAAUUAUGACGAAUCUCUUUCUUGUUCAUCAUUGAGUUCUUUUAGUUGAUUUAGGGUCUCUUUAUUCUUCUCAACAACNGUGCACAAGAAUGUGUACUCGAUCCCUUAGUCCAUUACUUGACUCACACAUCCAUGUGAACAAGUAAUUAGUCUUAAUUUUCCAAUACUUGAAACUUCUCAUUCAUCAUGCUAUACAACUUGCAUAAUUCCAAGUUUCUAUCCAAUUCAAACUUGGGUGAUGAGAAUCUUUCAUUAUUUGGUAAAUUUAGACAUUACCACAAAUGAAAGAAUCAAUUUCAUAUUUCCACUCUUGCUAUUAAUGGAAUCAAAUAAGCAACAAUUUUUACUUAAAUGCCAUUGUAAGGAUAUUUUAUAAUAAAUAAAAUCAUCAUUUUCCCUUUAUUUUAAAACUUUGCGGAAAAACUUAUCCUUACAAUCCAUAUGAAAACUUGUUGUUAUCUAUUCCUAAGUAAUAUCUCAUAACUCCUAAGAAGUAGCUCAAGAAUCCGAUCUUCAAACUGUGCGAUAAAAAUCCAUCUAUGCGAUCAGAUUCAACAUAUUCUUUCUUUAUGUUCCUUUACUUUUCUUUGAUUCUUAAAACAUCAACAUGUGACCCAGUCAAAUCAUGUAAUAAGAAUCUCUGAGUAGAAACUUAGCAGAGUUAGAUAAUGGACUUUACCUAAAGUAGAGUCAAACUUAUUGACUUUAACACCCUUAGGUAAAUUGGCAGAUUCGCAAUCAAUGCCCCUUCCUUUGGCAAUAUAAACAUAUGGACCCUUUGGUAAUGGUACACGAGACUAUCACAGACUUAGCUUUUCUCUUUACCAUUUGGUCAACCCAGUUGACUAUGGCCGAUCCCUUUCCAUUGGGAAGAGUAUGAUUUUCUGGAUUUCCUGUGUCACUAUUGUCAAUGUCCAUCAAGUUUUAAGGAAGUUGAUCUUAACAAAUAGAUAAGAUCAUUAAGGGUCUUGUCAUAGUCUGUUUCAUAGGUGUCCCAAAGGAACUCACUAUGUGACUUAGAAAGUGAUUGAACCACCAACUUUCUCAAGACUUUGACACCCAACUCUCCCGGCUUGUCAAUAUGUGACUACAUCUCCAAGAUGUGACCACACCUAGACCUUGCCUUGCUAAUAGGGCCUGAGUGACCUUAAACUUUUCAAGAACUUGUGGGUUAGGGAGAAUAAUUUGAAGAGGUGAAGAAGUAUGAUAUCCAUGGGACAUCAUCUUCAUUAGGAAACCUUGUUUCAAGAGAUUUGGGAAGAUCAUAGGUGUCUAAACCAGACAUCUUUUGGGAGAUAUUCAAGAUAGUUGAUUUAAAGUCCUUAAUAUGACACCCAAUAUGAAAUAUUAAGGCUAGGACCCAACAAACUAUUUUAUAACUUAGAAGAGGUAUGCCGUAAUCCAAGCUAUAAAAUAUUUGAAGGUAGGUGAAUGACGAUUCACCAAUUUCCACCAAGAUAAACGAAAUGUAUUAUUAGGUUUUAAUUGGUUUUGAAACUCCUAGAUCUUUGAGAUUCAUUGAACUUUUCAAAGGCAUGUUUCAAUCUCGAGUGUGCCCUUCAGGUUUUGUGACUGGGAUGCCGAGGAUCACAAAACAAGGUGUGAAGUAACCAUGCAAAUCACUUGGUACCCUUAAUAAAUUACCCCUCAAUCGAUGUGCCGGUUAACCACACACGCUCCAUCGAUACUAUGAUAAAUAUUAAGUCACCCUUUACCUACCUUGUUAAGUCCAAGUUAGUGUGCCGGUUAACCACACACGCUCCACUAACGACUUAGACAAAGUGUAAAGUGUAAUUUCAUGGAUUAGCACCUUAUUCACAUUUUUCCUAAGUAACUAAGAUUGGGUAUUAUUAAGAGUUUAGUUACUUAGUAUUAUCAUUAAUACUUUUAAUGAAGGGAGAAUUCUAGUCCUGUCAAACCCGUUCGGCUAACGACCCUCCACCAGUCAAGCAAGCGGUGGGUGAGAGUGGACACCCAUUAAGUUGCCAUUUUAUAGGCAACAACCUUAUACCCACCUUAUAGACCGGCUUCGUGAAUGAGGCGUACUAGCGGUAAGACUGACUUUACUCUUAUACAUAUAUAUAUUAUUAACUUAUAAUAUUAUAAAGUAUAAGGGUUGAAUUUUAACUUUUAAAAUUCUAAGGGCUAACUUGGAAUUAAAGUAUUCAUAAGUGAAAACUUUUCAAAUUCCAAAACUUGAGGGCAAGUUUUGAAACUAUUCAAAACUAAUUAAUUCCAUAACUUAUGUGUUUAAAGUAGUUUUAAUCCAAAAACUCUUCAAGUUCCAUAACUUAUGGAAGACUUUAAACUAAUAAAAGAAUUAACUUUUCUUUAUUUUAUAACUUAUGGAAUUAAUUAAGGUUACACUUUUAUUCUUUAAUGAAGUGACUCUUGAACCUCCAAAAAUUGAGGAGAAGUUAUGGAGUCACAAAUACAAUCAAUGAUGACAAGACUAUUCAUUUUUUGUAACCAUUCCCAACUUUUAUGAGUUUUAUGAGUCUUUAAUGUGACUCUUCAUGUAACUUGAGGACAAGUUACACAAACACAUUUUAUACUCAACUCUUAGAUUAAAAUGGAUUGAAAACAACUAUUUCACUCAACAUUUCUAUUAAUCUAAGCAACUCAUAAGAACAAGAUAAUUCAAAUCAAACUUUUUCAUGUAAUUAGUCUAAACCUUAAACUAAUACAAAACAUGAAUCUAUUGACAAUUAUCUUUGAAAAUGGAUUAGCAUGAACAUUACCACAUCAAAAACAAGUUUAUAAGUUCAAAAACAACUUAGGGUAAUGUUCCUAGUCCAUUUCUAGCCAAAAAACUCGAAAAUAUGCUGUCUGGGGGUCCAACUCGUCGAGUGCAUGAACAAACUCGGCGAGUUGGAUCGAAUUCAUCACUUUUUAGGCAUGGACUCGUCGAGUCUCCUGAUGGACUCGCCGAGUCUGAUGGCCAGACAGCACCAGAUUCGUUUUUUCAGCUACUAUUGCAAGUAUAACAAGAAAACAAGCCUAGGCUCUGAUACCACUGUUGGGUUUUGAGCAUUCUAACACUCCUAAGUGUACAUGCAACCCUAAAUACCUUGGAUCUAUGUUUUCUCUAUUAUACAUGCAAAUAAGAACUUCCAAGGUAUUAUCCUAAUCUAGCAUACAAAACAAUGAAUAUAACAAGAUAGAAUACAUACCUCUUUGAUGUAGAAAGUCUUCAUGAAGCUUGAGUGCCUAGUGCCCCAAGUGUGACACCUCAAAUGGUUCACACAACACCAAAUACACUUGUAAUGACUUGAGAGAAAUCCACAACUCAUGAAAUCGGCUAGCCCUUCUAUUACACACACUAGUGCCGAUUUUGGUGAAUAAUAUGAUGCUUAUAUAGUGUGUUACAAUUAGGGUUACACCAUGUAAACCCUAAUUGUCAUGACCUUUCAUUUCCAUGACCCAUGGGUUAUGUAACCUCCAUGGACCAUCCUAUGGGUUUAACCCAACUUGAUUAUCCAUGGAGCUUUGGCCCACUAUAUAAGUUAUGGAUGAUUUGCACAAUCAACCCAUAUAUUUAAUUAGUCUUCUUUUGAUCACUUAAUUAAUCCUAGAUUAAUUCUUGAUCAAUACUAAUUAAAUACUAUUAUUCUUAUUAUUAAUAUACUAGAACUUAUAAUAUAUUAAUAACCAUAAGUGUCUUAUUUCUCUCAUUUAGUCUAUCCAAGUGGAUGAUGUCAUGCAACCCAAAUGGACCAUGUCGGGUCGGGUCAAGUCUUACCAAUUAUAGUUAUGGACUUAGACAUUAAUCCAACAAAACCUAGAUCCAAGCAUUAGGGUUUGUAUGAGCACAUAUGAUUGUUGUUAUGCAUAAAACCCAUCAGUGGUAUCGGAGCCAUGAUUGGUUUAAGUUGUAUGUUAUGCUUUAACUGUUUGCUUGCUGAAAAAUCAAGUUUUUUUGCUAUCUGUUGGAUGAACUCGACGAGUUCCAAAGUGGACUCGACGAGUUUUGACGCCUGACAGAAAGAUUUUCGGGAUUUUGUUGCUGUUUUGUCAUGGGAUUAAUGCCUAAAUCGUUUUUGAAGUAUAAAAUUCGAAUUUUAUAAUAUUUGCAUGAUUAUCCCUGCCAAAACAAUAGAUAAUUUCAAAUCUUUUAAAUAUUAGUUGUUUAUAUGAUAAAUAUGGACUAUUUAAAUUAUUUGGUAAUUAUCUUAUGACAAAAAUUAAAUUUGGACAAAUAUAGAUAAUUAUGAAAUUAAUUGUUUAAUUUAAAGUAUUUGUUAUUUGAUCCCGUAUGUUUUGAAAAGUUGAAAACUUGUCCUCAAGUUUUGAAAUUUAAAUUUUAUGAUUAAAAGUUUAAUUUUGAGUAAUUUAAAUUUCAAACCAUUAGAAUUUUACAAGUUUAAAAUUCAACCCUAUACUAUUAUAUAAUCACAUGCAUAAUUAAUAUAUAUAUAUAUAUAUAUANAUAUAUAUAUAUAUAUAUAUAUAUAUAUGUAACUUAAAAGUGCUAGUCUUACCGUUAGUAGGCCUCAUUCACGAAGCCGGUCUAUAAGGUGGGUAUAAGGUUGCUGUCUAUAAAAUGGUGCUUAAUGGGUGUACACUCACACCCACCGCUUGCUUGACUGGUGGAGGGUCGUUAGUCGAACGGGUUGGAUAGGGCAAUCCUCUCCUCAUUAAAAGUAUAAUGAAUGAUACAAAGUAAUUACAACAUUUUUUUUACAAAUUCCCAAUCUUAGUUACUUUAGGGUAAAAUGUGAAAAUGAUGCUAAUCCAUAGAAUUAGACUUUGUACCCUUGUCAAACGUUAGUGGAGCAUGUGUGGUUAGCCGACACACAAAUUUGGGGUUGACAUUGGUAGCAAAGGUGGCUCGAUGUUUGUCAUAGAUCAAUGGAGCUUGCGUAGUUUACCGGCACAUUGAUUAAGUGAUAGAGACAUUGAGUGCACCAUGUUGAUUCGCAUGGUUAUUCACAACUUGUUUGCGAUCCUCGGUAUCCCAGUCGUAAAUUUGAAGUGCAUAUCGAGAUUUAAACAUGUCAUUGAAAAGUUCAAUGAAUCUCAAUGAUCUAGGAGUUUUCAAAUACAUUUAAAACUUAAUCAUUUUUCGUUUUUCAUGGUGAGAAUUAGUGAAUCGUCAUUCACUUACCUUAAAAUUAUUUACUUUUAGAGUACGGCAUCCCUUUCUAAGUUGUAAAUAAUGUUGUUGGGUCCGAACCCUAAUUUCUCAUUUGGGUGUUUAAUUAGGGACUCUUUUUUCUAAUCAAAAUUUGUUCCUUUCUUUUUUAGAUGUCUGCAACCAACAAUAACAACACUUCUGGGUCAUUCUCAUUGACGAACCUAUGUCAAAAGGUGACAUUUGAUGGGUGAAACUUCAACAAGUGGAUGAGGUAUAUUCGCAUGAUCACACGCUACGAGGACAAAGAAUAUGUCCUCGAUGAGAAGCUUGAGAAGAUCAUCCCAGAUGUUGCUACUCCGGAAGAGUUGGCCGCUUUUGAGGCCCACGAGCGUGAUGCUACGAAAGUUCGUUGCAUCAUGAUGGCCACCAUGAACCUCGAACUCCAAAUGUCCUAUGAGGACAUGUAUCCGUAUGAAAUGCAUUAGGAUUUGCUGGAGAGGUACCAACAAAGCGCGAGGCAAGAGCGCUAUGAGAUCAUUAAUAACAUGAUCACUGGUAAAAUGGGGAGUGGAGAAUCCCUAACCUCUCAUUUGCAGAAAAUGCAGAGGUAUGUUGAUCGUCUUCUCAAAAUUAUUGUUAAGUUUGAUGAGGAUUUGGCUAUCAACAUAAUCCCCUACUCCUUGCUAUCCUGCUACAACCAGUUCAGAAUGACAUACCACACGAAUAAGGAAAAGGUCUCCUUGAGCAAGCUCCAAGGAUUGUUGAGGACUGCUGAGAGCAACCUCAAAGACAAAUCUGUUGCACCGUCCCCUGCUGUGGCUGCUUCUGUGAUGGAAAUUGGCCAAGGGAAGGGAAAGAAGAGGAAGGCUCCCUCAAAGAGCCACCAAAAGAGAAAGUCCUGUGAUGGUUCAUCCUUUAGUAGGACCAUAGCAGGCACUACUAAACCCUCCUCCGACCGCAAGGAAGCAGAGUGCUUCUAUUGCCACGAAAAGGGCCACUAGAAACGAAGUUGUGCCAAGUAUCUGCAAGACAUAAAGGAUGGGAAGAUACAGCCCACCUUUGCAGGUAUGUAUUCUAUUAAAUCUAAUAACUCGUCAUUUGCUACUUCAUGGGUUCUUGAUACAGGGUGUGGUUUCCACAUUUGUUCUGAUUUGCAGGGCCUAAGAAAAAGUAGGGAAGUGGAGCAUGGAAAGAUGAACUUGAUUAUGGGGAACAGAAGAUCGUCGCCUGUGACCAAAGUCAGAGUUUAUUCUUUAGUGUUGAGUAAUGGGUUAGGGCUAGAUUUAAAUAAUUGUUGCUAUUCACCAGAUAUGGCAAGAAACAUCAUUUCAUUUCAUGGAUUAUUUAGACAAGGUUUCACAUAUUCUUUUGAUAAUAGUAAUGGUUCUAUUAAUGUUUAUUUGAAUGGUGUAUUUUAUUUCAAUGCAUUGCCUUGUAAUGAAAUUUAUGAAUCUGUGAUGGUUGUUGAUAGUUUAUGAAAUGAUGUUUUUAAUAUUGAUUCGUCUACUAGUCUAGAUAAGGCAUGCUUGUGGCAUUGUCGCCUUGGCCAUGUCAACAUGAAACGUAUAGCACAACUUGAAAAGGAUAGAGUGUUGGAGUCAUUCAACCUUAGGGACGAUGACGUGUGUGAAUCUUGUUUGCUUGGGAAGAUGGCCAAGUCACCCUUCACUGGCACUUGUGAUAGGGGUGAGGGUCUAUUGGAUCUCAUACACACCAAUGUGUGUGGGCCCUUUAGAUCCACCACAAGGGAUGCUUUCCGCUUCUACAUGACUUUUACGGAUGAUUAUAGCAGAUAUGGAUAUAUCUAAUUAAUCAAGCAAAAGUCAAAAACUUUUGAAAAGUUCAAAGAGUUUAAGAAUGAAGUAGAGAAUCAGCUGGGCAGGAAAAUCAAGAUGCUUUGGUCGGACCGAGGAGGAGAAUACCUAAGUCUUGAGUUUCACGACUAUCUAAAAGAAUGCAUAAUUGUUUCACAAUUGAUGCCUCCGAGCACACAACAAUUGAAUGGUGUGGCUGAGAUACGUAAUCUAACCUUGUUGGACAUGGUUCAUUCUAUAAUGUGAUGGGCUUCGUUACCAAUAGCUCUCUAGGGGUAUGCCUUAGAGAUUGCCACCCAUAUCCUUAAUUUAGUUCCCACCAAGAAGGUUGCCAAAACACCUCACGGGAUGUGGACAAGGAAAGCUCCCUCGUUGGCACAUAUAAAGGUUUGUGGUUGCGAGGCUUUCGUAAGACGAGAGACUCAUGACUGUUGGAUAUAGUGUCUAAGUUCAUAACUAUAUUUGGUAUGUACUUGACCCGACCCGACAUGGUCCAUUUGGGUUGCACUUCACCCGAACAAUUUAUGGAUAAUAUUUGAGAAUAGUACAAGUUAUGAUUUAUUAAUAUAUUAUAAGUUCUAAUAUAUUAAUAUAAGAUCAUAUUAUUUAAUUAGUAGUGAUCUAUAAUUAAUCUAGGAUUAAUUUAGAGAUCAAAGAUAUUACUAAUUAAAUAUGGGCUUCUAUAUUUAUAUAGUGUGGGCUUGUGCUUAUUUGGAAUGGGCUAGGCUUGCAUGGGAAAGUCCAUGGAUACUCCAUGGAGCUUUAACCCAUGGAUCUCAUGGAAAUGAAGAGACAUGGGUAUUAGGGUUUACAUGGAUGUAACCCUAAUCCAUCACACUAUAUAAAGGAGGCUUUGGUUCUUGAAAUCACACUAGUUGACACUUGUUGAGGUGAGGCCCGAUUUCAAGAUAGUAGUGACUAUUCUCUCAAAGUUCCAAGUUUGUGGUGAUUUGUGAUUUCCANNNNNNNNNNNNNNNNNNNNNNNNNNNNNNNNNNNNNNNNNNNNNNNNNNNNNNNNNNNNNNNNNNNNNNNNNNNNNNNNNNNNNNNNNNNNNNNNNNNNNNNNNNNNNNNNNNNNNNNNNNNNNNNNNNNNNNNNNNNNNNNNNNNNNNNNNNNNNNNNNNNNNNNNNNNNNNNNNNNNNNNNNNNNNNNNNNNNNNNNNNNNNNNNNNNNNNNNNNNNNNNNNNNNNNNNNNNNNNNNNNNNNNNNNNNNNNNNNNNNNNNNNNNNNNNNNNNNNNNNNNNNNNNNNNNNNNNNNNNNNNNNNNNNNNNNNNNNNNNNNNNNNNNNNNNNNNNNNNNNNNNNNNNNNNNNNNNNNNNNNNNNNNNNNNNNNNNNNNNNNNNNNNNNNNNNNNNNNNNNNNNNNNNNNNNNNNNNNNNNNNNNNNNNNNNNNNNNNNNNNNNNNNNNNNNNNNNNNNNNNNNNNNNNNNNNNNNNNNNNNNNNNNNNNNNNNNNNNNNNNNNNNNNNNNNNNNNNNNNNNNNNNNNNNNNNNNNNNNNNNNNNNNNNNNNNNNNNNNNNNNNNNNNNNNNNNNNNNNNNNNNNNNNNNNNNNNNNNNNNNNNNNNNNNNNNNNNNNNNNNNNNNNNNNNNNNNNNNNNNNNNNNNNNNNNNNNNNNNNNNNNNNNNNNNNNNNNNNNNNNNNNNNNNNNNNNNNNNNNNNNNNNNNNNNNNNNNNNNNNNNNNNNNNNNNNNNNNNNNNNNNNNNNNNNNNNNNNNNNNNNNNNNNNNNNNNNNNNNNNNNNNNNNNNNNNNNNNNNNNNNNNNNNNNNNNNNNNNNNNNNNNNNNNNNNNNNNNNNNNNNNNNNNNNNNNNNNNNNNNNNNNNNNNNNNNNNNNNNNNNNNNNNNNNNNNNNNNNNNNNNNNNNNNNNNNNNNNNNNNNNNNNNNNNNNNNNNNNNNNNNNNNNNNNNNNNNNNNNNNNNNNNNNNNNNNNNNNNNNNNNNNNNNNNNNNNNNNNNNNNNNNNNNNNNNNNNNNNNNNNNNNNNNNNNNNNNNNNNNNNNNNNNNNNNNNNNNNNNNNNNNNNNNNNNNNNNNNNNNNNNNNNNNNNNNNNNNNNNNNNNNNNNNNNNNNNNNNNNNNNNNNNNNNNNNNNNNNNNNNNNNNNNNNNNNNNNNNNNNNNNNNNNNNNNNNNNNNNNNNNNNNNNNNNNNNNNNNNNNNNNNNNNNNNNNNNNNNNNNNNNNNNNNNNNNNNNNNNNNNNNNNNNNNNNNNNNNNNNNNNNNNNNNNNNNNNNNNNNNNNNNNNNNNNNNNNNNNNNNNNNNNNNNNNNNNNNNNNNNNNNNNNNNNNNNNNNNNNNNNNNNNNNNNNNNNNNNNNNNNNNNNNNNNNNNNNNNNNNNNNNNNNNNNNNNNNNNNNNNNNNNNNNNNNNNNNNNNNNNNNNNNNNNNNNNNNNNNNNNNNNNNNNNNNNNNNNNNNNNNNNNNNNNNNNNNNNNNNNNNNNNNNNNNNNNNNNNNNNNNNNNNNNNNNNNNNNNNNNNNNNNNNNNNNNNNNNNNNNNNNNNNNNNNNNNNNNNNNNNNNNNNNNNNNNNNNNNNNNNNNNNNNNNNNNNNNNNNNNNNNNNNNNNNNNNNNNNNNNNNNNNNNNNNNNNNNNNNNNNNNNNNNNNNNNNNNNNNNNNNNNNNNNNNNNNNNNNNNNNNNNNNNNNNNNNNNNNNNNNNNNNNNNNNNNNNNNNNNNNNNNNNNNNNNNNNNNNNNNNNNNNNNNNNNNNNNNNNNNNNNNNNNNNNNNNNNNNNNNNNNNNNNNNNNNNNNNNNNNNNNNNNNNNNNNNNNNNNNNNNNNNNNNNNNNNNNNNNNNNNNNNNNNNNNNNNNNNNNNNNNNNNNNNNNNNNNNNNNNNNNNNNNNNNNNNNNNNNNNNNNNNNNNNNNNNNNNNNNNNNNNNNNNNNNNNNNNNNNNNNNNNNNNNNNNNNNNNNNNNNNNNNNNNNNNNNNNNNNNNNNNNNNNNNNNNNNNNNNNNNNNNNNNNNNNNNNNNNNNNNNNNNNNNNNNNNNNNNNNNNNNNNNNNNNNNNNNNNNNNNNNNNNNNNNNNNNNNNNNNNNNNNNNNNNNNNNNNNNNNNNNNNNNNNNNNNNNNNNNNNNNNNNNNNNNNNNNNNNNNNNNNNNNNNNNNNNNNNNNNNNNNNNNNNNNNNNNNNNNNNNNNNNNNNNNNNNNNNNNNNNNNNNNNNNNNNNNNNNNNNNNNNNNNNNNNNNNNNNNNNNNNNNNNNNNNNNNNNNNNNNNNNNNNNNNNNNNNNNNNNNNNNNNNNNNNNNNNNNNNNNNNNNNNNNNNNNNNNNNNNNNNNNNNNNNNNNNNNNNNNNNNNNNNNNNNNNNNNNNNNNNNNNNNNNNNNNNNNNNNNNNNNNNNNNNNNNNNNNNNNNNNNNNNNNNNNNNNNNNNNNNNNNNNNNNNNNNNNNNNNNNNNNNNNNNNNNNNNNNNNNNNNNNNNNNNNNNNNNNNNNNNNNNNNNNNNNNNNNNNNNNNNNNNNNNNNNNNNNNNNNNNNNNNNNNNNNNNNNNNNNNNNNNNNNNNNNNNNNNNNNNNNNNNNNNNNNNNNNNNNNNNNNNNNNNNNNNNNNNNNNNNNNNNNNNNNNNNNNNNNNNNNNNNNNNNNNNNNNNNNNNNNNNNNNNNNNNNNNNNNNNNNNNNNNNNNNNNNNNNNNNNNNNNNNNNNNNNNNNNNNNNNNNNNNNNNNNNNNNNNNNNNNNNNNNNNNNNNNNNNNNNNNNNNNNNNNNNNNNNNNNNNNNNNNNNNNNNNNNNNNNNNNNNNNNNNNNNNNNNNNNNNNNNNNNNNNNNNNNNNNNNNNNNNNNNNNNNNNNNNNNNNNNNNNNNNNNNNNNNNNNNNNNNNNNNNNNNNNNNNNNNNNNNNNNNNNNNNNNNNNNNNNNNNNNNNNNNNNNNNNNNNNNNNNNNNNNNNNNNNNNNNNNNNNNNNNNNNNNNNNNNNNNNNNNNNNNNNNNNNNNNNNNNNNNNNNNNNNNNNNNNNNNNNNNNNNNNNNNNNNNNNNNNNNNNNNNNNNNNNNNNNNNNNNNNNNNNNNNNNNNNNNNNNNNNNNNNNNNNNNNNNNNNNNNNNNNNNNNNNNNNNNNNNNNNNNNNNNNNNNNNNNNNNNNNNNNNNNNNNNNNNNNNNNNNNNNNNNNNNNNNNNNNNNNNNNNNNNNNNNNNNNNNNNNNNNNNNNNNNNNNNNNNNNNNNNNNNNNNNNNNNNNNNNNNNNNNNNNNNNNNNNNNNNNNNNNNNNNNNNNNNNNNNNNNNNNNNNNNNNNNNNNNNNNNNNNNNNNNNNNNNNNNNNNNNNNNNNNNNNNNNNNNNNNNNNNNNNNNNNNNNNNNNNNNNNNNNNNNNNNNNNNNNNNNNNNNNNNNNNNNNNNNNNNNNNNNNNNNNNNNNNNNNNNNNNNNNNNNNNNNNNNNNNNNNNNNNNNNNNNNNNNNNNNNNNNNNNNNNNNNNNNNNNNNNNNNNNNNNNNNNNNNNNNNNNNNNNNNNNNNNNNNNNNNNNNNNNNNNNNNNNNNNNNNNNNNNNNNNNNNNNNNNNNNNNNNNNNNNNNNNNNNNNNNNNNNNNNNNNNNNNNNNNNNNNNNNNNNNNNNNNNNNNNNNNNNNNNNNNNNNNNNNNNNNNNNNNNNNNNNNNNNNNNNNNNNNNNNNNNNNNNNNNNNNNNNNNNNNNNNNNNNNNNNNNNNNNNNNNNNNNNNNNNNNNNNNNNNNNNNNNNNNNNNNNNNNNNNNNNNNNNNNNNNNNNNNNNNNNNNNNNNNNNNNNNNNNNNNNNNNNNNNNNNNNNNNNNNNNNNNNNNNNNNNNNNNNNNNNNNNNNNNNNNNNNNNNNNNNNNNNNNNNNNNNNNNNNNNNNNNNNNNNNNNNNNNNNNNNNNNNNNNNNNNNNNNNNNNNNNNNNNNNNNNNNNNNNNNNNNNNNNNNNNNNNNNNNNNNNNNNNNNNNNNNNNNNNNNNNNNNNNNNNNNNNNNNNNNNNNNNNNNNNNNNNNNNNNNNNNNNNNNNNNNNNNNNNNNNNNNNNNNNNNNNNNNNNNNNNNNNNNNNNNNNNNNNNNNNNNNNNNNNNNNNNNNNNNNNNNNNNNNNNNNNNNNNNNNNNNNNNNNNNNNNNNNNNNNNNNNNNNNNNNNNNNNNNNNNNNNNNNNNNNNNNNNNNNNNNNNNNNNNNNNNNNNNNNNNNNNNNNNNNNNNNNNNNNNNNNNNNNNNNNNNNNNNNNNNNNNNNNNNNNNNNNNNNNNNNNNNNNNNNNNNNNNNNNNNNNNNNNNNNNNNNNNNNNNNNNNNNNNNNNNNNNNNNNNNNNNNNNNNNNNNNNNNNNNNNNNNNNNNNNNNNNNNNNNNNNNNNNNNNNNNNNNNNNNNNNNNNNNNNNNNNNNNNNNNNNNNNNNNNNNNNNNNNNNNNNNNNNNNNNNNNNNNNNNNNNNNNNNNNNNNNNNNNNNNNNNNNNNNNNNNNNNNNNNNNNNNNNNNNNNNNNNNNNNNNNNNNNNNNNNNNNNNNNNNNNNNNNNNNNNNNNNNNNNNNNNNNNNNNNNNNNNNNNNNNNNNNNNNNNNNNNNNNNNNNNNNNNNNNNNNNNNNNNNNNNNNNNNNNNNNNNNNNNNNNNNNNNNNNNNNNNNNNNNNNNNNNNNNNNNNNNNNNNNNNNNNNNNNNNNNNNNNNNNNNNNNNNNNNNNNNNNNNNNNNNNNNNNNNNNNNNNNNNNNNNNNNNNNNNNNNNNNNNNNNNNNNNNNNNNNNNNNNNNNNNNNNNNNNNNNNNNNNNNNNNNNNNNNNNNNNNNNNNNNNNNNNNNNNNNNNNNNNNNNNNNNNNNNNNNNNNNNNNNNNNNNNNNNNNNNNNNNNNNNNNNNNNNNNNNNNNNNNNNNNNNNNNNNNNNNNNNNNNNNNNNNNNNNNNNNNNNNNNNNNNNNNNNNNNNNNNNNNNNNNNNNNNNNNNNNNNNNNNNNNNNNNNNNNNNNNNNNNNNNNNNNNNNNNNNNNNNNNNNNNNNNNNNNNNNNNNNNNNNNNNNNNNNNNNNNNNNNNNNNNNNNNNNNNNNNNNNNNNNNNNNNNNNNNNNNNNNNNNNNNNNNNNNNNNNNNNNNNNNNNNNNNNNNNNNNNNNNNNNNNNNNNNNNNNNNNNNNNNNNNNNNNNNNNNNNNNNNNNNNNNNNNNNNNNNNNNNNNNNNNNNNNNNNNNNNNNNNNNNNNNNNNNNNNNNNNNNNNNNNNNNNNNNNNNNNNNNNNNNNNNNNNNNNNNNNNNNNNNNNNNNNNNNNNNNNNNNNNNNNNNNNNNNNNNNNNNNNNNNNNNNNNNNNNNNNNNNNNNNNNNNNNNNNNNNNNNNNNNNNNNNNNNNNNNNNNNNNNNNNNNNNNNNNNNNNNNNNNNNNNNNNNNNNNNNNNNNNNNNNNNNNNNNNNNNNNNNNNNNNNNNNNNNNNNNNNNNNNNNNNNNNNNNNNNNNNNNNNNNNNNNNNNNNNNNNNNNNNNNNNNNNNNNNNNNNNNNNNNNNNNNNNNNNNNNNNNNNNNNNNNNNNNNNNNNNNNNNNNNNNNNNNNNNNNNNNNNNNNNNNNNNNNNNNNNNNNNNNNNNNNNNNNNNNNNNNNNNNNNNNNNNNNNNNNNNNNNNNNNNNNNNNNNNNNNNNNNNNNNNNNNNNNNNNNNNNNNNNNNNNNNNNNNNNNNNNNNNNNNNNNNNNNNNNNNNNNNNNNNNNNNNNNNNNNNNNNNNNNNNNNNNNNNNNNNNNNNNNNNNNNNNNNNNNNNNNNNNNNNNNNNNNNNNNNNNNNNNNNNNNNNNNNNNNNNNNNNNNNNNNNNNNNNNNNNNNNNNNNNNNNNNNNNNNNNNNNNNNNNNNNNNNNNNNNNNNNNNNNNNNNNNNNNNNNNNNNNNNNNNNNNNNNNNNNNNNNNNNNNNNNNNNNNNNNNNNNNNNNNNNNNNNNNNNNNNNNNNNNNNNNNNNNNNNNNNNNNNNNNNNNNNNNNNNNNNNNNNNNNNNNNNNNNNNNNNNNNNNNNNNNNNNNNNNNNNNNNNNNNNNNNNNNNNNNNNNNNNNNNNNNNNNNNNNNNNNNNNNNNNNNNNNNNNNNNNNNNNNNNNNNNNNNNNNNNNNNNNNNNNNNNNNNNNNNNNNNNNNNNNNNNNNNNNNNNNNNNNNNNNNNNNNNNNNNNNNNNNNNNNNNNNNNNNNNNNNNNNNNNNNNNNNNNNNNNNNNNNNNNNNNNNNNNNNNNNNNNNNNNNNNNNNNNNNNNNNNNNNNNNNNNNNNNNNNNNNNNNNNNNNNNNNNNNNNNNNNNNNNNNNNNNNNNNNNNNNNNNNNNNNNNNNNNNNNNNNNNNNNNNNNNNNNNNNNNNNNNNNNNNNNNNNNNNNNNNNNNNNNNNNNNNNNNNNNNNNNNNNNNNNNNNNNNNNNNNNNNNNNNNNNNNNNNNNNNNNNNNNNNNNNNNNNNNNNNNNNNNNNNNNNNNNNNNNNNNNNNNNNNNNNNNNNNNNNNNNNNNNNNNNNNNNNNNNNNNNNNNNNNNNNNNNNNNNNNNNNNNNNNNNNNNNNNNNNNNNNNNNNNNNNNNNNNNNNNNNNNNNNNNNNNNNNNNNNNNNNNNNNNNNNNNNNNNNNNNNNNNNNNNNNNNNNNNNNNNNNNNNNNNNNNNNNNNNNNNNNNNNNNNNNNNNNNNNNNNNNNNNNNNNNNNNNNNNNNNNNNNNNNNNNNNNNNNNNNNNNNNNNNNNNNNNNNNNNNNNNNNNNNNNNNNNNNNNNNNNNNNNNNNNNNNNNNNNNNNNNNNNNNNNNNNNNNNNNNNNNNNNNNNNNNNNNNNNNNNNNNNNNNNNNNNNNNNNNNNNNNNNNNNNNNNNNNNNNNNNNNNNNNNNNNNNNNNNNNNNNNNNNNNNNNNNNNNNNNNNNNNNNNNNNNNNNNNNNNNNNNNNNNNNNNNNNNNNNNNNNNNNNNNNNNNNNNNNNNNNNNNNNNNNNNNNNNNNNNNNNNNNNNNNNNNNNNNNNNNNNNNNNNNNNNNNNNNNNNNNNNNNNNNNNNNNNNNNNNNNNNNNNNNNNNNNNNNNNNNNNNNNNNNNNNNNNNNNNNNNNNNNNNNNNNNNNNNNNNNNNNNNNNNNNNNNNNNNNNNNNNNNNNNNNNNNNNNNNNNNNNNNNNNNNNNNNNNNNNNNNNNNNNNNNNNNNNNNNNNNNNNNNNNNNNNNNNNNNNNNNNNNNNNNNNNNNNNNNNNNNNNNNNNNNNNNNNNNNNNNNNNNNNNNNNNNNNNNNNNNNNNNNNNNNNNNNNNNNNNNNNNNNNNNNNNNNNNNNNNNNNNNNNNNNNNNNNNNNNNNNNNNNNNNNNNNNNNNNNNNNNNNNNNNNNUGCUGGACAAUAAGUAAGACAAUGUUCCAUGUAUUUGUCCGGCUGAUAUCUAGAACAGAGGAUUAUAUGAUCACUUAUCUAAAUGGCGCGUUCUAGUUCAACAGAGUUUAAAGAGCUACGAUUGCUGAUCGGUUCCUGAAGUUAUACUUGCAAAUAUAGUUACUAGACUUAUCCAAGUGGGAGACUGUUGGAUAUAGUGUCUAAGUUCAUAACUAUAUUUGGUAUGUACUUGACCCGACCCGGCAUGGUCCAUUUGGGUUGCACUUCACCCGAACAAUUUAUGGAUAAUAUUUGAGAAUAGUACAAGUUAUGAUUUAUUAAUAUAUUAUAAGUUCUAAUAUAUUAAUAUAAGAUCAUAUUAUUUAAUUAUUAUUGAUCUAUAAUUAAUCUAGGAUUAAUUUAGAGAUCAAAGAUAUUACUAAUUAAAUAUGGGCUUCUAUAUUUAUAUAGUGUGGGCUAAUGCUUAUUUGGAAUGGGCUAGGCUUGAAUGGAAAGUCCAUGGAUACUCCAUGGAGCUUUAACCCAUGGACCUCAUGGAAAUGAAGAGACAUGGGUAUUAGGGUUUACAUGGAUGUAACCCUAAUCCAUCACACUAUAUAAAGGAGGCUUUAGUUCUUGAAAUUAUAGAAGUUGACACUUGUUGAGGUGAGGGCCGAUUUCAAGAUAGUAGUGACUAUUCUCUCAAAGUUCAAAGUUUGUGGUGAUUUGCGACUUUCAUUUGAGGCAUCCACACU